rnacentral:lncRNA from 1 species
UCACCGUUCUUCAGGAACUUGGGCUCCUUCUCGAGCUCCUUGCCAGAUCGCCUGUCGAUCUUGGUAAUGAGCUCAGCAAACUUGACGGCGAUGUGGGAGGUGUGGCAGUCCAGCACUGGGGCAUAGCCGUUGCCAAUCUGCCCAGGGUGGUUCAUGAUGAUGACCUGGGAGGUGAAGCUGGCAGCCUCCUUGGCAGGGUCAUCCUUGGAGUUGGAGGCCACGAACCCACGCUUGAGAUCCUUGACAGCAACGUUCUUCACGUUGAAGCCAACAUUGUCGCCCGGAAGAGCCUCCUGAAGCGCCUCGUGGUGCAUCUCAACAGACUUCACCUCAGUAGUCAGGCCAGUUGGACCAAAGGUGACUACCAUACCAGGCUUGAUGACACCAGUCUCCACACGACCAACCGGUACAGUUCCAAUACCACCAAUCUUGUACACAUCCUGGAGGGGCAGACGCAGGGGCUUGUCCGAAGGCCUCUUGGGCUCGGUGAUCUGGUCAAGAGCCUCAAGCAGGGUUGGGCCUUUGUACCAGUCAAGGUUGGUGGACCUCUCAAUCAUGUUGUCGCCCUCAAAACCAGAAAUGGGAACAAAGGCAAUCUUAUCAGGGUUGUACCCAACUUUCUUGAGGUAGGAUGAGACUUCCUUCACAAUCUCAUCAUAACGUGCCUUGGAGUAUUUCGGAGUGGUUGCAUCCAUCUAAAAAACAGAACACCAUUACUUUGAUUAUCCACGGUACAUAGACAGUAUAUGCUUGGAACAGAAUAAUACUAUUAGCUUAAUGGAAUAAUAAAGGACAUGAACAGCAGGCAAACUGUGGAUAUGUGAUACCACAGCAGUGACAACUACACAUAAAUAGGUAGAUCACCGUGUAUCAUAAUUCAUAUAUAUGUAACCAACAUACCAAGUCCUGGAUGUAACAAAUAAGAAGCAUAUGACAAAAUACAGAGCUAAUCAGGUAUAUGUCAAUGCAUCCUACUAAUAAAACUGCAGUACCAGCACAUUAAAUAACCAUACCAAUCAAGUGAAAAUAAAUAAAUGCUUAUACACUUGUACAUACAUUACUUGUUCCAAUAACAUCUAAACAUUACUUGGAACAAUUGAGUGAGAAACUUCUAUGAAAAUUAUUGAGAAAAUAUUCUACAACAGAUCAUACUAGCAAACUAAUGAAUGCUAUUAAGUUAACUAACUACUAAAUAUGAAAGAAACAGAAGGUUAAUCGAAGCUCUAGCCACUAUAAUCAUUUCACAAAUCCUGUAUUCAACUCCAAAACUAUUAUACUAGCACCAAAUUCUGCAAAAGUAGCACAUACCAUUAUACUAGAGGCUUUUGAAACAAAAAUUCCUGAAAGCAUACCUUGUUGCAGCAGCAAAUCAUCUGCUUCACUCCAAGGGUGAACGCAAGGAGAGCAUGUUCACGGGUCUGGCCAUCCUUGGAGAUACCAGCCUCAAAACCACCAGUGGUGGAGUCAAUGAUAAGGACAGCACAGUCAGCCUGGGAGGUACCAGUGAUCAUGUUCUUGAUGAAGUCACGGUGUCCAGGGGCAUCAAUGACCGUGCAGUAGUACUUGGUGGUCUCAAACUUCCACAGAGCGAUAUCAAUGGUGAUACCUCUCUCACGCUCAGCCUUGAGCUUGUCGAGCACCCACGCGUACUUGAAGGACCGCUUGUUCAUUUCAGCAGCCUCCUUCUCAAACCUCUCGAUCACACGCUUGUCAAUGCCUCCAAGCUUGUAGAUCAGGUGUCCUGUGGUGGUCGACUUGCCAGAGUCAACGUGGCCAAUAACCACAAUGUUGAUGUGGGACUUCUCUUUACCCAUGGUUGGAGGUGAGAUUGAACUGUUAACAAGACGAAUCAACGAUUAGAAACACUAGUAAAUAUUAAUACUACCAGUAACGACACAAUUUAUCAGAUGGGAUCAGAAACUAGAUCUAACGUUGUCACCGGAGUUAUGAGCUUGAAAAAAGCUUGAUACACAUAAGCAGUGUAAAAAUAAAGAAGCAAAUAUUAAACAGAGCAAUCAAUGUAAUAUAAAAAAAUAAAGCAGGCAUAGAAAAUAAAGAGCAAACUAAUAAGUGUGCGCACAUAAUUUUGAGCCAGUAAGACGAAUUCAAAAUUAGGCACAACAACUCUAUAAAGCAGAUCAGGAAUUUGGUCAUAUUAUGAGGUUACAACUCUUACUGCGCAUGAACUACAAAGACAAGUAUCGGUCAAAUAGAAACUACAGCAGCUCUACACCUCAAAAAUUCGAUCUGACUUUAUUAAGACCACGUAACACGACCGCAAGCGCAAUUAAGAAGUCGUCCAACUACGGUGGCACGGUGCGUAUGUAAUUUAUCAAAUCCAGAAGCAACUAUCCGUAAGAAUCAGGUCAUCCAAACACGGAAGCAAACAAAACCACAAAAAACUAAGAGAAUGGAGACGCAGUAGCUACAAUUAAUCGCAAACAGAAGACCGAAUCACUUCAGGCACGGGGAGGCAACAGAGCACAGCUUUGAACCACUGCCUAUCUCAUCGAGCACCUCAAGGACAAAGAUCGAGCGACAGAGGAUUAGCUACCUUGCAAGGGACAGAGGCCGAAAUGGAGGCGCAGAAGGCAGACGGCGAGUUGGGGAGGAAGGUGCUUGCCUCUAGGGUUCGGGACUUUAUAUAAGGGUGUCGGAGUGGCCGGACCAGCCCAAUGUGACUUCCGAUUUCCGAAUGGCGGCCCAGGGCCAUAAACGGAGCGAGACAGGGUGUGUUUGGUUCGGUUUUUUUCUGACCAGCUUAUAUGAAAAGCUGGUUGUGGGGAAAAGCUGGCUGUUGGGAAAAACUGGUGGUUAAAAUUUAGGUGUUUGGUUCGCCAGCUGUGCAGAAAAGCUGUUUGUGAGAAUUUACGUGUUUGGAUAAUCAGAUUGUCAUAUUGCAGAUUCUGUUCGAAGAAACGAUAAAAUGAAACCCAUAACGAAGAAAAGGUCAUUACACAUUAAUUAGUGGAGUUGAUUACAUCAUAAGUACCGUUACAUUGAUAUACUUAACUACGCCACUAAUGUAUUAGCAAUUGCAUCUCGAAAAGCACUCAUGUCUAACUCAUCAGAUGUGCUACUACUACUCUCACCUAAAGGUACAUCAUGACUGCUGCUACUAGGUCCAAGUUCAUCAAAGUCUCUAUCGUGUAGAGCACUCUCUCUAAUGAAGUUAUGCAAUGUCAUACAAGCAAUAAUUAUCUUGGAUUGUUUGGUAAGCGAAAAAGAAGGGAGACUUAAAAGAACUCUCCACUUCAUUUUAAGCACCCCAAACGAUCGCUCUAUAACAUUGCGUAGCGAAGAGUGUGCAUAGUUGAAUACUUCUUUGGUCCCAAUAGGUUGCCUCGCAUUUUGCCAUUCAGAAAUGUGGUACUUCUGACCCUUAUAAGGUGCAAGGUAGCCCUUUCUAUUUGGAUAACCUGAAUCGACAAGAUAGUAUUUACCUGCACAAACAUGAAAUACAAAAGUUAAAUACUUAAGCCAGUAAUUAAUAGCAUAUGUCAUAAAAACAAGGUAUAUAAUUAUAUACCUUCUGGUGGCUGAGGGAACCUGUCCGCAUAAGUUAUCAAAGUAUCUUGUAAUACUCUAGUGUCAUGUACGGAUCCUGGCCAUCCUGUGACAACAAAUGUGAACCUCAUAUCGAAGUCACAAACGGCCAUUACAUUCUGCGAUGUGUAACCGUGACGUCCAAUAUAUUUGGCUUGCUCCGAGGCCGGGACUGCCGCUGGAAAGUGACUACCAUCAAUUGCUCCUAUGCAGUCCUUGAAGUGUGGCCAAAAUAUCGCCUCUCGCAAACGAGGAUGAAUCUCGAUGAAAUAUGGGUCUUUGGGCUUAAUUAUGUCAGAUGACAUCUUAAACAGUGCAUCAAGGACUUCACUAUACUUGUGACUAAUUGUUUCCAAGGAGUGACCAAACUUAUUCCUUAUCUGCCUAAAUGACUGUGGACCCCCACAUGCCCACAAGAAAAUGCCAAGUGCUUCCAUAGUACUGACACCCCGGCUUGGAAUCAGACCAUAAUUGUCGGCGUCUCGAGACCGGGGGGUCCCUAAGCCGACGAGUGAGUGUGCCGCGUGCCCCAGCCCAGAUGGGUCGAGCGCGUGGGCGAGCGCGAAGGGGGGAAGCGAGGUGGCCGGAGACGGGCGUGAGAGAGGUGGAAAUCCCGCGGCCUUCGUGUUCGUCCCGCGCCCAGGUCGGGUGCGCUUGCAGUAGGGGGUUACAAGCGUCCACGCGGGUGAGGGAAGCGAGCGGCCCCAAGAGAGCGCCUGUCCCGUCCUCGUCCCCGCGCGGCCAACCUUCUCUAAGAAGGCCCUGGUCCUUCCUUUUAUAGGCGUAAGGAGAGGAUCCAGGUGUACAAUGGGGGUGUAGCAGAGUGCUACGUGUCUAGCGGGGGAGAGCUAGCACCCUAAGUACAUGCCGAUGUGGCAGCCGGAGAGAUCUUGGCACCAAGUCGGUGUGAUGUCGUGGCCGUCGGAGGAGCAACGGAGCCUGGCGGAGGGACAGCUGUCGGAGCGGUCGAGUCCUUGCUGACAUCCUCCUGCUUCCGUAAGAGAGCUGAGAGCCGCCGUCGUCACAGGGCACGUGGGGCGCCAUCAUUGCCUAUCUGGCGGAGCUAGCCAGAUGGGACACCGGUCUUGUUCUCUGCGGCCCGAGUCGGCUCGGGGUAGGGUGAUGAUGGCGCUUCCUGUUGACGUGGCGGGCCCGCGCCCGAGGUCGGGCGACGUGGGGGCUCCUCCGAAGCCAGGGUUGAGUCUGUCUUCCGUGGCCGAGGCCGAGCCCGAGCCCCGGGGUCGGGCGAGGCGGAGGUCGUUCGGCAGAGGCCGGGGCGGAGUCCGAGCCCUAGGGUCGGGCGAAGCGGAGUUCGUCGUCUUCUGGGGCUGAGCCCGAGUCCGAGCCCUGGGUCGGGCGGAGCGGAGUUCGUCGUCUUCUGGGGCUGAGCCCGAGUCCGAGCCCUGGGUCGGGCGGAGCAGAGUUCGCCGUCUUCCGGGGCUUAGCCCGAGUCCGAGCCCUGGGUCGGGCGGAGCGGAGUUCGCCGUCUUCCGGGGCUUAGCCCGAGUCCGAGCCCUGGGUCGGGCGGAGCGGAGUUCGCCAUCUUCCGGGGCUUACCCCGAGUCCGAGCCCUGGGUCGGGCGGAGCGGAGUCCGCCGUCUUCCGGGGCUUAGCCCGAGUCCGAGCCCUGGGUCGGGCGGAGCGGAGUUCGCCGUCUUCCGGGGCUUAGCCCGAGUCCGAGCCCUGGGUCGGGCGGAGCGGAGUUCGCCGUCUUCCGGGGCUUAGCCCGAGUCCGAGCCCUGGGUCGGGCGGAGCGGAGUUCGCCGUCUUCCGGGGCUUAGCUCGAGUCCGAGCCCUGGGUCGGGCGGAGCGGAGUUUCCUAUGGCGCCUUUGGCAAGGCCUGACUGCCUGUCAGUCUCACUCUGUCAAGUGGCACUGCAGUCGGAGUGGCGCAGGCGGUGCUGUCCUUCUGUCAGACCGGUCAUUGGAGCGGCGAAGUGACGGCGGUCACUUCGGCUCUGCCGGGGGGCGCACGUCAGGAUAAAGGUGUCAGGCUACCUUUGCGUUAAAUUCUCCUGCGACUCGGUCGGUCGGCGCGGCGAUUUAGUCAGGGUUGCUUGUUAGCGAAGGCAAGGCCUCGGGCGAGCCGGAGAUGUGUCCGCCGUUAAAGGGGGGCCUCGGGCGAGACGGAAACCCCUCGGGGUCGGCUGCCCUUGCCCGAGGCUAAGCUCGGGCGAGGCGUGAUCGAGUCGCUCGUAUGGACUGAUCCCUGACUUAAUCGCACCCAUCAGGCCUCUGCAGCUUUAUGCUGAUGGGGGUUACCAGCUGAGAAUUAGGCGUCUUGAGGGUACCCCUAAUUAUGGUCCCCGACAGUAGCCCCCGAGCCUCGAAGGGAGUGUUAGCACUCGCUUGGAGGCUUUCGUCGCACUUUUUUGCAAGGGGACCAUCCUUUCUCGGUUGCAUUUUGUUCCGGUGGGUGCGCGCGAGCGCACCCGCCGGGUGUAGCCCCCGAGGCCUCGGAGGAGUGGUUUCACUCCCUCGAGGUCUUAAUGCCUUGCGUAAUGCUUCGGCUGGUCUAGUUGUUCCCUCAUGCGAACUGGCCGUAGCCCGGGUGCACGGUCGGGGCCCAAGUUCUCGGGCUGGUAUUUUGACGCUGUCAACGGUUCGGCCGGAGCCGGGUUUGCGAGAGCAGCCCCCGAGCCUCCGCACAGGGCGAGAGGGCGAUAAGGGACAGACUCGGCUUUUUUACAUACGCCCCUACAUCGCCUUUCCGCAAGGAGGAGGGGGGGAGAGCGCCAUGUUACCCUCGAUGGGCACCGAACAUGGUGUCUCCGGUGAGCUGCAAGCGGGUAAUCCGAGUGGACGUCCGUGCCCCGUUCGUUGGGGGUCGGCUAGGGGCCCAGAGGCACGCCCAAAAGUACCUGCGGGUGAUCUGCCGGACCCGGUCCCCUGGCGACGGGGUCCGAGGGCUCGAUGCCUCCCUCCGAUGGGAUUCCGUUACAAGAUCGCUCCCGCUGGUCUCGGAAAUGUCCUAGGGUACCUCGGGAGCGCAGCCCGAGCCUUGGUUAUGUAUCGAACGUACCCCUGGUCAUCCCUCGCUCGGCGUCUGAGGCGACUGUGAACCCUUCGGGGGCCAGCCUUCGAACCCCUGAUCAGUAAUGGGCGCGGAGCCCGAGUAGCCUGAGGCGGCCGUGGAGCCCUUCGGGGGGCCGGCCUUCGAACCUCUGACCAGUAGUGGGUGUAGGGCCCACGCGAUCUGAGGCGACUGUUGAACCCCUCGGAGGGCCAGCCUUCGAACCUCUGAUCAGUAGGGGGGCUCGGAGCCCGGUUCCUUCACAGGGAAGGAUCCUUUUCGGGGUAUCCCCCUUUCCCGGUCCCUGUUGCAAGAGAUAGAGAAAGAGGAAAAAAAGGAAAAGGAUACGAAAUCGAACGACGUGGCGUACCUUUUUUGGCGCGGUUAUUACGGCGAAGGCGAAGCGUCGCCCGCUUCUCCUGCCAGAAGCGCCGCCUGUCCCGCCGCGGAGUUAAUGCGAUGGGGUGAGUUGUUGGCGGGGCGGCCGUUGCGCGUGCGCGAGCCGUUCGAGGAACGGAUCACGGGCGCCCUGUCUUCACGCCGUGAGAGGGGGUUCUCUUGCUGCCCCCGGACGGGACAUGAGUCUGGCCGACGACGUGACCGCUGCUCCCGCCCGCCUGCCACCGUCAUUACUGCCGGCCCACUUUCGGCCAUAUUGACCGUCGCGCUAGGCUGGCGCUGCUGGGUCGCGCGCUGGGCCGCCUCGAGUCGCGGUAUUGGUUCCGCAACCGAAGAGGCGCGGUGGUGGCGCAAGUGGCGGUGCAGUUGCUUGCAUGCAGCAUCUGGCGCGCCGGUUGCGUGACGCGUGGGCCUGGGCCUCCAUGCCGGCGUGUUGGGAGUCGGAGAAGCGCGUCCGCCUGGCGCGAUUGCAUGCCGCCUGCAUGGCUGCCCGCCCCUUCCGCCCGUUGGUCUGGGCAAAAGUGGGGGGUCGCUUGUAACUGCUGGGCGGUUGUGUGCACCACGCGCGGCGCUUUGGCUUCUUCUGCUCUGAGCCGGUUUGCAUGACACGCGGGACCCAGCCCCCGCGCCGCAGGGAAGGGCCUUGGAGCGUGUUGGAGAAGACUCAGCCCAUGACGUUUGGGGGCGCACGUAGGGAGAGUUGCCUUUAAAAGGAGGGCGACCCCUUUCGUAAGGCGACCAUGUCUUCUCGCUCCCUUAUGCGUCGCGUCUUUCCACCUUCCAAGCCCCCGGAUGGGGGGUACCCGCCGUCUUUUCGCCUCAUCGUUGGAGGAACGCAACUCCGUGGGAGUUGGUACCUUUCAGCCAUCGCUCGGCUUCAAGGUUUUUCAUCACACAGCCCGGUUGCUCCCCUCCGCUGGUGGUCACCCGAGACGGUGACCUUCAGCUCCUGGAUGGGGAGAGGCAAGCCGGGCUGUGAUCCCGAUCCCGCCCUCAGCGUCGAGGGUGUUCGUCAUCCUCGCUGGGGCGGGGAGCGAGGCGAGCCGGGGCUCUACCUCCUGCGCUGGUCGGUGGGCCACCUCUUCUUCCAGCUUCUGGUGGUGGCAAUCGCCCUCCAGCCCCGCGGCGGAGACGUCCUCCAGCCAUGCCGGGGAAGGCGAACUGUUGCUGCCCAGCUAGGAUGCAACAUUCCGCCCCCUCCCUCGCAUUCGCGGCGAGGACGGCAGCGAGGACCUGCCGGUGCGCUUGGGAGCGGCCCGCUCUUUGGCUUUAAUAGCUGGUUCGCGUCCCUUGAGCGGGAACGCGAACGAGAUCCCUCCGGUGGCCGCGUCCACCCGGGACCAUGGCUGCUGCUGCAGAGGUCGCUGGCAGGUCUCCCGACGCUCGUCGCCCCGCAGGCUCGAGGUUGCUCAUACCCGCGGGGACGGAACCAGAGUUCCGUUUGUAAUGGCACUUUGAAUGCCAGUGUUUUUGUUCAUUAUGGCUGUCGAGGCCUGAACAUGUAUGUAAUUUUGGCACGGAGCCGUGUUUUUUCCUCAUUUUUGAGCACUAAGACUCGCCUGUCGAUUAUCUGAAUUGCUUCACCAAGCAUGAGUCGCCCCGUGUCAAGGUGACGAGCGAGGUAUCCGUAUCCCGGAGGCGUAGGAGUCCCUCGGCUCGAUCGGCCUUGUUGUCUGAGGCUCCUCUAGCUUAGUUAAAGAGACCCCUUGGCUGCUCUUCGACGAGCCGAGGCCAGGGGUAGCGAUAUCAGCACGAACAGAGGCGGAGUUGGCUUGAAAAAUGAAAACCUGGUUAGCCGGAGCCUAGCCGGGUUGUCCGUCAGCGGGACCGAUGCCGGAGUUGAUCAGCCGAGGCCUCGGACCGGGCUGGCGCCCUUGGAAGAUGGUUGGCCGAGGCCCCUAGGGUAACCGGCCGAGCCGCCUGCUCGGGCCGGAUUCCCGGAGAAGUCCCUGGACCGCGUCGCCGUCCGAGGCUGGGUCGGACCUCGCUGAAGGCGUCGUCGAUGCCGAGGGUGCUACAGCUCCCUUCCAGCGUGAAGACCCGAGCCUGCAGGAUCAGAUUGUCUUGUAGCGUGUGCCUUCUGCGGUCGCUGAGGCCAGAAAACACACCCUCGCUGCGUUGUAAAGCUGCGUCUCUUUUCCUCUUGUUUCGAGUAUCUGGACUUUUUGUUGGUAACAGGGAUGUUUGUGCGGGCGAGAGUUGCUUCUCGCGGAAGGUGAUGAUUGAGGUAUCCGUAUCCCGGAGGCGUGGGAGUCCCUCGGCUCGGUCGGCCUUGCCGCUUACGCGUACUUUCACCCGUCCAUGGGGCCCUGUCACCGACUCAGUCGAGAAGGCUCGAAGGAUCGCUUCGGCAGAAGGGCUUCCGAACGUAAAGACUUGUUCGGUCCGCGGAAUCACUUUAUCCGAACGCGAGUUACUUAUCGCAGAAGGUGAUGAGUGAGGUAUCCGUAUCCCGGAGGCGUAGGAGUCCCUCGGCUCGGUCAGCCUUGGCUGCUUACGUGCACUCCGUCGUUUCCAGGACCCACUUUUCGAAGUAAUCAAAAAGCACGAAAGAUAUUCUGGCAGAAGAGAUCUUUUUUCGAGGAAAAUUUCGACGCAGAGGGGGUUCCCCCCCUUUUAGCCCCCGAGGGAGGGUCGGGCUUUGCCGAGGCGAGGCCGACCCUUCCUUGAUGACUAAACUCUGCGUGGGUGCGAGGUAUAUGAACAACUUGAAAACAUCUUAAGGGUAGAAGCGACGUAGCUGUUUGAUGUUCCAAGCGUUGCCGUAGACCUCGCCUUGACUGUUGGCCAGCUUGUACGUUCCGGGCUUCAGAACUUUGGCGAUGACGAAUGGCCCCUCCCAGGGGGGCGUGAGCUUGUGCCUCCCUCGGGCGUCUUGCCGCAGCCGAAGCACCAGGUCGCCCACCUGGAGGUCCCGGGGUCGGACCCCUCGGGCGUGGUAGCGCCGCAGGGACUGCUGAUACCGCGCCGAGUGUAGUAAGGCCUUGUCCCGAGCCUCUUCCAGCUGGUCCAGCGAGUCUUCUCGGCUAGCUUGGUUGCUUUGAUCGUCGUAGGCCCUCGUCCUCGGGGAGCCGUAUUCCAGGUCAGUGGGCAAGACGGCCUCGGCCCCGUAGACCAGGAAGAAUGGCGUGAAACCCGUGGUCCGGCUUGGCGUCGUCCUCAGGCUCCAGACCACCGAGGGGAGUUCCUUCAUCCAUCGCUUGCCGAACUUGUUGAGGUCGUUGUAAAUCCGAGGCUUGAGCCCUUGUAGAAUCAUGCCGUUGGCACGCUCUACUUGCCCAUUCGUCAUGGGAUGAGCCACGGCGGCCCAGUCCACCCGGAUGUGGUGAUCCUCGCAGAAGUCCAAGAAUUUUCUGCCGGUGAACUGGGUGCCGUUGUCGGUGAUGAUGGAGUUUGGGACCCCGAAGCGAUGGAUGAUGUUGGUGAAGAACGCCACCGCCUGCUCGGACCUGAUGCUGUUCAGGGGUCGGACCUCGAUCCACUUGGAGAAUUUGUCGAUGGCGACCAGCAGGUGCGUGUAGCCCCCAGGCGCCUUCUGCAAGGGACCGACGAGGUCCAGACCCCACACAGCAAAGGGCCAGGUGAUGGGUAUCGUCUGCAGAGCCUGAGCGGGCAGGUGGGUCUGCUUCGCAUAGAAUUGGCACCCUUCGCAGGUGCGGACAAUUCUAGUGGCGUCAGCCACCGCCGUUGGCCAGUAGAAGCCUUGCCGGAAAGCAUUCCCGACGAGGGCUCGAGGCGCUGCAUGAUGGCCGCAAGCCCCCGAGUGUAUUUCUUGCAGGAGUUCCUGACCUUCGGCGAUGGAGAUGCAUCGCUGGAGGAUGCCCGAGGGGCUGCGGUGGUAGAGCUCCUUCUCAUCGCCCAGCAAGACGAACGACUUGGCGCGUCGCGCUACCCGCCGAGCCUCGGCUUGGUCGAGGGGUAGCUCUCCUUGGCGAAGAUAUUGUAGGUACGGGGUCUACCAAUCUCGAUCAGGCGUGGCCCCGCUCCGCUCCUCCUCGACGUGCAGUGCCUCGCCCUCGGGGGCCGAGGGUACCUCGGGCUGAACCGAGGACGCCUCGGGCUGGGCCGAGGGUACCUCAGGCUGGGCCGAGGGUACCUCGGGCUCGGGCAUGUCGUUGAUCUUGACGGAGGGUUGAUGCAGAUCCUGGGAGAAGACGUCCGGGGGAACCGUCGUUCGCCCCGAGGCUAUUUUUGCCAGCUCGUCCGCAGUCUCGUUGUAGCGCCGAGCGAUGUGGUUAAGCUCGAGCCCGUAGAACUUGUCUUCCAGGCGCCGAACCUCAUCGCAGUAGGCCUCCAUCUUCGGGUCGCGGCAGUGGGAGUUCUUCAUGACUUGGUCGAUGACGAGCUGCGAGUCACCGCGGGCGUCGAGGCGUCUAACCCCUAGCUCGAGGGCGAUCCGCAACCCGUUGACCAGAGCCUCGUACUCAGCCACAUUGUUGGACGCCGGGAAAUGGAGGCGUAGCACGUAGCGUAGGUGUUUUCCGAGGGGCGAGAUGAAGAGCAGGCCCGCGCCGGCUCCCGUCUUCAUCAGCGACCCGUCGAAAAACAUGGUCCAGAGCUCCGGUUGGAUCGGAGCCGUCGGCAGCUGGGUGUCGACCCAUUCGGCUACGAAGUCCGCCAAUACCUGGGACUUGAUGGCCUUCCGAGGGGCGAACGAGAUUGUCUCGCCCAUGAUUUCCACCGCCCACUUUGCGAUCCUGCCCGAGGCCUCUCGGCACUGGAUGAUCUCCCCCAGGGGGAAGGAUGACACCACAGUUACCGGAUGAGACUCGAAGUAAUGUCGCAACUUUCGCCUCGUUAGGAUCACUGCAUACAGCAGCUUCUGAACUUGUGGGUAGCGGAUCUUGGUUUCGGACAGUACCUCGCUGACGAAGUAAACUGGCCUCUGAACGGGCAAUGCAUGCCCCUCUUCUUGCCUCUCGACCACAAUCGCGACGCUAACCACCUGAGUGGUCGCGGCGACAUAGACCAAGAGGGCUUCUCCAUCAGCUGGGGGUACCAAGAUAGGCGCCUUUGUGAGGAGCGCCUUCAGGUUCCCGAGAGCUUCCUCGGCCUCAGGGGUCCAAGCGAAACACUCAGCCUUCCUUAACUGGCGGUACAGAGGCAGACCUCUUUCGCCGAGGCGUGAGAUGAAGCGGCUCAGGGCCGCGAGACAUCCCAUGACCCUCUGUACGCCUUUUAAGUCCUUGAUGGGCCCCAUGCUGGUGAUAGCUGCGAUCUUCUCCGGGUUGGCUUCGAUGCCUCGCUCGGAGACGAUGAACCCCAAGAGCAUGCCUCGGGGCACCCCGAAGACACACUUCUCGGGAUUGAGCUUGACGCCUUUCGCUUUGAGACAUCGGAAUGUCACUUCAAGGUCGGAGAGGAGGUCGGAAGCCUUCCUUGUCUUGACUACGAUGUCAUCGACGUAGGCCUCGACUGUGCGACCGAUGUGUUCGCCGAACACAUGGUUCAUGCACCGCUGGUACGUCGCGCCCGCAUUCCUCAAACCGAACGGCAUGGUGACAUAGCAGUACAUGCCGAAGGGCGUGAUGAAAGAAGUCGCGAGCUGGUCGGACUCUUUCAUCCGGAUUUGGUGAUACCCUGAGUAGGCAUCGAGGAAGGACAGGGUUUCGCACCCAGCAGUGGGAUCCACGAUUUGAUCGAUGCGAGGUAGAGGGUAGGGAACCUUCGGACAUGCUUUGUUGAGACCAGUGUAGUCUACACACAUCCGCCAUUUCCCCCCUUUCUUUCUCACAAGCACAGGGUUGGCAAGCCAUUCGGGAUGGAAUACCUCUUUGAUGAACCCUGCUGCCAUUAGCUUGUGGAUCUCCUCGCCUAUCACUCUGCGCUUCUCCUCGUCGAAUCGGCGCAGAGGCUGCCUGACGGGUCGGGCUCCGGCCCGAAUAUCCAGCGAGUGCUCGGCGACAUCCCUCGGUAUGCCGGGCAUGUCCGAGGGACUCCACGCAAAGACGUCGGCGUUUGCGCGGAGAAAGUCGACGAGCACUGCUUCCUAUUUGGGGUCGAGCCCAGAAUCGAUCCAGAUCUGCUUGGAGGUGUCGCCACUGGGGUCGAGAGGGACGGCCUUAACCGUCUCCGCUGGCUCGAAGUUGCCGGCAUGACGCUUCACGUCUGGCACCUCUUUGGAGAGGUUCUCCAGGUCGGCGAUGAGGGCCUCGGACUCGGCGAGGGCCUCGGCGUACUCCACGCACUCCACGUCGCAUUCGAACGCGUGUUUGUACGUGGGGCCGACGGUGAUGACCCCGUUGGGGCCCGGCAUCUUGAGCUUCAGGUAGGUGUAGUUGGGGACGGCCAUGAACUUUGCGUAGCAUGGCCUCCCCAGUACCGCGUGGUAGGUUCCUCGGAACCCGACCACCUCGAACGUCAAAGUCUCCCUUCGGAAGUUGGAGGGCAUUCCGAAGCAGACGGGAAGGUCGAGCCGUCCGAGGGGCUGGACGCGCUUCCCAGGAAUGAUCCCGUGGAAGGGCGCAGCGCCUGCUCGGAUGGAGGACAGAUCGACGCGCAGGAGCCAGAGGGUCUCGGCGUAGAUGAUGUUGAGGCAGCUGCCCCCGUCCAUCAGGACCUUGGUGAGCCUGACGUCGCCGACGAUGGGGUCGACGACGAGCGGGUAUUUCCCUGGGCUCGGCAUGUGGUCGGGGUGGUCAGCUUGGUCGAAGGUGAUGGGCUUGUCGGACCAGUCUAGGUAGACUGGCGCCGCCACCUUCACCGAGCAGACCUCCCGGCGCUCUUGCUUGCGAUGCCGAGCCGAGGCAUUCGCCGCAUGCCCACCGUAGAUCAUGAAGCAGUCGCGGACCUCGGGGAACUCUCCUGCUUGGUGAUCUUCCUUUUUGUCGUCGUCGCGGGCCCUGCCACCCUCUGCGGGUGGCCCGACCCUGUGGAAGUGACGCCGAAGCAUGACGCACUCCUCAAGGGUGUGCUUGACGGGCCCCUGAUGGUAGGGGCACGGCUCCUUGAGCAUCUUGUCGAAAAGGUUAGCACCUCCGGGGGGCUUCCGAGGGUUCUUGUACUCGGCGGCGGCGACAAGGUCCGCGUCGGCGGCGUCGCGUUUCGCUUGCGACUUCUUCUUGCCUUUCUUCUUGGCGCCGCGCGGAGUAGACGCCUCGGGAGCCUCUUCCGAUGGGCGGCCUUGGGGCUGCUUGUCCUUUCGGAAGAUAGCCUCGACCGCCUCCUGGCCAGAGGCGAACUUGGUGGCGAUGUCCAUCAGCUCGCUCGCCCUGGUGGGGGUCUUGCGACCCAACUUACUCACCAGGUCGCGGCAGGUGGUGCCGGCAAGAAACGCGCCGAUGACAUCCGAGUCGGUGAUGUUGGGCAGCUCGGUGCGCUGCUUCGAGAAUCGCCGGACGUAGUCCCGAAGAGACUCUCCCGGCUGUUGCCGGCAGCUUCGGAGGUCCCAGGAAUUCCCGGGGCGCACGUACGUGCCCUGGAAAUUGCCGGCGAAGGCUUGGACCAAAUCAUCCCAGUUGGAGAUCUGCCCCGGAGGCAGGUGCUCCAACCAGGCACGAGUAGUGUCGGAGAGGAACAGGGGGAGGUUGCGGAUGAUGAGGUUGUCGUCGUCCGUUCCACCCAGUUGGCAGGCCAGGCGGUAGUCUGCGAGCCACAGUUCCGGACUCGUUUCCCCCGAGUACUUCGUGAUAGUAGUCGGGGGUCGGAACCGGGCCGGGAACGGCGCCCGUCGGAUGGCCCGACUGAAGGCCUACGGACCGGGUGGUUCGGGCGAGGGACUCCGAUCCUCACCGCUGUCGUAGCGUCCCCCACGCCUGGGGUGGUAGCCUCGGCGCACCCUUACGUCGAGGUGGGCCCGACGGUCGCGACGAUGGUGCUCGUUGCCGAGGUGGCCCGGGGCCGCAGGCGCGGUGUUGCGCGUGCGCCCGGUGUAGACCGAGGCUCCCUGCAUGAAUCGGGAAGUCGCGACAUGAGGUUCCGAGGGGUAUCCCUGCCUUCGGGAGGCAGAGCUCUCGGCCCGUCGGGCCGCAGCGCCUUCCAGGAGAUUCUUGAGCUCUCCCUGGAUUCGCCGACCCUCGGUGGUUGAUGGCUCCGGCAUCGCGCGGAGGAGCAUCGCUGCGGCUGCCAGGUUCUGAUCGACCCCGCUGGAUGCGGGUGGCGGCCUGACCCUGACGUCGUUGGCGAUGCGGUGCUGGAAACCCUGGGGCAGGUGACGUAUUUCUCCGGCCGGGGGUUGGCCCGCCCAUACCUGCCCGACGUCCCGGCGGAUCGACUCAAGCGCUCCUGCUCCCUCGUCGAGCCUGGCCUGCGCCCCGCGGACUUGCUCGAGCUGUGGGUCGUGACCCCCCGCCGGAACGGGGACCACAGCUAGCUCCCGCGGGAUGUCAGCGCGAGGCACCGGCCUAGGGAGAUCACCGUCCUCCGGCAUGCCGAGAUGGUUGCCUUCGGAGGGAUCCCCUAGCUCGACGUGGAAACAUUCGCGGCUUGGGCCGCAGUCCUCGUCGUCAAGGCUGCGGCUACCGUCGGAACAGUCGGAGAGGCAGUAGUCACAUGCGGUCAUAAAGUCCCGCAUGGCACUGGGGUUGCCAAAUCCAGAGAAAUCCCAACAGAUGCUGGGAUCGUCAUCUUCCUCGGACCCAGAGGGCCCGUAAGUCGAGACGUCCGUCAAUCGGUCCCAAGGCGACCGCAUACGAAACCCCAGAGGGGUUGCACUCGCCUCAACGAGAGCGCCCGCCAAAGCGAGGUCGCUAGGCGGGUUGAGGCCGAGUCGAAAUGACGUAGGAUGGGAAUCAGUCAGUACCUUUUGGUCGACGAGGAGCGACAUAGUCACGUCGGGGACUGAUUGCACCGUCGCCUUAGGUACGAGGGCGACGUCCUGCAAGCCCUCCGCGAGCGCGCUGGCGUCGUCCACUUGCUCGGGAUUGGUGUGUCGCGGGGGGACGGCACUCGCCUUCGUCUCAAACGCGAGGUCGACGCCCGACGCGCCCCCCGUUGGGGCGCUGGGGACGUCGAUUCGCUCGACAGCCGACGAAGCGCGGCCUCCCGCUUGGCCUUGGUUGCCCCGCCUCCUCCUCCGUUGGCGGGGGAGAGGACGGGGCGAGCUCGAAUGUUGUUCUUCCACCACGCGGGGAAGAUGUCGUCGAUUCCGCCGCCGGCGGGCGGGUUGUCGUUGUCGCGCGGCGGUGGAAGGAGUAUCAUGUCGUAGCUGCUGUCGAAGGACAUGAACUCAAGACUCCCGAAACGGAGCACCAUCCCGGGCCGGAGAGGUUGCUGGAGACUGCCCAUCUGGAGCUUGACGGGAAGCUGUUCGUCAGCACGCAGCAGGCCCCUACCUGGCGCGCCAACUGUCGGCGUCUCGAGACCGGGGGGUCCCUAAGCCGACGAGUGAGUGUGCCGCGUGCCCCAGCCCAGAUGGGUCGAGCGUGUGGGCGAGCGCGAAGGGGGGAAGUGAGGUGGCCGGAGACGGGCGUGAGAGAGGUGGAAAUCCCGCGGCCUUCGUGUUCGUCCCGCGCCCAGGUCGGGUGCGCUUGCAGUAGGGGGUUACAAGCGUCCACGCGGGUGAGGGAAGCGAGCGGCCCCAAGAGAGCGCCUGUCCCGUCCUCGUCCCCGCGCGGCCAACCUUCUCUAAGAAGGCCCUGGUCCUUCCUUUUAUAGGCGUAAGGAGAGGAUCCAGGUGUACAAUGGGGGUGUAGCAGAGUGCUACGUGUCUAGCGGGGGAGAGCUAGCGCCCUAAGUACAUGCCGAUGUGGCAGCCAGAGAGAUCUUGGCACCCAGUCGGUGUGAUGUCGUGGCCGUCGGAGGAGCAACGGAGCGUGGCGGAGGGACAGCUGUCGGAGCGGUCGAGUCCUUGCUGACGUCCUCCUGCUUCCGUAAGAGAGCUGAGAGCCGCCGUCGUCACAGGGCACGUGGGGCGCCAUCAUUGCCUAUCUGGCGGAGCUAGCCAGAUGGGACACCGGUCUUGUUCUCUGCGGCCCGAGUCGGCUCGGGGUAGGGUGAUGAUGGCGCUUCCUGUUGACGUGGCGGGCCCGCGCCCGAGGUCGGGCGACGUGGGGGCUCCUCCGAAGCCGGGGUUGAGUCUGUCUUCCGUGGCCGAGGCCGAGCCCGAGCCCCGAGGUCGGGCGAGGCGGAGGUCGUUCGGCAGAGGCCGGGGCGGAGUCCGAGCCCUAGGGUCGGGCGAAGCGGAGUUUGUCGUCUUCUGGGGCUGAGCCCGAGUCCGAGCCCUGGGUCGGGCGGAGCGGAGUUCGUCGUCUUCUGGGGCUGAGCCCGAGUCCGAGCCCUGGGUCGGGCGGAGCAGAGUUUGCCGUCUUCCGGGGCUUAGCCCGAGUCCGAGCCCUGGGUCGGGCGGAGCGGAGUUCGACGUCUUCCGGGGCUUAGCCCGAGUCCGAGCCCUGGGUCGGGCGGAGCGGAGUUCGCCGUCUUCCGGGGCUUAGCCCGAGGCCGAGCCCUGGGUCGGGCGGAGCGGAGUCCGCCGUCUUCCGGGGCUUAGCCCGAGUCCGAGCCCUGGGUCGGGCGGAGCGGAGUUCACCGUCUUCCGGGGCUUAGCCCGAGUCCGAGCCCUGGGUCGGGCGGAGCGGAGUUCGCCGUCUUCCGGGGCUUAGCCCGAGUCCGAGCCCUGGGUCGGGCGGAGCGGAGUUUCCUAUGGCGCCUUUGGCAAGGCCUGACUGCCUGUCAGUCUCACUCUGUCAAGUGGCACUGCAGUCGGAGUGGUGCAGGCGGCGCUGUCCUUCUGUCAGACCGGUCAUUGGAGCGGCGAAGUGACGGCGGUCACUUCGGCUCUGCCGGGGGGCGCGCGUCAGGAUAAAGGUGUCAGGCUACCUUUGCGUUAAAUGCUCCUGCGACUCGGUCGGUCGGCGCGACGAUUUAGUCAGGGUUGCUUCUUAGCGAAGGCAAGGCCUCGGGCGAGCCGGAGAUGUGUCCGCCGUUAAGGGGGGCCUCGGGCGAGACGGAAACCCCUCGGGGUCGGCUGCCCUUGCCCGAGGCUAGGCUCGGGCGAGGCGUGAUCGAGUCGCUCGUAUGGACUGAUCCCUGACUUAAUCGCACCCAUCAGGCCUCUGCAGCUUUAUGCUGAUGGGGGUUACCAGCUGAGAAUUAGGCGUCUUGAGGGUACCCCUAAUUAUGGUCCCCGACAAUAAUUGUCCACCAAUGUGUCAUGCAAUCGUCUAAACACAGUUCGUCGCAUGCGAAACAUAUCGAAGCAGUCGUUACUAUUCUCCAACGUUCUCUCCACCCAUUGAAUACCAGUUUCAACCAAUGUUCUUCUAGGAACCUGACUGAAAGUCCUGCCCCAAACGUCUACAGCACAUAUAGCAACCACCAAAUCUGCAUCUCUGUCAUCCAUUUCAUUAUCAAAUGUGUGUGCAGCAGGGUCAGACAUCUGCAUGCACACAAAAAACAGAGACAUAUUCAUAUGUAACCACACUUUAUAAGUCACAUAUUAAUGUACAACCACAGUUUACAAGCCACAUAUAUUCAGUAUUAAAAGGAGACAGAAAGUUCACAGAUUCACAUUGUUCACAAGCUAACAACUCUGAUUAUUCAAAUACAAGUUCAACUCGAAUAUCUGGAAAACUGUUUGUAAGGGAAAAUGAAGCGCACGACAAGUUUAUUCCUCACAACAAUGAAACGACAACACUCAUUAAACAGACAGAAACAACGAUAAUACUGAACAUAAGCCUCUGUUGUCGGACGACCAACAGCUAAGUGCACUUUUUAAGAUCUAUCUCGUAAGCAUUGCGAAGCCAAGCGAUCCUUCCUUCUUUUGUCUGCAAGUUUGCAAAAACAUCUCUAUACUUUUUCUCAAUCAAUGGAUGAGUGGCAAAUAAAUGUAGUUGGCUGCCUUCUGGUGAUCCAUCAUCCAUAACUUGUUGCAACUGCUUUUUAAUCUCAAGUCGAACUGGGUCAUUGUCAGCAGAGGUAAUGGACUUGUUAGUGGUCAUUGAACGCGACUCAAAAGCCUCCACUAGUCUUCUCAUGUACUCUUCCCUCGAAUCUUUUUUCUUCUUUGGUUUAGGAGAAUCAUGCCGCAUCUUACGCUUCCCACUUGCAUUUGUGCAGGGGUCAGGUGUGUUGUUUUCACCCCCACCUAAAGUGGCUUCGAAAUGAUCAUCAUAUGAUGAAUUAGCAUCCUCGACGCCAGGAACCAGGGUUCUUUCAUUUGUGCAGACAAUGGGUCCAAACAUAACCUUUAGCUCGUCCUCAUUCUCUAGGGGCUGUUUUGAACAUAAUACAACCUGGCAUUGCCUGCACCAACAUGGUAGUUCCUAGUUUGAGAUGGCCAUUACUAUUGUUAGUCUACCAAAAAAAAAGAUCUACUUACUUCAUUUUGCUUGGCCCACCACUCAUCUGGCGCACUGAUUGAACCAGUAUGAGGGUCUCGACCAAGACUUGUAGCCCUUUCAUUUAGAGUUUUCCACUGGGUGAACAUUCUCUUCAACGAGUCCCACCUAUUCUUCAUUUGAUCCCUUGUGUACGUGCGACCAGUGCGUUCCUUAAACUUUCUUAUCAGGUUAGCAUACCCUUCGGCGUUUAGGAAUUGUUGUGGCCUGUUCCGCGCAUUGACCUCUUCUACACAUAUUUCUAUGUAAAUUUUUGUUGCUCUACUAUCCCACUUAGCAAUGACUUUGCCAGACUUGUCCAUCUAGUGCAAAACAAGUGUAGACGAUUGAAAAUAUGUAUUGAAGUGCAGUUACUACGACAACAAAAUGAACACGUAAUAAUAACAUAAGGUAUUACCUUAAGGAGUCACAUUCGUUUGGCAUAAUUACAUAUAUAGACUGACCAAAUUCAAGUGCUGGUGGACACAAAAGCAUAGGGAACACUUCAGAACUGCGCAGGAAGCAAAAGGCUGAUCUAUCCCUGUUACCCUAACACCUGCCUCUAACAAGUUCUAACUUAAACUUCAUGACCUCUAACACCUGACUCUAACAAGGUCUAACUUAAACUUCAUUAUGACUAAACGAUGGCAUCUGGUCUGAGUCAUAUUCAAGACCCCAGAAGUUUUCAAAGUGCUCAGCAAAGUCCCAAUCUGGACUAAGGUACUCGUCAGCUGGGGGUGGUGAGGACAAGGCUGACGGUUCGUAGCUGCUGUCACCCGGGUUGUUUACGUUGUUCACGUUGUCCAGAUUCUCUUGCAACACCAGAGAGUCUUGCUCAAGCAUGCAAGCAAUGUCCUCCAAUGCUACACGAAGUUUGGUAGCCUCAAAAGAGGUCAACCCGCGUCCUGGACGGAUUGUUUCUCGAGCUACGGAAAAUAUCUUGUCCGCAAUCUCUUGCAUCCUCCCAAUUGCCUUGUCGGCUAUGGAGUCUGCUGAAUCCAUCUGAUGUGGAUUUAGGUUGUUAGUGAACUAACAAGGGGAUACUAACUUGCAUGUAUUGACAUCAAUUGCGUUCUAACAUGGACAACAUUUGGUUGAAGCUACCAUAGAGGUACUAAGAAAUAGAGUAUGAACACGUACUAUUAACAAACUUGUUGUGAACAAACAAACUAACAAGUCAUGACUCCAGAAAUAAUAGUGUUAUACAACAGAACAAUGGUAAUCCCUGUAAACCGUAAACAAAAAUUUGUUCACCCAUGGGGACUCUAACAAUUUGUGUAUCAAAUUACCUUGGCUGUUGUUGAUCUUGGAAGCGAAGACGCAGACCCCGAGUUGGUACAGAUUUCUGAAGGCCACAAUGAAGGAAAAUUGAUUUACUACGUCGUGCAUAGCGUUUAGAUGAACUCAAGUAGUAACUGGCUUCGGAUCGAGGCGAGCAACAGCCUACCUGGGAGGAUGCCGAUGCGACGGGGGGUACCAGAGGAAGACGGAGCGACGUCGCCGGUGUGAGUGAGCCAACCCUAGGGACAGUAAACGGUCAAGUCUCCCACCGCGGCGAAGGUGGAGAAUGAGAGGGCUCGGAUGGAGGAAAGAGCUCAUGUACCUCCGACGACGGGGGAAGAAGGUUCCUUCGCGACGGGUCUCAGGCUUCGACGAGGGUGCACGAACCCUAGCGAAGACGGGAUUGAGACACGGCAGUGGGGAGGAGAACCAACGGACUGGAAGGACGAGUUCGUCGAGGAGUCGCCCGUACCUGUGAAGACGACGUUGCGGGGAGGAGAUCGACCGGCGUCGGUCCGUUGGGUGCGCAGCGGCGGCGGGUUCGGUUGGCGGCGGCAGAGGCGCGUUGCGUCGCCUAAACCCUAGCGAAGUGGGCGGGGGCUUCCGUUAGAAGCGAACUGAGGGCCGCUUCGUGCGGACUGUGGCCGCUCGGCUUCUAACUGAAGCGCGGCGCGCGGAAGCGAAGCGAGAAUUUCUGCGUUUGGUUGCAGCUUCUGCUUCUAGCGGCCAGAAGCCGCCCACAAGCUGAACCAAACAGGGGCAUAGUAUAUGGGAUGACUGAAUGACAUUUGGCCUGUUUGGUUCAGCUUUUUCUGACCAGCUUUUCCGAGAAUCUAACUGUGGGGAAAAUCUGGUUGUGUAGAGAAUCUGAGUACAUUAUAAUUACAUGCGGAGGAAGAUAAAGUUGUCUAUGGGGCUCAGGAUCUAUAAAGUGACGGAUUACUACUAUUGCAACGACUCAACUGAUUAUAUGUUUAUGUUGAUUUUGAAUGGUUUUUACUUAAACGAAUUUUAUAGAAGCUGGCUGAAAAGCUAAGUGUUUGGCAGUCCGCAUCAGCUUUUGGUGGCCAGAAGCUGCGAAAAGCCGAAACAAACAGGGGCAUUGUUAUCUGCUCUCAAUAUUGUAUGGCACCACUUUUAUGUAGGGAUGGCAACGGGCACAUUUUACCCGCGUGCUCGCGGGUAAAAACCCUAUAGAGUGCGGUUUUGGGUGUGAGUUUGUACCUGUGGGUACGGGUACGGGUUUAAUUCCCAACCCAAUGGAUUUUUUCUCGUGGGUAUGAAAAUGUUGUAGCCGUGCCCGUAAACCCGCAUACCCGCGUGUGUGUCUGUGUAGACUGUAGAGCACAUGCAUCUCAAUUUAGUGCCACCUCGAAAGCUUUGAGCGAGCGAAGCCAAUCAAAUGAUAUGAAAGAAGACUACAGGCGCCAGGGAACUCGUAGAACUUUUGGCUAAGAUCGGUACAUGUUUUUAUCAGUUUAAUAAAUAUUUAUUAUUAUGUGCUAUCGGUUUAAUAAAUAUUUAUUAUAUGACUGUGCCCGUGGGUGUACCCUUGGGUGCCAUAAACCCGCGGGUAGCGGGUUUUGGUAACAUAAGCUACCCGUCGCGGGUAGCGAGUGCGGAUACGGGUUUAACAUUAAUCUCGCGGGUACGAGUUUGUAAUCUCUGUACCCGCGGGUUUUAAACCCGUUGCCAUACCUACUUUUAUGUAUAUGCCCCGAUUUCUCUAGUACUCUACUCUGUCAUAUUCUAAGCAUCUCAUGUCAUGUUGGCCUAAAUGUAAUGAAUUAGUUGAACUCUCAUCUAAUAGUCUUAAUUCAUUGUUUUCACACUAAUCUUUUGUAUUUUUUAUUAAAUCUAAAAUUUAUGUUACAUAUCCUCUAACCCAUUGAACAAAGGCAUAUAUAUUAGCAUUUUUUAAAAAUAUCGAAUAAAUAUGUAAUUUUCAGAAACGGUUGGAAGAGGCCCUAACCAUUUUCAUUUCUGAUUUUUCUACCGGUUUCAUUUCCAUAUUUUUGGUAACUAUUUUUGUUUUCUUUUUAAAUUUUAAUAAAACUUCGAAAACAAUUCUCGAUAACCAAAAAAUAUGUUUUCUGUCUUCACCCCUAGUUACACUUUCCCAACUCUCAUAAUUAAGUUUAUUCUUUUCAAAUUUGAUUGUCCAUAUACUCUUGAAUAUGACCUCUUUGCUUUAAUCUAUCUUAAUUCUCAAUCAAACGUGAUGCAGGCGGAUAUAUUUUUCCUAGAAAAUAUUUUUUUAUUCCUAUCUCCACAUAAGUAUAUUAUCAUAACUAUAGAUGUAAUCGCAUCAGUGUUACUCAUUCUCUAUAUUUGUUUCUUCGGAUUCAAAUCAAAUACGAAUACUAUCAAGUAACGUCGAAUAAUAAGAUUUGAAUAGAUAUCAACAUCUUCAAUUACCUAACUUUAAGUGUACAUAUUAGAUACUGAAUACCCGGAUUCGGAUUAGAGCUCAGCCACUUUUACGAAUCGAAUUCGAGUACAAAUGAAUAAUAUAUGUACUGUAACACCCCUGGUGUUACUGUCACUAAAACUUGAGCAUAACAUCAUGAGCAUUGGCAUAUCAUGUGUUUGUUACACCUAGAGUGCAUUCACUAAGUAAAAAAUUCAAAUUAGUUGUACUGAUGUGACUUGAUGUGUGGUUAACCCUAGGAUAAAGUGCUUAACCUCAGAUCAGGGCUUAUCGAUAUAAGUGAAGCCCAAAUAUGUGAAAACCUCAAAAGACAUGAGACAUGAUCCUAAGAUAUCAUCUUGGAAGGACUUUAGUGACACCAAAACCCUAAAGUGCUAAAAACCCUGAAAAGACCCCCUGAAAAACCCUAAACUAGAACCUUAGGGGGCUAAGUGUAAAUUUUGUGCACUUUUGGACCCAAGUGCAAAAACCAAAGUAUUAGAACACCACAAAUCAUAUGUUUUACACAUUUGAGGAUUUGCAAAUCAAAUUAUGAGAUUUGGACUUAUUUGCAAAAAGCACCACUUAAACCCUACAGGGUUAAGUCUGAAAUUCAGUGAACUUGAGGCAUAUUUGGAGCCUUAUAUCUCUUAAUCCAUAAAGAAUUUGCCUAGGGUCAAUACAUCAAAUUUGAAGAGAUACUAAAGGAGUAUAACUUUGUUUAAGUCAUCAGACACAAGUGUUGUGCAAAAGUUGGAGUUAAAUGGACUCAAAGUUGGGCUGUCAGUCAGCUCAGGGUCUGAACUUUUACUAACAGUGACUUGGGAUGAACUUUAGGAGCUCUUUUGAAGAUAAUCCAGUAAGUAUUCGAGUAUGGUUAUUAUAUCAAGAUUGUAGCUGGAUUGUAGGGCUAGAAAUUUGUUACAAGUGGAUUAGCAAGUUCUCACAUAAAAGUUAGAGAUCUGGGCGCUGCAAACAUCUUUGUCAGAUGAUCUGAAUGGUGUUCUGAUAGUACAGUAAACUGAAGAAGAUCCCUGGUGCAGUGCACCUUGCCGCCGGUGACCCCCGCGCCUGGAUUCGUGUCGGCGAGGUGAUUCGUGCUCACUGGUGCCCGGAUAACACUUCAGGGUAAAAAGAUCUUCGCCGCGGAUGACGCCAGGGGCUGGCCACCAUACCCCUUGCUUUACGGCCGACUCAGAUAAGCUCACCGGAGUCGGCCGCCUGCCGAUCGGGUGCCACAUGCCUUGAAGCUUCACCACGUCGCAGUAAGCCGCUCUAUAUCGCUGGCUCGUCGCCGGUAAGGCUGCCACGGUGAAAGACACACAGCUAUUACGCCAGUGCUCUUCCCUCUCUCCGACCGCCAGCACGCCAUGACCAAAUUGGGAGCCACCGCUCUGGGAUACUUUAAAUUGAGCACACCCCUAGCUCCGUUAAGUCAUCACGAAGCCAAAGCAUCCGCUACUGCCUCCAAUUAGCCACCAGAGAGCUCCAAUUUCUUUCUUCCCCAAAUCAGUUUUCCGCACCUGUGAACACCUCGUCGUGGCCAGACGCCUACAGGUUAGUUCAAGCAUCCUUGCUUGAUGUUCUAGCCUCCAUUAAGUCUCCUGCUACUCAUAGACCUGUUUAAUUGAACUAGACUGCCCUGGAUCGCCAUGAACACGUCAAAUUGUUCUCAGUUUCCGCCGUCAUCGUGGAUAGAGAGAUUCCGACCCGGAUUAGCGCAAUUGAUGGAGGGGAAAUGGUUAUUAGGGGUCAAAUUAGGUGUCAACUGCUCUAGAGCAUCGGUCAUUGCGUAUCUUGGCCGGUACAGGCUCGCCGGAGCCACUGCUCCGCCGUCCAUGGUCGGGGACCUCACCUUGCAAAGAAAUAGAAAAGGGAGGGGCCUUAAUGGAGAUGUCAGUGAGACAGAGAAACAGUAGAGAGGAGUCUUUACGAGUUAUUCGAACAGUCAGGGUCCUCUGUGCAAAGACGCCAGCGCGGGCGCGCGCGAGUGUGUUCUACCUGUAUUGGGCUAACUCGGGCUAAAUUGAGCCCAUCACUGUUGAUGUUUUUUCCUUUUCUUUUUCUGCCAGACUUAGGAAAUCCAUAGAAAAUUAUAGAAAAAUGAUAAAAAUAUGAAACUAAUUUUUUGGACUCCUAGAUUUCUCUAUUAUUUAAUAAAAAUAGUUCCAGGAUUUUUAGUCCAAACAAAGAAUUAAUCAGUAUUUAAAAGAGCUUUAACAUAUACCUCUAGAAUUUUAAGAAUUAUUUAAUAGUCCCAAAAAUCAUAAAACUUUUUGGGUGAACUUAUUUUGGUACUUAGAACCCAUGGGUAAAGUUUGAUAUGCUUUGGACAUUGUUUGAGUCUCAAACCCAAAACCCUAGUUCCUUAGGGUAAAAAUGUCUAACCCUACUAAGGCACUAACCUAGAAAAACCCUAGUUACCCUAGUGCACCGUGAAGGAAAGUUGUAUUCAAGAUACAACUUGAUACAUCUUUUAUAUUAUUGCAUUUUCAUAAGCAUUACAUAAGCAUUCAUGGUUAUAUAUAGAGAAUGAGGAAGAAGUGACUGUUGAAGAGGAAGAAACUACUCCAUCAACAGAAAAUCCACCUGCCGGGAACUGUUUUUACUUUGACAUCUAGUGCAUUUGCCACCUCCUUGCUAUUUCAAACUCUUUAUCACUUGAAUGAUGCAUUAGGUGAUAGGAGUUGGGUGUUAAACCAAUUGAUGCAUUUCCUCCCUUGGAACUGUUUACCAUUCCUUGAUUACCUGUUUUUCUUAAAAGGAUUUUCUUAUGCUUAGUCCUGCUUUAGAAAAGCAAAUGUUUUGUUUUAAAAAGGUGAUGCUUCACAAUGGAUGGGAUGUUUUCAAAAAUAAAACUUGAUGGUGGAUCCAUCAUGGCCAUGAUGGGUUCAACAUCGAAAAGGAUGUACCUCUGCCAGGUACCAAACUUUGGGUUUUAAAUGAUAAAGCUGAGACUGGGCGGGUGACUUGCACGAGAAGAGAGUCUCGGUGUAGUGUCUCCGUCUAAGUCGAUUAAGGACCUUGUCGAUGUAGGCCUGAUGACCGAGGACCCUUUAACUGGUCACAUGCCUCAUCAUGGGUAAGCUAUGCCUUGGGCAGACUAAUACCAAAAAGGCCAACACGCAAUGGGAGUGGAGAGAUGGCGAGAGUAGUGUGUACCCUCCGUGGCAAGAGGCUGGACGGUGGUGUAUCUGUGCUCUCAUUUGGCAUGAACCCAGUCUGGUCUUAAGAACCCCGGUGGCGAGUUGACAUAUGCAAGGGUUAAGUGCUACAUAUGUCGUGUGAUUGGAGAUCCCCAGCUGGGUAUUAAUCGAUUUGGAUCGCCGUUAGUUCUCGAACAUGAAGACUUGGUCACUGACUUACAUGUAGCAUUCUAGUGAACAAGAAGGGUUGAUAAAAGAAUGGCUAGUAUAGGCCAAGUGCUUGAACUAGGGUAGUAAGAACUCUAGUGACAGGCAAUGACUUAACUUGCUAAUAAAACUGGAUUUUUAAGGAUUCACUAUUAGUAAGCAUUUUUGCAAACAGAGUCUUGAUUCUUGAUUAAGCCUUACCUUGACUCCCUAAAGCCAGCAUAUCCUUGAGAGUAUUUUAUUUUGACGGGUAAGACUUGCGAAAGUACACUUCGUACUCAGGGUUUUCGAACCCAUGUUGUUGUAGGUGAGGAAACAACAGAAUUUUGUUGUUUUUGCACUAAGGUGGUGCCCAAGGACGAACAUGAACAGUAACAUGGUUGCGGAAGGACGUGGUCCUUCCUUUUGAAAAACAAUAUACUUUUAUGCGGGAGGGGUUUUUGCCUCCCAGGGUUGUAAUAAUAAUACUUAUGCACUCUUAUGACCUGGUGAUGUAAUAAUAAUACUCUUUCUAUAUUUUAGUGAAUGUAAAUUAAGUUAUUGUAAUUCGCUUCUGCUUAUUCGUUCCUCUGAUAUGUUGUAAUAUAUGCGUGACGGGAGAAAUACUCUUGGGAAAGGAAAAGGAUACAGAUACCGAACUUGUCAAGUGCUUAUGUGCAUCUACAGGGUUACCCAAGGUCCAUUGGACAAGGACAACUAUAGGUGGGCCUAAUGACUUAGGAGGUUCCGUCACAGCUGGUAUCGGAGCGAAGUCCAUCUCUUCAUAUAUUAUGAAGCAUUUCAAGAAGAAUUUUCAGAUACUUAUCCAAGAAAAUUUCUUUCAUUCUUACCUUGCCACUUUCUGGAAGUACUCAUCUUGCAAGACCAGGUAAUAGAGUGCAAAAUAGGGGAAGUAGGAUCAAUAAAGGUUGAUUAUGUAAUUAUGCAUGCAUCAUGUUUAAAAACUAUACUAAUAAAUUUUCUCCCUUAUGGAGAUAUGCUACGUACGAGGAAAACCGCGCGUAAGUCCACUGGACCCAUUGGCGUGCCUCGUCAUCAAUUAGCUCCAAGACAUGAAGGGAGCAGCAGCGGCAGCAACGAUCCAAUCGGAGACUUGGAGGCCCAAGUGGAACAGCUUCGGACAGAGCUACGUCGCCGAAACAGGGUGUGGGCAGAAGACAGUCAGCGUAUAGCUGAGUUGUCAGCCAAAGUCGGCCGCUUGCGGUUUGAGCUCUCCGAACGAGACUCGACCAUUGAUUGGGCCAUCAACUCGCGCUCGAUCGCUUGGCAUCGUGAAGCAAAAGCUCGAGCUUGUGUGGAUGAGCUCAGCACGACCCUUGAUAACCUGCAAGUAUAUUGUAAUACUCUACAUGAGGAAGUACAUGUACUGUAUGGUCGACUACACCCGGACGUGCCUGUCGACCCUGUUGCAAUGGGAACCGAACCAUCGGGGACAACAGGUGAAGGACCUGAUGGGGAACUGGAUCUUUUUAAGCCCCCUCCUUCUAUGAACCUGGCUGAUGAGCGAUCUCCAGCAGCAGACAGUGAAGCAACAAAAGAUAACGAAGACUAGACUAGUAUAGUUUAGGAACUAUACCUAUGUAAAAUAGGUAAUGAAGUCAUGUUGUACACUUGAGUCUGUAUCAUUACAUCUUGGUAAUGUAAAAUGAUGGUAUAUCAGCAUCUUAUAUUUUCCCCAAAUGUUUCUUUGCCUCAGAUGCCAUCAAGGACUCGUGCACAUGACGGUGCGGGUACUUCCCGCGGCCGGGAAGAUACUCCUAAUCCACCACCUGUACCACCAACGCUGACCGAGGCUAUCGCUGCCUUGGUCAAUGCGACUACAGAUAAUACUCACUUUCUACGUGAAAUGGCGAGUAAUCAAUUCCAGCAGCAUGGCGGAAGGGCUCCUCCCCAAGGACCGCGUGAAACCUUAUACCUGGACUUCUCUGAAACGCGUCCCCCACUCUUUGUUAAAGCUGAAGAUCCUCUUGAAGCUGAUGAGUGGAUCAGGGUAAUGGAGCAUAAGUUCGGAUUAAUCCACUGCACCAAAACAUAGAAGCCAUUGUUUGCCGCCCAACAACUAAGAGGUCCUGCCAGUACUUGGUGGGGAAAUUUUGUGGCAGUUCAACCAGCCGGACAUCAUGUCACCUGGGAUGAAUUUAAGUUGGCAUUCCGUGAGCACUAUAUUCCAGAAGGGGUGCUUCACAUGAAACAAGAGGAGUUUAUUCGACUGAAACAAGGAGGGGAUACUGUGAUGCAGUACAACAACAACAAUAACAAAGCCUUUUUGUCCCAAGCACGUUGGGGUAGGCUAGAGAUGAAACCCCAUAUGAAAACCUCAGAGCUCAACCCCCAAAGAAAAGAAAAGGGAGACAAAGGCAAAGGAGAACCGAAAAACGACGAAACAGGGAAACACAUAAAAAGAGAUAAAACCCAUAAGAACUAGCAAGAUCUAAAGGGCACAAGAAAAGGUCAAACGAUUAAGGAGGAAAAGCAAAACUACAAAUUAGGGUUCUGGCACGUGAAUUGCACACUUCCACCCCUUCCUAUCCACGUCAAGCUCUUUAUCAAUAUUUCACUCCUUCAGGUCCCUCUUCACAGCCUCUGUCCACGUCAAGGUUGGUCGACCUCUACCUCUCUUCACAUUCUUGGGACGCCUAAUUAUUCCGAUAUGCACUAGUGUCUCUUCAGGUCUUCAUUGGAUAUGUCCAAACCAUCUCAAACGAUGUUGCAUAAGCUUCUCCUCAAUUGGCGCCACUCCUACUCUCUCUCGUAUAUCAUCAUUCUGGACUCGAUCUCUCCUUGUGUGGCCACAUAUCCAGCGCAACAUAUGCAUCUCUGCCACACUUAGUUGUUGGACAUGUCAUCUUUUAGUGGGCCAACAUUCUGCUCCAUACAACAUAGCCGACCGGAUUGCUGUCCUGUAGAAUUUUCCUUUUAGUUUUUGUGGCACCUGGGGGUCGCAUAAGACACCCGUAGCUUGCCGCCACUUCAACCAUCCAGCUUUAAUUCUAUGACUGACAUCCUCAUCGAUGUCUCCCUCCUUUUGAAGCAUUGAUCCUAAGUAACGAAAAGUGUCUUUCUUGGGUACCACUUGCCCAUCAAGACUAACAUCGCCAUCCUCAUACCCCAUGGCACUGAAAUCACACUUCAUAUACUCUGUUUUAGACCUACUAAGCCUAAAACCUUUUGCUUCCAGCGUCUGCCUCCACAAUUCCAACUUUUGCGAAACACCACUCCUACUCUCCUCAAUAAGUACCACAUCAUCGGCAAAAAGCAUACACCACGGUAUAUCUCCUUGUAUGUCCCUUGUGACCUCAUCUAUCACCAAAGCGAAAAGAUAAGGUCUCAAAGCCGACCCUUGAUGUAGUCCUAUGUUAAUUGGAAAGUCAUCGGUGUCUCCAUCACUUGUGUACAGAUCUUUAAUAAGAUUAAUAUACUUUGUUGAUACUUUGUGAUGCAGUAUCUCAACAAAUUUAAUCAUUUAUCCCAAUAUGCAAUUGACCAAGUAAACAUUGACAUGGAAAAGAAGAACUGCUUUAUGAGAGGACUCAGCGACCGGCUCCAAAGGAAAAUGGCCACCUGCCUAGAUAUUACAUACAGCAGGGCUGUCAGCACGGCGCUGGCAGUAGAAGCCAAGAAUACAGGCCAAGGAAAAUCCAAGGGAUUUGGAGGUGACAGGUCCAAUCAGGGACCUGAGAAGCGAAUAAGGUUGGUAAUCCGACCUUUCAAUCAGAAUCGUUCUUCGCCUCGUUCACCCUCCUAUCCAUUCAAACAACCUGUUUUCAUCCGCCCUGCCACUGCCCCCACUUCUACAAAUUAGUCGAGUGCCCCUGGUGCUCGUUUCCCCGCCCUCCCUAGUUCCUCAACUGGCUGCUUCAACUGUGGGAAGUCUAGUCAUUUUAUAAAAGACUGUCCAUAUCCGAGGCAGAAUAAGUCUAACAAUCAGCAGAACUCUGGGAGCUCUGAUCAAGGCAAGGGAAACUUGGCAAUUAAUUUAACAUGCAAAAAUGUGAAGAAGACUGGGCGAAUUUAUUACACUCAAGUAGCCACUACACCGGAAGGAGAGCCGGUAAUGAUGGGUACGUUCCUUGUGUCCAAUCAUCCAGCAGUCAUUCUCUUUGAUUCUGGCGCUUCGUAUACAUUCAUAAGCAAGAAAUUUAUGGAAAAAUAUUGCAUUCCUUGCAUUGAAUCCAGAGAAGGGUUUAUUAUUCAUUCGCCUGGGGGACAAAUAUUUACUAAGGAAGUAGCCUUUCAUGUGCUAGUAACAUUGGUUGAACGAGAUUUUCCCACCAACAUGAUUGUUUUGAAAGGCCAAGAUAUAGAUGUAAUUCUAGGCAUGAAUUAGUUAGCCCAGCAUAAAGCUAUCCUCAACACUGACUUAAGGACUAUCAAGUUGAGCCAUGGCCAUGAAGAGGUUCUCUUGUCCAUCCCUAUAGCUGUCCCAGCCAAACCAUUUCGACGGGUCUAUGAAGCUAUUAUACCAGAAAUCCAGGAUAUUCCGGUAGUAUGUGAAUUUCUGGAUGUAUUUCCUAAAGAUUUGCCUGGAUUACCUCCAGAAAGGGAUGUAGAGUUUGUGAUUGAAUUAAAGCCCGGUAUAGCCCCUAUUUCAAGAAGAUCAUACCGGAUGCCCCCAAAUGAAUUGGCGGAGCUCAAGACGCAAUUACAAGACUUGCUUGAGAAGGGAUUCAUUCGGCCCAGUUCAUCACCUUGGGGAUGUCCCGCAAUCUUUGUCAAGAAGAAGGAUCAAACACUUCAAAUGUGCAUGGACUACAAACCCCUUAAUGAUGUCACAAUCAAGAAUAAGUACCCUCUUCCCCGGAUCGAUAUCCUGUUCGAUCAACUUACCGGAGCUCGGGUAUUUUCCAAGAUUGACCUCAGGUCGGGCUACCAUCAGAUCCGUAUUCGACCUGAGGAUAUACCCAAGACCGCAUUUACUAUGCAGUAUGGAUUAUUCGAAUAUUUGGUUAUGUCCUUCGGCUUGACAAAUGCUCCUGUCCACUUCACAUAUCUAAUGAACUCGGUGUUUAUGCCUGAGCUGGAUAAAUUUGUGGUGGUCUUCAUUGAUGAUAUAUUGAUCUAUUCCAAGACUGAAGAGGAGCAUGCUAAACAUUUACGGAUUGUAUUAACGCGCUUAAGGGAACAUCAAUUAUAUGCUAAAUUCAGCAAAUGUGCGUUUUGGUUGGAGGAAAUCCAAUUUUUGGGACAUGUAUUGUACAUAAAUGGGAUUGCGGUUGAUCCCAGCAAGGUCAAGGAUAUUCUUGAGUGGAAACCACCAACCACUGUACAUCAAGUUCGAAGUUUCCUUGGACUGGCUGGCUAUUACCGCAGAUUUAUCCCGAAUUUCUCCAAGAUUGUGAAGCCAAUCACAAGUCUAUUGAAGAAUGAUACAAAAUUUAACUGGUCCUCAAGAUGCAACGAAGCUGUCGGCAUUUCGACCCCGGGGGGUCCCUGGACCGACGAGUAAAUUGUCGCUGCGUGCCCCAGCCCAGAUGGGUCGGCGCGAGACGGAACACAAAGAGGGGAAGACCGUGACUUCGUGUUGUCCUACGCCCAGGGUGGAUGCGCUUGCAGUAGGGGGUUACAAGCGUUCGCGAGGGAGAGAGAGAGAGCCUGUCCGUCAGCCCGUCCUCCCGCGCGGCCACCUCCUCGUACGAGGGCCCUGGACCUUCCUUUUAUAGAUGUAAGGAGAGGGUCCAGUUGUACAAUGGGGGGGUGUAGCAAUAUGCUAACGUGUCCGGCAGAGAGGAGCUAGAGCCCUAUGUACAUGCCGACGUGGCUGUCAGAGAGGUGCUAGUGCCCUGUGCAUGUGAUGUCGUGGCCGUCGGAGGAGCGCUUGAGCCCUGUAGAAGCACAGCUGUCGAGGCUGUCGGGACCUUGCUGAUGUCUCCUUGCUUCUGUAGGGGGCUGAGAACCGCCGUCGUCAUGGGAGCACGCGGGGUGCCAUCAUUACUUGUUUACCGGGGCGAGCUAGAUGGGACGCCGGUCUUGUUCCCUGUAGCCUGAGCUAGCUAGGGGUAGGGUAAUGAUGUACCCCCCUGUGGCGUGGUCGGUCCGAGCCCAAGGUCGGGCGAGGCGGUGACUCCUCCGAGGUCGAGGUUGAGGCCGAGCCCUGGGGUCGGGCAAGGCGGAGACCGUCUUCCGAGGUCGAGGUUGAGGUCGAGCCCUGGGGUCGAGCGAGGCAGAGCUUCCUAUGGCGCCUGAGGCUAGACUCGGCUGCUGUCAGCCUCACCCUGGCGGGUGGCAUAGCAGUCGGAGCAGGGCAGGCGGCGCUGUUUUCCUGUCAGGUCAGUCAGUGGAGGGGCGAAGUGACUGUGGUCACUUCGGCCCUGCCGACCGAGGAACGCACAUCAGGAUAAGGUGUCAGGCGAUCCUUGCAUUGAAUGCUCCUGCGAUACGGUCGGUUGGCGAGACGAUCUGGCCAAGGUUGCUUCACUGUGAAGCCUGUCCGAGCUAGGCCUCGGGCGAGUCGAGGGUACGCCUGUUGCUUGAGGAGGCCCUCAGGCGAGGCGUGAAUCUGCCUGGGUCUACUGUUCCUGCCCGAGGCUGGGCUCGGGCGAGGCGAGAUCGUGUCCCUUGAGUGGACGGAGCCUUGACCUAAAUUGCGCCCAUCAGGCUUCUGCAGCUUGUGCUGAUGGUGAUUACCAGCCGAGUUUAGGAGUCUUGGGGGUACCCCUAAUUAUGGUCCCCGACAGUAGCCCCUGAGCCUCAAAGGGAGUGUUGGUACUCGCUUGGAGGCUUUGUCGCACUUUUUUGCAAGGGGACCGGCCUUUCUCGGUUACAUUUUGUUCUGGUGGGUGCGCGCGAGCGCACCCGCCGGGUGUAGCCCUCGAGGCCUCAGAGGAGUGGUUUGACUCCUCCGAGGUCUUAUUGCCUUUCGUGACGCCUCGGCCGGUCUGGUUGUUCCCUCAUGCGAUCUGAUCGUAGCCCGGGUGCAUGGUCAGGUUCCGAGUUCUCGGGCUGGUAUGUUGACACUGUCAACGGUUUGGCCAGAGCCGGGCUUGCGAGAGCAGCCCCCGAGCCUCUGCACAGAGCGAGAGGACGGUCAAGGACUGACUCGGCUUUUAUCAUACGCCCCUUCGUCGCCUUUUCGCAAGGAGGAGGGGGGGGGGAAAGCGCCAUGUUGCCCUCGGAGGGCGUCGAACAUGGUGUCUCCAGUGAGUUGCUAACGGGUGAUCCGAGUGGACGCCCGUGCCCCGUUCGAUAAGGGUCGACUAGUGGCCCAGAGGCGCGCUCCAAAAGUACCUGCAGGUGAUUUGUCGGACCCGGUCCCGUUUGAUAGGGUCCAAGGGCUCGAUGCCUCCCUUUGAUGGGAUUCCGUUACAGAAUCGCUCCUGCUGGUCUCAGAAAUGUCCUAGGGUACCUCGGGAAAUGGCCAUGUAUCGGACGUACCCAGAGUCAUCCCUCGCUCUGCGUGUUCUGGGGCGGCUGUCGAACCCUUCGGGGGGCCAGCCUUCGAACCCCUGAUCAGUAGUGGGCGCAGAGCCCGAGUGCUUUGAGGCAGCUGUCGAACCCUUCCGAGGGGCCAGCCUUCGAACCUCUAAUCAGUAAUGAGCCUGAAGCCCGAGUGCUCUGGGGCGGCUGUCGAACCCUUCCGAGGGACCAGCCUUCGAACCCCUAAUCAGUAGGAGGGCUCGGGGCCCGCUUCCUUCACGGAGAAGGAUCCCUUUCGGAGUAUCACCUUUCCCGGUCCCUGUAGCAAGAGAGAGAAAGGGGAAGAGGAAAAUGAUACGAAAUUAAACGAUGUGGCGCACCUUUUUUGACGCGGUCAUCAUGGCGGAGGUGAAACGUCGCCCGCUUCACCUGCCAAAGGUGUCGCCUGCCCUGCCAAGAUCGUCGGCGUCACCUGCGCUUUGGGCCUCCGGCUCUUUGGCUUUAAUGUUUGGUUCUUGUCCUCCGUGAGGGGACGCGAACGAGAGGCUUCUAGCGGUAGCGUUCGCCCUGGGACCAUCGCUACUGCUGCAGAGGUCGCCGACGAGUCAUCCGGAGUUUGUCGUCCCGCAGGCCCUCCGAUGUGGGGGUUGUUCGUACCCGUGGGAGUGGAACCGGAGUUCCGUUUGUAAUGGCACCUUGAGUGCCGGUGUCUGUUCAUUGUGGCUGUCGGGGCCUGAACAUCUAGGUAUUUGGGUGCAAUACCGUGUUUUUUCCUCAUUUCGAGCACCAGGACUCGCCUGUCGGCUAGCUGAACCGCUUAACCAAGUGUGAGUUGCCCUGUGCGGAAGGUGACGAGUGAGGUAUCCGUAUCCCAGAGGCGUAGGAUUCCCUCAGCUCGGUCGACAUUGCCACCCAAGGCUUCUCUUGCUUAGUUAAAAAAACUCUCGGCCGCUCUGCGAUGAGCCGGAGCCGGAGGCAGCGGUGUCAGCGUGGACAGAGGCGGAGUCGGCUCGAGAAGAAGCUCUGUCGGCCCAGGAGCAGGUGACUUCCGAGGCCGAGGAGGCGUAGCAGCGGCUGCUGGAACCUGGCCAGGUCGUCCACUGGUGGGACCAACCCCAGAGUCAGGCUGCCGAGGCCAUGAGCCGGGCUGAUGUCCUCGGGGGACAGCUGGCUGAGGCUACGGAGCGGCCAGCCGAGCCGUCUGCUCGGGUCGGGUUCCUGGAGGAGACCCUGGCGACGAUGGCCCAGGCGCGGUGCUGACAUCUUCCUUCGAGGUGGAGAUCCUCCGCCCGUGUCGCCGUCCGAGGCCGGGCCAGAUUCCGCCGAAGGUGGAGACGACGCCGAGGGUGCUGCUGCUCCCUCUGUUGAUGUUUGAACCUGCAGGGACAGUUUGUCUGUAGUGCGCAUAUGUUUUUUGCGGCCGCCGAGGCCCAAACAUAUCAUUGUUGUGUUAUAAAGCUGCGUUUCUUUUCCUCUUGUUUCGAGUAUCAACACUUGUUUGUCGGUAGCAGAAUCGCUUAUCCGAGCGAGAGUUACUUAUCGCGGAAGGUGAUGAGUGAGGUAUCCGUAUCUCGGAGGCGUAGGAGUCCCUCGGCUCGGUUGGCCUCGCCGCUUAUGUGUACUCUUACUCGUCCGCAGGAUUCUGUUAUCGAUAUAGUCGAGAAGGCACGAAAAAACGUUUUGGCAGAAAAGUUUUCGAGCGUUAAGAUUUGUUCGGUCAGCAGAAUCGCUUAUCCGAGCGUGAGUUACUUAUCACAGAAGGUGAUGAGUGAGGUAUCCUUAUCCCGGAGGCGUAGGAGUCCCUCGGCUCGGCCGGCCUUGCCGCUUACGUGUACUCCGUCGUUUUCAGGAUCCCGCUAUCGAAGCAGUCAAAAAGCGCGAAAGAUGUUCUGGCAGAAAGACUUUUUCCGAGGAAAAUUUUGACGCAGAGGGGGUUCCCCCCUUCUAGCCCUCGAGGGAGGGUCGGGCUUUGCCGAGGCAAGGCUGACCCUUCCUUGAUGGUUAGACUCUAUUUGUGUAUGUAAAGAGAACAAGGUAUAUGAACGACUUGAAAACAUCUUAAGGGUAAAAGCGACGUAGCUGUCGGAUGUUCCAAGCGUUGCUGUAGACCUGCCUUGACUGUUGGCCAGCUUGUAUGUUCCGGGCUUCAAAAUCAUGGCGAUGAUGAAUGACCCUUCCUAGGGAGGAGUGAGCUUGUGGUGCCCUCGGGCGUCUUGUCGUAGCCGAAGUGCCAAGUCCCCCACCUGGAGGUCUCGGGACCGAACCCCUCGGGCGUGGUAGCGUCGCAGAGACUGCUGAUACCGUGCCGAGUGUAGUAAGGCCAUGUCCCGAGCCUCUUCCAGUUGGUCCAGUGAGUCCUCUCGGCUGGUCUGGUUGUUUCGGUCGUCGUACGCCUUCGUCCUCGGGGAGCCGUAUUCUAAGUCUGUGGGCAAGAUAGCCUCGGCCCCAUAGACUAGAAAGAACGGCGUGAAGCUCGUGGCUCGGCUUGGCAUCGUCCUCAAACUCCAGACCACCGAGGGGAGUUCCUUCAUCCAUCGCUUGUCGAACUUGUUGAGGUCGUUGUAGAUCCUUGGCUUAAGUCCCUGUAGAAUCAUGCCGUUGGCACGCUCUACCUGCCCAUUCAUCAUGGGGUGAGCUACGGCGGCCCAGUCCAUCCAGAUGUGGUGGUCCUCGCAGAAGUCCAGGAACUUCUUGCUAGUGAACUAGGUGCCGUUGUCGGUGAUGAUGGAGUUCGGGACCCCAAAGCGAUGGAUGAUGUUGGUGAAGAACGCCACCGCCUGUUCGGACCUGAUGCUGUUUAGGGGUUGGACCUCAAUCCACUUGGAGAAUUUGUCGAUAGCGACCAGCAGGUGCGUGAAGCCCCCGGGUGCCUUCUGCAAGGGACCAACGAGGUCUAGACCCCACACAACAAACGGCCAGGUGAUGGGUAUUGUUUGCAGGGCCUGAGCGGGCAAGUGUGUCUGCCUUGCGUAGAAUUGACACCCUUGGCAGGUGCGUACAAUCCUAGUGGCAUCGGCCACCGCGGUUGGCCAGUAGAAACCUUGUCGGAAGGCAUUUCCAACGAGGGCUCGAGGUGCUGCGUGAUGACCGCAAGCCCCCGAAUGUAUUUCUUGCAAUAGCUCAUGACCUUCGGCGAUGGAUAUGCAUCGUUGGAGGAUGCCUGAGGGGCUGCGGUGGUAGAGCUCCUUCUCGUUACCCAGUAAGACGAAUGACUUGGCGCGCUGCGCCAGUCACCGAGCUUCGGCUCUGUCGAGGGGUAGCUCUCCUCGGUGGAUAUAUUGCAGGUACGGGGUCUGCCAGUUUCGAUUAGGCGUGACCCCAUUCCGCUCUUCCUCGACGCGCAGUGCCUCACCCUCGGCGGUCGAGGGUGCCUCGGGCUGGGCCAAGGCCUCCCCGGGCUCGGGCGUGUCGUCGGUCUUGACAGGGGGUUGAUGUAGGUCUCGAGAGAAGACGUCCGGGGGAACCGUUGUCCGUCCCGAGGCUAUCUUAGCCAGCUCGUCCGCAGUCUCGUUGUACCAUCGAGCGACGUGGUUGAGCUCGAGCCCGUAGAACUUGUCUUCCAGGCGCCGAACCUCGUCGUAGUAGGCCUCCAUCUUCGGGUCGCGGCAGUGGGAGUUCUUCAUGACUUGGUCGAUGACAAGCUGCGAGUCGCCACGAGCGUCGAGGCACCGAACUCCUAGCUCGAUGGCGAUGCGCAACCCGUUAACCAGAGCCUCGUACUCGGCCACGUUGUUUGACGCCGGGAAAUGAAGGGCCAGCACGUAGCGGAGGUGCUUCCCGAGGGGUGAGAUGAAGAGCAGGCCCGCACCCGCUCCUGUUUUCAUCAGCGACCCGUCGAAAUACAUGGUCCAGAGUUCCGGUUGGAUCGGAGCUGCUGGAAGCUGGGUGUUGACCCAUUCAGCCACAAAGUCUGCCAAGACUUGGGACUUGAUGGCCUUCCGAGGAGCGAACGAGAUUGUCUCGCCCAUGAUCUCCACCGCCCAUUUUGCAAUCCUACUUGAGGCCUCUCGGCACUGGAUGAUCUCCCCCAGGGGGAAGGAUGACACCACAGUCACCGGAUGAGACUCGAAGUAGUGUCGUAACUUUCGCCGCGUUAGAAUUACCGCGUACAGUAGCUUCUGAAUUUGCGGGUAGCGGAUUUUGGUCUUGGCAGUACUUCACUGAUGAAGUAGACCGGCCUUUGGUCGAGAAAUACAUGCCCUUCUUCUCGUCUCUCGACCACGAUCGCGGCGCUGACCACCUGAGUGGUUGCGGCUACGUAGAUCAAGAGGGCUUCUCCCGCAGUGGGGGGCACCAGGAUGGGCACGCUUGUAAGGAGCGCCUUUAAGUUCUCGAGGGCUUCCUCGGCCUCGGGGGUCCAAGUGAAGCGCUUGGUCUUCCUUAAGAGGCGGUACAGGGGUAGGCCUCUUUCGCCGAGGCGCGAGAUGAAACGGCUCAGAGCCGCAAGGCAUCCCAUGACCCUCUGUACUCCUUUCGAGUCCUUGAUAGGCCCCAUGUUGGUGAUGGCCGCGAUUUUCUCCGGGUUGGCCUCGAUGCCCCGCUCGGAGACGAUGAACCCCAGAAGCAUGCCUCGGGGGACUCCGAAGACACACUUCUCGGGAUUGAGUUUUACGCCCUUCGCUCUCAGACACUUGAAUGUCGUUUCAAGGUCAGAGAGGAGGUCGAAGGCUUUCCUCGUCUUGACUACGAUGUCAUCGACGUAAGCCUCGACCGUUCGGCCGAUGUGCUCUCCGAACACGUGGUUCAUGCACCUUUGGUAUGUCGCGCCUGCAUUCCUUAAACCGAAUGGCAUAGUAAUAUAUCAGUACAUGCCAAAAGGUGUGAUGAAAGAGGUCGCGAGCUGGUCGGACUCUUUCAUCCUGAUUUGGUGAUACCCUGAGUAGGCAUCGAGGAAUGACAGGGUUUCGCACCCAGCAGUGGAAUCCACAAUUUGAUCGAUGCGAGGCAGAGGGUAGGGAACCUUCGGACAUGCUUUGUUUAGACCAGUGUAGUCUACACACAUCCUCCAUUUCCCACCUUUCUUUUUCACAAGCACAGGGUUGGCUAGCCAUUCAGGAUGGAAUACCUCUUUGAUGAACCCGACAUCCAUCAGCUUGUGGAUCUCCUCGCCUAUGGCUCUGCGCUUUUCUUCGUCGAAUCGGCGCAGAGGCUGCUUCACGAGUCGGGCUCCAGCUCAGAUAUCCAGCGAGUGCUCGGCGACAUCCCUCGGUAUGCCAGGCAUGUCCGAGGGACUCCAUGCAAAAACCUCGGCGUUCGCGCGGAGAAAGUCGACGAGCACUGCUUCCUAUUUGGGGUCGAGCUCGGAGCCGAUCCGGACUUGCUUGGAGGCGUUGUUGCUGGGGUCGAGAGGGACAGACUUAACCGCCUCUGCUGGUUCGAAGUUGUCAGCGUGGCACUUCGCAUCUGGCACCUCCUUGGAGAGGCACCCCAGGUCGGCGAUGAGGGCCUCGGACUCGGCGAGGGCCUCAGCGUACUCUACGCACUCCACGUCGCAUUCAUACACGUGUCAGUAUGUGGAUCCGACGGUGAUGACCCCAUUGGGGCCCGGCAUCUUGAGCUUGAGGUAGGUGUAGUUGGGGACGACCAUGAACUUGGCGUAGCAUGGUCUCCCCAGCACUGUGUGGUAGGUUCCUCGGAACCCGACCACCUCGAACGUGAGGGUUUCCUUUCGGAAGUUGGAGGGAGUCCCAAAGCAGACGGGCAGAUCGAGUUGCCCAAGGGGCUCGACGCGCUUCCCGGGGAUGAUCCCGUGAAAGGGCGCCGCACCGGCCCGGAUCAUGGACAGAUCGAUCUGCAAGAGCCCGAGGGUCUCAGCGUAGAUGAUGUUGAGGCUGCUGCCUCCGUCCAUGAGGACCUUAGUAAGCCUGACGUUGCCGAUGACGGGAUCGACAACGAGCGGGUACUUCCCUAGGCUCGGCACGCGGUCGGGGUGGUCGCCUUGGUCGAAGGUGAUGGGCUUGUCAGACCAGUCUAGGUAGACUGGCGCCGCCACCUUCACCGAGCAGACCUCCCGGUGCUCCUUAUUGCGGUGCCGAGCUGAGGCAUUCGCCACUUGCCCACCGUAGAUCAUGAAGCAGCCGUGGACCUCGGGGAACUCCUCUGCUUUGUUGCCCUCCUUCUUGUCGUUGUCAUGGCCUUUGCCACCUUCUGCCGGGGGCCCGACCUUAUGGAAGUAGCGCCGAAGCAUGACACACUCCUCAAGGGUGUGCUUGACGGGACCCUGAUGAUAGGGGCACAACUCCUUGAGCAUCUUGUCGAACAGGUUGGCCCCUCCGGGAGGCUUCCGAGGGUUCCUGUGCUCGGCGGCGGCGAUAAGAUCUGCGUCGGCGGUGUCACGUUUCGCUUGCGACUUCUUCUUGCCCUUCUUCUUCGUGCCGUGCUGAGCGGACGCCUCGUGGACGUCUUCCUGCUAGUGUCCCUGAGGCUGCUUGUCCUUCCGGAAGAUGACCUCGACCGCCUCCUGACCAGAGGCGAACUUGGUGGCGAUGUCCAUCAGCUCGCUCGCCCUGGUGGGAGUCUUGUGACCCAGCUUGCUCACCAGGUCGCGGCAAGUGGUGCCGGCGAGGAAUGUGCCAAUGACAUCUGAGUCGGUGAUGUUGGGCAGCUCAGUGUGCUGCUUCGAAAAUCGCCGGAUGUAGUCUCGCAGGGAUUCCCGCGGCUGUUGGCGGCAGCUUCGGAGAUCCCAAGAGUUCCCAGGGCGCACGUAUGUGCCCUGGAAGUUUCCAGCGAAGGCUUUGACUAGGUCGUCCCAGUUGGAGAUCUGCGCAGGAGGCAGAUGCUCCAGCCAUGCUCGGGCGGCGUCAGAGAGGAACAGGGGGAGGUUGCGGAUGAUGAGGUUGUCAUCGUCCGUUCCACCCAGCUGGCAGGCCAGCCGGUAGUCCGUGAGCCACAGUUUCGGCCUUGUUUCCCUCGAGUACUUAGUGAUGGUAGUCGGGGCUCGGAACCGGGUCGGGAACGGCGGCCGUCGUAUGGCCCGGCUGAAAGCUUGCGGACCGGGUGGUUCGGGCGAGGGGCUCCGAUCCUCCCCGCUGUCGUAGCGUCCCCCACGCCUGGGGUGGUAGCCUCGGCGCACCUUCUUGUCGAGGUGGGCUCGACGGUCGCGGCGGUGGUGCUCGUUGCCGAGGCGACUCGGGGCUGCAAGUGUUGCGUCCCGCGUGCGCCCGGUGUGGACCGAGGCUUCCCGCAUGAAUCGGGAAGUCGCGACGCGAUGCUCCGGGGGGUACCCUUGCCUUCGAGAGGCAGAGCUCUCGGCCCGUCGGACCGCAACAUCCUCCAGGAGAUUCUUGAGUUCUCCCUGGAUACGCCGCCCCUCGGUGGUGGAUGGCUCCGGCAUCGCUCGGAGUAGUAUUGCUGCUGCAGCCAGGUUCUGGCUGACCCCACUAGAAUCCGGGGGCAGCCUUGCCCUAGCAUCGUCAGUGAUGCAGUGUUGGACGUCCUGGGCUGGAUGACGCGCUUCUUCGGCUAGUGCUCGGCCUGCCCACUCCUGCCCGAUGUUCUGCCGGAGCUGCACAAGUUGUCCUGCUUCCUCAUCGAGCUUGGCCUGCAUCUCACGGAUUUGCUCGAGGUGUGUGUCCUGACCCCUCGCAGGGACUGGGACCACAACUAGCUCCUGAAGGAUGUCAACACGAGGCACAGGCCUAGGGGGAUCGUCGUCCUCCGGCAUACCAAGGUGGUUGCCUUCGUCGAGACCCCCUAGAUCGAUGUGGAAACAUUCGCGACUUGGGCCACAAUCCUCGUCGUCAAGGCUGUGGCCACCAUCGGAGUAAUCGGAGAGGCAGUAGUCACAUGCGGUCAUGAAGUCUCGCAUGGCACUAGGGUUACCGAGCCUGGAGAAAUCCCAACCAGAGUCGGGCUCGUCAUCUUCCUCGGAACCUAGGGGCCCGUAGGUCGAGACGACCGUCAGUCGGUCCCAGGUUGACCAUAUAUGGUACCCCGGAAGGUUAGGAUAUGCCUUUAUGAAAGCGUCCACCAAAGCGGGGUCGCUUGGUGGGUCAAAGCUGAAUCUAAAAGGCACAUGGUGGAAAAUGGACAGUACCUCUUGAUCAACGGAUGGUGACGAAGUCGCGUCGGGGACGGACUGCACCGUUAUCUCAGGUACGAGGCUAACGCCCAGCAAGUCCUUCGCGAGCGUGCUGGCGUCAUCCGUCCGCUUGGGGUUGGCGUGUUGCGGGGAAAUGACGCUCGUCUUCGUCUCAGACGCGAGGUCAACGCCCGACGUGUCCCCUGCUGGGGCGCCGGUGUCGUCGACUCGCUCGAUAGCCAAUGAGGUGCCGCCUCCUGCUUGGCCAUGGUUGUCCCGCCUCCUUCUCUUGUGGCGAGGAAGGCGACGGGACAAACCCGGAUGCUGCUCUUCCGCCAUGGGGGAAGACGUCGUCGAUUCCGCCGCCGCCGGGCGGGCUGAUGGCCACUAUUGUCGCUGUCGCGUGGCGGAGGAAGGAGUACCAUGUCGUAGCUGCCAUCGAGGGACAUGCACUCGAGACUCCCGAAACGGAGCAGCGUCCCGGGCUGGAGAGGUUGCUGGAGACUACCCAUCUGGAGCUUGACGGGAAGCUGUUCGUCAACACGCAGCAGGCCCCUACCUGGCACGCCAACUGUCGGCGUUUCGACCCCGGGGGGUCCCUGGACCGAUGAGUAAAUUGUCGCUACGUGCCCCAGCCCAGAUGGGUCGGCGCGAGAUGGAACACAAGGAGGGGAAAACUGCGGCUUCGUGUUGUCCUGCGCCCAGGGUGGAUGCGCUUGCAGUAGGGGGUUACAAGCGUUCGCGAGGGAGAGAGAGAGCAUGUCCGUCAGCCCGUCCUCCCGCGCGGCCACCUCCUCGUACGAGGGCCCUAGACCUUCCUUUUAUAGAUGUAAGGAGAGGGUCUAGGUGUACAAUGGGGGGUGUAGCAAUAUGCUAACGUGUCCGGCAGAGAGGAGCCAGAGCCCUAUGUACAUGCCGACGUGGCUGCCGGAGAGGUGCUAGUGCCCUGUGCAUGUGAUGUCGUGGCCGUCGGAGGAGCGCUUGAGCAGUUGAGCCCUGUAGAAGCACAGCUGUCGGGGCUGUCGGGACCAUGCUGACGUCUCCUUGCUUCCGUAGGGGGCUGAGAACCGCCAUCGUCAUGGGAGCACGCGGGGUGCCAUCAUUACUUGUUUACCGGGGCGAGCCAGAUGGGACGUCGGUCUUGUUCCCCGUAGCCUGGGCUAGCUAGGGGUAGGGUAAUGAUGUACCCCCCCUGUGGCGUGGUCGGUCCAAGCCCAAGGUCGGGCGAGGCGGUGACUCCUCCGAGGUCGAGGUUGAGGCCGAGCCCUGGGGUCGGGCGAGGCGGAGACCGUCUUCUGAGGUCGAGGUUGAGGCCGAGCCCUGGGGUCGGGCGAGGCGGAGACCGUCUUCCGAGGUCGAGGUUGAGGCCGAGCCCUGGGGUCGGGCGAGGCGGAGACCGUCUUCCGAGGUCGAGGUUGAGGCCGAGCCCUGGGGUCGGGCGAGGCGAAGCUUCCUAUGGCGCCUGAGGCUGGACUCGGCUGCUGUCAGCCUCACCCUAGCGGGUGGCAUAGCAGUCGGAGCAGGGCAGGCGACGCGGUUUUCCUGUCAGGUCAGUCAGUGGAGGGGCGAAGUGACUGGGGUCACUUCGGCCCUGCCGACUGAGGAACGCGCGUCAGGAUAAGGUGUCAGGCGAUCCUUGCAUUGAAUGCUCCUGCGAUACGGUCGGUUGGCGAGACGAUCUGGCCAAGGUUGCUUCACUGUGAAGCCUGUCCGAGCUGGGCCUCGGGCGAGUCGAGGGUGUGCCCGUUGCUUGAGGAGGCCCUCGGGCGAGGCGUGAAUCCGCCUGGGUCUACUGUUCCUGCCCGAGGCUUGGCUCGGGCGAGGCGAGAUUGUGUCCCUUGAGUGGAUGGAGCCUUGACCUGAAUUGCGCCCAUCAGGCUUCUGCAGCUUGUGCUGAUGGUGAUUACUAGCCGAGUUUAGGAGUCUUGGGGGUACCCCUAAUUAUGGUCCCCGACAGAAGCCUUCGAGCAAUUGAAGGUAUUAUUGACCACUACUCCGGUAUUGGCUCAACCGGACAUUGAAAAGCCUUUUGAUGUGUACUGUGACGCAUCGGGCAGUGGCCUCGGAUGUGUCUUAAUGCAGGAGGGCCGAGUUAUAGCAUAUGCUUCAAGACAGUUGCGCCGGCAUGAGGAACAUUAUACAACUCGUGACUUGGAAUUAGCUGCUGUGGUUCAUGCCCUUAAAAUAUGGUGUCAUUAUCUGCUGGGGAAUAUCUGCCAUAUAUAUACAGAUCAUAAAAGUUUGAAGUACAUUUUUACCCAGUCAGAACUUAACAUGAGGCAGAGGAUAUGGCUUGAGCUAAUUAAGGAUUAUGAAUUAGAGAUUCACUAUCACCCAGGCAAGGCCAACGUGGUGGCAGAUGCACUAAGUCGCAAGGCUUCCUGCCAUUGUCUUACAGUAAAGACUUCUGACAUCACAUUAUGUCAAAAAAUGGAGAAAUUAAACCUGGGAAUGAUUCAACAUGGAACCUUGAACCAAUUGAAGCUUGAUUCAAUUCUUCUGUAAAAGAUUAUUGAUGCCCAAAGAAGUGAGAUAAGGGUAUGAAACAUAUUCAUGAGAAAAUAAAAGCCGGUAAAGCAAAUUGUUUCAGAAAGGAUGAUCAAGGCAUAGUAUGGUUUAAUAACCGCAUAGUUGUGCCUAAGGAUGAUGAGGCCCGCCAGCAAAUAUUGGACGAAGUUCAUCUUAGUCGAUACUCCAUUCAUCCCGGAAGCACUAAGAUGUAUCAAGAUUUAAACCAACAUUAUUGGUGGACAAAAAUGAAGAUCGAAAUUGCACGCUAUGUGGCGAGAUGUGACACCUGUAGACGUGUCAAAGCCAUACACAUGAAGACUGCUGGUCCAUUGCAAUCUUUGCCCAUCCCAACUUGGAAAUGGGAGGACAUUAGCUAGACUUCAUUGUGGGAUUAACCAGGACAACAAAAGGGUUUGAUUCUAUCUGGGUUAUAGUUGAUCGACUUACAAAAAUAGCCCAUUUUCUACCGGUCAAAACAUCCUAUCCGGUCCUCACCUAUGCCCAGGUAUAUAUUGCCCGUAGUCUUAGUUUGCACGGAGUUCCGAAGACAAUAGUGUCGGAUCGUGGAUCACAAUUUGUAUCCAAAUUCUAGGAAGAGCUCCACAAAACUUUGGGUACUAAGUUGCUCCACAGUUCGGCCUAUCAUCCCCAAACAAGUGGACAGACUGAGAGAGUGAACCAAAUACUUGAAGACAUGUUGCGGGCAUGCGUUCUAGAGUUCCCCUAGAAAUGGGAUGAAUGCUUACCAUUGACAGAGUUUUCAUAUAACAAUAGUGUCAGUACCCUGAAUCAGGGGUACCCCUUACUACAGUAUGAAGACACGGUGCCCGUGCGGCUAUCUCUAGCCGCACGGUGAACAGCACCCGACCCCAACACGUGGGCAGUCCCAAGGACGCCAUGUGGACAGGAGAGGUGAUAUACUCCAGGAUACCAUCAGUAGGUCCGGACCUCCUCAAGAAAGCGCCGGACCCUUGUACACAUAGCCCGGACCUCCGAGUACGGUCCGGGACUCCCAAGUGAGCAAGCCGGACCCCUUGGAUGAGGUCUGGACCCCUCUGAGUGAGGUCCAGGCCACCCACAGCAAGGUCCCGGGAUAGGGAAUACCCUGGCCUAGGUCUAGGACAGGCAAGGGUCCGGUACUGACACGUGCCCAGGCUUUAUCCAGUGCGCUUCCACUCCCCGCUCAGCCGGAGGCCCAAUGCUGUCACGUGGACUAUCGCCCGUGACGUAAGCCAGCGGGCGGGGCCUGACGUAAGGCCUCUGGGCCGUGCUGCCUCUACAUUUAUUGCGGAGAAGACGCGCCGCCUAUCUAUCCCGCUGACAGACGAUGUGCCCCCUCAACAUUUAAUGUGUCCUGUCCACUCCGCUGGCAGGCGGCGUGCAGGCCAUCCCGCAGGCGGCGUGCCUGUCCAGUCCAUUGUUAAACAGUACGCCUGUGCUGCGAGGUGCACUAUGUCCGUCAUCACUUAUACAUUGCCAGGGAAGCUUCCCCUGCACGCCAAUACUACACAGACCACGUAUGUCAGGGCGCAAGAAGAUCGCUCCAGCAACGAACAUUAGUUGCUCCAAGUAUUACAUCUGUUAUGUUCCUGGGCCCACAUGUCGGGGCUCAAUACCCUUGUACGUGCCCCACGUAGCUAUAAAAGGGGAGGCAUGCACCGUUACAACAGGAGGCUAACACAGGCUCACUACAAAGACAAGUAUCUGCAAAAUACAAAUUGCAGCAGUUCUACAACUCGAAAAUUCGAUUGAUAUGUUAUUAAGAGCACGUAGCACGACCACAAGCACAAUCAAGAAGUCGUCUAGCGACGGUGUGUAUGUAAUUCAUCGGAUACAGAAGAAACUAUCCGUAAGAAUCAGGUCAUGAAACACAGAGGCAAACAAAACCUGAGAACCCUAAGGGUUUGAGGCGCAAUAGCUACAGUUAAUCACCACAGAGGACCGAAUCACUACAGGCACGGGGAGGCAACAGAGUACGACUUUGACCCAGUGCUAUCACAUCAAGCAGCUCAAGAACAAAGGUUAAGAGACAUAGGAUGAGCUGAUACCUUGCAAGAGACAGGCCAAAGUGGAGGCGCAGACGACGAGUUGUGGGGAAGGCGCUAGCCUCUAGGGUUCGGGGCCUUAUAUAAUGGCGUCGGCGUACGUCGGACCAACCCAAUACAUGACUUCCGAAAUGGUGGCCCAGGGCCCAUAAAUGGAGCGAGAUAUUUAUGGGGAUGACUGAAUGACAUUGUUAUUAUCUGAACUUUGGUGCAUGCCAAAAGAGGAACACGAGAAACUCUUCAUUGCUGUCAAAAACCAGUACUAAUUAAAAGCGGAAUCCAUAGUUAGAACUAAUUAAGAAACCCUCGGGUUUCCGAGAAUCAACCCGUCGUCCCUUGAUUUCGCGUGCAGGCCCUUGGUUUCUUAUAAACGGACCCCUGGCCUUUUAAAUAAUCACAGAUUUGGACCUAAUUUUGUAUUUCAAACUUGAAAACUUGUUUAUUUCAUAUCUUCUUCAUAUGAACUCCAAAUUUAGUGAUUCAAAUUGCAUUUUAUAGAAUUAUUCUCUGUUAAAAUAAAUUAGGAUCAUUCACUAUCUGUGCAUUCUAAUUUUAUGCCUAGGCUAUAGGUUAAUUUAUGUGGUAAUUUAUUUGUUUAAAAAAGAUAAAUAAAAAGGAAACCCUAGUGGUAAAUGGAUAUUUAAUCUUGUGAGAUUAAUAAUAUGUAUUAUAUGAAUUUAUCCAUGAUUUAACUUUUACGUCUCAUUAAAAUGAGUAGAAUUAGAUUACGUAAUCAUGGAGAUAGACAACACUUAGAGAAUAACAAACUACUGAAUGUGAUUAGUUCACCUUAUAACUUAAACUCCCUUUUUGAGUUUAUACUUUUUCGUUUGAGAUGUGUUCCAUUGUUUGUACAUGAUUGGUGUGCUGUUCAUUUGUCAUUUUCCAAAUGUAUUGAAUGUAUGAUCGCUUUAAUUAGACGACAAGCAGCCCAUGGUUCCUGAGUGUGUUGCCAAAGAUCUUCCUGAGCAACAACCUGGUGAAGGCAAGUGUCCUCUUACCUAUUAUGUCCUACUUACUUUAUAAUUCACUGUCCUGCAUUAUAUAAUUGAAACCUAAGAAUUGACUAGUCUGUAUUUACCUUGUCCUUGCUUACCUUUUGGGUUAUCAUGGUUAGCCUUAUGUCAUUGGUUUAACUUAAUCAAUGAACAUGAUGUGAACAUUUAUGAUACAAUGAUGUUAUUUCGAUGAUGAUCUUGUGAUAUUUUAGGGGACUCAGGCCAUUUUUCUGAGUACCUCUCCAUAAGGACCUUUUCGUUGGGUGACCACCCUGGAUAACAGUGCAACCAUGAGGGUGGAAUGGGACGCCCUUAGCUAAAUAAUUAGAUGAACCUGGGGGUGUAGUUGGCUUUGUCGGAGGGCCAUCAAUGGGGGCCGGGGCAUAGUGCUCGCUCUGCCAAUGGGGGUGCAGAGGUUCAUUCGAUUUGGUUUUUGUUAGUCACCCACCUUGGGGAGGUGUACUGCGUUUGUACAACUGGAAAAACCUAAUGAGCAGCUAUGUACCAGGGGAGUCUUUGUAAAGGAUACAUAGUGAGACCCUGCCAGGUCACCUCGGUAGUGAUCAAUGGGGAGUCAUGAUCUCUAAGCAGAAUGGGAAGCAUGAGUCAUGGGUAAAGUAUGCAACCUAUGCAGAGUGUUAGAAAUUGGUAUAUUAGAUGAGCUCACGGUUAAGAGCGUUCUUGGGAUCCUCUUUGAUUAGAAGAACUUUGGAUACUUUUAUGAUGAUGAUGUUUAAUGAUGAUGGUUAUAAAUAUGCUCUCUGGUAUUUUCUCUUGGAGGGAGUACAUUUGGGUAAUAACCGGUUUUAUUACUAAAAUUUGGCUCUACUAUUAGUAAUAAAUACUCGACCAACUAAAAGCAACUGCUUAACCUUAACUCCACAUACAGCUAGUCCACUUUAGCCAAACGGGACAUUUGCUGAGUACGUUGAUGUGUACUCACCCUUGCUUUAAAAAUCACCCCACCCCAGUUGUCCCCACUGUAUUCAGUGCUCAGGAGAAGAUGCUGGGAACAUAGAGGACUUUGAGGAGUUCCAGGACUACAACGAGUUCUAGUUAUCUUAGUGGCAAACCCUAGUCAGCUGCCUAUGAAGGUCUUAUCUGCUAUGUUUCGUAUUCCGCACUUUGAUAAUGUUAAUGACCAUGUUAUAGACUCUGUGGAUGUCUUGGAUAUCUUGAUGUAAUAAAGUACCUUUUUGCUAUUUACUUUGAGCAAUGUGUGAUGAUGCCCAAUUAUGUAAUCACUGUGUACGUGAGUUUCUGAUCCUGGCACGUACAUAGUUCGCAUUCGGUUUGCCUUCCAAAACCAGGUGUGACAGUGAGGAAGAAUCGGUCUCGUAGUAGACCACCUUCUUCAUUUUAUUUUUCUUCUUGUCACCAUUCCUAUGUGACUUGAUGGAUCCGGUGGAUUCCUCCUUGUGCUUGUCGCCGACCUCCUUCGAUGGAGUCCUUUCUUCGUUCUUCUUUCUCGAAGCUUCGGGCUUUUCGCUGGUGACCAUUUCCCUUUUGGCAUGUUCUCCCGACAUCACUUCGAGUUGUUAAACUCUAAUGAAGCAUCAAGCUUUGAUACCAAUUGAAAGCCACCUAGAGGGGGGAGAAUAGGCGAAACCUGAAAAUUAUAAACUUUGAACACGCACUUCACCCGGGGUUAGGGUUAGAAAUAAAUAAUAUUGAGUUCAGAGUGCGGAAGAUAGUUCUUCUUGCUAUGAGUUGCUCAAUCAAUACUGAUAACUUUGGGAGCCAACUCAAAACAAUAUGAGCAAGAGAACUUUAGAUAGAGAGGAGAGGGGAGAAACAAAUCGAUUGAUGAAGAUCAACACAAAUGAACACAUUGAUUUGUUUCCCUAGGUUUGGUUCCAAAGAACCUACUCCCCGUUGAGGAGGCCACAAAGGCCGGGUCUAUUCCAACCCUUUCUCUCUCUCAAUCGGUCACUUAGACCGAUCGAGUGCUUCUUCUUAAUCACACGGGUCACUAAGACCCCACAAGGAUCACCACACAAUUAGGUGUCUCUCGCUUGCUUUAUAAAACACUUGAGAAGUUUAGAAUGAGAAGAAGAAAGCAACCAAGCAACAAGAGCAACAAAAGAAACACAAAUCACCCUCUCUCAAGUCACUAAGCACUUUUGAUCACUUGACUUGAUUUUGGAACUUGGAGAGGAUUUGAUGCUUUGAUUGUGUCUUGGAGUCUAUUGCUCUAGUAUUGAAUGAGCAUGUUGCAAUGCUUUGAUGGCUUGAAUGGUGGUGGUUGGGGGUAUUUUUAGCCCAACCACUAUUCGAGCCGUUGCUAUCGAUGGGCACACCGAUAGUCCGGUGGUGCACCGGACACUGCACUGUUCACUGUCCGGUGAGUGCCACAUCAGCCGACCGUUGGGGUUUGGAGCUGUUGACCGUUGAAGUCUUCUAUCUUCUUGUGGCACCAAAUAGUCCGGUGUGUUCUAAAUUUGCAGACUGACUUAUGACUGCUGUAGACUGCCUUGUAGUUAGCGCAGUCGACCGUUGGGUGAAGUUGACCGUUGCUCCAUUGUCUCACCGGACAGUCCGGUGGUGCACCGGACAGUCCGAUGAAUUAUACUGGACGAGCGUUUGAGAAAACCCGAGAGCGAACAGUUUGCAGAGGGCUCCAGCCUGGGCACCAGACAGUGUCCGAUGCGCCACCGCCUGCAAUAGAUCUUGUAUGCUCCAAACUUUGUAGAAUUCCCUUGAGUCAUUUUCUUGGUAUGUUUAUGUGAACUUUAUGCACCUGAGAGAAACAACGACUAGACAAACUAGUUAGUCCAUAUGGUUUGUGAUGGACGUCAAACACCAAAAUUGAUUAUAGGAAAUGUUGAGGCCAUUUCCCUUUCACCCGCCGUCUCCACUAUUAAGCUUCUGGCUGAAAAUGUCGCGCGCCUCAUUCCCUCCGGUACAAAGUGGCGGCCAUGACAUAAACAUGGUUGUCACGAUCUUGCAAGACUCUCGCCCCACUCGGUACAAUUACAACGGCUAGCGCAAGAGCCGAGGGGUUGUUUGUUUUUUUUCUAAACUCACUUAAGUAACUAGAAUCUAACUAGAGCAAGCACUAAAGCGGUCUAACUAACCUAAGCACUUCGCAAAGCACCUACGCUAAUCACCGAGUGAUUUUAUUAAGCACUUGGGUGUAUGAGCAAUUGGGAAUGUCUAAUAUAUGCCUUGGUAUGUUGCUUGGGCUCCCACACCUUGGAAUGACUGGUUCGGGUGAUAUUUAUAGGUCCCAACACAAAUCUAGUCGUUGGAGAAAAGUUGAUGCUCUCUGCGGCACACUGGACAGUCCGGUGCGCCUAGCCGUUGGACUGACGCCGCAGGUGACCGUUGGUGCUGCACGCUUUUACACCAGACAGUCUGGUGGCUUCUCUCCACCAGUGCCACCUAGAACUAGCCGCCCUAGUGCACCAGAUAGUACGACGUGUGACACCAGACAGUCCAUUGUGGCAACACAUGUCUUCGUUUUGGACUUUGCUUGAUACUUGUUGAUCUUCUUGUGAUCUUCAUAAUGUCUUCUUUUAAGGUAUUGUUUUCCUCAAUGCCUUAGUCCGAGUAACUUUAGCAUCAUGUGAACUACAAACAUAAACACUAGCAAACACAUUAGUUCAUAGGUUAUGUUGAUCAUCAAACACCAAAACCUAUUAAGCCAAAUGGUUCGGGUCCAUUUUCCUUACAAAACCCCAUAAGGAAGUACGGUAUUACGCAAUUCUAAGCGGCCCGAACCUAUAUAAAUCCGUGAGUGAUCCCAGCGUGCCUCUGCAUGAACCAUUGAGUCACGAUCAACGACGCCAUCCUACCCAAAAGCAUCACGUAGGUAACCUUGUGGUGCGCGGUCGGGUCACAAACGUCGACAACGACCGAUUGAGAUAAUCACCUAUCCAAUCGAACCAACCUAUCUACAUUACUUUAUAUUAUCAUGCCUUAGGAGUACAUGUAGUGUAGCCCUAGUUGUAGUUUCCCAAUCUCAAUCUUCACCUAGCUUCGACUCUGCAUCAUCUCGAGGCAUCAUGUGUGGCCUACAGAUCCCAAAAUAACCCUAGAUCUUUCCUCCCUAAAGGGAUCCAUCCCGAGGGGCAAGAUCUAGGUUCUAGAGGAGCUCAUCCCUAUCUUCAUAUAAAAUUAUCUACGCACGCGGAUGGUCCGGUGGCCAACCGCGGACGAUCUGGUGACCUGUCGCAGAUGGUUCGCCGCCUCGUAGAAGGGUUCCCCAAGGUCCACGCCCCCGCGAGCGUGAUCUAUGAAUAGUUGGUGUUUGGCCCCAAAAAGGUGUUAAGAUUUCUUGGAAUUAAAAACAUCGAUAGAAAUUGAUUUAGCAUUUACCUCAUUACGCUCUAAGUUACAAAAGGUUGAUGUCAUAUAACUAGGUUUAUCUUUAUCUGUUGCCCUGUUUGGCAUAACUUAAUUUACAUUUUGUUCAUAGAUUUAAAUAAAAGUUAUAUCAAACAGUAGGCAUUUGCAUCAACUUGUCAGUUCAACUGCUUCUUAGAAUGAACUAAAAAUAGGCAACAAGCAAAAGCUGGAAAACUAGCUUCUCAGAUAAGUUGCUUUUCAAUCAGCAGUAGUUGUGCCAAACAAGGUCACCAUCUCUAACAACGUCUUCUAAACUUCAUCAUUUAUAUCUUAUCUUCUACAUUUUUCCAAUCAUAUUAACAUUAGAACCUUAUUGUUUCAACAAAUAUUGUCUCAUUUACAUAUUGCAAAUCAUUUUUAAAUAUGUAUUAAUAAAUAUUUUUUAAGAACUACAAAUACCAAACAAAUUCACAGGUCAUUCUCCUCCCAUGCCCACAUAAUGCAGUGGAAAAUCUUGCUUUUCUUCCAGUCCUAGGUGUCGCGCAAUAGCUUGCUAUUGGUCGCACUCUUCGUUGGCAUUCACGAGCGGGUAGAGACAACGACACUAGAUUUACCGGACCUCCACUAUCAUAGAGGACCAUGUAGUGUUCCUUGCUGGAUAUAUAAAGGAGGGGAAACUCUAGCGUAGCGAACGCUUAGACUAUCUACACUCAUACUACUCUAAAUUAGUACUCUAAAACAAAUAUUCUAGGGGUAUCUGCUAGUCAUAUAGUGUAAAUGUGCAGCCAAUCUUCUAAGUGAAUGCAAACGAGGCCUCUCUCAUCCAUAUAUUAUUGUAUAUUUUAGGCUGGAUUGGUUCCAUGACUCUAGAGAAGUGGUUUGAUUCCCGUCGGUAGUUAGGAGGCUUCAUAAAAGAUGGAGAAAUGGUCUAACUAAUUUAACAUCAUAAAUAUAUAAUACUACAAAAUAUGUCAUUGCAACAAAAGAUGCCCUGAAUUGAAUCCAGGUCCACAACCGAACAAGACCUUACUCUAUAUCUAACUUUGUGUUGAUAAGUACUCUUUACACCUUCUAGAUGUGGAUAGCCUUAGACUGUUCCAGCAACGUCAUCUAUAUCUACCAUCUAUAUUUGUCCUUUACAAUCUCAUCUAAAAAAAUUCACCUUCUAUAUCUCCUUCCUGUCCAACAACGUUCUCUAAUUCACGUCUUCUAUAUAUCUAUACUACUCUUAAGAUGGUAGUGUAGGCGUCCACAUCCUAUGGUGCACGGUUCUGCCACCGUCUCAUCCGAGAUCCUCUACGCGACGCACGCUCGAGAUCCUCUCCGUGACGCACGCCUCCCUCUCUUCCGCCCCACCCUCCUCCCCACUCCAUCGGCGCCGCCAUCAUCGGAUCCGACCCAAGACGCCUCCGCCCCACGCGCCCGAGUCGUCGAGGCACACUCCUACCCGCCUCCGGCGUCCACGCACAUCUCCGCCUCACCUCGGUGCCAUCCUCUCGCCAUGUCGUCGCACACGUUCACGGUGGCGUCCAUCCCGACACCGGCCUCACGCACCGUCUACAACUCCCAACUCUGCUCCUCUCAGUUCUCCCUCCGCAUUUCGCCUUCUCUCCCUUCCUCUCCAAGCACCGUCCACCUCGCCUAGAUCCAUACAAGCGGCAAAUAACCUCUCCGACGGCGAGACAGAUGGAGUCGACCUUCGGCGAGGAUGCUCUGAAGCGCAACCCGCUCCUGUCCGCGCUCGUCUCCAACCUACACUCCGUGCUCGCCGCCUGUCGCCCGUCCGCAGCAGAGGUCAGCACCGCUGCCACAGCUAGCGAGGCUGAGGCCUUGGCUCAGGAAGCAGAGGCGUCCGAUUCCCUCACGAGAGAUGGGAUGCCGGCGAGGCCCAUCGUGUUGCUGACCUAUGCCGAGGGGAUCCGGACGGCGGGUCUCGCGGCGCUCAUUGACGCCCUCGUUGCCAUCGGCCGCUGCGACGUCCACGUGUGUGCCCCCAAAUCAUACGUGUUGCGACUUAGAAAACCAAGGCGUCUUAAUUUCCCCUUACAUUUGCUCUUAUGAUCGCAAAGUACUGUUUGCUUUCCAUUGGAUUUGUUGGGAGAUAAAUUAAGUAGUCCCGAUUUGGGCGCCCUGCGCCUGUUUACUCCAUUAGGGCAUGUACAGUGGAGAGACACCAAAACGGUUCUCCAAGCACAGAAGACAACUAAGAGACUCUAUUGUACAAUGGAGUGUCUAUAAACGUAGUCUAUUAAUAAAUACAGAAUUAAAUGUAUUUGUAUAACAUCAGAUCGAUAGAACAGACGACAAAUUCGUACAGUGGGAAGUGAGGCGUCUGUUGCUACUUGGUUUACGAGCCAGAGGCGUCUCUUCACGGAGAGACGGCUCUAAGAUUUUUUUGCAAAUAACCCCCUUAAACACCUUAAGAGCCUCCACAUUAAACACCACUGUACAUGCCCUUAAUGUACUAAUUUGGUUGCCAUUUCCCUAUGAUUGUGGAACCGAACUGAUUUGGGGCCCUUUGUUUAUUUGAAGGGACAAGCAAGCCUGUGGCCAUUCAAUUGCCAUCUGUGAAACCAUCAUUGCGUCAUCCGUGGAUUUCAUAGGCACUAAAGCUUUUGAGACAUCAGGUGAGGGCCAUUCGUUCAUUCAAUUGUGCACAAUUUGGGUCACACAUUGCUGAGCCUGGUGGUCCCGAUAUUUUAUCUUUGCUUACUUUAAUCAUUGAAAACUUAGGCACGCCAGUUGACUGCGUCUCGUUGGCCUUAUCUGGGAGGUUGUUUCCUUGGUCGUCUCCUGCUUUGGUACCGUGAUUGUUUAUUCUUUCGGAAUUGGAUUUCCAAGUGUUACUAUCUUGAAGGUAAUUUGAUUUGUGGUUUUAAAAAACAACAUAUUUUGUUUAUACAGGUGACCAGUGGUAUCAACACGGGAUCAAAUUGUGGAUAUGAGAAAAUUGAUCCCCCAAGCAUUAGCAGUAAAAAGGUUUCUGGAACAAAAAAUUAUAGUAUUGAUGCUAAGGAUGCUAAAUAGAGAAUUCUGAAGACGGCUUCACCGAAAGUGUGGAAACUAGAGACUAAAGAGAUCAGACCCAACUGAAAGGGAAAUAGGGUUAACUUUUUUACACAAUUAAUUUUAGUGGUUGAAUGUCCAACACAAACAAAUGGACUAACUAGUUUGCUCUAGAAUACAUGUUCUACAGGUGCAUAAAGGUUUAACACAAACCAAUAAAUAUCCAAGUUAGGGAUCCAAUUCAAAGGAGCAAAAGAAACUAAGUGUGCUGUGGUCUGGCUCACCAGACUGUCCGCUGUGCCAACGGACAGUGUCCGGUGCACCUGGACCAUAUAGAGUCCAAACAGCCACUCUCGGGUUUUCCCAGGCGCGCUUCGCUAUAAUUCACCGGACUGUCCGGUGCACCAGCGGAGCAAUGGCUAACUCACGCAACGGUCGACUCUAACAAGUGAACAGUGCGUGCCAGAAGUCAGAGCAGAAGUCAAAGGCGUACCGGACAAUGUCAGGUGCCACAAGAAGACAACAGCUCCAACGGUCGACUGCUCCCUAACCCUAACGGUUGAGUGACGUGGCGACGCACUGGACAGCCUACAGUGCCUAUCUAGUGGCGCACCGGAGCAGCCAUCCCCCAACGGCCACUUGGUGGUUGAGGGCUAUAAAUACCCCCCAACCACCACAACACCAACAACCCAAGCAUUAUGAACAUUGCAUUCAAUACAAGAGCAAUAGACUCCACUCCAAGACACAAUCAANNNNNNNNNNNNNNNNNNNNNNNNNNNNNNNNNNNNNNNNNNNNNNNNNNNNNNNNNNNNNNNNNNNNNNNNNNNNNNNNNNNNNNNNNNNNNNNNNNNNNNNNNNNNNNNNNNNNNNNNNNNNNNNNNNNNNNNNNNNNNNNNNNNNNNNNNNNNNNNNNNNNNNNNNNNNNNNNNNNNNNNNNNNNNNNNNNNNNNNNNNNNNNNNNNNNNNNNNNNNNNNNNNNNNNNNNNNNNNNNNNNNNNNNNNNNNNNNNNNNNNNNNNNNNNNNNNNNNNNNNNNNNNNNNNNNNNNNNNNNNNNNNNNNNNNNNNNNNNNNNNNNNNNNNNNNNNNNNNNNNNNNNNNNNNNNNNNNNNNNNNNNNNNNNNNNNNNNNNNNNNNNNNNNNNNNNNNNNNNNNNNNNNNNNNNNNNNNNNNNNNNNNNNNNNNNNNNNNNNNNNNNNNNNNNNNNNNNNNNNNNNNNNNNNNNNNNNNNNNNNNNNNNNNNNNNNNNNNNNNNNNNNNNNNNNNNNNNNNNNNNNNNNNNNNNNNNNNNNNNNNNNNNNNNNNNNNNNNNNNNNNNNNNNNNNNNNNNNNNNNNNNNNNNNNNNNNNNNNNNNNNNNNNNNNNNNNNNNNNNNNNNNNNNNNNNNNNNNNNNNNNNNNNNNNNNNNNNNNNNNNNNNNNNNNNNNNNNNNNNNNNNNNNNNNNNNNNNNNNNNNNNNNNNNNNNNNNNNNNNNNNNNNNNNNNNNNNNNNNNNNNNNNNNNNNNNNNNNNNNNNNNNNNNNNNNNNNNNNNNNNNNNNNNNNNNNNNNNNNNNNNNNNNNNNNNNNNNNNNNNNNNNNNNNNNNNNNNNNNNNNNNNNNNNNNNNNNNNNNNNNNNNNNNNNNNNNNNNNNNNNNNNNNNNNNNNNNNNNNNNNNNNNNNNNNNNNNNNNNNNNNNNNNNNNNNNNNNNNNNNNNNNNNNNNNNNNNNNNNNNNNNNNNNNNNNNNNNNNNNNNNNNNNNNNNNNNNNNNNNNNNNNNNNNNNNNNNNNNNNNNNNNNNNNNNNNNNNNNNNNNNNNNNNNNNNNNNNNNNNNNNNNNNNNNNNNNNNNNNNNNNNNNNNNNNNNNNNNNNNNNNNNNNNNNNNNNNNNNNNNNNNNNNNNNNNNNNNNNNNNNNNNNNNNNNNNNNNNNNNNNNNNNNNNNNNNNNNNNNNNNNNNNNNNNNNNNNNNNNNNNNNNNNNNNNNNNNNNNNNNNNNNNNNNNNNNNNNNNNNNNNNNNNNNNNNNNNNNNNNNNNNNNNNNNNNNNNNNNNNNNNNNNNNNNNNNNNNNNNNNNNNNNNNNNNNNNNNNNNNNNNNNNNNNNNNNNNNNNNNNNNNNNNNNNNNNNNNNNNNNNNNNNNNNNNNNNNNNNNNNNNNNNNNNNNNNNNNNNNNNNNNNNNNNNNNNNNNNNNNNNNNNNNNNNNNNNNNNNNNNNNNNNNNNNNNNNNNNNNNNNNNNNNNNNNNNNNNNNNNNNNNNNNNNNNNNNNNNNNNNNNNNNNNNNNNNNNNNNNNNNNNNNNNNNNNNNNNNNNNNNNNNNNNNNNNNNNNNNNNNNNNNNNNNNNNNNNNNNNNNNNNNNNNNNNNNNNNNNNNNNNNNNNNNNNNNNNNNNNNNNNNNNNNNNNNNNNNNNNNNNNNNNNNNNNNNNNNNNNNNNNNNNNNNNNNNNNNNNNNNNNNNNNNNNNNNNNNNNNNNNNNNNNNNNNNNNNNNNNNNNNNNNNNNNNNNNNNNNNNNNNNNNNNNNNNNNNNNNNNNNNNNNNNNNNNNNNNNNNNNNNNNNNNNNNNNNNNNNNNNNNNNNNNNNNNNNNNNNNNNNNNNNNNNNNNNNNNNNNNNNNNNNNNNNNNNNNNNNNNNNNNNNNNNNNNNNNNNNNNNNNNNNNNNNNNNNNNNNNNNNNNNNNNNNNNNNNNNNNNNNNNNNNNNNNNNNNNNNNNNNNNNNNNNNNNNNNNNNNNNNNNNNNNNNNNNNNNNNNNNNNNNNNNNNNNNNNNNNNNNNNNNNNNNNNNNNNNNNNNNNNNNNNNNNNNNNNNNNNNNNNNNNNNNNNNNNNNNNNNNNNNNNNNNNNNNNNNNNNNNNNNNNNNNNNNNNNNNNNNNNNNNNNNNNNNNNNNNNNNNNNNNNNNNNNNNNNNNNNNNNNNNNNNNNNNNNNNNNNNNNNNNNNNNNNNNNNNNNNNNNNNNNNNNNNNNNNNNNNNNNNNNNNNNNNNNNNNNNNNNNNNNNNNNNNNNNNNNNNNNNNNNNNNNNNNNNNNNNNNNNNNNNNNNNNNNNNNNNNNNNNNNNNNNNNNNNNNNNNNNNNNNNNNNNNNNNNNNNNNNNNNNNNNNNNNNNNNNNNNNNNNNNNNNNNNNNNNNNNNNNNNNNNNNNNNNNNNNNNNNNNNNNNNNNNNNNNNNNNNNNNNNNNNNNNNNNNNNNNNNNNNNNNNNNNNNNNNNNNNNNNNNNNNNNNNNNNNNNNNNNNNNNNNNNNNNNNNNNNNNNNNNNNNNNNNNNNNNNNNNNNNNNNNNNNNNNNNNNNNNNNNNNNNNNNNNNNNNNNNNNNNNNNNNNNNNNNNNNNNNNNNNNNNNNNNNNNNNNNNNNNNNNNNNNNNNNNNNNNNNNNNNNNNNNNNNNNNNNNNNNNNNNNNNNNNNNNNNNNNNNNNNNNNNNNNNNNNNNNNNNNNNNNNNNNNNNNNNNNNNNNNNNNNNNNNNNNNNNNNNNNNNNNNNNNNNNNNNNNNNNNNNNNNNNNNNNNNNNNNNNNNNNNNNNNNNNNNNNNNNNNNNNNNNNNNNNNNNNNNNNNNNNNNNNNNNNNNNNNNNNNNNNNNNNNNNNNNNNNNNNNNNNNNNNNNNNNNNNNNNNNNNNNNNNNNNNNNNNNNNNNNNNNNNNNNNNNNNNNNNNNNNNNNNNNNNNNNNNNNNNNNNNNNNNNNNNNNNNNNNNNNNNNNNNNNNNNNNNNNNNNNNNNNNNNNNNNNNNNNNNNNNNNNNNNNNNNNNNNNNNNNNNNNNNNNNNNNNNNNNNNNNNNNNNNNNNNNNNNNNNNNNNNNNNNNNNNNNNNNNNNNNNNNNNNNNNNNNNNNNNNNNNNNNNNNNNNNNNNNNNNNNNNNNNNNNNNNNNNNNNNNNNNNNNNNNNNNNNNNNNNNNNNNNNNNNNNNNNNNNNNNNNNNNNNNNNNNNNNNNNNNNNNNNNNNNNNNNNNNNNNNNNNNNNNNNNNNNNNNNNNNNNNNNNNNNNNNNNNNNNNNNNNNNNNNNNNNNNNNNNNNNNNNNNNNNNNNNNNNNNNNNNNNNNNNNNNNNNNNNNNNNNNNNNNNNNNNNNNNNNNNNNNNNNNNNNNNNNNNNNNNNNNNNNNNNNNNNNNNNNNNNNNNNNNNNNNNNNNNNNNNNNNNNNNNNNNNNNNNNNNNNNNNNNNNNNNNNNNNNNNNNNNNNNNNNNNNNNNNNNNNNNNNNNNNNNNNNNNNNNNNNNNNNNNNNNNNNNNNNNNNNNNNNNNNNNNNNNNNNNNNNNNNNNNNNNNNNNNNNNNNNNNNNNNNNNNNNNNNNNNNNNNNNNNNNNNNNNNNNNNNNNNNNNNNNNNNNNNNNNNNNNNNNNNNNNNNNNNNNNNNNNNNNNNNNNNNNNNNNNNNNNNNNNNNNNNNNNNNNNNNNNNNNNNNNNNNNNNNNNNNNNNNNNNNNNNNNNNNNNNNNNNNNNNNNNNNNNNNNNNNNNNNNNNNNNNNNNNNNNNNNNNNNNNNNNNNNNNNNNNNNNNNNNNNNNNNNNNNNNNNNNNNNNNNNNNNNNNNNNNNNNNNNNNNNNNNNNNNNNNNNNNNNNNNNNNNNNNNNNNNNNNNNNNNNNNNNNNNNNNNNNNNNNNNNNNNNNNNNNNNNNNNNNNNNNNNNNNNNNNNNNNNNNNNNNNNNNNNNNNNNNNNNNNNNNNNNNNNNNNNNNNNNNNNNNNNNNNNNNNNNNNNNNNNNNNNNNNNNNNNNNNNNNNNNNNNNNNNNNNNNNNNNNNNNNNNNNNNNNNNNNNNNNNNNNNNNNNNNNNNNNNNNNNNNNNNNNNNNNNNNNNNNNNNNNNNNNNNNNNNNNNNNNNNNNNNNNNNNNNNNNNNNNNNNNNNNNNNNNNNNNNNNNNNNNNNNNNNNNNNNNNNNNNNNNNNNNNNNNNNNNNNNNNNNNNNNNNNNNNNNNNNNNNNNNNNNNNNNNNNNNNNNNNNNNNNNNNNNNNNNNNNNNNNNNNNNNNNNNNNNNNNNNNNNNNNNNNNNNNNNNNNNNNNNNNNNNNNNNNNNNNNNNNNNNNNNNNNNNNNNNNNNNNNNNNNNNNNNNNNNNNNNNNNNNNNNNNNNNNNNNNNNNNNNNNNNNNNNNNNNNNNNNNNNNNNNNNNNNNNNNNNNNNNNNNNNNNNNNNNNNNNNNNNNNNNNNNNNNNNNNNNNNNNNNNNNNNNNNNNNNNNNNNNNNNNNNNNNNNNNNNNNNNNNNNNNNNNNNNNNNNNNNNNNNNNNNNNNNNNNNNNNNNNNNNNNNNNNNNNNNNNNNNNNNNNNNNNNNNNNNNNNNNNNNNNNNNNNNNNNNNNNNNNNNNNNNNNNNNNNNNNNNNNNNNNNNNNNNNNNNNNNNNNNNNNNNNNNNNNNNNNNNNNNNNNNNNNNNNNNNNNNNNNNNNNNNNNNNNNNNNNNNNNNNNNNNNNNNNNNNNNNNNNNNNNNNNNNNNNNNNNNNNNNNNNNNNNNNNNNNNNNNNNNNNNNNNNNNNNNNNNNNNNNNNNNNNNNNNNNNNNNNNNNNNNNNNNNNNNNNNNNNNNNNNNNNNNNNNNNNNNNNNNNNNNNNNNNNNNNNNNNNNNNNNNNNNNNNNNNNNNNNNNNNNNNNNNNNNNNNNNNNNNNNNNNNNNNNNNNNNNNNNNNNNNNNNNNNNNNNNNNNNNNNNNNNNNNNNNNNNNNNNNNNNNNNNNNNNNNNNNNNNNNNNNNNNNNNNNNNNNNNNNNNNNNNNNNNNNNNNNNNNNNNNNNNNNNNNNNNNNNNNNNNNNNNNNNNNNNNNNNNNNNNNNNNNNNNNNNNNNNNNNNNNNNNNNNNNNNNNNNNNNNNNNNNNNNNNNNNNNNNNNNNNNNNNNNNNNNNNNNNNNNNNNNNNNNNNNNNNNNNNNNNNNNNNNNNNNNNNNNNNNNNNNNNNNNNNNNNNNNNNNNNNNNNNNNNNNNNNNNNNNNNNNNNNNNNNNNNNNNNNNNNNNNNNNNNNNNNNNNNNNNNNNNNNNNNNNNNNNNNNNNNNNNNNNNNNNNNNNNNNNNNNNNNNNNNNNNNNNNNNNNNNNNNNNNNNNNNNNNNNNNNNNNNNNNNNNNNNNNNNNNNNNNNNNNNNNNNNNNNNNNNNNNNNNNNNNNNNNNNNNNNNNNNNNNNNNNNNNNNNNNNNNNNNNNNNNNNNNNNNNNNNNNNNNNNNNNNNNNNNNNNNNNNNNNNNNNNNNNNNNNNNNNNNNNNNNNNNNNNNNNNNNNNNNNNNNNNNNNNNNNNNNNNNNNNNNNNNNNNNNNNNNNNNNNNNNNNNNNNNNNNNNNNNNNNNNNNNNNNNNNNNNNNNNNNNNNNNNNNNNNNNNNNNNNNNNNNNNNNNNNNNNNNNNNNNNNNNNNNNNNNNNNNNNNNNNNNNNNNNNNNNNNNNNNNNNNNNNNNNNNNNNNNNNNNNNNNNNNNNNNNNNNNNNNNNNNNNNNNNNNNNNNNNNNNNNNNNNNNNNNNNNNNNNNNNNNNNNNNNNNNNNNNNNNNNNNNNNNNNNNNNNNNNNNNNNNNNNNNNNNNNNNNNNNNNNNAGAUAGAACCUAUGAUGAGCAAGGAUCAACCACGUUGAGAAGAAACGCAUAAGAGAUUGAAUCAUGCACUUCAACCGUUCAUAUGAGCGGUUCAACUACAAUGAACAAUAUCAAAUCGCUAAUCUCAAACAGUGUUUGUGACAAAAUGAAGAUAGUCUAAGUGUUGCAAUCACUUAAACCAAAAUGUACCCAACGAAUGAUACAUAAGAUAAUCAAGAAUGCGUAGGAUCGAGUACAAGAAAAUAACAUAGAACAAUACCUCGAUCCAAAGAUGGGGGGCAAGAUCUCUCAACGAGAAGGAGGAAGAUGGUGGAAACACGCCGGGAAGAACGGAUCUCCAACCACACUUCCAAACGGGUGAGAGCUCGAGAGAGUUUGGAGAGGAGAGAGGAAAGACAGAAGUGGCGACGGCGGCUGGAAACAGGGCUGAGAAGGGAAGAGAAGAGAGGGAGAGGUAUAAAAAAGGAGAGGAGUCGGCCGCCAGAAAGCCGAAAACCGGUUCAACCGGUUUCAAAACCGGUUCAACCGGUUUCGGGUCAAACGGCACAGUAAAAGCGCGCAGAAAACAGUGUUGACUGCGCGCAAAACCUGGCAGUCUGACAGCACAGACUGCAAAACUGACAGCGCAGACUGCGCAGCUGUCAGCGCAGACUACGCGCGGACUGACGGCGCGACGGCCAAAACCGGUUCAGCCGGUUUUUAGACCGGUUCAACCGGUUUCCACCAGGACGAAACCGGUUGAGUGGCCUACUCAGCCGGUUUACUCAACCAGAUUUCAAAUAUUGCCUGGAAGGGCUGUAAUAUCACCUAGCAAUUAUGACAUGAGAUAUUAUAAAGAUAAAAAUGACAUUCUCAAUUCAUAUUGCUCAAACAAACAAUUUUCAAUCAUCAAAUUUGAUCAAAUUUUAGUUAUUAAGUCACGUUUCGAGAAUCCAAGAUAUUUAGCUCACUCCUAAGAAAACAAAACCUAGUCUCAUCAAGGGGUUUUGUGAAGAUAUCGGCUAGUUGAUUUUCGGUGCUCUCAUGAAAAAGUUCGAUAUCUCCUUUGGCUUCAUGGUCUCUCAAGAAAUGGUGUCUAAUGUCAAUAUGUUUAGUUCUAGAGUGUUGCACUGGAUUGUUUGCAAGUUUUAUGGCACUCUCAUUGUCACACAAAGAGGAAUUUUGUUAAACUCACAACCAAAAUCUCUAAGGGUUUGCUUCAUCCAUAACAACUGUGCACAACAUGCCCCAGCUGCUAUGUAUUCAGCUUCUGCAGUGGAGAGUGCAACACAAUUUUGUUUCUUGGAACUCCAUGACACUAAGGACCGCCCAAGGAAUUGGCAAGUCCCAGUAGUGCUUUUUCGAUCUACUUUGCAACCGGCAUAAUCUGAGUCAGAAUAGCCAAGCAAAUCGAAAAAGGAGCCUUUAGGAUACCAUAAUCCUAGGUUUUGGGUGUGGACUAAGUAUCUUAGAAUUCUCUUAACGGCUACAAGAUGACAGUCUUUAGGAUUUGCUUGAAAACGUGCACACAUACAAACACUCAACAUAAUAUCAGGCCUAGAUGCACAUAAGUAAAGCAGUGAUCCUAUCAUUGAUCUAUAUAAUUUUUGAUCUACAGGUUUACCUUCCUCAUUUAGGUCGAGAUGUCCAUUUGAUGACAUUGGAGUCUUGGCGUGCUUUGCUUUUUCCAUGCCAAACUUCUUGAGCAUAUCUUGAGUAUAUUUAGUUUGGCAUAAAAAGGUACCUUCCUUGAGUUGUUUGACUUGAAAUCCCAGGAAGUACUUAAGCUCGCCCAUCAUAGACAUCUCAAACCUGUUCGUCAUUACUUUGCUAAACUCUUCACAAAAUUUUUCAUUAGUACUACCAAAUAUAAUGUCAUCAACAUAUAUUUGGCACACAAAUAAUUCAUUAUCAACUUUUCGAGUAAACAAAGUAGAGUCAGCUUUUCCUAUUGUAAACCCAUUUUUAAUUAGAAAAUCUUUAAGACAAUCAUACCAAGCUCUAGGGGCUUGUUUAAGCCCGUAGAGUGCCUUGUGAAGAAGAUAAACAUGAUUUGGCUUCUUUGGGUCUUCGAAGCCCGGUGGUUGCUCCACAUAUACUCUUUCUUGUAGUGGUCCAUUUAGAAAAGCGCUCUUGACAUCCAUUUGAUAUAGCUUGAAAUCAUGGUUAGUAGCAUAGGCAAUUAAUAUUCUAAUUGAUUCUAACCUUGCUAUCGGCGCAUAUGUUUCACCAAAGUCAAGUCCUUCCACUUGAGUAUAGCCUUGGGCAACCAACCUUGCCUUGUUUCUUGUAACAACGCCAUUUUCAUCUUGCUUGUUCCUAAAGACCCAUUUAGUCCCAAUCACAUUUUGUUUGGGUCUUUGGACUAAGGACCAGACUUCAUUCCUAGUGAAGUUGUUCAACUCCUCUUGCAUCGCAGUUAUCCAAUCCGGAUCACCCAAUGCUUCUUCAACCUUAAGUGGCUCAAGAGAGGAAACAAACGAGUAAAAUUCACAAAAAUUAGCUAAACGUGAUCGAGUCGUUACCCCUCUCCUGAUGCUACCCAGGAUGUUGUCCACCGGAUGAUCCCUUUGAAUUGAAUGAUGGACUCUUGGAUGAGGCACUGAUGGAUGUCUUUGUAUUUGCUCUUCCUCAUCAGUUACUUGAUCAAGACGCACUUCACCAUCAAUAUUUUCUUGUUCAUCUUCUACCACUGUUGGCAUCCUUUGAUGAUUUUCUUCGUGGUUUGGAUGACUUGAGGUUGAUGGGUUUGCUUGGGUGGAGACAUUGUCACUCACCACCCUUGCACCCACAUCAACUACCUCAUUGGUCAUCCACAAGGUUCCUUCUUCAUCAUCCCUUUCUUGAGGUCUCACCUCACCUAUGGCAAGUUUCUUUAUGGCCUCACAAGGUAGUUUUUCAUUUCCUGCAGUGUCAUUAGAAACAUGCCCUUGCGAGCCAUUAGACUCAUCAAAUGUCACGUCUAUCGCUAUUUCAACAAGACCGGUGGAAUUGUUGAAAACACGAUAUCCAUGCGCAUUUGAUGCAUAACCAAGCAAGAAACCCUCGUCCACUCUAGGAGCAAACUUUGAGCUCUUGACUUUCUUGUUAAGAAUAAAACAUUUACAACCGAAUACUCUAAAAUAAUCAACUUUAGGUUUGUUACCAGUGAGAAGCUCAUAGGCAGUCUUUUUGUAGAUCUUAUGAAGAUAGAGGCGGUUGAUUGCAUGACAGGCGGUGUUGACCGCCUCUGCCCAGAAGUUGUCAGGUGUCUUGUAUUCAUCCAACAUGGUUCUUGCAGCUUCAAUUAGAGUCCGGUUCUUUCUUUCCACAACACCAUUUUGUUGUGGAGUGUAAGGCACCGAGAACUCAUGCUUGAUUCCCUCUUCUCCUAAGAAUUCUUCGACACCUGUGUUCUUGAAUUCCGUCCCAUUAUCGCUUCUCACUUUCUUGAUUUUGAGCUCAAAUUCAUUUUGAGCUCUCCUCAUGAAUUUCUUUAAGAUUUCUUGAGUUUCACCUUUGUCACUCAAAAAGAAAACCCAAGUGAAUCGAGAAAAAUCAUCAACAAUAACUAAACCAUACUUACUACCACCAAUGCUAAUGUAGGCCACAGGUCCGAAGAGGUCCAUGUGAAGAAGCUCCAAUGGCCUCUUUGUUGUGACCACAUUCUUUGAUUGAUGUGGGACUCCAUGUUGCUUUCCUGCUUGGCAUGCGCCACAAACCCUAUCUUUCUCAAAUACAACAUUGGUUAGUCCAAUGAUGUGAUUAUCCUUUUGAAGUUUGGCCAAAUUCCUCAUACCGACAUGGGCUAGCCGGCGAUGCCAUAGCCAACCCUUGUCGGAUUUUGCCACUAAACAAGUCUCAGGCGUCACUUUACUUGUUGUGAAAUCAACAAGAUAAAGUUUACCCUUCAAGCGACCUGUAAAGGCAACUGAGGAGUCCUCCCUUCUAAGGAUUUUCACAUCCACAUUCGAAAAUAAGCAAUUAUAACCCAUUCCACAAAGUUGUGAAACAGACAACAAAUUAUAGCUCAAGGAAUCUACUAAUAAAACAUUUGAAAGUGAUUGUUGGUCAGAGAUAGGAAUUUUACCAAUACCAAUCACCUUACUCUUGCCACUAUCUCCAAACACAAUUUCUUGUGCUUCUUGAGUUAGUUGCAAUGUAUGAAACAUGUCUUUCUCCCCGGUCAUGUGAUUUGUACAUCCACUGUCAAGCACCCAACUUGACCCACCAGAGGAGUAGACCUGCAAAACAAGUUUAGGCUAUACUUUUAGGUACCCAAAUUGAAUUGGGUCCUACAGUGUUAGUUAUAGCCUUGGGUACCCACACACUUCUUUUCAUGACUUUUUGUUUAGUGUAGGCACCCACAUAUUUCACAACUAAUUUCCCUGAAUCCCAAGUCAACAUAUAAUCACAAAGAUAUGAGUGGGAAAUGGGAGCAUUAGAUUUUUGUCCACUUGAGGAUCCCACUUCCUUCAUCUUACUCUUUGUGGAACUCAAGUUAACCUUUACCUGAGAUGACUUGUCAUUUGAGGAGUGGAUCCUCCCCAAGGCAUCAUAUAGAGUGGUUCCCUCUAUGAACUUGGGGGAUCUCCACCCCUUAUGCACUGUGCUAGGGUUUUCCUUGGAUGAAUUGAACCCAAGCCCCCUUCUACCAUUGUUGGACUUAAGGGACUUGUACUUGGGUUCAACUUUCUUUAACCCAUCAUUGCUAGAGCAUCUUUUCAAAAUUUCUUUGACCUUCACCUGUGGGCUUUGCUUCCUUGCAUGGUUAGUUAGACAACAAGAAGCAUGAUAUUUGGCACAAUGCUUGCAAGAAUUAUCAUUAGAGCUAGACUUAGAUUCAAAUACUAAAGUGGGGGCAUUGAUGUUCUUGCAAUUUUCAAGUUGCACUUGAAGUUCUUGAUUUUGAACAUUCAAGCUUAACAUGCUUGAUUCAAGUGCAUUCUUUUCAUUUGCAAGGUUAUCAAUAGAGGUUUUCAAGUUAAUUACUUCUAUAUCUUUAUUGUGAAUCAACUCUUGAAGCUCUAGGUUUCUUUCCUUUUCAAGGAUAAGCAAGUCUUCUUGAGCAUCAAGAGUUGCCUUUCUUUUAUCUAGCUUUUCCAUUAAUUUUGUGAUAACAUUGUAUCCAUUUAAGCCAAAUUCUUUAAUCAUUUUAUUUUUCAUGGCAAUUUGAUCAUCAUCAUCAUCAUUUGAAAAAUCAUUACUAAAUAAAGUUACCUUAUCUCCUUUUGCCAUGAGGCAAGUUGGAAUGUAGGAGUCGUCUUGAAGGUUGGUGAAGAGUUGCGCGCUUGAGGUAGAUUGGAUGGCCACAUUUGCCACCACUUCCUCUUCCUCGGAGCUAGAACUCUCAUCAUCGGAGUUCCAUUCUUCACCAAUAUGAGCUUGUCCAUACUUCUUCUUCUUGAAGUAUCCCUUGGUCUUGCCUCCCUUUUUAAACUUAUCCUUCUUGUAUUCCUUCUUGGCUUCUUGUUCCUUCUUGUUAGGACAAUCCGCUAUGAAAUGACCGGUUUGGCCACAUUCAUAGCAUGCCCUCUUCUUUCCUUUCCUUUGGAACUUGUCAUUCUUCCUUACAAAUUUCUUGAAAGUUUUGAUGAACAUAGCUGUGUCUUCAUCACUUGAGCUAUCUUCAUCACUUGAGGUCUCGACCACUUUCUUUGCUUUGUGGUCUUUGCUCUUCUUGAGAUUGUCUUGUUCAUUUGUGAUCAAGGCAUGAGAGUCUCUUGUCUUGAUGGGGGCUUCCUCGGACUCGUGUUGUUGAAUUUUUGCAAAUAGUUGAUGAGGCAUCAUGUCCUCAUAAUCAUCACGAUCCCUUAUCAUCCUUGCAAGACUUUUAUCUUUCUCUUUAUAAGCUCUCAUGAACAAUCUUGUGGCCUUGGAGUCACUCCAAUCUUCACUCCCAAGUACUCUUAUUUUGUUGACCAAUACCAUCAAUCGAUCAAAGAGUGAUUGGAGCGACUCACCCUUUGUCCAAUCAUACCUUGCAAGCUCACUUUCCAAAGCUUCAACUCUAUGUCUUUUAGCUUUGGGAUCUCCUUCAUGUGACAUUCUAAGAAUGUUCCAAAUGUCACGAGCAUCUUCUCUUCCUUGAACUUUCCGGUAUUCUUCCGGACAAAGACUUCCUUUGAUUAUGCUCACUGCUUGAGCAUUUCGAUGAACCUCUUGCAUCAUUUCCGGAGUCAUCUCUUCUCCUUGGGCGGGCUUAUACAUACCUACAUUAACAAUCUCCCAAAGACUAGGAUGCACACCGAUUAAAUGCGACUUCAUCUUGUCGGCCCACUCAUCAUAGUUCAACUCACUAAGAGUUGGUAACUUUCCAAGUGGGGCGGAAGAGAAGUUGGGAAUAUAAUUUCUAGAGUAAUCGAAUUGAACUUUGCUAAAGUCAUUACCUUUGCUUUUGGUAGAUGAUCCUUCGGUGUUGAAACUUACCUUGCUCAAUACCUUAGACACCAAAAGGUCCACUAGAUCGUCAUUAUAAUCAAACGUUCCCUUACCUUUACCUUCUUCGGCCUUUCUUCUUGUUUCCUCUUCUUCGGCCUUUUUCCUAGCAUCUUCCUCUUUCAUUUUGAGGAACAUUUUCUCGGCAAUCUUCAUGGCGAGGUCGAGGACCUUGGGGUCCACUUCCUCACCGGAAGAUGUGACGGGGAUUUCCUCGAGAAGAGGAUCCACAUGGUCCCGUUGUGUAGACAUGAUCGUUUCCUCACGCGGUUAAGCGUAAAACGAGGCACGAAGCUCUGAUACCAAUUGAAAGUAGCCUAGAGGGGGGGGUGAAUAGGCUACACCUGAAAAUUUUCACUAAAAACUUCGAAAUAGGUUAAAUUAAAGUUGCACAGGUGCAAACCGGUUCAGCCGAUUUUAAUCACAACUGAACAAGUUUGAACCCACUCAACUUGAAUUUAAUAAUCUAUUGAACAAAUUAAAAGUAGUAAAGAAAAUAGCUAAAGAUUUGCCCUACACAAGAACUACUUGAAUGAAUAAUAUGAACCAACCACCGAAUAUGAAAUGCUUAUCAAGAACACACAAGAACACGCGAUAUAACCCGAGGUUCGGCAACCACCACAAAGGUGUCCUACUCCUCGUUGAGGAACCCACAAAGGGCCGGGUCUUUUCCAACCCUAAUCCUCCACAAGCCGACCACAAAGGUCAAGGCAAUCUCUUCUCAAAUCUGCUCAAGGAGCGGGUGAUACAAACUUCUUGGGGUCGUCCACAAAUUUGGAGACUCCCAAGCAACCUCUAACCGUCAAGGAACACGAGGUUCCAAGAGUAACAAAUCCGCACACGGUUAAGUUUGCAACGAGCUCAAGAACAAGAGAAUGGGAGAAUCGAGAUGAAAUAGACAGCGAGUUCGAUCGAGUUCACCUCACACCAAGGGUCCUUCAAAUGAUUGAAGGAGAUGCGAUUGCGGGUGUGAGAGGUGAAGUGAAUGCUCUUGUUUGAGGGUUGGUCAGCCAAAGAUUCGUGGGAGAGGCAGUAGUUAAUGAGAGAGAGAGUGUGAGGGGGUAUAUAAAGGAUCCCCCAAAAGCUGGCAGCCGUUGGGAGGAAAAGGGCAAAAACCGGUUGAACCGGUUUUCAAACCGGUUGAACCGGUUUCUACCAGGGGGAUCCCGGUCCACUGGUCUACUCAGCCGGACACUCGACCGGUUUCAAAACCGGCUGAGUAGGAUCAAAUUUCGUCUCAACCGGUUUCAGAAAAAUAUCUGCUGCGACUUUUCUGACAGCUCUGACUGUCAGACAGGUCAGAGCAGAGGUGGCAGGAUGAACAGUACCAAAACCGGUUGAACCGGUUUCUGGACCGGUUGAACCGGUUUUGGGGGCUGAAACCAAACUUUGAGAAUUUGAAGAGAACUUAGGUGGAGACUUUGUGGGAAGUGAAAUUUGUUUUUCUCAAGAGCAUUCAUGAUCUGGAAAAGAUGAUUCUCAAAUGAGUUUUCAAAAGAAUUGAACUUGGCUCGUUUCACAACUUACUUAACCGUCGCGGAUCCCUCUUAAUUGUACGGCGAUUCCUAUGAUUCAAGAAUUUUAAACUUAGUACCGCCGACGUUUCAUAGCACUUGGAGCACGCCAUUUGAUGUGGAAAUUUAAAUCCGCUGUGCUUUAUACUUUUAUGCUCGUAGGAUCUGUGCUUCUCCUGUCUGUAAAAAUACUGUGUACACACUAGGAGCAAACUUGUUAGAAUCUUAGUUUGUUUUGUCAUUAAUCACCAAAACCCUCAAUAGGGUUGAUUGCACUUACAAUCUCCCCCUUUUUGGUGAUUGAUGCCAAAACAAACUAGAAUGGAAAUAAUAAUUAAAAGUUACACAUACUUGUGAUAAAAGUCUUUUGUGUAUAUGUAGCUCCCCCUAAAUAUGUGCAUGAGUUUUGCGAUAUUCACAUUGACUUGAUAUGUCAAUUUGCAACAUAUUUAGAGAGAGAACAAUCAACACCAUACACAAAAAAAUGAUGAGAUAUGAAACAUAAUUGAAUAUAAAGAGUAAAAGCACAUUCAAGCUCAUCAUCGCAUAGCAUAUGAUAUGAAAAAGGUCUACAGCUAUUACAAUAGUGAGAGCUCGUCUCAACACAUCAUCAAGUGUUUAUGGCUUCCAAGCCAUGCAUGCAGCAAAUAGUAGUUAUUACAGACCAAGUGUUCAUUACAAAAAUAAAGUACUGAAUAGUAAACGUUCUCCCCCUUUUUGGCACCAAGAACCAAAAAGAGAGAGAGAGACGCGUCAAGCCACGAAUCACCAGUGGGGAGGAGGUUGAUGAGGAGCAAAGAGGUGUUGCGCCAGGUCGUAGGCAAAAUGUUCCUCUCCAGACUGGGCCGGAGGAGGAGCACUGCCAGACGGGUCCUGGGCGGAGGGUAAGAGGACGAUUGACUCGGAUCCCCGCGAUAUGGGGGAGGGUCAAACUGCUCCGGAUCAUCAAAAUAGGUUUCUUCUUCGACGUCAUCGGCUGAAGAGAAAGGUACCCCAUACGCCUGCUGGUACCACUCAUUCACAUCUGGAGGAGGAGGGUGAAGAGGUACAUCAGGAGAGCGAGGGGCGAAGGGAGUACCCAAAGCAGAAGCUUGACGACGAAGGUUGUCGUCGGUCUCCCGCUGACGUCGAGCCACCUCAUGGACAUCUGCGGCAAUAUUUCGGCACAUGGAGAAGAAGGCCGCAAACCCGUGGGCCAGGCGGGCACCCAUCCCACGUCCACGACCUCGACCACGACCACGACCACGUGGUGUGGGAGAUCCGCGGCCAGGGGAAGAGCGCGAGGCACCACCAGCAGCAGCAGCAGCACCAGCACCGGCAGACGGACCAGCAGAUGUAGGACCACGGGAACUGGAGGGAGCUUUCCUGAGACGCCCAGCUGGAUUGUUGGGAUCAAUCCAGAAGGGAGUGUAUGACUGAUGUCGGGUGCCUUUCUCAAAUCUGAAUUGGGUCACGACCUCAAUCAUCUUCAUAAUGAAUGGGGCAUGAAGACACCCCUUCAAAGGAAAGCAGGCUGCAUGAAUGAUCUCCUGCCAAAUCAUGUCAAAGACAUUAAUCCUUUCUGAGCUGUUUGGUUUCAUAAAAGAGAGCAAGACUUUGCUCUCGCCAAGGAUGUUCAUCUGAUUUCCCCCUUUUGGAAUGAGGGUCAUCCUGCAGAGGGAGUUGAUAUAGCGAUAAUACUUGUGAAUGUUGGUUGACUCCCAAUACUUUCCAGACUCAGACAAAUGAAGGUCCUUGGCUUCAUCUCUUGUGGGCUGACGGAAAUCAUGAAUCUUGAUCCUGUCUCCAGAUAUAUCCUCGUCAGAAAAACCAAGAAUGUGAGCAAAUCGACGAUAGCUCACCUUGUACCAACUACCUUCAAUGAAGAAGUUUAGAUAGGGGUAGUUGUAAUGGCUCUCCUCAUCAGCCAGCUUUAUCCAGAGAGUGGAAUAAAAUUGUGCAAUCACUUCAUCAUUCCAAUCAUAAUGGAAUGUCAUGAUGUUCUUCAUUUGCUUCCUUUCACAGGCCCUCAGUGCCUGUGACAUCUCUGGGUCUCCAAUUGCUUCGCAACCUUCCCAGUUAAUAUAACGUUGAUGAAGGAUGGGCUGAUGCUUCUUGGGAAGAAUAACUGAAUUAUAGAAAUCAACAUGGUGAAGAGUCCAGAAACGAUUUCCAUCGAUCCUGGCAUCGUGAAUACGCAAUACCGGAUUUUGGAAACGCAGAUCCUGGAGAAGUGCAGACCCUCCACUGGCCGUGAAGUCCGUGACUGGCUCAUUGCCAGCACGCCGAGCCUCGGCCCGGUGGAGCACCAAGCCGCGAAUCACAGGAGCCGACGCGGGGGGAAGAUCAACCUCAUCGUCCUUCCCACCGUCAUCGUCACUUGCAGGCUCCCACGCCUGCGGAUUCGUGGCAGGUCGAGACCUACCGGAGGGAGUCCGGGAAGUCCGACCCCGAGCACUUUGAGACCCGGAGGCCUCAGUACCCGGCAUGACAUUUCCACAUCUGCGCCCUCGCUUGGAUCGAGAGCGAGGAGGGGUAUCACCAUGGAUCUCCUGUUCAUCCAAAGAGUCGGAUUCUACCACUGACGGGUUCCUUCGUCGCACCAUUCUAAGAAAUAAGAGAUAGAACCUAUGAUGAGCAAGGAUCAACCACGCUUGAGAAGAAACGCAUAAGAGAUUGAAUCAUGCACUUCAACCGUUCAUAUGAGCGGUUCAACUACAAUGAACAAUAUCAAAUCGCUAAUCUCAAACAGUGUUUGUGACAAAAUGAAGAUAGUCUAAGUGUUGCAAUCACUUAAACCAAAAUGUACCCAACGAAUGAUACAUAAGAUAAUCAAGAAUGCGUAGGAUCGAGUACAAGAAAAUAACAUAGAACAAUACCUCGAUCCGAAGAUGGGGGGCAAGAUCUCUCAACGAGAAGGAGGAAGAUGGUGGAAACACGCCGGGAAGAACGGAUCUCCAACCACACUUCCAAACGGGUGAGAGCUCGAGAGAGUUUGGAGAGGAGAGAGGAAAGACAGAAGUGGCGGCGGCGGCUGGAAACAGGGCUGAGAAGGGAAGAGAAGAGAGGGAGAGGUAUAAAAAAGGAGAGGAGUCGGCCGCCAGAAAGCCGAAAACCGGUUCAACCGGUUUCAAAACCGGUUCAACCGGUUUCGGGUCAAACGGCGCAGUAAAAGCGCGUAGAAAACAGUGUUGACUGCGCGCAAAACCUGGCAGUCUGACAGCACAGACUGCAAAACUGACAGCGCAGACUGCGCAGCUGUCAGCGCAGACUACGCGCGGACUGACGGCGCGACGGCCAAAACCGGUUCAGCCGGUUUUUAGACCGGUUCAACCGGUUUCCACCAGGACGAAACCGGUUGAGUGGCCUACUCAGCCGGUUUACUCAACCAGAUUUCAAAUAUUGCCUGGAAGGGCUGUAAUAUCACUUAGCAAUUAUGACAUGAGAUAUUAUAAAGAUAAAAAUGACAUUUCUCAAUUCAUAUUGCUCAAACAAACAAUUUUCAAUCAUCAAAUUUGAUCAAAAUUUUAUUUAUUAAGUCACGUUUCGAGAAUCCAAGAUAUUUAGCUCACUCCUAAGAAAACAAAACCUAGUCUCAUCAAGGGGUUUUGUGAAGAUAUCGGCUAGUUGAUUUUCGGUGCUCUCAUGAAAAAGUUCGAUAUCUCCUUUGGCUUCAUGGUCUCUCAAGAAAUGGUGUCUAAUGUCAAUAUGUUUAGUUCUAGAGUGUUGCACUGGAUUGUUUGCAAGUUUUAUGGCACUCUCAUUGUCACACAAAAGAGGAAUUUUGUUAAACUCACAACCAAAAUCUCUAAGGGUUUGCUUCAUCCAUAACAACUGUGCACAACAUGCCCCAGCUGCUAUGUAUUCAGCUUCUGCAGUGGAGAGUGCAACACAAUUUUGUUUCUUGGAACUCCAUGACACUAAGGACCGCCCAAGGAAUUGGCAAGUCCCAGUAGUGCUUUUUCGAUCUACUUUGCAACCGGCAUAAUCUGAGUCAGAAUAGCCAAGCAAAUCGAAAAAGGAGCCUUUAGGAUACCAUAAUCCUAGGUUUUGGGUGUGGACUAAGUAUCUUAGAAUUCUCUUAACGGCUACAAGAUGACAGUCUUUAGGAUUUGCUUGAAAACGUGCACACAUACAAACACUCAACAUAAUAUCAGGCCUAGAUGCACAUAAGUAAAGCAGUGAUCCUAUCAUUGAUCUAUAUAAUUUUUGAUCUACAGGUUUACCUUCCUCAUUUAGGUCGAGAUGUCCAUUUGAUGACAUUGGAGUCUUGGCGUGCUUUGCUUUUUCCAUGCCAAACUUCUUGAGCAUAUCUUGAGUAUAUUUAGUUUGGCAUAAAAAGGUACCUUCCUUGAGUUGUUUGACUUGAAAUCCCAGGAAGUACUUAAGCUCGCCCAUCAUAGACAUCUCAAACCUGUUCGUCAUUACUUUGCUAAACUCUUCACAAAAUUUUUCAUUAGUACUACCAAAUAUAAUGUCAUCAACAUAUAUUUGGCACACAAAUAAUUCAUUAUCAACUUUUCGAGUAAACAAAGUAGAGUCAGCUUUUCCUAUUGUAAACCCAUUUUUAAUUAGAAAAUCUUUAAGACAAUCAUACCAAGCUCUAGGGGCUUGUUUAAGCCCGUAGAGUGCCUUGUGAAGAAGAUAAACAUGAUUUGGCUUCUUUGGGUCUUCGAAGCCCGGUGGUUGCUCCACAUAUACUCUUUCUUGUAGUGGUCCAUUUAGAAAAGCGCUCUUGACAUCCAUUUGAUAUAGCUUGAAAUCAUGGUUAGUAGCAUAGGCAAUUAAUAUUCUAAUUGAUUCUAACCUUGCUACCGGCGCAUAUGUUUCACCAAAGUCAAGUCCUUCCACUUGAGUAUAGCCUUGGGCAACCAACCUUGCCUUGUUUCUUGUAACAACGCCAUUUUCAUCUUGCUUGUUCCUAAAGACCCAUUUAGUCCCAAUCACAUUUUGUUUGGGUCUUUGGACUAAGGACCAGACUUCAUUCCUAGUGAAGUUGUUCAACUCCUCUUGCAUCGCAGUUAUCCAAUCCGGAUCACCCAAUGCUUCUUCAACCUUAAGUGGCUCAAGAGAGGAAACAAACGAGUAAAAUUCACAAAAAUUAGCUAAACGUGAUCGAGUCGUUACCCCUCUCCUGAUGCUACCCAGGAUGUUGUCCACCGGAUGAUCCCUUUGAAUUGAAUGAUGGACUCUUGGAUGAGGCACUGAUGGAUGUCUUUGUAUUUGCUCUUCCUCAUCAGUUACUUGAUCAAGACGCACUUCACCAUCAAUAUUUUCUUGUUCAUCUUCUACCACUGUUGGCAUCCUUUGAUGAUUUUCUUCGUGGUUUGGAUGACUUGAGGUUGAUGGGUUUGCUUGGGUGGAGACAUUGUCACUCACCACCCUUGCACCCACAUCAACUACCUCAUUGGUCAUCCACAAGGUUCCUUCUUCAUCAUCCCUUUCUUGAGGUCUCACCUCACCUAUGGCAAGUUUCUUUAUGGCCUCACAAGGUAGUUUUUCAUUUCCUGCAGUGUCAUUAGAAACAUGCCCUUGCGAGCCAUUAGACUCAUCAAAUGUCACGUCUAUCGCUAUUUCAACAAGACCGGUGGAAUUGUUGAAAACACGAUAUCCAUGCGCAUUUGAUGCAUAACCAAGCAAGAAACCCUCGUCCACUCUAGGAGCAAACUUUGAGCUCUUGACUUUCUUGUUAAGAAUAAAACAUUUACAACCGAAUACUCUAAAAUAAUCAACUUUAGGUUUGUUACCAGUGAGAAGCUCAUAGGCAGUCUUUUUGUAGAUCUUAUGAAGAUAGAGGCGGUUGAUUGCAUGACAGGCGGUGUUGACCGCCUCUGCCCAGAAGUUGUCAGGUGUCUUGUAUUCAUCCAACAUGGUUCUUGCAGCUUCAAUUAGAGUCCGGUUCUUUCUUUCCACAACACCAUUUUGUUGUGGAGUGUAAGGCACCGAGAACUCAUGCUUGAUUCCCUCUUCUCCUAAGAAUUCUUCGACACCUGUGUUCUUGAAUUCCGUCCCAUUAUCGCUUCUCACUUUCUUGAUUUUGAGCUCAAAUUCAUUUUGAGCUCUCCUCAUGAAUUUCUUUAAGAUUUCUUGAGUUUCACCUUUGUCACUCAAAAAGAAAACCCAAGUGAAUCGAGAAAAAUCAUCAACAAUAACUAAACCAUACUUACUACCACCAAUGCUAAUGUAGGCCACAGGUCCGAAGAGGUCCAUGUGAAGAAGCUCCAAUGGCCUCUUUGUUGUGACCACAUUCUUUGAUUGAUGUGGGACUCCAUGUUGCUUUCCUGCUUGGCAUGCGCCACAAACCCUAUCUUUCUCAAAUACAACAUUGGUUAGUCCAAUGAUGUGAUUAUCCUUUUGAAGUUUGGCCAAAUUCCUCAUACCGACAUGGGCUAGCCGGCGAUGCCAUAGCCAACCCUUGUCGGAUUUUGCCACUAAACAAGUCUCAGGCGUCACUUUACUUGUUGUGAAAUCAACAAGAUAAAGUUUACCCUUCAAGCGACCUAUAAAGGCAACUGAGGAGUCCUCCCUUCUAAGGAUUUUCACAUCCACAUUCGAAAAUAAGCAAUUAUAACCCAUUCCACAAAGUUGUGAAACGGACAACAAAUUAUAGCUCAAGGAAUCUACUAAUAAAACAUUUGAAAGUGAUUGUUGGUCAGAGAUAGGAAUUUUACCAAUACCAAUCACCUUACUCUUGCCACUAUCUCCAAACACAAUUUCUUGUGCUUCUUGAGUUAGUUGCAAUGUAUGAAACAUGUCUUUCUCCCCGGUCAUGUGAUUUGUACAUCCACUGUCAAGCACCCAACUUGACCCACCAGAGGAGUAGACCUGCAAAACAAGUUUAGGCUAUACUUUUAGGUACCCAAAUUGAAUUGGGUCCUACAGUGUUAGUUAUAGCCUUGGGUACCCACACACUUCUUUUCAUGACUUUUUGUUUAGUGUAGGCACCCACAUAUUUCACAACUAAUUUCCCUGAAUCCCAAGUCAACAUAUAAUCACAAAGAUAUGAGUGGGAAAUGGGAGCAUUAGAUUUUUGUCCACUUGAGGAUCCCACUUCCUUCAUCUUACUCUUUGUGGAACUCAAGUUAACCUUUACCUGAGAUGACUUGUCAUUUGAGGAGUGGAUCCUCCCCAAGGCAUCAUAUAGAGUGGUUCCCUCUAUGAACUUGGGGGAUCUCCACCCCUUAUGCACUGUGCUAGGGUUUUCCUUGGAUGAAUUGAACCCAAGCCCCCUUCUACCAUUGUUGGACUUAAGGGACUUGUACUUGGGUUCAACUUUCUUUAACCCAUCAUUGCUAGAGCAUCUUUUCAAAAUUUCUUUGACCUUCACCUGUGGGCUUUGCUUCCUUGCAUGGUUAGUUAGACAACAAGAAGCAUGAUAUUUGGCACAAUGCUUGCAAGAAUUAUCAUUAGAGCUAGACUUAGAUUCAAAUACUAAAGUGGGGGCAUUGAUGUUCUUGCAAUUUUCAAGUUGCACUUGAAGUUCUUGAUUUUGAACAUUCAAGCUUAACAUGCUUGAUUCAAGUGCAUUCUUUUCAUUUGCAAGGUUAUCAAUAGAGGUUUUCAAGUUAAUUACUUCUAUAUCUUUAUUGUGAAUCAACUCUUGAAGCUCUAGGUUUCUUUCCUUUUCAAGGAUAAGCAAGUCUUCUUGAGCAUCAAGAGUUGCCUUUCUUUUAUCUAGCUUUUCCAUUAAUUUUGUGAUAACAUUGUAUCCAUUUAAGCCAAAUUCUUUAAUCAUUUUAUUUUUCAUGGCAAUUUGAUCAUCAUCAUCAUCAUUUGAAAAAUCAUUACUAAAUAAAGUUACCUUAUCUCCUUUUGCCAUGAGGCAAGUUGGAAUGUAGGAGUCGUCUUGAAGGUUGGUGAAGAGUUGCGCGCUUGAGGUAGAUUGGAUGGCCACAUUUGCCACCACUUCCUCUUCCUCGGAGCUAGAACUCUCAUCAUCGGAGUUCCAUUCUUCACCAAUAUGAGCUUGUCCAUACUUCUUCUUCUUGAAGUAUCCCUUGGUCUUGCCUCCCUUUUUAAACUUAUCCUUCUUGUAUUCCUUCUUGGCUUCUUGUUCCUUCUUGUUAGGACAAUCCGCUAUGAAAUGACCGGUUUGGCCACAUUCAUAGCAUGCCCUCUUCUUUCCUUUCCUUUGGAACUUGUCAUUCUUCCUUACAAAUUUCUUGAAAGUUUUGAUGAACAUAGCUGUGUCUUCAUCACUUGAGCUAUCUUCAUCACUUGAGGUCUCGACCACUUUCUUUGCUUUGUGGUCUUUGCUCUUCUUGAGAUUGUCUUGUUCAUUUGUGAUCAAGGCAUGAGAGUCUCUUGUCUUGAUGGGGGCUUCCUCGGACUCGUGUUGUUGAAUUUUUGCAAAUAGUUGAUGAGGCGUCAUGUCCUCAUAAUCAUCACGAUCCCUUAUCAUCCUUGCAAGACUUUUAUCUUUCUCUUUAUAAGCUCUCAUGAACAAUCUUGUGACCUUGGAGUCACUCCAAUCUUCACUCCCAAGUACUCUUAUUUUGUUGACCAAUACCAUCAAUCGAUCAAAGAGUGAUUGGAGCGACUCACCCUUUGUCCAAUCAUACCUUGCAAGCUCACUUUCCAAAGCUUCAACUCUAUGUCUUUUAGCUUUGGGAUCUCCUUCAUGUGACAUUCUAAGAAUGUUCCAAAUGUCACGAGCAUCUUCUCUUCCUUGAACUUUCCGGUAUUCUUCCGGACAAAGACUUCCUUUGAUUAUGCUCACUGCUUGAGCAUUUCGAUGAACCUCUUGCAUCAUUUCCGGAGUCAUCUCUUCUCCUUGGGCGGGCUUAUACAUACCUACAUUAACAAUCUCCCAAAGACUAGGAUGCACACCGAUUAAAUGCGACUUCAUCUUGUCGGCCCACUCAUCAUAGUUCAACUCACUAAGAGUUGGUAACUUUCCAAGUGGGGCGGAAGAGAAGUUGGGAAUAUAAUUUCUAGAGUAAUCGAAUUGAACUUUGCUAAAGUCAUUACCUUUGCUUUUGGUAGAUGAUCCUUCGGUGUUGAAACUUACCUUGCUCAAUACCUUAGACACCAAAAGGUCCACUAGAUCGUCAUUAUAAUCAAACGUUCCCUUACCUUUACCUUCUUCGGCCUUUCUUCUUGUUUCCUCUUCUUCGGCCUUUUUCCUAGCAUCUUCCUCUUUCAUUUUGAGGAACAUUUUCUCGGCAAUCUUCAUGGCGAGGUCGAGGACCUUGGGGUCCACUUCCUCACCGGAAGAUGUGACGGGGAUUUCCUCGAGAAGAGGAUCCACAUGGUCCCGUUGUGUAGACAUGAUCGUUUCCUCACGCGGUUAAGCGUAAAACGAGGCACGAAGCUCUGAUACCAAUUGAAAGUAGCCUAGAGGGGGGGUGAAUAGGCUACACCUGAAAAUUUUCACUAAAAACUUCGAAAUAGGUUAAAUUAAAGUUGCACAGGUGCAAACCGGUUCAGUCGAUUUUAAUCACAACUGAACAAGUUUGAACCCACUCAACUUGAAUUUAAUAAUCUAUUGAACAAAUUCGAAGUAGUAAAGAAAAUAGCUAAAGAUUUGCCCUACACAAGAACUACUUGAAUGAAUAAUAUGAACCAACCACCGAAUAUGAAAUGCUUAUCAAGAACACACAAGAACACGCGAUAUAACCCGAGGUUCGGCAACCACCACAAAGGUGUCCUACUCCUCGUUGAGGAACCCACAAAGGGCCGGGUCUUUUCCAACCCUAAUCCUCCACAAGCCGACCACAAAGGUCAAGGCAAUCUCUUCUCAAAUCUGCUCAAGGAGCGGGUGAUACAAACUUCUUGGGGUCGUCCACAAAUUUGGAGACUCCCAAGCAACCUCUAACCGUCAAGGAACACGAGGUUCCAAGAGUAACAAAUCCGCACACGGUUAAGUUUGCAACGAGCUCAAGAACAAGAGAAUGGGAGAAUCGAGAUGAAAUAGACAGCGAGUUCGAUCGAGUUCACCUCACACCAAGGGUCCUUCAAAUGAUUGAAGGAGAUGCGAUUGCGGGUGUGAGAGGUGAAGUGAAUGCUCUUGUUUGAGGGUUGGUCAGCCAAAGAUUCGUGGGAGAGGCAGUAGUUAAUGAGAGAGAGAGUGUGAGGGGGUAUAUAAAGGAUCCCCCAAAAGCUGGCAGCCGUUGGGAGGAAAAGGGCAAAAACCGGUUGAACCGGUUUUCAAACCGGUUGAACCGGUUUCUACCAGGGGGAUCCCGGUCCACUGGUCUACUCAGCCGGACACUCGACCGGUUUCAAAACCGGCUGAGUAGGAUCAAAUUUCGGCUCAACCGGUUUCAGAAAAAUAUCUGCUGCGACUUUUCUGACAGCUCUGACUGUCAGACAGGUCAGAGCAGAGGUGGCAGGAUGAACAGUACCAAAACCGGUUGAACCGGUUUCUGGACCGGUUGAACCGGUUUUGGGGGCUGAAACCAAACUUUGAGAAUUUGAAGAGAACUUAGGUGGAGACUUUGUGGGAAGUGAAAUUUGUUUUUCUCAAGAGCAUUCAUGAUCUGGAAAAGAUGAUUCUCAAAUGAGUUUUCAAAAGAAUUGAACUUGGCUCGUUUCACAACUUACUUAACCGUCGCGGAUCCCUCUUAAUUGUACGACGAUUCCUAUGAUUCAAGAAUUUUAAACUUAGUACCGCCGACGUUUCAUAGCACUUGGAGCACGCCAUUUGAUGUGGAAAUUUAAAUCCGCUGUGCUUUAUACUUUUAUGCUCGUAGGAUCUGUGCUUCUCCUGUCUGUAAAAAUACUGUGUACACACUAGGAGCAAACUUGUUAGAAUCUUAGUUUGUUUUGUCAUUAAUCACCAAAACCCUCAAUUAGGGUUGAUUGCACUUACAGGUAAGUCCGGUCAUUUUAUUGUUAAAUGUCCUAUGUCUAGUGAAAGUGACAGGGAUGACGACAAGAAAGGGAAGAAGAAGGAAAAGAAGAGGUACUACAAGAAGAAGGGCGACGAUGCCCACUUGUGUCGGGAAUGGGACUCCGACGAGAGCUCCACCGACUCCUCCUCCGACGAGGACGCCGCCAACAUCGUCGUCAACAAGGGCCUCCUCUUCCCCAACGUCGGCCGCAAGUGUUUCAUGGCGAAGGACGACAAGAAAAAGAAGGUACAAUCUAGAGCCACCCCCAAAUAUACAACAUCUAGUGAUGACGGUAGCUCUAGUGAAGAUGAAGAUGAUUUGCUUAAUCUUUUUGCCGACCUCAACAUGAAACAAAAGAAAAAGUUAAAUGAAUUAAUAGAAGCUAUUCAUGAGACGGAUGAUCUCUUGGAAAGCCAAGAGGACUUCCUUAUUAAAGAAAACAAGAAACAUGUUAAAGUGAAAAAUGUGUAUGCUCAGGAAGUAGAAAAAAUGUGAAAACCUAACCAAAGAGCUUAGCAUUUGUCAUGAUUGUAUUUCUAGCCUUAGGAAUGAAAAUGCUAGCUUAAUUUCCAAGGUUAAAGAAUUGAAUGUUUGUCAUAAUUCAAUUUCUAGUCUUAGAAAUGAGAAUGCUAGUUUAGUUUCUAAGAUUAAAGAAUUGAAUGUUUGCAAUGAUUCUAUUUCCUGUCUUAAAGAUGAAAAUGCCAUGUUAAAAUCUAAGAUAGAUGAAUUAAAUACUUGCAAACCCUCUACAUCUACUAUCGAGCAUGUUUCUAUUUGUACUAGAUGCAGAGAUGUUAAUGUUGAUGCUAUAAAUGAUCACCUUGCUCUAAUUAAACAACAAAAUGAUCAUAUAGCUCAAUUAACUGCUAAAAUUAAUGAGCAUGAAAUUGAAAAUGAAAAGUUUAAAUUUGCUAGAAGCAUGCUUUAUAAUGGGAGACGCCCUGCCAUUAAGGAUGACACUGGUUUCCAACAGGAAAGCAAUGUCAAGCUUAAUGCCUCUAAGAGAUUGUCCAACUUUGUUAAGGGCAAGGCUCCCAUGGUUCAGGAUAAUGAAGACUAUAUUUUAUAUCCUGCAAAUUAUCUUGAGCAUAAAAUUAGGAGAAUUCAUGCUAGAAAACCUCACACUGUUUCUCAUCAUGCAUUUAUGUAUAAAAAUGAGGCUUCUAGCUCUAGGCAAUCAACUCCUGUUAAAUUGCCUAAAAAGAAAACUCCUGCUGCAUAAAAUGAUCAUAACAUUUAAUUCAAAACUUUUGAUGCUUCUUAUGUGCUUACUAACAAAUCAGGCAAAGUAGUUGCCUAAUAUGUUGGGGGCAAACACAAGGCUCAAAGACUUGUGUUUGGGUACCCAAGGUGCUUGUUUCUAAUGUGAAAGGACCCAAGACUGUUUGGGUACCUAAGAACAAGGUCUAAAUUGUUUUGCAGGUUUAUGCAUCCGGGGGUUCAAGUUGGAUAAUUGAUAGCGGAUGCACAAACCACAUGACAGGGGAGAAGAGAAUGUUCUCCUCCUACGAGAAAAACCAAGAUCCCCAACGAGCUAUCAAAAUCGGGGAUGGAAAUCAAGGAUUGGUCAAAGGUUUGGGUAAAAUUGCUAUAUCCCCUGAACAUUCCAUUUCAAAUGUUUUUCUUGUAGAUUCUUUAUGUAGGAAACGGGUGACGCCUAAGAGGGGGUGAAUUAGGACUUCUAAAACUUUUACUAAACUAGGCCACAAUUAAAUCCGUAGAGCAAAACCUAUGCAAAUAGUCAAACUAGAAUGUGCAAACUAGGUUUUGUCUAAGUGUUGCUAUCUCUACCACAAUGGCUAAGUUUCAAUCUACACUAAAUAAGUAUGACUACAAGAUUGAAACUUAAAUGCUUAAUAUAAAUGCAGAAACUUAAAGAGCAAAGCAGAGAAGCAAACUCUAGUGGAUGACGCCGGUAUUUUUACCAAGGUAUCCAGAACCGCACAAGGUCCCGACUAAUCCUCGUUGGUGCCCCUACGCAAAGGGAAGCCCAGGCGAGGGCCAAGCACCUCGGUCGAGUAACUCCAUAGAGAGCCUCGGGCCUUCUCCACGCGCAAGUGGUGCUCCGCUUCCAGCUCCUCUCGGACGCUCCCCGUCGUCUCCACUAUCGAGCUUCCAGCCGAAACGCCGCGGGCCUCGUUCCCUCCGGUACACGGUGGCGGCCGUGACACAAACACGGUUGUCACGGUCUCGCAAGACACUCGCCCCACUCGGUACAAUUACAACGGCUCACGCAAGAGCUGAGGGGUUGUAAGGUUUAUGUAAACUCACUCAACAAUCUAGGGUUCACCUAGAGCAAGCGCUAAUGCAGUCUAACUAACCUAAGCACUUCGCAAAGCACCUACGCUAAUCACCGAGUGAUUAUAUUAAGCACUUGGGUGUAAGAGCACUUGGGAAUGUCUACUAUAUGCCUUGGUAUGUCUCUUGGGCUCCCACACUUGGAAAUGGCCGGUUGGGGGUGUAUUUAUAGCCCCCAACACAAAUAGAGCCAUUGGAGAAAAGCUGCUGCUUUCUGCGGCACACCGGACAGUCCAGUGGUGCACCGGACAGCGCACUGUAGCCUGUCCAGUGCGCCUAGCCGUUGCCCUGUCAAAGCAGGUGACCGUUGGCGCCGCAGGCUUUCCACACCGGACAAUCCAGACUUCACACAGGACAGUCCGGUGGUCUACUCUCCGGGUGCCACCUGGAACUAGCCGUUGGGCUGUGAUUCCCUGGUGCACCGGACAGUCCGGCGUGUGGACACCGGACAGUCCGGUGUGCCACCGGACAGUCCGGUGCUCCACGCAGAGACAGUCCGCAGGCAGCACACUUGGACUUUUCUUGGAUCUUUUUAAUGCCUUCUUUUGAGGUGUUGCUUUCCUCAAUUCCUUAGUCCAAGUUAAUCUUGCAUCCUGUGAACUACAAACACUAGAAAACUUAUUAGUUCACGGAUUGUGUUGAUCAUCAAACACCAAAACUCAAUUAGCCAAAUGGCCUGGGGUCCAUUUUCCUUACAAUCUCCCCCUUUUUGGUGAUUGAUGACAACACAACCAAAGCAAGCAAAUAAUACAAUUAUUUGAAUGACGAUAUGCUAUCUACUUGCUAGGAUGCAUGUUUGUCCCCACAAUGGACUUAAGCCUCCCCCUAACUCCAUAAUUCACUUACUUCCUAUUUUUAGACCAAAUAACCAAAACCACUUGAAAAACUAUUUUUAGAUUUAAAAUUUUAAAUUGGUGGUGUUUGGUGUUUGAUAUAGUUUUCAUUGCUUUGGUCCCUAAACUUCUCCCCCUUUGGCAUCAACCACCGGAAAGGAAGACAUUAAAAUCAUGUAGGAAGUAAAUAAAAGUUGCCCUCAAAUGAUUACUCCCCCUAAAUGAGUGUUCUCUUUUAGAGAGAAAGUUUCUCCCCUUGUUAGAGACGAAGAAAUACUCCCCCUGACAGAGAUCUUCUACUUUUAGGAAAAAGCAUGUGAAAAAUAGAGGUGCAAGACAUGAUUUGAAUAGACUAAGGAAGUAUAUAAUAUGUAAUAUUUAGCAACAAGGAAGUAUAUAAUAUGUAAUAUAGUCUAAUCAAAUAUUGGAGAAGACAUGUAAAUGAUACUAGUUGUAGUCUCAAAAGAUACCGGUUGAAAUUCAAUGGCGAGCUUGAGAGACAUGAGAGUUCUUGGAGAUUUUGCAGUGGAAGAUUGUUGUCUUUCUCCGAGGACCUCAUUUUCCUUACAAUGAGACUAUCACAUAAAAUAGACUUGAAAAGGUGUUAGUCUCAAAGUAUUAGAUUAUAGAGUAACCUCCCCCUGAAGGUGUGCAUACAAGUUUUGAAUACACUUGUAGGAGACAUGCACUUUGAUUUGAUAUCAAGAGCGACAAAUUAUCUAUAAUCCGAACUUUGGCACAUAUAAGUUAAAUGAUACAGAUUGUAGAAUAUGAGUGUUUUACCACUUGAAGAAUUCACAGUUAUCAAUUGAUGUAUCAUUUACUAUGGAGUGAUAUUGAAGCUAUGUGUCGUGCUUAAAUAAACAUUUUAAGCCAUGUAGGUUUGCUUAAGUAUAUGAAUUGAAAAAAGCAAUCCUACCAUGUGAUUUACCUACUAUGCAUAAUUUUAAAACAAAAGUAAAUACUAGGCAUGAAAGGUAAACUAGAUACAAGGUAAAUAGAUACGCAUAUCUAAAGAUAAGAAAUACAAUAAAUCUAGUUACCUUAGUCAUGGGUGGGGAAAUUUGGGUCCAAAAUAUUCACUAACCCACUUGGCAAUAAACUUGAUCCAAUAUGAUGUAUCCCAUGAUAUACAUCUCAAAUUUGCCAAGUCACCAAAUUUCCCGAUUGACCUUCGGUCCACUCACUUCCCUUUCGGGAUCCAAACCUUCUUGGUGCUUUUCAUGGUUGAAAUUAUUUCCUUUGACACCCAGAUGCGUUUGGCCCCCUUUCCUUUGUUGGCUUGCUUGUUGGCCUUGAUUGUUAUCACCUUUCCAUUCUUUUUCUUCUUGAUCAAAUAUGGUGUAGCAGCCUUUUUGUCCACCUUUUUGAUGUAGGUGUUGGAGAUUUUGCUUGAUGGCUUUUAUUUGAGCUUUUGCCUUUGCUUAUCCCCGGUCAUUGCCUUGCAUUGGAAAGACUUAUGGCCUUCCAUGUGGCAUAGCCUACAAAUCACAGUUUCUCCCUCCAUAGGCUUGUUCACUCCCGCAGUGGUGUUAUCCUGUGGAGGUCGGAUUUGUUUGGCUUUGUCUUUCUUGUCAUACAAAGCCUUGCCAAGGCGAGCCACUUCUUGCCUUAAUUGUUCAUUUUCCUUUGCAACCUCAUCCGAACAUGUUUCUACAACAAUAUUCUCAACAAGAACUUGGUUGCAGGGGUUAGAAUCAUCAACUAAAUCAAAGCAAGAAGUAGAAGCAUCUUUUUUUAAUAAUUUUAGGUAUUUCAACUAAAGAUGCUGCUGGGGUGCUACCGACAUUUUCUAGCUUAGUAGUUAGCUCAUUAUUGUGUAUGCUAAGAAUUUCCAUUUUCUCUAGCAAUUUUUCAAUAGCUUCUUGGGAGCUAGCUAACUUAGCCUUAAGUUUUUCAUUCUUUUUAAUAAGGCCAUCAUCGGUAGCAGUGGAUGGAGCACUAGACUCUAAUAGCUCAAUUUUAGUUGACACCUCACAAUUUAGGUUUGCAAAAGUUUCAAAUUUUUCUAGCAAUCCUUUGUAAUCAUUUUGGGAGCUAAUCAAGUUAUUUUUCAAAGUUUUAAGUUGAGCUUUUUGCUUAGUGCAAACAUCCUGGAAAAAUUUAACGGCUUCUGCAAGUUCAUCUACGGGGGGCUUUCCCUCACCAUUAUCAUCACUACUACUGUCAUCACUAGAGGAUGGAAUGCUCAUUUUACCUCUUGCCAUAAGGCAUUUGUGUGAUGACCGAGAUGAGAGUGAUGAGGACCGAUGGCUGUGCGUCCUUGGAGGUUCAUCUUCACUUGAAGAAUCAUCCCAAGUUCUAACACUUGUUAGCGCCUUGCCUUUGCUCCUCUCCUUUUUGGGCUCGACCAUAGUUGGACAGUUGUCCCUGAAGUCGCCCAUCUCCCUGCAUGCGAAGCACCCUCUCUUUCUUUGCUUUUUCCUGUCAAUGUUAAAGAGAAUAUCUUCAACCUGCAGGAGCACACCCAUUAGAUUAAUCUCGCGGAUUAUCCCCAUUACCUUUCCGACGCGUCGGAUUGUUUCUUCGUCCUCGGAGGAUGAUGUGCAUGGUUGAUUAUCUUCAUCAUCAUCACUUUCUUCUUCUUCCUCUUCUUCACUUGAGGAACUUGGAGUGGGAGCCUUCUUUUUGCCCUUCCUUUCAUCACAUGCAAAAGCAUAUGGCCUUGAGGAAGUUGGCUCCUCUCCCCGACACAUUUUUCGCGACAUCUCAAAAGUCGCGAUUUUCCCAAUCACAAUGGUCGGGGUCAUGUUACUCAAGUCCUCCAUGUUGUGAAGGAUGGUGAUGAUACUCCCAUAUCUUCGUUGUGGUAGCAGGGAGAUAAUCUUCCUUACAAUGUCCGCGUCACCUAGCUUAUUUAUGCCAAUAGAGUUGAGCUCAUUGAUGAUUAGAUUUAAACGAGAAUACAUGUCUCUAACAAGCUCAUCAUCUCUCAUAGCAAAAGAAUUAUACUCAUUUAAGACUAGGCAAUGUUUUUGCUCACGGACAUUUGAUGUGCCAUCAUGGAGCUCAUGCAAUUUUAGCCAAAUCUCAUUAGCAGUUUCAAGGUAAAUACUUGAUUAAAAAUAUCCAUGCUAAGAGAUUCAUACAAGCAAUUUUUGGCUCAAGCAUUUAAAUAAAUUUCUUUUUCCUCACUCGUGGUCGGUUUCUCGGGAUUCUUGGGGGGUUUCAUCCCGUCACGAGUGACUCGCCAAACACCUAGAUCAACGACAUUUAGGUAACAAGCCAUUCUAGCACUAUAAUAUGGGAAGUUAGUGCCGUCAAAGUGUGGUGGCCUAUGGGUAUCCAUCCCUUCCUCUAAAAAGCAUCGGCUCUUUUAGCGGUGAAGCUAAAGCGUUUCAAAUGAGCCAAACCAGGCUCUGAUACCACUUGUAGGAAACGGGUGACGCCUAAGAAGGGGGUGAAUUAGGACUUCUAAAACUUUUACUAAACUAGGCCACAAUUAAAUCUCUAGAGCAAAACCUAUGCAAAUAGUCAAACUAGAAUGUGCAAACUAGGUUUUGUCUAAGUGUUGCUAUCUCUAUCGCAAUGGCUAAGUUUCAAUCUACACUAAAUAAGUAUGACUACAAGAUUGAAACUUAAAUGCUUAAUAUAAAUGCGGAAACUUAAAGAGCAAAGCAGAGAAGCAAACUCUCGUGGAUGACGCCGGUAUUUUUACCGAGGUAUCCGGAACCACGCAAGGUCCCGACUAAUCCUCGUUGGUGUCCCUACGCAAAGGAAAGCCCACGCGAGGGCCAAGCACCUCGGUCCAGUAACUCCAUAGAGAGCCGCGGGCCUUCUCCACGCGCAAGUGGUGCUCCGCUUCUAGCUCCUCUCGGACGGUCCCUGCCGUCUCCACUAUCGAGCUUCUGGCCGAAACGUCGCGGGCCUUGUUCCCUCCGGUACACGGUGGCGGUCGUGACAUAAACGCGGUUGACACGGUCUCGCAAGACACUCGCCCCACUCGGUACAAUUACAACGGCUCACACAAGAGCCGAGGGGUUGUAAGGUUUAUCUAAACUCACUCAACAAUCUAGGGUUCACCUAGAGCAAGCGCUAAUGCGGUCUAACUAACCUAAGCACUUUGCAAAGCACCUACGCUAAUCACCGAGUGAUUCUAUUAAGCACUUGGGUGUAAGAGCACUUGGGAAUGCCUACUAUAUGCCUUGGUAUGUCUCUUGGGCUCCCACACUUGGAAAUGGCCGGUUGGGGGUGUAUUUAUAGCCCCCAACACAAAUAGAGCCGUUGGAGAAAAGCUGCUGCUUUCUGCGGCACACCGGACAGUCCGGUGGUGCACCGGACAGCGCAAUGUAGUCUGUCCGGUGCGCCUAGCCGUUGCCCUGUCAGAGCAGGUGACCGUUGGCAGCGCAGGCUUUCCACACCGGACAGUCCGGACUUCACACCGGACAGUCCGGUGGUCUUCUCUUCGGGUGCCACCUGGAACUAGCCAUUGGGCUGCGAUUCCCUGGUGCUCCGGACAGUCCGGCGUGUGGGCACCGGACAGUCCGGUGUGCCACCGAACAGUCCGGUGCUCCACGCACAGACAGUCCGCAGGCAGCACACUUGGACUUUUCUUGGAUCUUUUUAAUGCCUUCUUUUGAGGUGUUGCUUUCCUCAAUUCCUUAGUCCAAGUUAAUCUUGCAUCCUGUGAACUACAAACACAAACACUAGAAAACUUAUUAGUUCACGGAUUGUGUUGAUCAUCAAACACCAAAACUCAAUUACCAAAUGGCCCGGGGUCCAUUUCCUUACAAUUUAGAUUACAAUUUGCUUUCUGUUUCUCAAUUAUGCAAAAUGGGCUACAACUGUCUUUUUACAGAUGUAGGUGUUACUAUCUUUAGAAGAAGUGACGAUUCAAUAGCAUUUAAGGGAGUGUUAGAGGGUCAGCUAUAUUUAGUUGAUUUUAAUGAGAACACAGCUGAACUCAACACUUGUUUAAUUGCUAAGACUAAUAUGGGUUGGCUCUGGCAUCGCCGACUAGCUCAUCUUGGAAUGAAGAAUCUUCACAAGCUUCUAAAGGGAGAACACAUUUUGGGACUAACAAAUGUUCAUUUUGAGAAAGAUAGGAUUUGUAGCGCAUGUCAAGCAGGAAAGCAAGUUGGCUCUCAUCAUCCACACAAGAACAUCAUGACGAUCGACAGGCUGCUUGAGCUACUCCACAUGGAUUUAUUCGGCCCGAUCGCUUACAUAAGCAUCGGUGGGAGUAAGUAUUGUCUUGUAAUUGUGGAUGACUAUUCUCAUUUCACUUGGGUGUUCUUUUUGCAGGAAAAAUCACAGACCCAAGAGACCUUAAAAGGAUCCUUAAGACGGGCUCAAAAUGAGUUCGGAUUAAGGAUCAAAAGAUAGGAAGCGAUAAUGGGACGGAGUUCAAGAAUUCUCAAAUUGAAGGUUUUCUUGAGGACGGGGGCAUCAAGCAUGAGUUCUCUUCUCCCUACACACCUCAACAAAAUGGUGUAGUGGAGAGGAAGAAUAGAACUCUACUGGACAUGGCAAAUACCAUGCUUGAUGACUACAAGACACCAGACCAGUUUUGGGCCGAGGCGAUUAACACCGCCUGCUACUCCAUCAACCGGUUAUAUCUUCACCGAAUCCUCAAGAAGACAUCAUAUGAACUCCUUACCAGUAAAAAUCCCAAUGUUUCAUAUUUUAGAAUCUUUGGGAUAAAUGUUUUAUUCUUAUUAAAAGAGAUAGAAAAACUAAAUUUGCUCCUAAGGCUGUAGAAGACUUUUUACUUGGUUAUGACUCAAACACAAGGGCAUAUAGAGCCUUCAACAAAUCCACUGGAUUAGUUGAGGUUUCUUGUGACAUUGCGUUUGAUGAGACUAAUGGCUCCCAAGUGGAGCAAGUUGAUCUUGAUGAGUUAGAUGAUGAAGAGGCUUCGUGCAUCGCGCUAAGGAACAUGUCCAUUGGGGAUGUGUGUCCUAAGGAAUCCGAAGGGCCUACACAAGCACAAGAUCAAUCGUCAUCUUCCAAUCAAGCAUCUCCACCAACUCAAGAUGAGGAACAGACUCAAGAUGGUAAGGAUGAAGAUCAAGAGGAUGAGCCACCUCAAGAGGAGGACAAUGAUCAAGGGGGAGAUAAGCAAAAUGAAGACAAGGAAGAUGAUCAAGAAAUUCAGAGUCAAAGACCGCCACACCCAAGAGUCCACCAAGCAAUUCAACGAGAUCACCCCGUCAACUCCAUCCUUGGUGACAUUCAUAAAGGGGUAACCACGAGAUCUCGAAUUGCACAUUUUUGUGAACAUUACUCUUUUGUGUCCUCUAUUGAGCCAUACAUGAUUGAGGAUGCAUUAAGAGAUCCGGAUUGGGCGCUGGCAAUGCAAGAGGAGCUCAACAACUUCACAAGGAACGAGGUAUGGCAUUUAGUUCCACGUCCUAAUCAAAAUGUUGUAGGUACCAAAUGGGUAUUCCGCAACAAGCAAGAUGAGCGUGGUGUGGUGACAAGAAACAAAGCCCGACUUAUGGCCAAAGGUUAUUCACAAGUCAAAGGUUUGGAUUUUGAUAAAACUUAUGCACCCGUAGCUAGGCUUGAGUCAAUUCGUAUAUUACUUGCCUAUGCUACUUACCAUGGCUUUAAGCUCUAUCAAAUGGACAUGAAAAUUGCCUUCCUCAAUGGACCUAUCAACGAAGAGGUCUAUGUUGAGCAACCUCCCGGCUUUGAAGAUAGUGAGUACCCUAACCAUGUGUAUAAACUCUCAAAGGUGCUUUAUGGGCUCAAGCAAGCCCCAAGAGCAUGGUAUGAAUGCCUGCGAGAUUUCCUUAUCACUAAUGGCUUCAAAGUCGGUAAAGCCGAUCCUACUCUCUUUACUAAAACUGUUGCAAAAGAUUUGUUUGUAUGCCAAAUUUAUGUUGAUGAUAUCAUAUUUGGGUCUACUAACAAAUCAACUUGUGUAGAGUUUAGUAGAAUCAUGAUACAGAAAUUCGAGAUGUCAAUGAUGGGGGAGUUGAAGUAUUUCCUAGAAUUUCAAUUCAAGCAACUCAAAGAGGGCACCUUCAUCAGCCAAACAAAGUACAUUCAAGACAUACUUAAGAAGUUUGGGAUGAAGGAUAGCAAACCCAUCAAGACACCCAUGUGAACCAAUGGACAUCUCGACCUCGACACGGGAGGUAAAUCUGUAGAUCAAAAGGUAUACCAGUCAAUGACAGGAUCUCUACUCUAUUUAUGUGCAUCUCGACCGGAUAUUAUGCUUUCUGUAUGCAUGUGUGCAAGGUUCCAAGCCGAUCCUAAGGAAGUUCACCUUAGGGACGUGAAAAGAAUCAUGAGAUAUUUAGUUUACACUCCUAAGUUUGGACUUUGGUACCCCAAGGGAUCCACCUUUGAUUUAAUAGGAUAUUCUGAUGCUGAUUGGGCAAGGUGUAAAAUUGAUAGGAAGAGCACAUCAGGGACUUAUCAGUUUCUAGGGAGAUCCCUGGUGUCAUGGGCUUCAAAGAAACAAAACUCAGUAGCUCUUUCCACUGUCGAAGCCGAGUAUAUUGCCGCAGGCCAUUGUUGUGCGCAAUUACUUUGGAUGAGGCAAACCCUUAGGGACUAUGGCUACAAAUUGAGCAAAGUCCCUCUCCUAUGAGACAAUGAUAGUGCAAUAUGCAUGGCGGAUAAUCCCGUUGACCACAGCUGCACUAAGCACAUAGACAUUCGGUAUCACUUUCUGAGAGAUCACCAACAAAGGGGGGAUAUCGAAAUAGCUUAUGUAAACACCAAAGACCAACUAGCCGAUACCUUUACCAAGCCGUUAGAUGAGAAAACCUUUAGCAAACUUAGGAAUGAGCUAAAUAUACUUGAUUCUCAGAAUUUUGAUUGAAAUAUUGCACACAUUGCUCAUUUAUAUACCCUUGAUCAUGUCUCUUUCAUUUUGGUACAAAUACUUAUUUUUUUAUUCUUGUACCAAGACUACGACUAAUGUGUUAUCAAGUAUAUACUAAGUCAUAGGUUGAAAGGGAAAUGGAGUAUUCUAUGAAGACAAGGCUUCCACUCCACUCUAACGGUAUCAUUUACCCUUCGUCGUCACUCCACAACACUCUCAAAUAGGUAUAAUCCUUCACUCAUAUUUACUUGUACCAAUGGGAGAGAAAAUAUUAGGGCUCUCAAAAUCUCCGUUUUUGGCGAUUAAUGCCAAAGGGGAAAAAGUAUUAAGCCCAAAGCAAAAGGACCGCACCACCACCUAAUUUUAAAAUUUCCGAAAUAAAGUUUUUAAUUAAUAUAUAUAUUCAAAUUGGUAUCUAAUUAGUAUUUUUAAAUGUAGAUUUUCAAAAAUUGGUAUCUGUUAAAACCCUCUUGAAAACUAAGAGGAGAAUUUCAUUCAGGGGGAGUUUUGUCAAAGGAAAAGCAUUUGAAACAGGGGGAGAAAUUUCAAAUCUUGAAAAUGCUUCUUGCAAUCUUAUUCAUAUACCUUUGACUACUUGCAAAAAGGAUUUUGAAAAGAUUUUCCAAAAGAAUCUGUGAAAACAAAACAAGUGGUGUAAAUGUGGUCCAAAAUGUUAAAUAAAAGAAAUCAAUCCAUUCAAAUCUAGUGAGAUUAUCAAUUGGUUUAAUUCUAAGUAACCUAUGCACUUACCUUAUGCAAACUAGUUCAUUUCUACACUUUAUAUAUUUGCUUUGGUUUGUGUUGGCAUCAAUCACCAAAAAGGGGAAGAUUGAAAGGGAAAUAGAGUUAACCUUUUUCCACAAUUAAUUUUGGUGGUUGAAUGUCCAACACAAACAAAUGGACUAACUAGUUUGCUCUAGAAUACAUGUUUUACAGGUGCAUAAAGGUUCAACACAAACCAAUAAAUAUCCAAGUUAGGGAUCCAAUUCAAAAGAGCAAAAGAAACCAAGUGUGCUGUGGUCUGGCGUACCAGACUGUCCGGUGCACCAGGACCGUACAUAGUCCAAACAGCCACUCUCGGGUUUUCACAGGCGCGCUCCGCUAUAAUUCACCGGACUGUCCGAUGCACCAGCGGAGCAACAGCUAACUCGCGCAAUGGUCGAUUGUGACAAGUGAACGGUGCGCGAACAGUGCACGCCAGAAGUCAGAGCAGAAGUCAGAGGCGCACCGGACUGUCCGGUGCCACAAGAAGACAACAGCUCCAACGAUCGACUGCUCCCGAACCCUAACGAUUGGGUGACGUGGCGGCGCACCGGACAGCCUACAGUGCCUAUCCGGUGGCGCACCGGACUGUCCGAUGCGCCCAUCACCAGCAGCCAUCCCCCAACGUCCACUUUGGUGGGGGGCUAUUGAAAGGGAAAUGUGCCAUUGAGCCAUUUCUAAGUAUUUUGGUGAUUUAGUGUCCAACACAAGUGCCUAAGUGUUAAAUGGUAGACAAAGUACAAAUCAAGUAUAAAGGUAUGUUUCUCAGACUUAGUACAUUGUUUUAGAGACUAAUGUAUUGUGUCUAAGUGCUGGAAACAGGAAAAAUCAAGUUGAAAUUAAAGAUGGCUUUGUUCAGCCAAAGUCAGCUAUGUCUGGGUGCACCGGACAGUGUCCGGUGGUGCAUCGGACAGUGUCCGGUGCGCCAGGCUGACUCAGGCGAACUUGCUGCUCUCGGGAAGAGAUUAGCGGCGUACGACUAUAAUUCACCGGAUUGUCCGGUGAGCCAAUGGUCGGCCGGGCCAACGGUCGGCCGCGCGAUUCGCGCGAGACACGUGGCCGAGCCAACGGUCGGAAGGGGGCACCGGACUGUCCGGUGCGCCAACGGCUCCAAAGCGCCAACGGUCGGCUUCGCCAAAGAAGGAAAGAAAUCCGCACCGGACAGUGUCCGGUGGUGCACCGGACUGUCCGGUGCGCCAGGCGACAGAAGGCAAGAAUUGCCUUCCUGGAAUGCACUCAACGGCUCCUAGCUGCCUUGGGGCUAUAAAAGGGACCCCUAGGCGCAUGGAGGAGAAUACCAAGCAUUCUCUAAGCAUUCAUAAGCACCAAGACUUCGAUUCCGCGCAUUUGAUUCUUUGCGAUAGCAAUUAGAGCUCCGUUUGAGUUGUGAACUCGCUGAGUUGUGUUGUGAGCUCUUGUUGCGACUUGUGUGCGUGUUGGUACUGUGAUUUUGUGUCUUGUGUGCGUUGCUCAUCCCUCUCUUACUCCGUGCUUCUUUGUGAACAUCAAAGUGUAAGGGCGAGAGACUCCAAGUUGUGGAGAUUCCUCGCAAACGGAUAUAGUAAAGCAAAGCAAAACACCAUGGUAUUCAAGUGGGUCUUUGGACCGCUUGAGAGGGGUUGAUUGCAACCCUCGUCCGUUGGGACGCCACAACAUGGACUAGGCAAGUGUUGAACUUGGCCGAACCACGGGAAAAACCACUGUGCCAUCUCUGUGUUGAUCUCUUUGUGGUUUUCGUGUUGUGCAAACUCUCCUCUCUAGCCACUUGGCUUAACUGUGCUAACUCUAAUCAAGUUUUGUGGAUUAAGUUUUAAGUUUUCUCAGGAUCACCUAUUCACACCCCCCCUCUAGGUGCUCUCAAUUGGUAUCAGAGCUGUUCUCUUCAAGAAAUAAAGGGACUAAUCGCCCGAAGAGAUGGAUCCUAAGGGCAAGAGGAUUGUGAUCAAUGAUAAGGAGAAGGAGUCCUUCGUCAAUGAGCCGAAAGAUGACAAGCCUACCGACUCGGGCUCGGGCCACAAACGAAAAGAUGGAAAGAAGAAGAAGACGAGGCGCAUCAAGGAGAUUGUCUACUACGACGACAGCGACGAGUCCUCUUCUUCUCAAAAGGACGACGACAACGACUACGAGAAAAAGAAGAUGGUUAACUCAAACUUCUCUUUCGAUUAUUCUCGUAUUCCGCAUAGCUCAAAUGCACAUUUGCUUUCUAUUCCUCUUGGCAAACCUCCUCACUUUGAUGGAGAGGACUAUGGAUUUUGGAGCCACAAAAUGCGUAGUCACUUGUUCUCUCUCCAUCCUAGCAUAUGGGAGAUAGUAGAAAGUGGAAUGAAAUUUGAUAUCUCGGAUAGUCCUAUGUUUAUCAAUGAAAAGAUUCAUAAAAAUGCACAAGCUACUACUGUGUUGUUAGCCUCUUUGUGCAGGGACGAGUAUCAUAAGGUGAGCGGCUUGGAUAAUGCCAAGCAGAUCUGGGACACCCUCAAGAUCUCUCAUGAGGGGAACGACGUCACCAUGCUCACCAAGAUGGAGUUGGUGGAGGGCGAACUCGGGAGAUUCGCGAUGAUAAGGGGCGAGGAGCCAACCCAAACGUACAACCGGCUAAAGACCCUCGUCAACAAAAUAAGGAGCUACGGAAGCACGCGAUGGACGGACCACGACGUUGUCCGCCUAAUGCUAAGGUCCUUUACUGUUCUUGAUCCACAUCUUGUGAACAAUAUUCGUGAGAAUCCUAGGUACACCAAGAUGUCGCCCGAAGAAAUUCUUGGGAAAUUUGUAAGUGGGCGGAUGAUGAUCAAGGAGGAUAGAUACGUCGACGAUGCAUUGAAUGGCCCAAUCCAAGAACCUCAAACUAUUGCUCUCAAGGCAACAAGGAGCAAGGAGGCGCUACCUAGCAAGGUGGCGCAAGUUGAGGCGGCCAGGCUUAAUGAUGAAGAGAUGGCCCUCAUCAUCAAGCGAUUCAAGACGGCGCUAAGGGGUCGCAAGGAGCACCCCAACAAGAACAAGACGAAGGGGAAGCGCUCCUGCUUCAAAUGUGGUAAGAUUGGUCAUUUUAUCGCUAACUGCCCCGAUAAUGAUAGUGACCAGGAAAAGAAGAGUGGAAAGUGGGAAAAGAAGAAGAACUACAAGAAGGCAAAGGGCGAGGCACAUCUUGGAAAGGAGUGGGAUUCGGAUUGCUCCUCGUCCGACUCCGACAACGAAGGACUCAUCGCCACCGCCUUCAACAAGUCAUCCCUCUUCCCAAACGAGCGUCACACAUGCCUCAUGGCGAAGGAGAAGAAGGUAUGUACUCAGAAUACUACUUAUACUUCUUCAAGUGAGGAUGAGUCUAGUGAUGAUGAUGAAAUAGAUUAUUCAUGUUUAUUCAAGGGCCUAGAUAGAACCAAGAUUGAUAAAAUUAAUGAAUUAAUUGAUGCCUUGAAUGAUAAGAAUAAGUUAUUAGAAAAGCAAGAGGAUCUUUUGUAUGAAGAACAUGAUAAGUUUGUAGAGGCUCAAAAAUCCCUUGCUUUAGAAAUUAAAAGGAAUGAAAUGCUUUCUUGUGAAUUGUCUGCAUGUCAUGACUCCAUUUCUAGCUUAAAGAGCAUAAAUGAUGAUUUGAAUGCUAAGUUAGAAAUAGCAAAUAAAUCAACAUCUUGUGUAGAACAUGUUACAAUUUGCAAUAGAUGUAAAGAUUUUGAUAUUGAUGCGUGUAGUGAACACCUAGUUUCAAUUUCCAAAUUAAAUGAUGAAUUGGCUAGUCUUAAUGCCCAACUUAAGACUAGCAAGAGUGAAAUUGAUAAAAUAAAAUUUGCAAGGGAUGCCUACACGAUUGGUAGACACCCCUCAAUUAAGGAUGGUCUUGGCUUCAAGAGGGAAGUCAAGAACUUAACAAGCCAUAAGGUUCCCAUCUCAGCCAAAGAGAAAGGGAAGGCCCCUAUGGCUAGUAGUGCUCAUAAGAACCAUGCUUUCAUGUAUCAUGAUAGGAGAAAUUCUAGGAAUGCUUUUAGAAGUUAUGAUGCUUUUGAUUCUCAUGCCAUGGUUGCUUCUAGCUCUUCUAUUAUGUAUGAUAGAAAUGUUGCUAGGAAAAAUGCUAUGCCUAGAAGAAAUUUUGUUCAUGCUCCUAGGAAAGUAAUGAAUGAACCUUCUAUAAUUUAUCAUGCUUGCAAUGCUUCAUUUGCAAUUUGUAGAAAGGAUAGGAAGAUAGUUGCUAGAAAAUUAGGGGCAAAAUGUAAGGGAGACAAGACUUGCAUUUGGGUCCCUAAGACUAUUGUGACUAACCUUGCAGGACCCAACAUGAGUUGGGUACCUAAGACCCAAGCCUAAAAUUGCCUUGCAGGUUUAUGCAUCCGGGGGCUCAAGCUGGAUUAUCGACAGCGGAUGCACAAACCACAUGACGGGGGAGAAGAGGAUGUUCUCUUCCUACGUCAAGAACAAAGAUCCCCAAGAUUCAAUCAUAUUCGGUGAUGGCAACCAAGGCAAGGUGAAAGGGUUAGGAAAAAUUGCUAUUUCUUCCGAGCACUCUAUUUCUAAUGUAUUCCUAGUUGAGUCACUUGGAUAUAAUUUGUUAUCUGUAAGUCAAUUAUGUAAUAUGGGAUAUAAUUGUAUAUUCACUAAUGUAGAUGUGUUUGUCUUUAGAAGAAGUGAUGGUUCACUAGCUUUUAAGGGUGUAUUAGACGGCAAACUCUAUUUAGUUGAUUUUGCAAAAGAGGAGGCCGGUCUAGAUGCAUGCUUAAUUGCUAAGACUAGCAUGGGCUGGCUGUGGCAUCGCCGCUUAGCACAUGUGGGGAUGAAGAACCUUCACAAGCUUCUAAAGGGAGAACACGUAAUAGGUCUAACCAAUGUUACUUUCGAAAAAGAUAGACCUUGUGCAGCUUGUCAAGCAGGGAAACAGGUGGGAAGCUCUCAUCAUGCCAAAAAUGUGAUGACAACAUCAAGACCCCUGGAGUUACUUCAUAUGGACCUCUUCGGACCCGUCGCCUAUCUAAGCAUAGGAGGAAGUAAGUAUGGUCUUGUUAUAGUUGAUGAUUUUUCCCGCUUCACUUGGGUAUUCUUUUUGCAGGAUAAAUCUAAAACCCAAGGGACCCUCAAGCGCUUCCUAAGGAGAGCUCAAAACGAGUUUGAGCUCAAGGUGAAGAAGAUAAGAAGCGACAAUGGGUCCGAGUUCAAGAACCUUCAAGUGGAGGAGUAUCUCGAGGAGGAAGGAAUCAAGCACGAGUUCUCCGCUCCCUACACACCACAGCAAAAUGGUGUGGUAGAGAGGAAGAACAGGACGCUUAUAGACGUUGCGAGGACGAUGCUUGGAGAGUUCAAGACCCCCGAGUGCUUUUGGUCGGAAGCCGUGAACACGGCUUGCCACGCUAUCAACCGGGUCUACCUUCAUCGCCUCCUCAAGAAGACUUCGUAUGAGCUACUAACCGGUAACAAACCCAAUGUUUCAUAUUUUCGAGUUUUUGGGAGUAAAUGCUACAUUCUAGUAAAGAAGGGUAGGAAUUCCAAAUUUGCUCCCAAAGCCAUAGAAGGGUUUUUGUUAGGUUAUGACUCAAAUACAAAGGCGUAUAGGGUCUUCAACAAAUCAUCGGGUUUGGUUGAAGUCUCUAGCGACGUUGUAUUUGAUGAGACUAAUGGCUCUCCAAGAGAGCAAGUUGUUGAUCUUGAUGAUGUAGAUGAAGAAGACGUUCCAACGGCCACAAUGCGCACCAUGGCGAUUGGAGAUGUGAGGCCAAUGGAACAAAAGGAGCAAGAUCAACCUUCUUCCUCAACAAUGGUGCAUUCCCCAACUCAAGUCGAUGAACAGGUUCAUCAAGAGGAGGCGUGUGAUCAAGGGGGAGCACAAGUUGAUCAUGUAAUGGAGGAAGGAGCACAACCGGCACCUCCAACCCAAGUUCGAGCAAUGAUUCAAAGGGAUCAUCCCGUCGACCAGAUUUUGGGUGACACUAGCAAGGGAGUAACUACUCGGUCUCGAUUAGUUAAUUUUUGUGAGCAUUACUCCUUUGUCUCUUCUAUUGAGCCUUUCAGGGUAGAGGAGGCCUUGCUAGAUCCGGACUGGGUGUUGGCCAUGCAGGAGGAGCUCAACAACUUCAAGAGAAAUGAAGUUUGGACACUGGUGCCUCGUCCCAAGCAAAAUGUUGUGGGAACCAAGUGGGUGUUCCGCAACAAACAAGACGAGCACGGAGUGGUGACAAGGAACAAGGCACGACUUGUGGCAAAAGGUUAUGCCCAAGUCGCAGGUUUGGACUUUGAGGAGACUUUUGCUCAUGUGGCUAGGCUAGAGUCCAUUCGUAUUUUGCUAGCAUAUGCCGCUCACCAUUCUUUCAGGUUGUUCCAAAUGGAUGUGAAGAGCGCUUUCCUCAACGGGCCAAUCAAGGAGGAGGUGUACGUGGAGCAACCCCCUGGCUUCGAGGAUGAACGAUACCCCGACCACGUGUGUAAGCUCUCUAAGGCGCUCUAUGGACUUAAGCAAGCCCCAAGAGCAUGGUAUGAAUGCCUUAGAGACUUUUUAAUUGCUAAUGCUUUCAAGGUUGGGAAAGCCGAUCCAACUCUUUUUUACUAAGACUUGUGAUGGUGAUCUUUUUGUGUGCCAAAUUUAUGUCGAUGACAUAAUAUUUGGUUCCACUAAUCAAAAGUCUUGUGAAGAGUUUAGCAGGGUGAUGGCUCAAAAGUUUGAGAUGUCGAUGAUGGGCGAGUUAAGCUAUUUCCUUGGGUUCCAAGUGAGGCAACUCAAGGAUGGGACCUUCAUCUCCCAAACGAAGUACACGCAAGACUUGAUCAAGAGGUUUGGGAUGAAGGACGCCAAGCCCGCAAAGACUCCAAUGGGAACCGACGGACACACCGACCUCAACAAAGGAGGUAAGUCCGUUGAUCAAAAGGCAUGCCGGUCCAUGAUAGGGUAUUUACUUUAUUUAUGUGCUAGUAGACCGGAUAUUAUGCUUAGCGUAUGCAUGUGUGCUAGAUUUCAAUCCGAUCCGAGAGAAUGCCACUUAGUGGCGGUGAAGCGAAUUCUUAGAUAUUUAGUUGCUACGCCUUGCUUCGGGAUCUGGUAUCCAAAGGAGUCUACCUUUGACUUGAUUGGAUAUUCAGACUCCGACUAUGCUGGAUGUAAGGUCGAUAGGAAGAGUACAUCGGGGACGUGUCAAUUCUUAGGAAGGUCCCUGGUGUCAUGGAGCUCUAAGAAACAAACUUCUGUUGCCCUAUCCACCGCUGAGGCCGAGUACGUUGCCGCAGGACAGUGUUGCGCGCAACUACUUUGGAUGAGGCAAACCCUCCGGGACUUUGGCUACAAUCUGAGCAAAUUCCCACUCCUAUGUGAUAAUGAGAGUGCUAUCCGCAUGGCGGAUAAUCCUGUUGAACACAGCCGCACAAAGCACAUAGACAUCCGGCAUCACUUUUUGAGAGACCACCAGCAAAAGGGAGAUAUCAAAGUGUUUCAUGUUAGCUCCGAGAACCAGCUAGCCGAUAUCUUUAUCAAGCCUUUAGAUGAGCAGACCUUUUGCAAGUUGCGUAGUGAGCUAAAUGUCUUAGAUUCGCGGAACUUGGAUUGAUUUAUAGCAUACAUGUGUUUUAUGCCUUGAUCAUGUUCCUUAAGCAUAUUGUUGUUUAUUUAUGGUGCUCAAGUUGUGCAAACACUCCCCGGACCUCACAAGUCCACUUGCAAGUGAUGCACAUAUUUAGGGGGAGAUGUGCUACAACUUGACCCUUUGAGACUAACUGUGUGCUUGAGUGUGCUUAAUUUAGUCUCAAAGGAGGUUUGAAAGGGAAAAGGUGGACUUGGACCAUGCAAGACUUCCACUGCACUCCGAUGAAAGAGUAACUUUUCCAAGUUCAUCUUUGUACUCUUAUUGCCUUUUUACUCUUAGUUGAAGAUUUUGGUGAGGCAAUGGGGUUAAAGGGCCAAAAUUGAUCCCAUUUUGGUGCUUGAUGCCAAAGGGGGAGAAAAUAAGGCCAAAGCAAGAAAUGGAUCAGCUACCACUUGAGAAUUUUGAAAAAGUAGAGUUAGAGUUUUUGUUUGUCAAAAACCUCUUUUUUGCCUCUUAUUGUCAACAGUUGAUCUCUUGUGGGGAGAAGGCUUAAUUAUGGGAAAAGGGGGAGUUUUUGAACUCUUUGAUCAAUUUCUCUUGAAAUAUCUCUCUUUAUGUUUCAACAAGUGUGUUUGACUUAGAGAUAGGAAAUUGAGUUUGAUUUGCAAAAACAAACCAAGUGGUGGCAAAGAAUGAUCCAUAUAUGUCAAAUUUGAAUCAAAACAAUUUUGAGUUCUUAUUUGAAUUGAUUUUGCACUUGUUCUACUUGCUUUAUGUUGUGUUGGCAUAAAUCACCAAAAAGGGGGAGAUUGAAAGGGAAAUGUGCCCUUGGGCCAUUUCUAAGUAUUUUGGUGAUUUAGUGUCCAACACAAGUGCCUAAGUGUUAAAUGGUAGACAAAGUACAAAUCAAGUAUAAAGGUAUGUUUCUCAGACUUAGUACAUUGUUUUAGAGACUAAUGUAUUGUGUCUAAGUGCUGGAAACAGGAAAAAUCAAGUUGAAAUUAAAGAUGGCUUUGUUCAGCCAAAGUCAGCUAUGUCUGGGUGCACCGGAUUGUCCGGUGGUGCACCGAACAGUGACCGGUGCGCCAGGCUGACUCAGGCGAACUUGCUGCUCUCGGGAAGAGAUUAGCGGCGUACGGCUAUAAUUCACCGGACUGUCCGGUGAGCCAACGGUCGGCCGGGCCAACGGUCGGCCGCGCGAUCCGCGCGAGACACGUGGCCGAGCCAACGGUCGGAAGGGGGCACCGGACUGUCCGGUGCGCCAACGGCUCCAAAGCGCCAACGGUCGGCUUCGCCAAAGAAGGAAAGAAAUCCGCACCGGACAGUGUCCGGUGGUGCACCGGACUGUCCGGUGCGCCAGGCGAUAGAAGGCAAGAAUUGCCUUCCUGGAAUGCACUCAACGGCUCCUAGCUGCCUUGGGGCUAUAAAAGGGACCCCUAGGCGCAUGGAGGAGAAUACCAAACAUUCUCUAAGCAUUCAUAAGCACCAAGACUUCGAUUCCGCGCAUUUGAUUCUUUGCGAUAGCAAUUAGAGCUCCGUUUGAGUUGUGAACUCGCUGAGUUGUGUUGUGAGCUCUUGUUGCGACUUGUGUGCGUGUUGGUACUGUGAUUUUGUGUCUUGUGUGCGUUGUUCAUCCCUCCCUUACUCCAUGCUUCUUUGUGAACAUCAAAGUGUAAGGGCGAGAGACUCCAAGUUGUGGAGAUUUCUCGCAAACGGAUAUAGUAAAGCAAAGCAAAACAUCGUGGUAUUCAAGUGGGUCUUUGGACCGCUUGAGAGGGGUUGAUUGCAACCCUCGUCCGUUGGGACGCCACAACGUGGACUAGGCAAGUGUUGAACUUGGCCGAACCACGGGAUAAACCACUGUGCCAUCUCUGUGUUGAUCUCUUUGUGGUUUUCGUGUUGUGCAAACUCUCCUCUCUAGCCACUUGGCUUAACUGUGCUAACUCUAAUCAAGUUUUGUGGAUUAAGUUUUAAGUUUUCUUAGGAUCACCUAUUCACCCCCCCCCUCUAGGUGCUCUCAGCUAUAAAUACCCCCAACCACCACAACACCAACAACCCAAGUAUUCUGAACAUUGCAUUCAAUACAAGAGCAAUAGCCUCCACUCCAAGACACAAUCAAAGCGAUCGAUCCACUCAAAGUCCCCAAAUCAACUCUAGUGCAUUAGGACUUGUGAGAGGAUCUCUUGUGUUCCUUUGUUGCUCUUGUUUGCUUGGCUUGGACUUCUUUUUUUCUUUUCAAUUCUUACUCUCAAGUGCUUUGUAAGCAAGGCAAGAGACACCAAUUGUGUGGUGGUCCUUGCGGGGUCUAAGUCACCCGUGAGAUUAAGGAAGAAGGCUCACUCGGUAUAAGUGACCGUUUGAGAUAGGGAAAGAGUUGAAAGAGACCCGGUCUUUGUGACCACCUCAAUGGGGACUAGGUUCUUUAGAACCGAACCUCGGUAAAACAAAUCAUUGUGUUCAUCCACCUGAUUCGCUCUUGAUUUGUUUCCCCCCUCUCUCCUGGACUCGAUUUAAGUUCUAACGCUAACCCCGGCUUGUAGUUUGUGUUUUAAGUUAUAAAUUUCAUAUUACACCUAUUCACCCCCCCUCUAGGCGACUUUCACCAACAAAGGUACAGAUUCACACAAUUGUGCAUCUCUACUCUACUCGAUGCAAAUAUUUUUUAAAUGAGGUUGUGUGCUUUUUUGUUUCUCUAUGCAAAUUUCUGAAUCGGGGCGCAUUUCUUCACCUUAAUGUAAGUUUCUAUAUUUAUUGUGUAACUUCUUUACUCGUUUUUUGGUAAAUAAUAGUGGUUCUGAAGUCAACAUAGGUCUAAGUUGCUGGCAAAUGUUCCUUCUAUAUAAAUUUAAGUUUUUGCCCGCUGCACAAUGAUGACAAUUUUUCACUCCUCGUUUCUACAAAAAAAAAAUCAACACUGCAAGGAGACCAAAACCUGCACCGUGACCCCCUCGAGCACCCCGCUAUGGUGCUGCCAGCGCAGCCGCCUCGCAGGUGAGUGCCCGUGUGUUGCAUGUGGUCUGGUGGUAACACAUGUGCUCCUAACCAUACAGGUGACCUUGCUCUUCCUCGUCUAAGCGACUCGAUCACUUCUAUAUAAAUUUAAGUUUUUGCCCGCUGCACGAGAAUGACGAUUUUUUCACUCCCCGUUUCUACAGAAAAAAAUCGACACUGCAAGGAGGCCAAAGCCUACGCCGAUGACCCCCUCGAGCACCCUGCUACGGUGCUACAAGCGCAACCGCCUCACAAGUUGACGUUCCGGCGGGGCAAAGUACUGAACCCUGAAGAGAUCAGUGGUAGCACCCCAAAACGGCUCCGGUUCAUGCCUUCCAUAGCCGUGGCAGACGCGACAUCCAGGAGCAAAUGCGACAGGAUCACAAGUAGGAGGAGCGGCGACGAUGCUGUAGCGAGAGACGUGGGUGUCGAGGUCAUCGUGCUGCGUUGGUGGUAGGACGAGAAGGAGACGAAAAAGUAGGAGUCAGGGCUGUUCAACAACGUGAUCGAAUCGCUGAGGCGAGGAAGAGCAAGGUGAAGGCACUCGUCGAUGCCUUUGAGACCGACAGACCAUCAUCUCGCUGCAGAAACGAGCAAGCCUGCUGCUGCUCCAGCUAUGGCAGCAGGUGUCGUGCCAUGAGCGCUUCUUGACCUGCAGUGUGCAUGAUCACAUUUCUUGGAAUUUUGGACUUUUGUUGUUGUUAGUGACCGUAAAAGUGGCGCUUGUUGAGGUUUGCUCGUUCCCAUGUAAACUAAGUUUUCUCAUGGGAGUUUCCAUACUUUCGUAGUGCUUCCAAAAACCGAAAGUUCGUAUAGGUUUUGUGUCUGUGCAAGGCUUGGCAAGUUGGUAUUGUACUGAUAAGUGAUAAGUAAGCAAGUUACUGUAAUGAUUUAAACUAUAUUGUUUUGAAAGGAAAUGGAAAGGAUAAAGCAAAUUAAACUUUGUAUUAAGUUACCUGAUUCAUGAAAAUGGUACUAACCUUCUUCCAACGUUUUCUAUGUUUCUCAUUUCACUCGCUGCAUUUUCAGUUACAGCUACACUGCAUAUGCUGGCAGAUUUGUUCAUAUAUUACUCCUGCUGGCAUUUUCACUAUCGCAGCAGCAUCUCUACUACUAUUUGUUUUUUUCAUAUAAAUGUAUUUUAUCAUAUUGAUUCCGUAGCAACGCACGGACAUAUUCAUAGUAAAUACUUAUGUAGAGACAUUUUUAAUUUUUAUAUAUACAUAUUUAUCAUACUCUCAAAUGUGUUGUACAUAUUUUAGUUUUGCUAAACCAAUUGUUUAAAGUAUUCAAAUGGAUAGAUAAAAGGAGAAAAAAACUCUACAUAUAGAGGAUCUAAUAAUAUUCUCUAAAUUUAAAAUUUAGAGGAUUAUUUAGAUAACCUCGUUGGAGAAAUUAGAGCACAAAAAUUUUAUCUAUAAUUUAGAGUACAUGAACCUUUACAUGGUCUAUUGGAGCUAGUCUUAGAUAGCCUUAGCCCAAUAGUGUACCCUAAAGCUCUAUCCAUUUUAAUAUACGUAUGUAGAAAAUUAGAAGUAAAAUAUGUCUCUGUAUUUACAUGCAGCACGAGAUUUACGUAUAGGACGAGAUUUAUAAAACGCUACUGAACAAGAAAAAAAGAAGAGUGGACAGAUAUAAUGGAUAGAGAAAAUUGUAGCAGAUAAAGGAUUCAGAAACCAAUCCAAACGACCCUGCAAAACUUCCAAAACUUUGGCUUGUUUGGUUAUACCAAUCCAGAAGAGAAUUGGAGGGAUUUAAAUCCCCUCCUAUUCAUUUUUGACUUGGAUUGGUAUAACCGAACAUGCUCUUAGGCCUAGUUUGGGUACUCUAGUAUUGACCUCAAUCCACUUGUAUUGAGGUGUAACUUAAACUAAUUUACACCCCAAUCCAGAUCAAUACAUGUGGAUUGAGGUCAAUACUAGAGUACCCAAACAAAGCCUUAAGGGGAUAAAAAGAAACAUACUGCGUAAUUGGUUGCUCAACCGAAUACACCAGGAGUUUCGCUAAACGUCCAAGCCCACCGCGUAGACCUGCAUGCGUAGAGACGCGAGGACGGAGCUAGCUAGCCGUCAUUCGUCAAGGCCGCUGCGAGCCGUGCAAGGACAGAGCUUCGCUAGCCGUCCAGGCGCUGCGAGCCGGGCGCCCACGAACCCAGAAACCAAUCAUGCCGAUACUGAAGAUAACUAUACGACUUCCUAAAAUCAAAUUAACAAUGCCAAAAGGUUAACAUAUAGCUCUUACAGCAUUCUUGUAUUGCAGAAGGUGAAAUAGCAACAAGGUACCAAAUAAAUAGAUAAAAGUGCACAGGCUAACAGAGCUCAACAGUUCACACAAUAACAGCAACGACCACAAACAAAACUUGUAAUGAUGAAAACUAGGUAUUGCUAAAGCAGGCGCAGGAUCGCAUCAUUUCUUCUUGGCAGCAGCCUUGGUCACCUUGGCGCCGGUUGGGUCCUUCUUCUCCACACUCUUGAUAACUCCAACAGCAACCGUCUGCCUCAUGUCACGGACAGCAAACCUACCAAGGGGAGGAUACGCUGAGAAUGUCUCCACCACCAUGGGCUUGGUGGGUAUCAUCUUCACCAUACCAGCAUCACCGUUCUUCAGGAACUUUGGCUCCUUCUCAAGCUCCUUGCCAGAGCGCCUGUCGAUCUUGGUAAUGAGCUCAGCAAACUUGACAGCGAUGUGGGAGGUGUGGCAGUCCAGCACAGGGGCAUAGCCGUUGCCAAUCUGCCCAGGGUGGUUCAUGAUGAUGACCUGGGAGGUGAAGCUGGCAGCCUCCUUGGCAGGGUCAUCCUUGGAGUUGGAGGCCACAAACCCACGCUUGAGGUCCUUGACAGCAACAUUCUUCACGUUGAAGCCAACAUUGUCACCCGGAAGAGCCUCCUGAAGUGCCUCGUGGUGCAUCUCAACAGACUUCACCUCGGUAGUCAGGCCAGUUGGACCAAAGGUGACUACCAUACCAGGCUUGAUGACACCAGUCUCCACACGACCAACCGGUACAGUUCCAAUACCACCAAUCUUGUACACAUCCUGGAGGGGCAGACGCAGGGGCUUGUCUGAAGGCCUCUUGGGCUCGGUGAUCUGGUCAAGAGCCUCAAGCAGGGUUGGGCCUUUGUACCAGUCAAGGUUGGUGGACCUCUCAAUCAUGUUGUCGCCCUCAAAACCAGAAAUGGGAACAAAGGCAAUCUUAUCAGGGUUGUACCCAACUUUCUUGAGGUAGGAUGAGACUUCCUUCACAAUCUCUUCAUAACGUGCCUUGGAGUAUUUGGGAGUGGUUGCAUCCAUCUAAAAAACAGAACACCAUUACUUUGAUUAUCCACGGUACAUAGAUAGUAUAUGCUUGGAACAGAAUAAUACUAUUAGCUUAAUGGAAUAAUAAAGGACAUGAACAUCAGGCAAACUGUGGAUGUGAUACCACAGCAGUGACAACUACACAUAAAUAGGUAGAUCACCGUGUAUCGUAAUUCAUAUAUAUGUAGCCAACAUAGCAAGUCCUGGAUGUAACAAAUAAGAAGCAUAUGACAAAAUACAGAGCUAAUCAGGUAUAUGUCAAUGCAUCCUACAAUAAAACUGCAGUACCAGCACAUUAAAUAACCAUACCAAUCAAGUGAAGAUAAAUAAAUGCUUAUACACUUGUACAUACAUUACUUGUUCCAAUAACAUCUAAACAUUACUUGGAACAAUUGAGCGAGAAACUUCUAUGAAAAUUAAUGAGAAAAUAUUCUACAACAGAUCAUACUAGCAAACUAAUGAAUGCUAUUAAGUUAACUAACUACUAAAUAUGAAAGAAACAGAAGGUUAAUCGAAGCUCUAGCCACUAUAUGCAUUUCACAAAUCCUGUAUUCAACUCCAGAACUAUUAUACUAGCACCAAAUUCUGCAAAAGUAGCACAUACCAUUAUACUAGAGGCUUUUGAAACAAAAAUUCCUGAAAGCAUACCUUGUUGCAGCAGCAAAUCAUCUGCUUCACUCCAAGGGUGAACGCAAGGAGAGCAUGUUCACGGGUCUGGCCAUCCUUGGAGAUACCAGCCUCAAAACCACCAGUGGUGGAGUCAAUGAUAAGGACAGCACAGUCAGCCUGGGAGGUACCAGUGAUCAUGUUCUUGAUGAAGUCACGGUGUCCAGGGGCAUCAAUGACCGUGCAGUAGUACUUGGUGGUCUCAAACUUCCACAGAGCGAUAUCAAUGGUGAUACCUCUCUCACGCUCAGCCUUGAGCUUGUCGAGCACCCACGCGUACUUGAAGGACCGCUUGUUCAUUUCAGCAGCCUCCUUCUCGAACCUCUCGAUCACACGCUUGUCAAUGCCUCCAAGCUUGUAGAUAAGGUGUCCUGUGGUGGUCGACUUGCCAGAGUCGACAUGGCCAAUAACCACAAUGUUGAUGUGGGACUUCUCUUUACCCAUGGUUGGAGGUGAGAUUGAACUGUUAACAAGACGAAUCAACGAUUAGAAACACUAGUAAAUUAAUACUACCAGUAACGACACAAUUUAUCAGAUGGGAUCAGAAACUAGAUCUAACGUUGUCACCGGUGAGCUUGAAAAGAGCUUGAUACGCAUAAGCAGUGUAAAAAUAAAGAAGCAAAUAUUAAACAGAGCAAUCAAUGUAAUAUAAAAAAAUAAAGCAGGCAGAGAAAAUAAAGGGCAAACUAAUAAGCGUGCGCACAUAAUUUUGAGCCAGUAAGACGAAUUCAAAAUUAGGCACAACAACUCUAUAAAGCAGAUCAGGAAUUUGGUCAUAUUAUGAGGUUACAACUCUUACUGCGCAUGAACUACAAAGACAAGUAUCGGUCAAAUAGAAACUGCAGCAGCUCUACACCUCAAAAAUUCGAUCUGACUUUAUUAAGACCACGUAACACGACCGCAAGCGCAAUUAAGAAGUCGUCCAACUACGGUGGCACGGUGCGUAUGUAAUUUAUCAAAUCCAGAAGCAACUAUCCGUAAGAAUCAGGUCAUCCAAACAUGGAAGCACACAAAACCACAAAAAACUAAGAGAAUGGAGACGCAGUAGCUACAAUUAAUCGCAAACAGAAGACCGAAUCACUUCAGGCACGGGGAGGCAACAGAGCACAGCUUUCAACCACUGCCUAUCUCAUCGAGCACCUCAAGGACAAAGAUCGAGCGACAGAGGAUUAGCUACCUUGCAAGGGACAGAGGCCGAAAUGGAGGCGCAGAAGGCAGACGGCGAGUUGGGGAGGAAGGUGCUGGCCUCUAGGGUUCGGGACUUUAUAUAAGGGUGUCGGAGUGGCCGGACCAGCCCAAUCUGACUUCCGAUUUCCGAAUGGCGGCCCAGGGCCCAUAAACGGAGCGAGACAUAGUAUAUGGGAAUAUGGGAUGACUGAAUGACAUUGUUAUCUGCUCUCAAUAUUGUAUAGCACCAUUUUUAUGUAGGGAUGGCAACGAACACAUUUUACUCGUGUGCCUGCGGGUAAAAACCUUAUAGGGUGUGGGUUUAAGUGUGAGUUUGUACUCAUGGGUACGAGUACGGGUUUGAUUCACAACUCGAUGGGUUUUUUUCUCGUGGGUAUGAAAAUAUUGUACCUGUGCCCGCAAAACCGUAUACUCGCGUGUGUGUCUGUGUAGACUAUAGAGCACAUGCAUCUCAAUUUAGUGCCACCUCGAAAGCUUUGAGCGAGCGAAGCCAAUCAAAUGAUAUAAAAGAAGACUACAGGCGCCAGGGAACUCGUAGAACUUUUGGCUAAGAUCGGUACAUGUUUUUAUCAGUUUAAUAAAUAUUUAUUAUUAUGUGCUAUCGGUUUAAUAAAUAUUUAUUAUAUGACUGUGCUCGCGGGUGUACCUGCGGGUAGCGGGUUUUGGUAACAUACGCUACCCGUCGCGGGUAGCGGGUGCGGGUACGGGUUUAACAUUAAUCUCGUGGGUACGAGUUUGUAAUCUCUGUACCCGUGGGUUUUAAACCCGUUGCCAUCCCUACUUUUAUGUAUAUGCCCCGAUUUCUCUAGUUACACUUUCCCAACUCUCGUAAUUGAUUUUAUCAAGCCAUAAUUAAUUUUGGUGGUUGAUCGUCAACACAAACACAUGGACUAACUAGUUUGUCUAUAACUCAUGUGUUAUAGGUGCAUAAGGUUCAACACAAACCAAUAAAAGAUUCAAGUUAGGGACUAAAAUUGAAACGGAGCAAAGAAUUUGAGUGUGCUGUGGACUGGCGCACCGGACUGUCCAGUGUGCCACCGGACAGUGUCCGGUGCACCAGGGCCGUAUAAGUUCCAACCAGCCACUCUCGGGAAUUUAACGGUGCCCUCCGCUAUAAUUCACGGGACUGUCUGGUGUGCCACCGGACUGUCCGGUGUGCUAGCGGAGCAACGGCUAACUCGCGCAACGGUCAACUCUGACAGAAGCUACAGUGAGCAACAGUGCCGCGCAGAAGUCAGAACAGCGAAGUCAGAGGGGCAUCGGACUGUCCGGUGUGGCACCGGACUGUCCGGUGCGGCACCGAACUGUCCAGUGCCGCAAGAGGGCAAAGCUCCAACGGUCGCCCGAGCUCCGAACCCUAAUAGUUGGGUGACGUGGUGGCGCACCGGACAACGCACAGUACCUGUCCGGUGGUGCACCGGACUGUCCGGUGGCGCACCGGACUAUCCGGUGCGACCAUCGCCAGCAACCUCCCCAACGGCUACCAAAGUGGUUGGAGGCUAUAAAUACCCUCCAACCACCACAACUUCAAGCAUCCAUGUUUUCUGAAGAUCACAUUCAAUACAAGAGCUCUAGCAUUCACUCCAAGACACAAUACAAAAGAUCAAAUCCUCUCCAAGUCCCAAAUUCAUUCCAAACACUUAGUGGCUUGAGAGAGAGAGAGAGAAUUUUGUGUUCAUUUGAGUUCUUGUCGCUUGGAUUGUCUUUCUUCUUUUCCAAUUCUUAUUCUCAAGUGCUUUGUAAGCGAGGCAAGAGACACCAAGUGUGUGGUGGUCCUUGCGGGGUCUUAGUGACCCGUGAGAUUAAGGAAGAAGGCUCACUCGGUCUAAGUGAUCGUUUGAGAUAGGGAAAGGGUUGAAAUAGACCCGGUCUUUGUGACCUCCUCAACGGGGACUAGGUUCUUUGGAACCAAACCUCGGUAAAACAAAUCAUCGUGUUCACUCGCCUUAUUUCUUGGUUGAUUUGUUUUCCAUCUCUUUCCGACUUAAAUUUAAUUCUAACGCUAACCUCCGACCUUAGUGCUUGCUUAAAGUUAUAAAUUCCAGGUUUCUCCUAUUCACCCCCUUUAGGCGACUUUCAAUUGGUAUCGGAGUCUGGUGCUUCAUUAGAGUCUAACAACUCGAAGUUAUGUCGGGAUAUCACACCAAGAGGGAGAUUAUGACCGGCAACAAGUCCGCAAGCUCGGGGAGGACUCUCUCAAGGGAGUCUGGCAACAAACAUAAAGAGGAAUCCUCUUCCUCCAUCAAGUCACAUCGGAAAGGUGACAAGAAGAAAAAUAUGAAAAAGGUGGUCUAUUACGAGACCGACUCUUCGUCACCCUCCACAUCAAGCUCCGAGUCAUCCGUCGCUUCUAAGAGCCAUGAGCUCAACAAGUAUAGUAAGAUGUCUCUUCGCUAUCCCCGUAUUUCUAAGCGCGCUCCAUUACUUUCCGUUCCCCUAGUCAAACCACCAUAUUUUGAUGGUGAAGAUUAUUGUAUUGUCGGGGACCAUAAUUAGGGGUACCCUGAAGGCUCCUAAUUCUCAGCUGGUAACCCCCAUCAGCACAAAGCUGCAAAGGCCUGAUGGGUGCGAUUAAGUCAGGGAUCGGUCCAUUCGCGGGACUCGAUCACGCCUCGCCCGAGCCUAGCCUCGGGCAAGGGCAGCCGACCCCGGAGGAUCUCCGUCUCGCCCGAGGCCCCCCUCCAGCGACGAACAUACUUCUGGCUUGCCCGAGGCCCUGUCUUCGCCAAGAAGCAACCCUGACCGAAUCGUCGCGCCGACCGACCAAAUCGCAGGAGCAUUUAAUGCAAAGGUGGCCUGACACCUUUAUCCUGACGCGCGCCCUUCUGUCGAUAGAGCCGAAGUGACCGCAGUCACUUCGCCGCUCCACUGACCGACCUGACAGAAGGGCAGCGCCGCCUGCGUCGCACCGACUGCAGUGCCACUUGACAGAGUGAGGCUGACAGGCAGUCAGGCCCGACCUCAGGCACCAUAGGAAACUCCGCUCCGCCCGACCCAGGGCUCGGACUUGGGCUAAGCCCCAGAAGACGGCGAACUCCGCUCCGCCCGACCCAAGGCUCGGACUCGGGCUAAGCCCCGGAAGACGGCGAACUCCGCUCCGCCCGACCCAGGGCUCGGACUCGGGCUAAGCCCCGGAAGACGGCGAACUCCGCUCCGCCCGACCCAGGGCUCGGACUCGGGCUAAGCCCCAGAAGAUGGCGAACUCCGCUCCACCCGACCCAGGGCUCGGACUUGGGCUGAGCCCCGGAAGACGGCAAACUCCGCACCGCCCGACCCAGGGCUCAGACUUGGGCUAAGCCCCAGAAGACGGCGAACUCCGCUCCGCCCGACCCAGGGCUCGAACUUGGGCUAAGCCCCGGAAGACGGCGAACUCCGCACCGCCCGACCCAGGGCUCGGACUUGGGCUCAGCCCCAGAAGACGACGAACUCCGCUUCGCCCGACCCCAGGGCUCGGACUCAGCCCUGGCCUCAGCCGACGGUCUCCGCCUCGCCCGACCCAGGGGCUCGGACUUGACCACGGCCACGGAAGACAGACUCGACCUCGACCUCGGAGGAGCCUCCACAUCGCCCAACCUAGGGCGCGGACCGACCACGUCGACAGGAAGCGCCAUCAUUACCCUACCUAGGGCUGGAAAAUUAGCUCGAGGCUCGCGAGCCGGCUCGGGCUCGGAGCGGCUCGGCUCGGCUCGGGACGGCUCGCGAGCCUCGAACGAGCCGAGCCGAGCCUCUUCUUCGAGCUCGUUUUUACAGCGAGCCGAGCCGAGCCAGCUCGUUCCAGCUCGCGAGCCGGCUCGCGAGCCUUGCAAAAAUAAUCAAUUUAUGGAAUAAUGAUAAAUAUUAGAUAAUUUUAUGGAUAAUAGCUCAUUUUUAGUCUUUAAUGAUGAAUACAUUACAAGUUAUAAUUUAAUUUACUCAUAAUGUAGAAUGAUGAUUCUAUAUUUCAAAUUUAUAUAAUGUUAAUUCACCAAAUAAUGCAACGGUAAGUACCAGAAUAUGGCUCACGAGCCGAGCCGAGCCGGCUCGCGAGCUAAGGUCGAGCCGAGCCUCUUUUGCCAGCUCGUGAAAUGGGCGAGCCGAGCCGAGCUCGUUCAGACACCGAGCCGCACCGAGCCGAGCCGAGCCGAGCUCGGCUCGGCUCGUUUCCAGCCCUAACCCUACCCCAAGCUGACUCAGGCUACGGGGAACAAGACCGGCGUCCCAUUUGGCUCGCUCCGCCAGAUAGGCAAUGAUGGCGCCCCGCACGCUCUGUGACGACGGCGGCUCUCAGCCCCCUUACGGAAGCAAGAGGACGUCAGCAAGGACUCGACGGCCCCGACAGCUGUCCUUCCGCCAGGCUCCAGCGCUCCUCCGACGGCCAUGACACCACAUGAACCGGGUGCCAAAACCUCUCCGGCUGCCACGACGGCGUGUACUUAGGGCGCUAGCUCUCCUCCGCUAGACACGUAGCACUUUGCUACACCCCCCAUUGUACACCUGGAUCCUCUCCUUACGCCUAUAAAAGGAAGGACCAGGGCCCUCUUACAGAGGGUUGGCCGCGCGGGGACGAGGACGAGACAGGCGCUCGCGUGAGGCCGCUCGCUCCCUCUCCCGCGUGGACGCUUGUAACCCCCUACUGCAAGCGCACCCGACCUGGGCGCGGGACGAACACGAAGGCCGCGGGAUUUCCACCUCUCUCACGCCUGUCUCCGGCCACCUUUCUCCCCCUUCGCGCUCGGCCUCGCGCCGACCCAUCUGGGCUGGGGCACGCGGCGACAUUUCACUCGUCGGCCCAGGGACCCCCCGGUCUCAAAACGCCGACAGUUAGCGUGCCAGGUAGGGGCCUGCUGCGUGUUGACGAACAGCUUCCCGUCAAGCUCCAGAUGGGCAGUCUCCAGCAACCUCUCCGGCCCGGGACGGUGCUCUGUUUCGGGAGCCUUGAGUUCAUGUCCUUCGACGGCAGCUACGACAUGAUACUCCUUCCACCGCCGUGCGACGGCGACAAUGGCGGCCGACAGCCCGCCCGCCGGCGGCGGAAUCGACGACGUCUUCCCCGCGUGGUGGAAGAACAACAUUCGAGCUCACCCCGUCCUCUCCCCCGCCGACGGAGGAGGAGGCGGGGCAACCAAGGCCAAGCAGGAGGCAGCGCCUCGUCGGCUGUCGAGCGAGUCGACGGCGCCAGCGCCCCAACGGGGGGCGCGUCGGGCAUCGACCUCACGUUUGAGACGAAGACGAGCGUCGUCUCCCCGCAACACGCCGAUUCCGAGCAAAUGGACGACGCCAGCAUGCUCGCGAAAGGCUUGCUGGAUGUCACCCUCGUACCUGAGACGACGGUGCAGUCAGUCCCCGACGUGACUUCAUCACCGCCCGUCGACCAAGAGGUACCGACCGAUUCCCAUCUCACGCCCUUUGGAUUCAGCCUCGACCCGCCAAGCGGCUUCGCUUUGGCGGACGCUCUCGUAGAGGCGAGUCCAAACCCUCUGGGGUAUCGUAUGUGGUCACCCUGGGACUGGCUGACGGACGUCUCGACCUACGGGCCCUCGAGGUCCGAGGAAGAUGACGAGCCCGACUUCUGUUGGGAUUUCUCCGGACUUGGUAACCCCAGUGCCAUGCGGGACUGAAAGGGAAAUGUGCCCUUGGGCCAUUUCUAAGUAUUUUGGUGAUUGAGUGUCAACACAAGUGCUUAAAUGUGAAUCAAUACCCAUGGAUGAACAAAGUGCAAAUCUAGAGCAAAGGUAUGUUUCUAAGUCUUAGUACAUUGGUUUUGUGUACUAAUAUACUUGUCUAAGUAUUAGAAACAGGAAGAAGAAGAAGAGAAGAAAGUUGGCUGUGUACAGCCAACAGGCUGUUUCGGUCUGGGGCACCGGACUGUCCGGUGGUGCACCGGACAGUGUCCGGUGGUGCACCGGACAGUGUCCGGUGCGCCAGGCUAUCUCGGCCGAAGAGGCCGCUCUCGGGAAUUUGCUGACGGCGUACGGCUAAAAUUCACCGGACUGUCCGGUGUGCACCGGACUGUCCGGUGAGCCAACGGUCGGCCAGGACCAACGGUCGGCCGCGCGAUCAGCGCAGGACACGUGGCCGAGCCAACGGUCGGAAGGGGGCACCGGACUGUCCGGUGUGCACCGGACAUGUCCGGUGCGCCAACGGCUCCCGCAUCUGCAACGGUCGGCUUCGCCAUUUAAGGAAAGGAAUCGGGCACCGGACACUGUCCGGUGUGCACCGGACUGUCCGGUGCGCCCGACGACAGAAGGCAAAGAUGGCCUUCCAGAUUUGUUCUCAACGGCUCCUAGCUGCCUUGGGGCUAUAAAAGGGACCCCUAGGCGCAUGGAGGAUAACACCAAGCAACUCUUGAGCAUUCUUGAUCAUCCACACUCAGUCUUUGCGCAUCCGUUUGUGAUUCUAAGUGAUUCGAGCUCUGUUCUUGUGAGAAACUGUGAGAUAGUCUUUGAGCUCGAAUCUUGGCCGUGUGUGUGCGCGUUUCGCUGUGGAUUUGUGUGUGUUGCUUCCCUCCCUUACUCUGUGCUUCUUUGUGAAUCUUAAGUGUAAGGGCGAGAGACUCCAAUUUGUGGAGAUUCCUCGCAAGUGGGAUAAAGAUAAGCAAGGCAAAAUACUGUGGUAUUCAAGUGGGUCUUUGGACCGCUUGAGAGGGGUUGAUUGCAACCCUCGUCCGUUGGGACGCCACAACGUGGAGUAGGCAAGUUUUGUACUUGGCCGAACCACGGGAUAAAUCACCGUGUCUCCUCUGUGUUGAAUUCUCUGUGAUUGUCGUAUUGUGCAAGAUCUUCUCUUUAGCCACUUGGCAAUUAUUGUGCUAACCUCUAACAAGUUUUUGUGGCUAUAAGUUAAGUUUUUACAGGAUCACCUAUUCACCCCCCCCCCUCUAGGUGCUCUCAAUUGGUAUCGGAGCCGUUCUCUUCACAAAGGGACUUACCGCCCGAAGAGAUGGAUCCUAAGGGGAAGGGAAUCGUGAUCAACGACAAAGAGAAGGAAUCCUUCGUCAACGAGCCGAAGGACAACAAGCCUACCGACUCCGGCUCGAGGCAUAGACGGAAGGAAGGGAAGAAGAAGAAGACAAGGCGCAUAAAGGAGAUCAUCUACUACGACGAUAGUGAUGAGUCUACUUCUUCCCAAAAGGAUGAUGACAACGACUACAAAAAGACGGUCAAUUCGAACUUUUCAUUUGAUUAUUCUCGUAUUCAACAUAGUUCGAAUUCGCAUUUGCUUUCCAUUCCUCUUGGCAAACCUCCACACUUCGAUGGGGAGGACUACGGAUUUUGGAGUCACAAAAUGCGUAGUCACUUAUUCUCUCUCCAUCCAAGCAUAUGGGAGAUUAUGGAGAAUGGAAUGAAAUUUGAUAGCUCGGAUAGCCCUAUGCUUAUAAAUGAACAAAUUCAUAGAAAUGCACAAGCUACUACUGUUCUCUUAGCGUCUUUGUGCAGGGAAGAGUACAAUAAGGUGAGUGGCUUGGACAAUGCCAAGCAGAUAUGGGACACCCUCAAGAUCUCUCACGAGGGGAACGACAUCACCAUGCUCACCAAGAUGGAGUUGGUGGAGGGCGAGCUUGGACGAUUCGCCAUGAUAAGGGGAGAGGAGCCAACUCAAACUUACAACCGGCUCAAGACUCUUAUCAACAAAAUAAGGAGCUACGGAAGCACACGUUGGACGGAUCACGACAUCGUCCGCCUAAUGCUCAGGUCCUUUACCGUUCUUGAUCCUCAUCUCGUGAACAAUAUUCGUGAGAAUCCCAGGUACACGAUGAUGACGCCCGAGGAAGUACUUGGAAAAUUCGUGAGCGGGCGGAUGAGAUCAAGGAGGCAAGAUACGCCGACGACGCGUUGAACGGUCCACUCCAUGAGCCUCAACCCAUUGCUCUAAAGGCAACGAGGAGCAAGGAGUCGCUACCUAGCAAGGUGGCGCAAGUUGAGGCGGCCGGGCUCAAUGAUGAAGAGAUGGCUCUCAUCAUCAAGAGAUUCAAGACGGCGCUAAAAGGUCGAAAGGGACAGCCAAGCAAGGCCAAGACCAAGGGAAAGCGAUCAUGCUUCAAAUGCGGUAAGCUUGGUCAUUUUAUUGCUAACUGUCCCGAAAAUGAUAGUGACCAGGAGCAAGGGAAAAAUGGGAAGAGAGAGAACAAGAAGGUUUACAAGAAGGCCAAAGGCGAAGCACACCUUGGAAAGGAGUGGGAUUCGGAUUGCUCUUCGUCCGACUCCGACGACGAAGGACUCGCCGCCACUGCCUUCAACAAAUCGGCUCUCUUCCCCAACGAGCAUCACACUUGCCUCAUGGCAAGGGAAAAGAAGGUAAUCACUCGUAAUGCUAAUACUUAUGAUUCUUCUAGUGAUGAUGAAUCUAGUGAGGAUGAAAUUGAUUACUCUAGUUUAUUCAAGGGAUUGGAUAGAACUAAGAUAGCUAAGAUUAAUGAGUUGAUCGAUGCCUUAAAUGAAAAGGAUAGAACCUUAGAGAAACAAGAAGACCUCUUAUAUGAAGAACAUGAUAAAUUUGUUAGUGCACAAAAUUCACUUGCUCUAGAAGUUAAAAGAAAUGGAAUACUUUCUUGUGAACUUUCUACUUGUAAUGAAACCAUUUCUUCUUUAAAAGGUGAAAUUAACGAUUUAACUGCUAAACUAGAAGUAGCAAGUAACUCGUAUGUUGAAAAUAUUACAAUUUGCACUAGGUGUAAGGAUUUUGAUGUUAAUGCUUGUAGUGAACACUUAGUUUCAAUUUCAAAACUAAAUGAUGAAGUGGCUAGUCUUAAUGCUCAACUUAAGACUAGCAAGAGUGAAGUUGAUAAAAUAAAAUUUGCAAGGGAUGCCUACACAGUGGGUAGACACCCCUCAAUUAAGGAUGGUCUUGGCUUCAAGAGAGAAGCCAAGAACUUAACAAGCCAUAAGACUCCUAUCUCCACCAAGGAGAAAGGGAAGGCUCCUAUGGCUAAUAGUGUUAAGAAGAAUCAUGCUUUCAUGUACUAUGAUAGGAGAUACUCUAGAAAUGCUUUUAGAAGUAAUGAUGUUUUUGAUUCACAUGCUUAUGACUCUUAUGCUAUGACUGCUUCUAGUUCUCAUGUUAUGCAUGGUAGAAAUGUGUUUAGAAGAAAUGUUGUUCACCAAAUGCCUAGGAGAAAUGUAGUUCAUAAUGCUCCUAGGAAAGUAGUGAAUGAACCUUCCGAAAUUUAUUGUGCUCUAAAUGCUUCCUUUGCUAUUUGUAGAAAGGAUAAGAAAAUUGUUGCUAGGAAGUUAGGGGCAAGAUGCAAGGGAGAUAAAACUUGCAUUUGGGUCCCUAAGAAUAUUUGUGCUAACCUUAUAGGACCCAACAUGAGUUGGGUACCUAAGUCCCAAGCCUAAAUUUGCCUUGCAGGUUUAUGCAUCCGGGGGUUCAAGCUGGAUUAUUGAUAGCGGAUGCACAAACCAUAUGACGGGGGAGAAGAAGAUGUUCACCUCCUACGUCAAGAAUAAGGAUUCCCAAGAUUCAAUUAUAUUCGGUGAUGGGAAUCAAGGCAAGGUAAAAGGGUUAGGUAAAAUUGCGAUUUCUAAUGAGCAUUCUAUCUCUAAUGUAUUUUUAGUAGAGAGUCUUGGAUAUAAUUUGCUAUCUGUUAGUCAAUUAUGUCAUAUGGGGUAUAAUUGUCUAUUUACAAAUGUAGAUGUGUCUGUCUUUAGAAGAAGUGAUGGUUCACUAGCUUUUAAGGGUGUAUUAGACGGCAAACUUUAUUUAGUUGAUUUUGCAAAAGAAGAGGCCGGUCUAGAUGCAUGCUUAAUAGCUAAGACUAGCAUGGGCUGGCUGUGGCAUCGCCGCUUAGCACAUGUGGGGAUGAAGAACCUUCACAAGCUUCUAAAGGGAGAACACGUGAUAGGUUUGACUAACGUGCAUUUCGAAAAAGAUAGACCUUGUGCAGCUUGUCAAGCAGGUAAACAAGUGGGAGGAGCGCAUCACAGCAAGAACGUGAUGACCACUUCAAGACCCCUGGAGCUGCUGCAUAUGGACCUCUUCGGACCUGUCGCCUAUCUGAGCAUAGGAGGGAGUAAGUAUGGUUUAGUUAUUGUUGAUGAUUUUUCCCGCUUCACUUGGGUGUUCUUUUUGCAGGAUAAGUCUGAAACCCAAGUGACCCUCAAGCGCUUCCUCAGGAGAGCUCAAAAUGAGUUUGAGCUCAAGGUGAAGAAGAUAAGGAGCGACAACGGGUCCGAAUUCAAGAACCUUCAAAUGGAGGAAUUCCUUGAAGAGGAAGGGAUCAAGCACGAGUUCUCCGCUCCCUACACACCACAGCAAAAUGGUGUGGUAGAGAGGAAGAACAGGACGCUAAUCGAUAUGGCGAGGACAAUGCUUGGAGAAUUCAAGACCCCCGAGUGUUUCUGGUCGGAAGCCGUGAACACGGCUUGCCACGCCAUCAACAGGGUCUACCUCCAUCGCCUCCUCAAGAAGACUUCGUAUGAGCUUCUAACCGGUAACAAACCCAAUGUAUCUUACUUUCGUGUAUUUGGGAGCAAGUGCUACAUUCUAGUGAAGAAAGGUAGAAAUUCUAAGUUUGCUCCCAAAGCUGUAGAAGGGUUUUUGUUAGGUUAUGACUCAAAUACAAAGGCGUAUAGAGUCUUCAACAAAUCAUUGGGUUUGGUUGAAGUCUCUAGCGACGUUGUAUUUGAUGAGACUAAUGGCUCUCCAAGAGAGCAAGUUGUUGAUUGUGAUGAUGUAGAUGAAGAAGAUGUUCCGACGGCCGCUAUACGGACCAUGGCGAUUGGAGAAGUACGGCCACAGGAACAAGAUGAACGAGAUCAACCUUCUUCCUCAACUAUGGUGCAUCCCCCAACCGAAGAUGACGAACAGGUACCUCAAGUGGAGGCGCUUGAUCAAGGGGGAGCACAAGAUGAUCAAGUGAUGGAGGAAGAAGCGCAACCGGCACCUCCAACCCAAGUUCGAGCGAUGAUUCAAAGGGAUCAUCCCGUCGAUCAAAUUCUGGGUGACAUUAGCAAGGGAGUAACUACUCGAUCUCGAUUAGUUAAUUUUUGUGAGCAUUACUCCUUUGUCUCUUCUAUUGAGCCUUUCAGGGUAGAGGAGGCCUUGCUAGAUCCGGAUUGGGUAUUGGCCAUGCAGGAGGAGCUCAACAACUUCAAGCGCAAUGAAGUUUGGACACUGGUGCCUCGUCCGAAGCAAAAUGUUGUGGGAACCAAGUGGGUGUUCCGCAACAAACAGGACGAGCACGGGGUGGUGACGAGGAACAAGGCUCGACUUGUGGCAAAAGGUUAUGCCCAAGUCGCAGGUUUGGACUUUGAGGAGACUUUCGCUCCUGUAGCUAGGCUAGAGUCCAUUCGUAUCUUGCUAGCAUAUGCCGCUCACCAUUCUUUCAGGUUGUACCAAAUGGAUGUGAAGAGCGCUUUCCUCAACGGGCCAAUCAAGGAGGAAGUGUACGUGGAGCAACCCCCUGGCUUCGAGGAUGAACGGUACCCCGACCACGUGUGUAAGCUCUCUAAGGCGCUCUAUGGACUUAAGCAAGCCCCAAGAGCAUGGUAUGAAUGCCUUAGAGACUUUUUAAUUGCUAAUGCUUUCAAGGUUGGGAAAGCCGAUCCAACUCUUUUUACAAAGACAUGUGAUGGUGAUUUGUUUGUGUGCCAAAUUUAUGUCGAUGACAUAAUAUUUGGUUCUACUAACCAAAAGUCUUGUGAAGAGUUUAGCAGGGUGAUGACACAGAAAUUCGAGAUGUCGAUGAUGGGCGAGUUGAACUACUUCCUUGGGUUCCAAGUGAAGCAACUCAAGGACGGCACCUUCAUCUCCCAAACGAAGUACACGCAAGAUCUGCUAAAGCGGUUUGGGAUGAAGGACGCCAAGCCCGCAAAGACUCCGAUGGGGACCGGCGGACACACCGACCUCAACAAAGGAGGUAAGUCCGUUGAUCAAAAAGCAUACCGGUCAAUGAUAGGUUCUUUGCUUUACUUAUGUGCUAGUAGACCGGAUAUUAUGCUUAGCGUAUGCAUGUGUGCUAGAUUUCAAUCCGAACCUAAGGAGUGUCACUUAGUGGCGGUGAAGCGAAUUCUUAGAUAUUUGGUUGCUACGCCUUGCUUCGGGCUCUGGUAUCCAAAGGGGUCUACCUUUGACUUAGUUGGAUACUCAGACUCCGACUAUGCUGGAUGUAAGGUCGAUAGGAAGAGUACAUCGGGGACGUGCCAAUUCUUAGGAAGGUCCCUGGUGUCAUGGAACUCUAAGAAACAAAUAUCCGUUGCCCUAUCCACCGCUGAGGCCGAGUACGUUGCCGCAGGUCAGUGUUGCGCGCAACUACUUUGGAUGAGGCAAACCCUCCGGGACUUUGGCUACAAUCUGAGCAAAGUCCCACUCCUAUGUGACAAUGAGAGUGCUAUCCGCAUGGCGGAGAAUCCUGUUGAGCACAGCCGCACAAAGCACAUAGACAUCCGGCAUCACUUUUUGAGAGACCACCAGCAAAAGGGAGAUAUCGAAGUGUUUCAUGUUAGCACCGAGAACCAGCUAGCCGAUAUCUUCACUAAGCCUCUAGAUGAGAAGACCUUUUGCAGGUUGCGUAGUGAGCUAAAUGUCAUAGAUUCGCGGAACCUGGAUUGAAUUGUAGCAUACAUGUACUUAUGCUUUUGAUCAUGUUCCUUUUUGCAUUUUGUUGCUUAUUAUGGUGCUCAAGUUGUACCAACACUCCCUGGACCUCACAAGUCCGUUGCAAAGUGAUGCACAUGUUUAGGGGGAGAUGUGUUACAACUUGACCCUUUGAGACUAACCAUGUGCUUGAGUUUGAUAAUUUAGUCUCGAAGGAGGAUUGAAAGGGAAAAGGUGGACUUGGACCAUGAAAGACUUCCACUGCACUCCGAUGAGAGGGUAACUAAUUCCAAGUUCAUCUCAUGAAAUCUUAUUGCCAUUUGCUCUUAAUUGAAGACUUUGGUGAGGCAAUGGGGUUAAAAGGCCAAGAUUGAUCCCGUUUUGGUGCUUCAUGCCAAAGGGGGAGAAAAUAAAGGCCAAAGUGAUAAAUGGAUCAGCUACCACUUGAGAGAUUUUGAAAAUAGUAGAAUAGAGUUUUUGUUGUGUCAAAAGGCUUUUAUUAUCUCGUAUUGUCUCUAUUGUCAAAAGUUGGCUUCUUGUGGGGAGAAGUGUUGAUUAUGGGAAAUAGGGGGAGUUUUUGAAAUCUUUGAUCAAUCUCUUUUGGAAUGACUCUCUUUAUGCCUCAACAUGUGUGUUUGACAUAGAAAUAGAAAUUUGAGUUUGAUUUGCAAAAACAAACCAAGUGGUGGCAAAUGAUGAUCCAUAUAUGCCAAAAUUGAAUCAAAACCAAUUUGAGCUUUUAUUUGAAGUGAUUUUGCACUUGUUCUAGUUGCUUUAUGUUGUGUUGGCAUAAAUCACCAAAAAGGGGGAGAUUGAAAGGGAAAUGUGCCCUUGGGCCAUUUCUAAGUAUUUUGGUGAUUGAGUGUCAACACAAGUGCUUAAAUGUGAAUCAAUACCCAUGGAUGAACAAAGUGCAAAUCUAGAGCAAAGGUAUGUUUCUAAGUCUUAGUACAUUGGUUUUGUGUACUAAUAUACUUGUCUAAGUAUUAGAAACAGGAAGAAGAAGAAGAGAAGAAAGUUGGCUGUGUACAGCCAACAGGCUGUUUCGGUCUGGGGCACCGGACUGUCCGGUGGUGCACCGGACAGUGUCCGGUGUGCCAGGCUAUCUCGGCCGAAGAGGCCGCUCUCGGGAAUUUGCUGACGGCGUACGGCUAAAAUUCACCGGACUGUCCGGUGUGCACCGGACUGUCCGGUGAGCCAACGGUCGGCCAGGACCAACGGUCGGCCGCGCGAUCAGCGCAGGACACGUGGCCGAGCCAACGGUCGGAAGGGGGCACCGGACUGUCCGGUGUGCACCGGACAUGUCCGGUGCGCCAACGGCUCCCGCAUCUGCAACGGUCGGCUUCGCCAUUUAAGGAAAGGAAUCGGGCACCGGACACUGUCCGGUGUGCACCGGACUGUCCGGUGCGCCCGACGACAGAAGGCAAAGAUGGCCUUCCAGAUUUGUUCUCAACGGCUCCUAGCUGCCUUGGGGCUAUAAAAGGGACCCCUAGGCGCAUGGAGGAUAACACCAAGCAACUCUUGAGCAUUCUUGAUCAUCCACACUCAGUCUUUGCGCAUCCGUUUGUGAUUCUAAGUGAUUCGAGCUCUGUUCUUGUGAGAAACUGUGAGAUAGUCUUUGAGCUCGAAUCUUGGCCGUGUGUGUGCGCGUUUCGCUGUGGAUUUGUGUGUGUUGCUUCCCUCCCUUACUCCGUGCUUCUUUGUGAAUCUUAAGUGUAAGGGCGAGAGACUCCAAUUUGUGGAGAUUCCUCGCAAGUGGGAUAAAGAUAAGCAAGGCAAAAUACUGUGGUAUUCAAGUGGGUCUUUGGACCGCUUGAGAGGGGUUGAUUGCAACCCUCGUCCGUUGGGACGCCACAACGUGGAGUAGGCAAGUUUUGUACUUGGCCGAACCACGGGAUAAAUCACCGUGUCUCCUCUGUGUUGAAUUCUCUGUGAUUGUCGUAUUGUGCAAGAUCUUCUCUUUAGCCACUUGGAAAUUAUUGUGCUAACCUCUAACAAGUUUUUGUGGCUAUAAGUUAAGUUUUUACAGGAUCACCUAUUCACCCCCCCCUCUAGGUGCUCUCAGGGACUUCAUGACCACAUGCAACUACUGCCUUUCCGACUGUUCCGACGGUAGCCGCAGCCUCGGCGACGAGGACUGCGGCCCAAGCCGCGAAUGUUUCCACGUCGAUCUAGGGGGUCCCUCCGAAGGCAACCAUCUCGGUAUGCCAGAGAACGGUGAUCUCCCUAGGCCUGCGCCUCGCGUUGACAUCCUACGGGAGCUAGCUGUGGUCCUCAUUCAGGCGGGGGGCCAUGACCCACAGCUCGAGCAAAUCCGCGGGGUGCAGGCCAGGCUCGACGAGGGAGCAGGAGCGCUUGAGCCGAUCCGCCUGGACGUCGGGCAGGAAUGGGCGGGCCAACCUCUGGCGGAGAAAUGCGUCAUCUACCCCAGGGCUUCCAGCACCGCAUCGCCGACAAUGUCAGGAUGAGGCCGCCACCCGCUUCCAGUGGGGUCGGCCAGAACCUGGUCGCGGCGGCAAUGCUUCUCCACGCGAUGCCGGAGCCAUCGACCACCGAGGGGCGGCGAAUCCAGGGAGAACUCAAGAAUCUCCUGGAGGGCGCCGCGGUCCAGCGGGCCGAAAGCUCCGCCUCCCGAAGGCAGGGGCACCCCUCGGAACAUCAUGCCGCGACUUCCCGAUUCAUGCAGGAAGCCUCAGUCCACACCGGGCGCACGCGCAACACAGCGCCUGCGGCCUCGGGUCGCCCCGGCAACGAGCACCAUCACCACGACCGUCGGGCCCACCUCGACGAGAGGGUGCGCCGAGGCUACCACCCCAGGCGUGGGGGACGCUACAACAGCGGGGAGGAUCAGAGUCCCUCGCCCGAACCACCCGGUCCGCAGGCUUUCAGCCGGGCCAUACGACGGGCGCCGUUCUCGACCCGGUUCCGACCCCCGACUACUAUCACAAAGUACUCGGGGGAGACGAGACCGGAGCUGUGGCUCGCGGACUACCGGCUGGCCUGCCAACUGGGUGGAACAGACGAUGACAACCUCAUCAUCCGCAACCUCCCCCUGUUCCUCUCCGACACCGCUCGCGCCUGGUUGGAGCACCUGCCUCCGGGGCAGAUCUCCAACUGGGACGACCUGGUCCAAGCCUUCGCCGACAAUUUCCAGGGCACGUACGUGCACCCUGGGAAUUCCUGGGACCUCCGAAGCUGCCGACAGCAGCCGGGAGAGUCUCUCCGGGACUACAUCCGACGAUUCUUGAAGCAGCGCACCGAGCUGCCCAACAUCACCGACUCGGAUGUCAUCGGCGCGUUCCUCGCCGGCACCACCUGCCGCGACCUGGUGAGCAAGUUGGGUCGCAAGACCCCCACCAGGGCGAGCGAGCUGAUGGACAUCGCCACCAAGUUCGCCUCUAGCCAGGAGGCGGUCGAGGCUAUCUUCCGGAAGGAUAAGCAGCCCCAGGGCCGCCCACCGGAAGAUGCCCCCGAGGCGUCAACUCAGCGCGGCACCAAGAAGAAGGGCAAGAAGAAGUCGCAAGCGAAACGCGACGCCGCCGACGUGGACCUUGUCGCUGCCGCCGAGUACAAGAACCCUCGGAAACCCCCCGGAGGUGCCAACCUCUUCGACAAGAUGCUCAAGGAGCCGUGCCCCUAUCACCAAGGGCCCGUCAAGCACACCCUUGAGGAGUGCGCCAUGCUUCGGCGCCACUUCCACAGGGCCGAGCCACCCGCGGAGGGUGGCAGGGCUCGCGACGACGACAAGAAGGAAGAUCACCAGGCAGGAGAGUUCCCCGAGGUCCGCGACUGCUUCAUGAUCUACGGUGGGCAAGCGGCGAACGCCUCGGCUCGGCACCGUAAGCAAGAGCGUCGGGAGGUCUGUUCGGUGAAGGUGGCGGCGCCAGUCUACCUAGACUGGUCUGACAAGCCCAUCACCUUCGACCAAGCCGACCACCCCGACCACGUGCCGAGCCCGGGGAAAUACCCGCUCGUUGUCGACCCCGUCAUCGGCGACGUCAGGCUCACCAAGGUCCUCAUGGACGGAGGCAGCAGCCUCAACAUCAUCUACGCCGAGACCCUCGGGCUCCUGCGUGUCGAUCUGUCCUCGGUCCGGGCAGGCGCUGCGCCUUUCCAUGGGAUCAUCCCCGGGAAGCGCGUCCAGCCCCUCGGACAACUCGACCUUCCCGUCUGCUUCGGAACACCCUCCAACUUCCGAAGGGAGACCCUGACGUUCGAGGUGGUCGGGUUCCGAGGAACCUACCACGCGGUACUGGGAAGGCCAUGCUAUGCGAAGUUCAUGGUCGUCCCCAACUACACCUACCUCAAGCUCAAGAUGUCGGGCCCCAACGGGGUCAUCACCGUCGGCCCCACAUACAAACACACGUUCGAAUGCGACGUGGAGUGCGUGGAGUACGCCGAGGCCCUCAUCGCCGACCUGGAGAGCCUCUCUAAGGAGGUGCCGGACGUGAAGCGUCAUGCCGGCAACUUUGAGCCAGCGGAGACGGUUAAGUCCGUCCCCCUCGACCCCAGCAGCGACGCCUCCAAGCAGAUCCGGAUCGGCUCCGAGCUCGAUCCCAAAUAGGAAGCAGUGCUCGUCGACUUUCUCCGCGCGACUGCCGACGUCUUCGCGUGGAGUCCCUCGGACAUGCCUGGCAUACCGAGGGAUGUCGCCGAGCACUCGCUAGACAUCCGAGCCGGAGCCCGACCCGUCAAGCAGCCUCUGCGCCGAUUCGACGAAGAGAAGCGCAGAGCCAUAGGCGAGGAGAUCCACAAGCUAAUGGCAGCAGGGUUCAUCAAAGAGGUAUUCCAUCCCGAAUGGCUUGCCAACCCUGUGCUUGUGAGAAAGAAAGGAGGGAAAUGGCAGAUGUGUGUAGACUACACUGGUCUAAACAAAGCAUGUCCGAAGGUUCCCUACCCUCUGCCUCGCAUCGAUCAAAUCGUGGAUUCCACUGCUGGGUGCGAAACCCUGUCUUUCCUCGAUGCCUACUCCGGGUAUCACCAAAUCAGGAUGAAGGAGUCCGACCAGCUCGCGACUUCUUUCAUCACGCCCUUCGGCAUGUACUGCUAUGUCACCAUGCCGUUCGGCUUGAGGAAUGCGGGCGCGACGUACCAGCGGUGCAUGAACCAUGUGUUCGGCCAACACAUUGGCCGGACGGUCGAGGCCUACGUCGAUGACAUCGUAGUCAAGACGAGGAAAGCCUCUGACCUCCUUUCCGACCUUGAAGUGACAUUCCGAUGUCUCAAGGCGAAAGGCGUGAAGCUCAAUCCCGAAAAGUGUGUCUUCGGGGUGCCCCGAGGCAUGCUCUUGGGGUUCAUCGUCUUCGAGCGGGGCAUCGAAGCCAACCCAGAGAAGAUCGCAGCCAUCACCAGCAUGGGGCCCAUCAAGGACUUAAAAGGCAUACAGAGAGUCAUGGGAUGUCUCGCGGCUCUGAGCCGCUUCAUCUCACGCCUCGGCGAAAGAGGUCUACCUUUGUACCGCCUCUUAAGGAAGGCCGAGUGCUUCACUUGGACCCCUGAGGCCGAGGAAGCCCUCGGGAACCUGAAGGCGCUCCUCACGAAUGCGCCUAUCUUGGUGCCCCCAGCUGCCGGAGAAGCCCUCCUGAUCUACGUCGCCGCGACCACUCAGGUGGUUAGCGCCGCGAUUGUGGUCGAGAGGCAAGAAGAGGGGCAUGCAUUGCCCGUUGAGAGGCCAGUCUACUUCGUCAGCGAGGUACUGUCCGAGACCAAGAUUUGCUACCCACAAGUUCAGAAGCUGCUGUACGCGGUGAUCCUGACGCGGCGGAAGCUGCGACACUACUUCGAGUCUCAUCCGGUAACUGUGGUGUCAUCCUUCCCCCUAGGGGAGAUCAUCCAGUGCCGAGAGGCCUCGGGUAGAAUCGCAAAGUGGGCGGUGGAAAUCAUGGGCGAAGCAAUCUCGUUCGCCCCUCGGAAGGCCAUCAAGUCCCAGGUCCUGGCGGACUUCGUGGCUGAAUGGGUCGACACCCAGCUCCCAACAGCUCCGAUCCAGCCAGAGCUUUGGACCAUGUUCUUUGAUGGGUCGUUGAUGAAGACAGGAGCCGGCGCAGGCCUACUCUUCAUCUCGCCCCUCGGGAAGCACCUACGCUACGUGCUACGCCUCCAUUUCCCGGCGUCCAACAAUGUGACUGAGUACGAGGCUCUGGUCAACGGGUUGCGGAUCGCCAUCGAGCUAGGGGUCCGAUGCCUCGACGCUCACGGUGACUCGCAGCUCGUCAUCGACCGAGUCAUGAAGAACUCCCACUGCCGCGACCCAAAGAUGGAGGCCUACUGCGAUGAGGUUUGGCGCCUGGAAGACAAAUUCUACGGGCUCGAGCUCAACCACAUCGCCCGGCGCUACAACGAGACUGCGGACGAGCUGGCUAAAAUAGCCUCGGGGCGAACAACGGUUCCCCCGGACGUCUUCUCCCGAGACCUGCAUCAACCCUCCAUCAAGAUCGACGACACGCCCGAGCCCAAGGCACCCUCGGCCCAGCCCGAGGUACCCUCGGCUCAGUCCGAGGCAUCUUCAGCACGACCCGAGGCACCCUCGGUCCGGCCCGAGCCACCCUCGGUUCAGCCCGAGGCACCCUCGGCACCCGAGGGUGAGGCACUGCGCGUCGAGGAGGAGCGAAGCGGGGGCACGCCUAAUCAAAACUGGCGGACCCCGCAUCUGCAAUAUCUCCACCGUGGAGAGCUACCCCUCGACCGAGCCGAAGCUCGGCGGUUGGCGCGGCGUGCCAAGUCGUUCGUCUUGCUGGGAGAUGAGAAGGAGCUCUACCACCGCAGCCCCUCGGGCAUCCUCCAGUGAUGCAUCUCCAUCACCGAAGGUCAGGAACUCCUACGAGAGAUACACUCGGGGGCUUGCGGCCAUCACGCAGCACCUCGAGCCCUUGUCGGAAACACUUUCCGGCAAGGUUUCUACUGGCCGACAGCGGUGGCCGACGCCACUAGAAUUGUCCGCACCUGCGAAGGGUGUCAGUUCUACGCAAGGCAGACCCACCUACCUGCUCAGGCUCUGCAAACCAUACCCAUCACCUGGCCUUUUGCCGUGUGGGGUCUGGACCUCGUCGGCCCCUUGCAGAAGGCACCCGGGGGCUACACGCACCUGUUGGUCGCCAUCGACAAAUUCUCCAAGUGGAUCGAGGUCCGACCCCUAAACAGCAUCAGGUCUGAGCAGGCGGUGGCAUUCUUCACCAACAUCAUCCAUCGUUUCGGGGUCCCGAACUCCAUCAUCACCGACAACGACACCCAGUUCACCGGCAGAAAGUUCCUGGACUUCUGCGAGGACCACCACAUCCGGGUGGACUGGGCCGCCGUGGCUCACCCCAUGACGAAUGGGCAAGUAGAGCGUGCCAACGACAUGAUUCUACAAGGACUCAAGCCUCGGAUCUACAAUGACCUCAACAAGUUCGGCAAGCGAUGGAUGAAGGAACUCCCCUCGGUGGUCUGGAGCCUGAGGACAACGCCGAGCCGAGCCACGGGCUUCACGCCGUUCUUUCUAGUCUAUGGGGCCGAGGCCAUCUUGCCCACAGACUUAGAAUACGGUUCCCCGAGGACGAGGGCCUAUGCUGACCAAAGCAACCAAGCUAGUCGAGAAGACUCGCUGGACCAGCUGGAACAGGCUCGGGACAAGGCCUUACUACACUCGGCGCGGUACCAGCAGUCCCUGCGACGCUACCACGCCCGAGGGGUCCGGACCCGAGACCUCCAGGCGGGCGACCUGGUGCUUCGGCUGCGACAAGACGCCCGAGGGCGGCACAAGCUCACGCCCCCCUGGGAGGGGCCGUUCAUCAUCGCCAAAGUUCUGAAGCCCGAAACGUACAAGCUGGCCAACAGUCAAGGCGAGGUCUACAGCAACGCUUGGAACAUCCAACAGCUACGUCGCUUCUACCCUUAAGAUGUUUUCAAGUUGUUCAUAUACCUCGCUCCCACGCAAAGUUUAGUCAUCAAGGAAGGGUCGGCUUGCCUCGGCAAAGCCCGACCCUCCCUCGGGGGCUAAAAGGGGGGAACCCCCUCUGCGUCGAAUUUUUUCCUCGAAAAAAAGAUCCUUUCUGCCAGAAUAUCUUUCGUGCUUUUCGACUACUUCGAAAGUGGAUCAUGAAAACGACGGAGUACACGUAAGCAGCCAAGGCUGACCGAGCCGAGGGACUCCUACGCCUCCGGGAUACGGAUACCUCAUUCAUCACCUUCCGCGAGAAGCAACUCUCGCCCACAUAGACAACUCUGUUACCGACGAAAAAGUCCAGAUACUCGAAACAAGAGGAAAAGAAACGCACCUUUACAACACGGCGAGGGUGUGUUUGGGCCUCGGCGGCCGUAGAAAACACACACUACAAGAUAAUCCGACCCUGCAGGCUCGGAUCUGGACAGUUGAAGGGAGCCGCAGCACCCUCGGCGUCGACAACACCUUCGGCGAGGUCCGACCUAGCCUCGGACGGCAACACGGUCCGAGGAUCUCCACUCUGAAGGACGACGUCAUCACCACGCCCGGGCCAUCGCCGCCAGGGUCUUCUCCGAGAAUCCGGCCCGAGUAGGCGGCUCGGCUGGUACCCCGAGGCCUCGGCCAGCUGUCCCCCGAGGACAUCAGCCUGACCCGAGGCCUCGGAAGAUCAACUCCGGCGUUGGUCCCGCUAACGGACGACCCGGCCAGGCUCCGGCCGACCAAGUCUUCUUUUCAAGCCAACUCUGCCUUUGUCCAUGCUGACACCGCUACCCCUGGCUUCGGCUCAUCGAAGAGCGGCCGAGGGGUUCCUUUAACUAAGCAAGAGAAGCCUCGGACAGCAAGGCCGACCGAGCCGAGGGACUCCUACGCCUCCGGGAUACGGAUACCUCACUCGUCACCUUUGCACAGGGCGACUCACGCUUGGUGAAGCGGUUCAGACAACCAACAGGCGACUCUUAGUGCUCGAAAAUGAGGAAAAAACACAGCCCCGUGCCAAAAAUACAUACAUGUUCAGGCCUCGACAGCCACAAUGAACAAAAACACUGGCAUUCAAAGUGCCAUUACAAACGGAACUCUGGUUCCACCUCCGCAGGUACGAACAACCCCACUCGAUGGGGGGGCCUGCGGAGCAAUAGAAGACCGACGAACGGCGCGCCGUCACCCGCUCCAGCAAUGACAACGACGAUGACUUCUGCUCUGGGGGGCCAAACAGCGGCAACGAUGACCUCAGGGCGGAUGCUGCUGCCGGGAGGCCCCCGCCCAUGCCCAAACUCAUGAGGCAAGGACGGGUAGAAGGCCAUAGAGUUGGAGGUCGGUCCGUAGGCGGCCCCGGCUAUCUCGUCGGCGGAAGAACCUCUUCCAACUGCCGUGGCGGGAGCCGGCACCGAGAGCGGCUCCAAAGCCACUCGGGUCCGAGAGCCAGGCACGCGGCAGCUGCCAGCGCCACGGACGACAACCGCCCUUCCCCCCGAUCACUGAGGGAAGGAGCGGGCCACCGCCCACGCAGGGGCCGACCCCAACUCGGCACACUCCCCUCCCCAGCCCUGGUGAUGAAAAUCCUUGAGGCUGAGGGAGGGGCAGAGGCCGCAGCCUGGCUUGCUUUCCCCCGCCAUCGAACUGGAGGUCACCAUCUUGGGUGACCGCCGGCGGAGGGGUGCAACCGGGCUGCAUGAUGAAAAUCCUUGAAGCCGAACGAUGGCUGAAAGGUACCAACUCCCACGGAGUUGCGUUCCCCCAACGACAAGGCGGAAGGACUGCAGGCAUCCCCCAUCAGGGGGUUCGGAAGGUGGAAAGACACGAUGCAUAAGGGAGCACGAAGACAUGGUCGCCUUUCAAGGGGGUCACCCUCCAUUUAAAGGCGACUCUCCCUACUUGCGUCCCCAGCCGUCGCAGGCUGAGUCUUCUCUAACACGUUCCAAGGUCCUCCCCCUACGACGCGGGGGCUGGGUCCCACACGUCAUGCAAUCCGACCUAGAGCAGAAGAAGCCAAACCGCCGCGCGCGGUGCAUGCAACCGCCCAGCGGUUACAAGCGGCCCUCCAUUUUUGCCCCGACCAGCGGGCGAAAGGGCGGGCAGCCAUGCAGGCGGCAUGCAACCGCGCCAAGUGGGCGCACUUCUCCGACUUCCAACACGCCCAGCAUGGAGGCCCAGGCCCACGCGUCAUGCAACCGGCGCGCCGGAUGCUGCGUGCGAGCAACUGCACCGCCACCCACGCCACUGCCACGCCUCCUCGACUGCGGAACCAGUACCGCGACUCGAGGCAACCCUACGCACGACCCAGCAGCACCAGCCUGGCGCGACGGUCAAUGCGGCCAAAAAUGGGCCGGCAGUAAUGGCGGUGGCAGGCGGGCAGGAGCAGCGGUCACGUCGUCAGCCAGGCAUACGUCCCACCCGGAGGCAGCGAGAGAACCCUCUCUCACGGCGUGAAGACGACGUGCCCGUGUUCCGUUCCUCGAACGGCUCGCGCACGCGCAAUGGCCGCCCCGCGAACCGCACGCCCCGUCGCAUUAACUCCGCGGCGGGACAGGCGGCGCCUCUGGCAGGAGAAGCAAGCGACGCUUCGCCUUCGCCAUAAUGACCGCAUCAAAAAAGGUACGCCAUGUCAUUCGAUUUCGAAUCCUUUUCCUUUUCCUCUUUCUCUCUCUUACGACAGGGACCGGGAAAGGGGGAUACCCCGAAAAGGAUCCUUCUCCGUGAAGGAACCAGGCUCCAAGCCUCCCUACUAAUCAGAGGUUCGAAGGCUGGCCCCUCGGAGGGGUUCAACAGCCGCCUCAGAGCGCGUGGGCUCCACACCCACUACUGGUCAGAGGUUCGAAGGCCGGCCCCUCGAAGGGUUCAAAGACCGCCUCAGGCUACUCGGGCUCCGCGCCCACUACUGAUCAGGGGUUCGAAGGCUGGCCCUCGAAGGGUUCACAGCCACCUCAGACGCAGAGCGAGGGAUGACCAUGGGUACGUUCGAUACAUAACCAAGGCUCGGGCUACGCUCCCGAGGUACCCUAGGACAUUUCCGAGACCAGCGGGAACGAUCUUGUAACGGAAUCCCAUCAGAGGGAGGCAUCAAGCCCUCGGACCCCGUCGACAGGGGACCGGGUCCGGCAGAUCACCCGCAGGUACUUUUGGGCGCGCCUCUGGGCCUCUAGCCGACCCCUAGCAAAUGGGGCACGGACAUCCGCUCGGAUUACCCGCCAGCAGCUCACUGGAGACACCAUGUUCGGCGCCCACCGAGGGCAGCAUGGCGCUUUCCCCCCUUCUCCUUUCGGAAAGGCGACGCAGGGGCGUAUGUAAAAAAGUCGAGUCUGUCCCUGAUCGUCCUCUCGCCCUGUGCAGAGGCUCGAGGGCUGCUCUCGCGAACCCGGCUCCGGCCAAACCGUUGACAGCGUCAAUAAACCAGCCCGAGAAUUUGGGACCCGACCGUGCACCCGGGCUACGACCAGCUCGCAUGAGGGAACGACCAGACCAGCCAAAGCAUUGCGCGAGGCAUUAAGACAUCGGAGGAGUCAAACCACUCCUCCGAGGCCUCGGGGGCUACACCCGGCGGGUGCGCUCGCGCGCACCCACCGGAACAAAACGCAACCGAGAAAGGCUGGUCCCCUUGCAAAAAAGUGCGACAAAAGCCUCCAAGCGAGUGUUAACACUCCCUUCGAGGCUCGGGGGCUACUGUCGGGGACCAUAAUUAGGGGUACCCUCAAGGCUCCUAAUUCUCAGCUGGUAACCCCCAUCAACACAAAGCUGCAAAGGCCUGAUGGGUGCGAUUAAGUCAGGGAUCGGUCCAUUCGCGGGACUCGAUCACGCCUCGCCCGAGCCUAGCCUCGGGCAAGGGCAGCCGACCCCGGAGGAUCUCCGUCUCGCCCGAGGCCCCCCUCCAGCGACGAACAUACUUUCGGCUUGCUCGAGGCCCUGUCUUCGCCAAGAAGCAACCCUGACCGAAUCGUCGCGCCGACCGACCAAAUCACAGGAGCAUUUAAUGCAAAGGUGGGCUGACACCUUUAUCCUGACGCGCGCCCUUCUGUCGACAGAGCCGAAGUGACCGCAGUCACUUCGCCGCUCCACUGACCGACCUAACAGAAGGGCAGCGCUGCCUGCGUCGCACCGACUGCAGUGCCACUUGACAGAGUGAGGCUGACAGGCAGUCAGGCCCGACCUCAGGCACCAUAGGAAACUCCGCUCCGCCCGACCCAGGGCUCGGACUUGGGCUAAGCCCCGGAAGACGACGAACUCCGCUCCGCCCGACCCAGGGCUCAGACUCGGGCUAAGCCCCGGAAGACGGCGAACUCCGCUCCGCCCGACCCAGGGCUCAGACUGGGGCUAAGCCCCGGAAGACGGCGAACUCCGCUCCGCCCGACCCAGGGCUCGGACUCGGGCUAAGCCCCGGAAGACGGCGAACUCCGCUCCGCCCGACCCAGGGCUCGGACUUGGGCUGAGCCCCGGAAGACGGCGAACUCCGCACCGCCUGACCCAGGGCUCGGCCUUGGGCUAAGCCUCGGAAGACGGCGAACUCCGCUCCGCCCGACCUAGGGCUUGGACUUGGGCUAAGCCCCGGAAGACGACGAACUCCGCACCGCCCGACCCAGGGCUCGGACUUGGGCUCAGCCCCAGAAGACGACGAACUCCGCUUCGCCCGACCCCAGGGCUCGGACUCAGCCCUGGCCUCAGCCGACGGUCUCCGCCUUGCCCGACCCAGGGGCUCGGACUCGACCACAGCCACGGAAGAUAGACUCGACCUCGACCUCGGAGGAGCCUCCACAUCGCCCAACCUAGGGCACGGACCGACCACGUCGACAGGAAGCGCCAUCAUUACCUUACCCCAAGCUGACUCAGGCUACGGGGAACAAGACCGACGUCCCAUCUGGCUCGCUCUGCCAGAUAGGCAAUGAUGGCGCCCCGCACGCUCUGUGACGACGGCGGCUCUCAGCCCCCUUACGGAAGCAAGAGGACGUCAGCAAGGACUCGACAGCCUCGACAGCUGUCCUUCCGCCAGGCUCCAGCGCUCCUUCGACGGCCACGACACCACACGAACCGGGUGCCAAAACCUCUCCGGCUGCCACGACGGCGUGUACUUAGGGCGCUAGCUCUCCUCCGCUAGACACGUAGCACUUUGCUACACCCCCCAUUGUACACCUGGAUCCUCCCCUUACGCCUAUAAAAGGAAGGACCAGGGCCCUCUUACAGAGGGUUGGCCGCGCGGGGACGAGGACGAGACAGGCGCUCGCGUGAGGCCGCUCGCUCCCUCUCCCACGUGGACGCUUGUAACCCCCUACUGCAAGCGCACCCGACCUGGGCGUGGGACGAACACGAAGGCCGCGGGAUUUCCACCUCUCUCACGCCUGUCUCCGGCCACCUUUCUCCCCCCUUCGCGCUCGGCCUUGCGCCGACCCAUCUGGGCUGGGGCACGCGACAACAUUUCACUCGUCGGCCCAGGGACCCCCCGGUCUCGAAACGCCGACAGGUAUGUGGAGUGAUAAAAUGAGGCACCAUCUAACCUCACUCCACGAAAGCAUAUGGGAUAUUGUUGAGUUUGGAGCGCAGGCACCGAAGGUGGGGGACAAGGACUAUGACUCGGACGAGGUUGCCCAAAUUAGGCACUUUAACUCCCAAGCCACAUCUAUGCUCCCCGCCUCCUUGUGUCGAGAGGAGUAUAACAAGGUGCAAGGGUUAAAGAGCACCAAAGAAAUUUGGGACGUCCUCAAGACCGCACACAAAGGGGACAAGGUGACCAAGAUCACCAAGCGGGAAACGAUCGAGGGGGAGCUCGGUCGAUUCGUCAUCAACAAAGGAGAAGAGCCACAAGCAAUGUACAACCGACUAAAAACAAUGGUGAACCAAGUGCGCAACCUCGGGAUCACCAAAUGGGAUGACCAUGAGAUGGUCAAGGUUAUUCUUAGAUCCCUCGUAUUUCGUAAUCCUACUCAAGUUCAAUUAAUACGUGGGGAUCCUAGAUAUAGACUAAUGUCUCCCGAGCAAGUGAUUGGCAAGUUUGUGAGCUUUGAACUUAUGAUCAAAGACUCCAAACACAUUGUCAACUUAGAGCAAGGCGCCACCUCCACACCCGAGGUGCAACCCAUCGCAUUCAAAGUGACGGAAGAAGAGAAGGAGUCUACAUCAAGUAGGCUUCCAAUCGACGCCUCCAAGCUCGACAACGAGGAAAUGACACUCAUCGUCAAGAGCUUCCGCCAAAUCCUCAAGCAAAGGAGGGGAAAGAACUAUAAGUCCCACUCCAAGAAGGUGUGCUACCAGUGUGGUAAGUCCGGUCACUUCAUUGCUAAAUGUCCAAUUUCUAGUGAAAGUGACAGGGACGACGACAAGAAGGGGAAGAAGAAAGAAAAGAAGAGGUACUACAAGAAGAAGGGCAGUGAUGCCCACAUAUGUUGGGAAUGGGACUCCGAUGAGAGCUCCACCGACUCCUCCUCCGACGAGGACGCCACCAACAUCGCUGUCAACAAGGGCCUCCUCUUCCCCAACGUCGGCCACAAGUGUCUAAUGGCCAAGGACGGCAAGAAAAAGAAGGUACACUCUAGAGCCACCCCAAAAUAUACAACAUCUAGUGAUGAGGGUAGCUCAAGUGAUAGUGAAGACAAUUUAAUGUCUUUUUUUGCCAACCUUAGCAUGGACCAAAAGAAGAAAUUGAAUGAAUUAAUAGAAGCUAUUAAUGAGAAGGAUGAACUCUUGGAUAGCCAAGAGGACUUCCUCAUUAAAGAAAACAAAAAAAUUGUUAAGUUGAAAAAUGAUUAUGCUCAGGAAGUAGAAAAAUGUGAAAACCUAUCUAAAGAGCUUAGCAUUUGCUAUGAUUCAAUUUCUAGCCUUAGAAAUGAAAAUGCUAGUUUAAAUUCUAAGGUUAAAGAAUUAAAUGUUUGCAAUGAUUCUAUUUCCUGUCUUAGAAAUUGUUGGUCACUUGUUCUCAAAUGCUGAGUUAAGAACAAGGCAACACAAAUGUUAAUGGUUAAAGACCUUCGUCUUUCGAAGCAUUAUUUCCCUUAGGGUAUAAUGAUCUUCAGACGAAGGUCAUGAAGGGCAUAUCUUCGUCAUCUCAAUAUACAAAAAUAUAGGCAAGGACGUACAAAACAUAGAAAGACCAUGAUUAAUCAUAUUAAAUCAUUAAAUCAUGUAUAUAUUGACAUUAUAUAAUAAUGAACAAACAUUAAUGAUAUUAAGUUACAUUAGUACCUUCGGCUUGACAGAAGGUAAAAGUUCGAGGGUUACGUGCGAGCGAUUACAAGUCAGCGUGAACAGUACGGUGUUACUGUUCAUCUAUUUAUAGGCACAGGACGCAGCCUGGGUAAAAUUACAUUCAUAUCCCUAACACUUACUAUUAGCUAAAAGGUAAGCUGUCGAGGACUAAGUAGUCUUUUCCCUUUUAAGUCGGUUUCAUUCUCCAUCGUCAUCUUUGCGCUAAGCCGAAGCUUCUCCAUCCAUAGCUUCGGAACUGGUCCAUCCUUCUUCCAGGUCACGCCUUUCAUACUAUGUACACCUUCAUCUCAAAGCCAAAGCCUCAUGUGACAAUAUACUAUACUGGAAGAUAUGUUAGUCGUGUUUUUGAGGACCUUCGAAAGACGAAGGCCCCCAACAGUAGCCCCUCGCAGUAUUAAUUUGUUCUUGUAUCUUAACGAAUUCAGACUGUGACGUGAACGAAGGCCUUUAGCCGAAGGUCCGAAAAAACACUUUCCCUUCGCUAGAAUAGCGAAAGUCAAUGACAAAUGGGGCCCGCCAAGUUGCAAUGCACGAGGCAUAUAAAUAUAAACCCAUAACGAUAACAUCUGCUGCGCCAUUUCAAUUGUUUGUGUUGUUUUCUCAAGUUUUAGAUUUCUUGCUGUCACAUUUCACUUGUUUUGUGAGCUUCGGCAUUUGCACAAGUGUUCGCUAUACGUCUAAAGAGAAUAUGUCUGAGGAGAAGAAGAUUGACCCUGCUCUUACUGGGUUUUACGAAGCUAUGGAAAAAAUAAACAUAGAGAAGAUUACAAACGAAAUAAUGGCUGAUUUGUCUGAAGAUUCUAACGAUAGUGAUGACUAUGAUGUGGAAAGUGAAGACGAAGAUGCGGAAAAUCGGCCCUGGCGACCAAGCCACAGCAUCUUCGGAAAAUCAUCCAUUAAGCAGAGCCAAAUUGACGCUAUGAAAGGGAACUAUUUCUGAGAUAUUUCAAUUGUGAGAGCUGGAGGAGAUAGUGCUGCACCUGCUCUCGAAGAGAAUGAGGUGGUUGUUUAUAAGAGUUUUAUGAAGGCUGGGCUUCGGUUCCUAUUGAGCAAAUUUCUGGUUGAGGUGUUGAAGACCUUCGAGAUUUUCCUGCAUCAAAUUACUCCCGAAGCCAUUGUUAGGAUGGGGGUUUUUAUUUGGGCCGUGAGAAGCCAAGGGAUGGAACCAAGCGCAAAAUGCUUCUGCAAUAUGCACGAGCUGCUGUACGAGAUGAAGGCUACUGGCAAGGAUCAAUAUCACAACAAUUUUGGUUGCUACGGCUUCGUGCCCUGCGCUGAUGUAAGUUAUCCGGUCCCAACAUUCCGAAAAAGGUGGCCUGGGGCCUGGAUGGAAGAAUGGUUCUAUGUUGAAAAUAAUUUAACUGAGAGGGAAGAUAUAAAAGGAAUUAUUCAACGUCCCAUCUGGUCUCGCUUCGGCAUCAGGAGGCCAGCCACCACUCUUGGGAAUGAUAUAGAGGCAUGCUAGAGAAGCUUAAACACCGUGUGCACUUUUAUUGGUACAAGAGACCUGAUUCAAGAACAUAUCGCUUACAGAGUAUGGCCGCUCGUGAAUGAGUGGGAGAUGCCGAAGGAAGCUGCUGCCGGGUCUAGUCAGGGUGGCCUGGUCUAUCUAAAGUAUACAUUCAGAUACAGAGGCGAGUUUGAUGAGCCAAAUGAUGAAUGGUUGAGCAGUAUCACUACUAGAAAUAUGCUUAUUUAAGACAUACAUCUUAAGACAAAUAUCAGUGCAUUUUAUAGAAGCGUCUUUUAUCAUAUGGUGCUGAGUAAGGUAAGACAGUUUGUUGGACAUCCGUCUUUAAUGAAGAAGGUUUUUGAGACAGAUAUAUGGUUGGAAAUGUCUUAUAUUGAUUUAAUACAGUUUGAUUUUGAAAACCGUCUCAAAUAAAUAUACCUUUUGAGGCAUUAAGUUCACAAGAAGUGUCUUUUAUUUUGGUUAGUAUAUUAGACACUUAUGUAUAUGAAACUAUCUCAAAUAAAGAUAUUAUUAGAGUCAUCUAGACUAUACAAAAUUGUCUUAGAUGUUAGUAAGUAUACUAGAAACUUGUAAACAUAAAACCGUCCCGUACGAUAUUUCUGAUAAGACAUAUUGUGAAAAACAUAGUCAAUAGUAAAUUCUGAUUAGAUUGAACUAAACAUUUUUUGGAAUUUAAAAUGAACUAGUUAGCUGACUGUAUGUUCGUACGGUUUCUAUAUAUCAUAUAGGUAAAAAAUCUUGCUUAAAAUAAGAAACUUCUUCAAAUAAAAUUAUACGUUUGAAAUAUGAUUAUUUUUUAUUUUCUCAUUAACAUUAUGUUUAUAGUUAUAAUAUCAUCUCUUUGUACGGUAUAAGCAACCUGAUAAGCGGUGGUUAAUGCCACAGAUAUUUCUCUUUAUAUCCGUAUUGCACAUAUAUACAAUACAUUUUAUUAAUAUAGCGGUGGUUAAUGCCAUCUCCUGUGUCCGACGCCCAUCGCCGAGGCUGAGAGGCAAGAUCCGUCAUCUUCAGUGCCCCCAGCGCGGCGCCCCAAACUCCCAGGCUAUGCUUUUGUUUAUGUUUUAUUGUCAUUUCAUGAUUCAUGACAUGGCAGGCUUGUAACGCCCCGAAUUUUGGAGUUGAAUUUUUUCUUUUCUUCACUCGCCAAAUUCGGGCUUUACCCUUUUCUUUUCCUUUUCUCCUUGCUAAGCCUUGAUCUUUUCAAAAGUUAUAGCGAGGAUAAGCUCGACAACUGGUGUGAGUAAACCCUAAAAAUAUUUUCUUUGGUUGUUGCAUCAUGCUGAACCACGCAUCUUUUUCUUGUGAUACUUGCUUGGUUUCCAUAAAGAAUGCGCUUAGUAGAAGGUUAGAGGGAAAUAGAUAAUGGGAAAAUAGGAAAAAUAAAUAAAAAGAAGGGAAUUCCCCUCACUCUCCCCCUCUUGGGCCGUCGUCCCGCGGCCCAGCUCGGCCGCGCCCCCUCCCUCCCCCUUAGCCCAGCCGAGCCCCCUCUCCCUUGGGCCGGCUCUCAGCCAUGGCCCAGCCGGCUCCCAGCCGCGGCCCGCCCUGCCUCUCCCCCCGCCUUGGGCCGAAUUGGCGCUGCGGUGGCCCAACCGCCCCACCCCGCGUCCUGCGCGCGCGCCGCGCGCGUGGGCGCAACCGCCGCCGCCGCCAUCCCAGGUGGGCCCCGCCCGUCAGCCGCGCCCUCCCCCAAAACCGCCUCCCUCUUUCUCUCUCCCCUCUACCCCCUAGCGCACGACUCCCUCUUCCCCCUCCACCUCGUCGCCGAUCGGACCCGCCCCGCCGCCGUCCGCCCGCGCCGCCAUCGCCCCUUCCGUGGUGAGCCCUGGCCCCCUCCUUCUUCCUCCCCCUCUCUCCUUCUUCCCCUUCCCCUUCCCCUGCUCGUGCGGCCCAGCGCGGUGCGCGGCUCGGCACGCCGGCGCGCGGCCAUGGCGCCCCUGUCGCGUCCGCUCGGCCUCGCGCGCCACCCCCCUCGCGCCCUUCCCCUGCGCGCGGUCGCGGCGGCUCCGGCCAGCGCGCGGUCCCGUCCGGCCAGGACGCGACCCGUCCAUGGCGCGACCCUCUCUCCCUCCCCGCUCCGGCGCGCACGGCUUCCCCUGCCCCGACGUGCUCGUCCGCCGUCCCUGGCGUGCCCGCUCGGCCUCGCCGCCCCUGCCCGUGGUGCGGUUCCCCGCCCCGGCGUGGCCUCGCCUCGGCGCGGCCCGACCUCGCUCCCCCGGCCGCGGCGCGCGCGGUCCCGGCCCCCUCCCUACGCAGCCUCGCCUUGCCGGCCCCGGCGCGCUCGCCUGGCGCGGCCCGGCUCGCUCGCCCUGCGCGCGCGGCCCGGCUCGCUCGCCCUGCGCGCGCGGCCCCUCCCCGCGCAGCAGCCCGUGGCGACGCGGCGUGGCACGCCCGGCGUGCGCGUGCCCGCCUCGGCGUGCUCCGUCCCUCCCCUGUCCCGGCGUGGCCUUGAGCUCGGCUAGCUUCGCGGUCCCCCGCGUUUGGCCCCGGCGUGGCCCCGUUGCCGCUCGCGGCGCGCAACGCGCAGCUCGGCCCCGACGUGUGCGUGGCUCGUUCGCGUCACGUUAGCGUGGCUUUGCGCGCGCAUGUGCUUGUGUGGUGCGCACGGUGCUUUGGCACGGCUCGUCGUGCCCUCGGCGCGCUCGUCUACCCCCCCCCCCCCCGUGUAUUUUAUGCGCGCUAAGCACGUUAUUCAUAUCAAUAAAUGGAAACUCAAUUUAGAAAUUGGUUACGUUAGUUAUUUCAUGUAGCUAAUCUUGGAUCUCGUUUAAUGUUGAUCAAUUGAAAAUAGUUAUAAUUUUAUUAGUGCAUGUGGCUAAUAUUUGUUAGUGUAACUCGAGGGAAUUAGAUCACGUAAUGAUUAGUUAUGUAUCUACCCGUAAUAUGCUUCGACUAUAGCUUUAACCACUGUGAGACCUUCCUUCUUCUCUUUCUAGCCAUGGCGAAUGCAAUAUCGUAUGUCAUAUCUUAUGCAUAUUUGACUUAUCUGCUUUCUUGUGUGGUGUACUGUUUAUUUCCUAAUUCGAAUGGAUGGAUGUAUGUAUGUUUGCGCUCGCAUAGAGAACGAUCUGGUUGAGGAGCCCAAAGAACUCGCAGGAGAAGCCCCUGAGCAGCAGUCGGUUGGUGGAGGCAAAUGUCCUUUGACCUAUCUCUGUCCUAUACAUUCUUUAAUUCACCUCCUGCAUUUCACAUUUAUACCUAAGGAUUGACUAGCUUUUGCUAUCCAUGUCCUUGUUUACCUAUUUGGGUUGGAUUAUUAUUGUUUAGCUUUAUGCUAUUGCUCAACUCUAAUCAAUGAACAUGAUGAGAAUUAUCAAUGAUACACUGUUUUCCCCUCCUUUAUUAUGAUGUGAUACUUGUGGCAUUCAAGGGGGGCUUGAGCGGUUUCUCGAGUGCCUCUCCGUAAGGACCUGUUUGUUGGAUGACCGCCCGGGAAAACAGUGCAACCAUGAGGGUGGAAUGAGAUGCCCUUAGCUGAAUAAUUAGAGGAACCGGGGUGUAGUUCGCUUAGCCGUCGUGCCGUCAAUGGGGCUCGGUGUAUGCGGCUCGCUCUGCCAAGUUUGGGUUUGCCCCUUGGGGAGGAGUGCGGUGCAUUUAGGAAACCUAAUGGGCGGCUACAGCCCCGGGGAAUCUUUGUAAAGGCUACAUAGUGAUGCCCUGCUGGGUCACCUUGGUAGUGUUUAAUGGAGAGUCAUGAUCUCCGGGCAGAAUGGGAAUCACGACUUGUGGGUAAAGUGCACAACCUCUGCAGAGUGUAUGAAAACUGAUAUAUCAGCCGUGCUCGCGGUUAUGAGCGGCCAAGGGAGCUCCAGUGAUUAGUGGUACUUGAUCAGAGAUGUUCGGAUUGAAGGUGGCAAUGAGAUUGAUGGUUUUGGUUAUGACUAUGGUACUGGUAAGUGGUAUUCUUUCCGUUUGGAAAGGGUACAUCGGGUUAAUAACUUGGGUUAUUGCUAAAACCUGGCUUUCUACUAGUAAAUAAUAACCUGACCAACUAAAAGCAACUGCUUGACUUAACUCCACAUAAAGCUAGUCCACUACAGCCAAACAGGAUACUUGCUGAGUAUGUUGAUGUGUACUCACCCUUGCUCUACACACCAACCCCUCCCCCCAGGUUGUCAGCAUUGCAACCACUGCUUAGGAGAAGAUGAAGCCGUGGAAGGAGACUUCCAGGAGUUCCAAGAUUACGACGAGUUCUAGGCGUGGGUUAGCAGCAACCCCCAGUCGGCUGUCUGUGAAGGUCGCGUGUAUCUACGUUUCGUUUUCACACUUUGAUUAUUGUAAAGACUAUGUGGAUGUCUCAGACAUAUGAUGUAAUCGACUAUUAUUACCCUUUUAUGUUAUCAUUUGAGCAAUGUGUGAUGAUUUCCAGUUAUGUAACUGCUGUGUACGUGAAUUGCUGAUCCUGGCACGUACAUGGUUCACAUUCGGUUUGCCUUCUAAAACCGGGUGUGACAAGGCUCCAGGCUAUGCUUUAGACAUUUAAUAAGUAUAUUCAGCUCAAAUGAAACGAGAUCUAAACCAGAGGGUUAAAGGCAUGUUUGGUUUGUGGCUAAAUGUGCCACACUUUGCCUAAGUUUAGUCGUCCGAAUUGAGGGCCUGUUUGGUUUACUACCUAACUUGCCACACUUUGCCUAACUUUUCUGCCUAAGGUUAGUUCUUCAAUUCGGAUGAUUAACCUUAGACAAAGUGUGGCACAGUUAGCCGUGAACCAAACAGACCCUGAAUAAAUAACCUUAGGCGGAAAAGUUAGGCAAAGUAUGGCAACUUAGGUAGCGAACCAAACAUGUCUUAAGUCUCACAUCAUACCACCCGUUCCUAUUUUUCCUAAAGCAGGGGCAGGGCAAACCGUAUUGUUGGCUCUGCCUAGGGUUUUAGCACCUGCCGCCGCAGCCUCCCUUCUACUGCCGCCGCAACCUCCCCAUCCUUCGAAUCCCAUCCGACCUAGCCCUACAACCCACCGGACGACGAGCAGCGAGGCCCGCGGCCGAGAUGGACCAGUACCUGAGGGUGGAGUGGCCGUGGAACGAGUCAACCAUCAAGGAGAACGAGAUCCGCAUCACCGCGCAGGGCCUCAUCCGCAACUAUGUCUCCUACGCUACCUCCCUGCUCCAAGUGCCUGGGCUUGUCCUCGCCAUCGCCGUCGUAUCGUAUUGUACUUAGGAUGCGCUGUUUUGUUCGAGUCUCGUCCCUGUCGAUUCGAAGAGAUCCCCAGCAACAUGAGGGAGGUGUUCCUGACCGGCGCCACCUCCAAGCUCCAUCACGCUCUACCUCUGCAGGAAGAAGAUCAGAGUCUUGGUAAGUGCUACACAUAAUCUGCUCAGCAUCAUCGAUCCAUAGAUGAUGACCUGUGUCUUGCAUCUAACCUCUCUCUCUCUGUCUCUUAGAUGUUCACGGUGUUGUCGGAGAGGUUCCUGAAGAUCCAGAGGGAGGCGCCGCUGGAGUACCAGCAGUACCUCGUGCAGGUGACCAAGUACCAGGCCGCACAGAACUGCAAGGUACGUAUGCACGCAUGGUUACAUUUACUAUAGAACUGGAGUUAUUUUUUGAUGCAAAGGCUGCCAGGUCAUGGUGAUUUCACGUCCGUUAGGCUCGAGAGGUGGACUCAAACAUCCAAGUUUUGCAAGUUUUGAUGUUGGAUGUUAAAUUUCUAUGCUCACUCCUCGUUUGGUUAUUGAUGUACUAUUUCCAUCUCAUGUCACAAAUUUGGCAUAAGGAAUGGGUAUUGGUGGCUAUUGACUAUGUUUGUUUCCACGUAUUAUACAUGUACAAUGGAACAUUUGAUAAUAGUUUUGCAUGAACUAUUGGCGUUGGCUAUCUAAAAGGACAGAAAGGUAGACAUGAGCAACAGAUCUCGCUCCAUGGGCUGAAACUGGGAUUCGUGAUGGUCAGCUAAGCAUACCUUCGCCUUCAAAUUUGCGUAGCUUCUUUUUUAUUCUGCAAGUUGUUUGGUCUGCCGUUCAAAUGCCUUAUUAUUCUGCGAGCUGUUUUAAGAUUGGGCCUCAAUUUUUUUUCCAGGCAGAAAGUGCUACUGCCGCUCUCAACUGUAGCGGUGUGGUACUGGGAUCCUUGCCAAUAAGGUAAAACUCUGACUGAUCUUCUUACGCUUUGCAUUGAGGAAGGAGCUCUUCUGGGCGGUUGGAUAUCAGAGUCGUUCUAGUGUGUUUUCAGGGUGAGCCCGUCCAAAACGCCCGUGCGUCCCCGCGCCCCUCGCCAGCUGAUGUCGUCCUAGGUAUACAUACAGGAGGUGCUGACGAUGACACUGCUCAUAUAUAAGUAAUAGAGAUAGACAUGUAUGAAAAGGGUCUUUUGUUUUCAAGUAGUGUGUAGUUGCUGUUACUUUUAACAGCUAAUGCAAUCUGAAUGAGUCACCUAUGAAUGCCAUACUGGAAUUUGUUGCGCUUUUGUUGAUCAUUAUUAUUUUACAAUCUAGGCUAGGGGAUUGAAGAAGCACUUGAAGAGGCUCAAUGCGCCCAAGCAUUGGAUGCUCAACAAGCUUGGCAGAGCUUUUGUAAGUAAACAAUAUUUUCUAGCUUUGGUACCUACAAUCUUCUGUACUUCCCCAUUUGUCUGAUGCUUCAGGUUGGUCUUUUUUUCUGUAGGCUCCCAAGCCAUCUUCUGGACCUCACAAGUCCAGGGAGUGCCUGCCUUUGAUCCUCAUCAUCAGGAACAGGCUCAAGUAUGCACUGACGUACCGUGAGGUCAUUUCUAUCCUGAUGCAACGCCAUGUACUUGUUGAUGGCAAGAUCAGGACUAACAAGACCUACCCUACUGGGUUCAUGGGUAUGCCUAUAUCUCUAUUAAUGCAUAAAGAUACCUAUACACAUAUUUUGGUUGCUGAUUUGUGGUGUCAUUUUUUUGGCAGAUGUCAUUUCCAUCCCUAAGACAAACGAGAACUAUAGGCUGCUUCCGUCUUCACCCAAUCAGGGAUGAGGAUGCCAAGGUUAGGCCAAUUCUCUUACACAUCAUCUCUCAUUGUUCUAGUUGAGCAUGAUGAUCUUGGUAGCUAUGUGAGGUUGCUGUUUUUCAUUUAGAUCUGUGUACCUUAACCUUGCUAUACUGUCCAUAUGUGUUGUGUGCAUGAAAGUCUUGCAUUGAAAAUGUCAUGUGCUACAAUCAUUAGGACUAUUAAUAGAUGUUGCUCUGUCUAUCUAUCCAUUUACAUCGCUGGAAAUUCCCAUGCCCUUUCAUAGUACGCCUGUGAAAUGUUCACUGUUUUUCUAUUGGUUUUAUGUGCAGUUCAUGCUCUGUAAGGUGGGGUCUGUUCAGUUUGGCCAGAAAGGCAUCCCCUACCUGAACACCUAUGGCGACCGCACCAUCCGCUACCCCGACCCGCUCAUCAAGGCCAACGACACCAACAAGAUCGAUCUAGAGACCAACAAGAUCAUGGACUUCAUCAAGUUUGACGUCGGCAACGUGGUCAUGGUGACCGGCGGGAGGAACACCGGGCGUGUAGGAGUGAUCAAGAACAGGGAGAAGCACAAGGGCAACUUCGAGACCAUUCACGUGCUGCUUGGAGCUUUUUGCUAUGUCUAGUUUUCUCCUAUUUGUUGUACAGGAAAACAUAGAAUGGAAUUCAAAUUUGGUGGCCGCAAAAGAGUAGAGACUUGUUUCAUAUAAAGUUAGGCUUAACAUUAGUGCAAACAGUUGUAUUUUAGUUUAGAUUUAGAGUACACUUAUGUAUGCGUUGUUUGACAAUGCUUAUUUAUGAUAUAUUGAAUGGUACUUAUUUAUAUUAUAUUAAUUAUAAUGUUGUUCAAUAUAUGUGUAUGUAUAUUUCUCUUUCAAAUUAUUAUAACGUGAUAUCUGAUACUGCCGUGUAAGUCAUUUUGUUUAAAUCUUAAUAAGACGGUCACCAAAAUGUCUAAUAUCAGUCUCCUAAAUAAGACGAUUUCUAAAACGUCCAUUAUUAGUCACCUAAAUAAGAUGGUUUUCUAUUGUAAUCAUCUAUUAUUGUAGGAUAUUCGAGACAGUUUGAUAAAUACUUUAUGACUUAUAAUGUUUGUAUUCUCUACGGUCCUUUAGAAGCAGUGUCUUAAACAAAAACCUAAUUCAAGACGGUUUAUCGGACAAAAUGACUUAAACAAAUACCUUUUUCAGACGGUUAUAAAUUAAAAAUUGUCUUAUAUAAUAUCUUUUAAGACGGUUUAUAACCAUCUUAAAAGUGGGACAUCUUUUACGACUCCAUCAAAUUUGGACACUUCAUAAGCGUCUUAAGAACUAAAAAUUAACCGUCUCAUAUAACAUGUUUUGUAGUAGUGUAUUGAGGCAACUAGCGAUGAAUUGCUUGGGGCUUACACUAGAGCCGAAGAUGAUGCUUUGACCUCAGCCUUUGGAGGUCGAGGCAAGAAUAGGCUGAACAGAGUUUUCGACGUGAUUAGCUUCAUAUACCCUGAUUAUUGCUAUCCCUCGCGAAAGCAGGGAAAGAAGAGAAAAACCACCGCUUCGUCAUUCCCUAUUGUGCCGAAGGGCAAAGAUCAAGGUCUUGAUGCACCGGCCGAGAUACAUUGAGAUGACCACAUUGCCGAAGCUAAGUGAAGGGACAUCUUCCACUGCCGAAACAGAACAACCUGCUUCUGCCAUUCCCAGGGAAGACCUGACUGAAUUACCGAAGGUUCCUACAGUCGGACCAGCCGAAACGCCGAAACUUGAUGCCGAAGCGAAAGAAGAGGCGGCCAAAGAGCUAGAGCUAGGGGAAAAGGUAGAGCUGCCAAAAAUCUUGAGCCCACCAGCAGAGUCAGAAUUGCCGAAGAUAACAAGAGCUCCUGCAACAACUCCUAAGAGGAGGAGAAUGGCUAGCGUGCUAGACACUGUCAUGGAGACAACAAGGGCAUUAACUCCUGCCCCUGCAAAGAAAAUUGUCGAAGCUGCUAUAAGUCGCGCUGAAACUGAAGAUGGGCCCUCAGUGCCUGCUGAGACGGAGCCUACCGCAACUGAGAUAGGGCUAAGCAAGAAUCUCUAGAUGUUGGCAUGGCUAUGGAGAAGGAUGUGGCCGAAAAAGCUAAAUCUCCUGCUCCUGAAGCACCGUCCGAAGAUCUUGACUUUAUUAUUCGACAUGCUUCGGGAAAAGACUAUCUAAAGGAGAAAUUGCAGAAGCCAAACACUAUGCCCGAGAACUGAAAUACCUGAAGGGGCCUUAGUGUUCAACGACACUGACGAUGAUGAUUUCCUAUACUUUCUCCCGGACAAUAAAGAAAUAUCCGUCUACCGGGAGAUGGCCAAAAAUAUGGGAUUUCCGAAGCUCGAAGCUGGCCUCUCCGCUAUGUCAAAAGAUGACCUUGCGGAUAGCCUUGCAUACAACAGUCUGAAGGUAUGAAAGUGAUGAACUUAAAAAUAGAUUAUCUUGUCUUGUAUACUCGUGCUGAUUCUAUCUUUUUGCAGGGCUUAAUUCUUAGCAACACUUUGAGGGCGCAAAAGAAUGCAGAAGAUGAAAGCUGCGUGAUAGCCCUUGGCAACCUUCGGUCAGAAGUUAUCAAACUAAGAAAUGAAGCCUUGGAGAAGGAUAAAAUUCUACUUUCAUUGGUGGAUAAAGUGAAGGAUGAUGAAGCGAAAUUUAAUGCUCAAUCCGAAGCUCCUAAAGUCGAAAUUGAAGACCUUCGGAAAAACUUGCCGAAGCUAAUGAAAAUUUUGCACUUGCAAAAUCUAGUCAAGAAAUAAGUGAAUGGUCGAACGCUAGGCUGGAGAAAAAUGUUGAGGAGCUUCACGAAUCCAAGGAAAGGUGCUUUAAGAAAUCCUUGGAUUGCGUAAGAAAAUUGAAAACAGCUUUGCCAAAGUAGGUGCUUAUUCUUCCGAAGAGAAUUUUAUUCGAGGUGACCCCAAUGGCGUUAUUGAUUGGAUAAGCGGGGAAGCCGAAGCUUUUGAAGAGAUCUUGAGCGAUCGUGGGGAUAUCUGUGCUUUCACUGGCGCUAGAGGUAUUGUGGCAAUUAUGGAGAAGGCUGGUUGCGACCACGUUAAAGCUGCGGCCCAGACUGAAGCCGCCUUCUCUACUGACAACACGAGAGACCCUUCGGCCAAAGCUACUUUGGUGGGUGGAAAGUUUUACUCCGAUGUUUGGGUGAACGGUGGCCGAGAAUUGGCAAACAAAAUUAUAAAAAAGAAUAAAAAGAAACCCAUGAUCCCCAAGAAGAAGCUAGGCGAGCCGAAGAAGCUGCUGCGCGCGCAAGGCGUAUAGGUAUUGUUUUUGAAUUUUAGCUUCGGCGUUUAUUUUCUAGCUUCGAACUAACAGUUUGCCUAUUACAGCUGAAUUAUCACCGUUGCCCGAGCCAUACAACCCCCUAGCCGAUCUGGUCAUGAAAGAAGCACUGGAUAUAAUGAGCCUUGCUAACUCCAUCGUCGACGGAGUUGUCGACAAGCUGCUGAACGAAGCCACCGAAAAAAUACUUAAGGAAGAUUAGACUUUUUUUUGUAAUGAUACUAUGUAACAUUUGGUGUAUGGAACAAUUAAUCAGACAUGUAAAUUAUUGUAAUAUAUUUCUUUACGAUGCAUGAAAUUUAUGCACAUACCGUUUUUGAGCCUUCGGCGAAAAAACACCUUCUCUUCUUUUCAUGCUUCGUAAAGAAAGAAGCCCCUUUUUAUGUCAAAUCUGUUAUGAUGAAAUUGUGUUUGCCGAUGGUUUGCUUCGUGCCUCAGCACAUUUUCAUUCAACAAAGUAUUGCCGAAGAUCUGCUUCGUAUCCAAUCUUUUUGUCGUUGAUGCGAUAUGAUGUAUGAUGUAAUGUUAUGCGGAAUAAUGUGAUGCUUAUAUGAUGGUGAUGCCGAACACACACACACACACGCCCAGACUAGAACACACAAGACUCUGCAUCCCCUUAGGGACGUCUUUGGAGACUUUAAGCUCUACAUCCCCUUAGGAACGACUUUGGAGCUUCUUCACCUUAUAUUUCGGUGGUAUUUAAGCUCUGCAUCCCCUUAGGAACGACUUUGGAGCUUCUUCACCUUCUAUUUUGGUGGUAUUUAAGCUCUGCAUCCCCUUAGGAACGAUUUUGGAGUUCUUCACCUUCUAUUUCAAUGGUAUUUUGGCUCUGCAUUCCCUUAGGAACGACUUUUGAGCUUCGUAACUUACUUUGUGCUCCCUUAGGAACGACUUUUGUAGCUUCAAAACUUACUCUAUGCUCCCUUAGGAAUGACUUUUGUAGCUUCGAAAUUUAUUCUGUGCUCCCUUAGGAACGACUUUUGUAGCUUCGGAAGUCUGUUAGAAAGAAGCAUUUUUUCUUAAUGAUACAUGCACAAUUAUUACAUGAGACCAAAAUUAAGUCUUUCGUGACUUGUUUUUCACACAAGAAAAAUAAGAUGACAGAAAAGAAAAAAAAUACAUCAGGGGUAGGAUAUUCUUUUAGUAGAUAUGCUUGGAUUCAGGCAUAGUGCUGUUGACUGUGCGAGCUUCGGACUCCUCCCAAAAAUCACGCUGUUGUUGUGCGUGUUGGUGCCCUUCUGGUUGCUGUCUUCGAGUCUGAGUAGGUGGUAAUGGUGGUGGUAAUGGGAGCUGGGCCUAGGAAGCUUGAGAGUGACUUGCCGAAGCGACAGAAGCUACAGGUUGUUGAUUACCUACGUAUUCUGGUACAUAGGAAGAGUAGCAUGAAGCACUAUGUAGGACCUGCUUCGGCUGAUUCUACCGUGCCUUAGCUUCGGCAAUCUCCUUUUGCUUCUGAAUUGUAACUUGGCAUGUUCUUGUGGUGUGGCCCUUGUCUUCACCACAGAAUAAACAAUAUAGCCUUCUAGGCUGAUCCCCGUAUCUUCCUCCGAAGCCUCUGCCCCUUGGAACUGGUGCCUGAAAGAGCUUUGCUGUUGCCCUAAAGAUUGGGAGUUGUGUUGUGGCCUUUGAGGUUGGCUUCCUCUGUCAUCACUUAGGUUGGAAUUAUGGAUCGAUCUGACAUGCCUAGGGUGGAUUCUUCCUCCAAAGCCCCUGGUCAUCUCAGAAAACCUGUAUGCUUCUUCCCUUCUUUGGCGGAAAUCAUUAUUAGCCCGGAUGUACUCAUCCAUCUUCUGAAGAAGCUUUUCCAGGGUUUGUGAGGGUUUCCUGGCAAAAUAAUGAGCCAUAGGCCCUGGACGAAGCCCCUUGAUCAUGGCCUCAAUGACAAUUUCAUUAGGCACUAUAAGCGCUUGUGCUCUUAGAUGCAUGAACCUUCGGACAUACACCUGAAGGUACUCCUCAUGGUCCUGCGUGCACUGAAACAAAGCCUGAGCAGUGUCUGGCUUCGUCUGAAAGCCUUGGAAGCUAGUGAUUAGCAUAUCCUUGAGCUUCUGCCAUGAUGUGAUUGUUCCUGGCCUGAGAGACGAAUACCAAGUUUGAGCUACACUUUUGACUGCCAUGACGAAGGAUUUCGCCAUGAUUGCAGUAUUGCCCCCAUAUGAAGAUAUGGUUGCCUCGUAGCUCAUUAGGAACUGCUUUGGGUCUGAGUGCCCAUCAUACAUAGGAAGAUAAGGUGGCUUGUAUGAUGGGGGCCAUGGGGUAGCCUACAACUCUGCUGCUAGAGGAGAAGCAUCGUCAAAAGCAAAAUUACCAUGAUGGAAAUCAUCAUGCCAUUCAUCAUCGUUGUACGAAUUGUCUUGACAAAGCUCUCUAUGUUGAGGCCUUCGGUCUUGGUCAUCUUGAGUGAGAUGACGCAUUUCCUCAGCAGCUUCAUCAAUCUUCCUCUGAAGAUUGGCAAGACGAAGCAUCUUUUCUUUCUUCUUCUGGACCUGUUGAUGAAUGGCUUCAAGGUCCCUGAUUUCUUGGUCCAACUCCUCCUAAGGUGUUAGACUAGUAGCCUUCCUUUUCUGGCUCCUGACUUCGCGUAAUGUAUCUUGAUUAACGUCCAGUGGCUGCAAUGCAGCCCCUGGCCCUGAUGACUUCUUCGGUGGCAUGACGAAGGUUAGAGCUUGCCAAAGGUGGUCAAGUGAGUUCACCGGAGGUGGGCACCAAUGUUGGUCACUUGUUCUUAAAUGCUGAGUUAAGAACAAGGCAACACAAAUGUUAAUGGUUAAAGGCCUUCGUCCUUCAAAGCAUUAUUUCCCUUAGGGUAUAAUGAUCUUCAGACGAAGGUCAUGAAGGGCAUACCUUCAUCAUCUCAAUAUACAAAAAUAUAGGCAAGGACGUACAAAACAUAGAAAGACCAUGAUUAAUCAUAUUAAAUCAUUAAAUCAUGUAUAUAUUGACAUUAUAUAAUCAUGAACAAACAUUGAUGAUAUUAAGUUUGAAAGCACAUUCAUCCCUUUUGUGAGUUUUGGUGAUUUGGAUAACAACACAUUUAAAGGUCUAACGAGUUUGCUAAGUGUUGAACAGGAAAUUCAGUAUGAUGAACAUACUUGAAUAGUGUAUAAUGAUCAGUGAACAAAGGUUCAACACGAGGUUAAAUAACCAAUGAGACAAUGCAAAUGGAUAUAAUAUGAUCUCUAUAUUGGUUUGAAUAUAUGGACAAGACCUGAGAAAUCACUACAUACAUAUGACCAGAAUAGAGGACAAAGUGAUUUAGAGGAUUGGUCAAGCCAAAGAGAAUAAGAUAUGAGGAAUCGUGAAUUGGCUUGACCAUAUUACUAUCAGUCCAUAUAUGCUUCUAUGAGAAUCAAACUAGAGCUUGAUUAAUCUUAACAGUUAUAUCUAGAAGACAUUCAAGCAAGGUUCACAAUAUUGAAGAAAUGAUUCUCUCAAUGGAUGCUCAAUAUGAUGUGACUCAAGAAUGGCUUGAUAGGGUGAAGAUAGCAAGGAAAGGGCUUCGAGGAACUAGGCGAAGGUGAAGGCCAAGCGACGGCUUAUAGACCGAGGUACCAUGGCUAAGGUGAAGAAGAGAGUACUUGCACUAAGUCGAUGAACUAAUCAGCUAUGAAGAGUUAUAACAUGUUGAUGCAUCAGUAAGGUGACUUGAAGCAAUGAUUUGAACUCAUAUAAGGUGAUAUGGUACAAGUCACAGGGUUUGGUUUGAGUUUGCUUCAAAAGGUGAGACAAAGAUGUUUGUGAUCCUUAUGAAGCAAUGCCAUGGAGAAAUCACACAUGAGACACCAAUGACUCAAGGAGUUUACUUCAUUUUAUUUUAUUUAACUUGAGUAUAGGAAUCGUCGUACUAUAAAGGGGGAUCCAAAAAGAAUGUUGGUGUUUGCCAAAGCUCAAACCUCUCUAUUCAAAAGCUAUUUUUGAAAAGCAAAAAUCUCUUUAACGUUCUAUGGUUGACCGUGGUUAGGGUUGAGAAACCUAGAGUGCUCUUGCUGAAAAGCAGCUGAACUUCUUCAACUGCAGCUGAGCUUUCCAGCUGAACUUGACUUCAGCUCAGUUGAGCUUCUUCAGCUGCAGCUGAGCUUUUCAGCUGAGCUGAACUUCAGCUGAGUUGAGCUUUCUCAACUUCAGCUGUGAACCUCUUUGACCAUACACCAGCUGAACUUGCCUCCGGGCAGUUGAGCUGGGAUUUUCUCUCCUAAACUCACUGGUCAAGACCGGUUGAACUGGUCCUAAGGGGCAGUUCAGCUGGUCUCUGACCCCUCUGACCUCUGAUCUGCAGUCUGCCAGUCAGACUGGCAAACAGGUCGCCAGGAGCUGUUAGGGGCGGUUCAACCGCCCCGCCUGGGCGGUUCAACCGAUGUUGGUCAACUUUGACCAGUCUGCGGUCAGUCUGCGCGUCAGUCUGCCAGGCCUGCCAGGGGCGGUUCAACCGCCCUAGGGGGCGGUUCAACCGGUCUCAGGCAGAAAAAUCUGCCCAAACGGCUAGUUUUAAGCUCCACCUAUAUAUACUCACUCCUACCUCUCACCCCACAGCAGGGAGCACGAUUUGAACUCCAUUUCUAACCCAAGAAACACCUCCCUCUCUCUCUCACACAUCUCUUGCCUCUCCCAUUUCAAAUCUUUGGAGAGAAAUCUUUGAGUGAGCUUGAGAGCUGCGGUUUUGUGCUUCAUCUCUAAAUCUCUCUUGCUCUUCUUCUUGAUUCGAGCUUUGGUACUACAUUGAGUUCUUUGUGGAUUCAUUACUCUUGGAGCUUCUAGCUCCUAGACGACUAGGUGUCUCUUGUGAGUCUCCAAAUCUUGUGGAAGACCACAAGAAAGUUUGUAUUACCCGCUCGUUUGAGCAAAGAUUAGUGUGUGAGCUUGACCUUUGUGGUCGGCAAAGGGAGGAUUAGGGUUGAAAGAGACCCGGCUCUUUGUGGGCGCCUCAACGAGGAAGUAGGGCACCUUGGUGGUGUGACCAAACCUCGGGAUAAAUCUUGUGUCUUUUGUGUUCUUGUUCAUUGUGCUUAUUCGUGUUCUUCGUUCUCUCACCAUUGCGUGGAAGAUUUGUUCAUAUCUUUUUGGUGUGUGGAUUUUGAGAAGUGCCCUUCUCAGAUCUACUACUUUGAACCCUGUGGAUCAUUUAGAACAUCUCAUUUCCAAAGUUAACUGGGUGAAUUUUGAGAUCAAUUCAGUUUUAUAUCUCAUUGUUUAGUUAAGCUCGUUCAAACCAGUUGCACCGGUUUUGACACUCGACGGUUUUACCUAGUUUGUUUCUAGUUUUUGUUGAAAAAGUUUUAACUUGCCUAUUCACCCCCCCACUAGACAACUUUUAAUUGGUAUCAGAGUCUAAUCCUCGUUUUAACGCUUAACCGCGUGAGGAAAGAUCAUGUCGGGGGGACUAAGAAACGAAAGUUCUUCUAAGCUUGAAAAAGUUGAGGUUGCCUCGACUUCAUCUUUUGGUGCAGAUGUUGAUCCUAGGGCAAUAGACCUUGCCAUGAGAAUCGCCGAAAGGAUGUUCCUCAAAAUGAAGGAAGAUGAGGCGAAGAACAUUAUUGAAGAAGAAGAAAAUGAUCGAUGGAGACCAAACGACGAAUCCACCUCUUCACAAGGUUCAUCUUUCAAAUCCACUUCUCAUAUGUGCUUUGUUGCUAAUGAGAGUGACAGUGAAAGCGAAAGUGAGGAUGAGGAGAAGCAUGAAAGUGAUAGUGAAGAUGAGGAUGAUCUUCAAAAAUUCUUCGCUCAACUAAGUAAGAAGAACUGGAUGAGCUUGCUCAAACUCAUGAAAAGAGCGGAAGAACAAAAGGAAAUGCUUCAUAAGCAAGAAGAUAUCCUCAUCGAAAAAAUCAAAGACUUGGAGAAGUUGACCAAAGAGCAUGAGAAGCUAAAGUGCUCUCAUGAUGAUUUGGUCCAAAGGUAUGAAGUCAUUUCAAUUGAGCAAAUUAAAGCUAUUAAUCAUUCAUCAUAUAUUGCUCAAUUAGAAAAUAAAAAUGCUAUGCUCAAGAACACAGUAGAAAAGCUAAACAUUGAAAAUCUAGCUUUGCAAGAAAAACAUGAUAUACUUGUAUGCUCUCAUAAUAAAUUUAUGGAUUCACAUAUCAUGUUAGAAAUGGCUCAUGAGGUUGUGUUAACUAAUUUGAAAUCAUACCAACCUCACAUGUGCACAUGUGUUGAAAUUGAAACUAUAUUACCAUGUGCUAACAAUUAUUGUUAUCAAGCAAGCCAAUCUUCCAUUGAGCUAGAAAUUUCAGGAAUUAGUGAUAUUUCUAUCACACAAGAAAAUAAAGAGCUCAUGGAAGAAGUUGGAAGGCUAAGAAGGAGCUUAACUCUUUUGAAGGGAAAGUGUCAUGCUCAACCUUCUCACGAUAACCGUGAUAACAUGGUGAAGAAGCUUGAGAAGGGGACAAACGUAGCAUGCACAAUCCCGCUUCAAAAUAAUGCUAAGUUCCCUAAGAAAGGCAUGAGCAAACAUCAAUAGAAGAAAGCCAAAGCUCAUGACAAGUGCCUCAACCAUGCCUCCACAUGCUCCACACAAGGUAACAAACAAGCCACUCUUCCAAAUAAGAGAAGAUGCACUAGAAAGUGUUAUCAAUGUCAUGAGAAGGGACAUGAGAUUAAGUCAUGUCCUUACAUAAAAGAUAGUGGUUUACCUUUGGAAAGAAAGAGGCUCACUAACCAUGUAGCAAACAAGAAGCAAGGCAAGAAGGAGUCUUGCAAAAUUAAAAAUCAUAUUUGCUACACUUGCCGAAGAAAGGGACACCUUUGCAAGGAUUGUCCCAUGAGUAAGUAUCCUAAGUCUACCAUGUCAAUUCAUUCAUAUUCGCUUAGGAGACCCAAAAAUGACACUUGUGCUAGAAAGGUAAUUAGUUCACCUAAAACUAGCACAAAGGCCAUUUGGGUGCCUAAGUACUUGUUAGCUAACCUUGGUGGACCCAUCCAAAGAUGGGUACCAAAAUGUACUUGAUAAGUUUUGCAGGUACCCACAUAUGAUAUGAAGCUUUGGGGUGCUUGAGCGGUUUAACUCAAUUCUUAUCUCAAGCUAUCAAUCUUACAUUGUCUAUCCUUUAAGAUUGACCCAAAGAUGAAUUGAGUUGUUAUAUCACUAACUUCAUAUUCAUCUCUAGCAAGAACUUGUGUUGUAGGGAAUAAGGAUUAACCUUUGUGGGAAUCAAGCAAAAGGCCUACAACCAAGUGAUAUCCAAAGGAUGGUAACAAUUAAUUCUUAAGUGCACAUUGCUUUUAACGAAUAAUGAAGCACUUGAGAAUGAACUUAAAAGAUUUUACCUUGCUUUGGAAAGGAUCUAAUUAUAUGGUAGAUUGCAAGUUCAUAUUUUUAUAUUAUGACAAUCUACAUGCUUUAAAUUGGUUGUAUAUAUCUUGUGGCAUAUUUCAAAUUGAUUAUCGUAUUAUUGCCAUGACCUAGACAUAAAGAGGAUUAUCCCAUGUUCUUAAAUGAAUAGAGUGCUAAGUAAGAAAUUCAAAUUCUUAAAGCACUUACCAAAAGGGAAUUCUCUAUAUGGCUAGAGUUGUGAGACUAAUGUUUCUAUCCAAGUGUUUAUGUAGUCUCACAACAUGAGAAUGUGUUUCCCAAAUGGAGUGUGCCAUUCAACAUUCAAAGAAGAUCGAACCAAUACUAUGUGAUGUAUUCAUUCUUGUUUAAAUUGGUUUUGAGUCUUCUACAUUAAUCACUCAUCAUGUUAUAAAUUAAACUUGCCCUAUAAACUUAACUAAAUAAUCAUGCUAUUUUCACCAUGUUUAAAUCAGUGUUAUGCAUGAUGCUUGUAAGGGUAAUUUAGUUCAUAUCAUGAGGUUUCCUUAUUUUAGUAACCUUCUUGUCAUACAUAUACUAAAGGUUGCUAAAUAGGAAGUUAUUGCUUGUGUUUUAAAUGCAGUCUCUUUUAAGAUAUUUCAUGGAAAUUCAUAAGUAGAGAUUGUGCUCUUUCAAUUGGUAAAAUCACAAGCAUUAAAGGUUAAUCUUCACCCAAAAGAAAGAUUAGGAAUGCUCAAGGCAAAGGUAUGGAACUAAUUGCUUUAAUUGGUUGUUGAUCAAUGGUAGUUCCUUUCAAGUGUCAUUCUUUCAAUUGGUAAUAAUAUAUUCUAUGGAAAUAAAUGCCAAUAUGAAGGUUAAAUUCCUUUUGACUUAAAUUUGUAAAUUGGUGCAUAUUAUUAAUUCUCUCAUCCAUGUGCAUUAAUUUAAAAGGAAUUUAAUUUAUGCCUGUAUGCCCAUAAAUGAUGAUUUGCUUGCCAUUCAUAUAUAGAUAUCAUCAUUCAUUAAAUACUUCCUUGUACUACUAAUACCUCUUUUCAAAGUGUUUUAUCGACUAGUUUUAAAAGGAAAAGAGAUAACAAAGAAGGAAGUCUCCACAAAUGAUGAAAAGAAGAAUAAUAAGGUGACACCACCAUAGAUAGUAAGAUCUGUCAAAUUGGUAUAACAAAUGGUACAUUCUAUAUGGUGGUAAGUAUUCUUAGGCAUAAGUUAAUUCAUUGUAAAUUUGUCAUGCCUCGACAAUGAUAUGUAAUGUACUCCUCAUGAGACCCUUAUCUGAAUUGAAAGUGCAUGUGGUAAGUCAUUCAAAUACUUUAUGCACAUAUCUAGUGGGAGAACAUUAUAUAUCUUGUGUCAUAGAGAAUAAGUUUCACUUGAGUAAGCUAUACUAAGACAAUCCAAAAUGGUAAAUUUGUAUCUCAUUCAUAUGGAUUGUAAUCUUUGUUUUCUAAAUAGCUACUCUUGAUGCAGUUUAAAAUUCCCUUAUCGUUAAUUCUAAAAGUGCAUAAGAAUCUUUUUGUUGAUAUUCAUCACAUACAUAUGCACUAACAUGGAUAUGAUUUUUAAACUGUAAAAGGUACAAUUAGUGAUCCAUACUCUCUAAAUUUUGGAAACCCAUAUUUUGAUAUCUUAGAAAUCUACUUCAAUCAAUAUCCAUAUGCUUCACAUUGAAUUGGAUCACUAAGUUGUAAAUUCCAUGCAUAACUUGUCUUCAUGAUAUGAAUGCUUGUGCGAUUAACCUUGAUAAGCUAGGUGCACCCAAGGUCAAUCUAGGUUCAUCAUCAAGAAGGCAACACAAUGAUGUAUCAAGAAAAGGAGAAAAGGCUCCUAUUCUUAACUCUAACUUUUAUCUGUGUGAUUAAAUAUUGACUUGAAAUCGUGUAAGAUGGUUGUCAAGUAUAUGUGGGUGCCUACACAAAGAGAAAGGCCACAAUAAGGAUUGUGUGGGUACUCAAGGCUCUUACUACUAAUCUCAAAGGACCCAAUUCAAAUUGGGUACCAAGAUAUGAAGCUUAAACUUGUUUUGCAGGAUCACUCCUUCAAUGGAUCAAGUUGGGUGCUUGAUAAUGAAUGUAUAAUUCACAUUUGGAGAUAGUAGCAAGGGUGUGGUAACAACUGAAUCUCAAGUGCAUAUUAUUUUCAAAUCUUAUCUCUUUUGUGACUUGUGUAGCCACUAAAGAAAAAGAAGCACUUGAGGAUAUACAUCAGUUGUUGAUUAUGAAAUAAAGGUCCAAUUGGAAGAUGAAUGAAUAUUAUCAUAUGGUCAACAAUCCAAAAUUGUGUGACAUAUUCUCUAUCUAGUUAAUUUGGAUUUGAUUCUUCUAUAUUAGACACUCACCAUAAUAUGGAUUAAGCCAUCCCUUUAGACUUUAUUGAAUAACUAUGCAUAUUAUACAUGUCAUUCAAAAUAUAUUGUGCAUGAGGGCUCAAGGGAAAUUCAGUCCAUAUUAUGAGGUUUCUUUAUUUUAGCAACUCGCUUGCCUUCCACAUAUAAAGGGUUGCAAAAUAAGAAACUAGUGCUUGUGCUACUAAUGCCAUCUCUUGUGUUGAGUUUAUCCAUAGAAAAUCUAUGUUAAGAGAUGGUGCUUGUUUUAAAUUGGGUAAAUCACAAGCUUAAAGGACACUAUUCAACUAAAGUAAGAUGAAGUUGAUAAGAUGCCAAGGUAUGGAAACUUCCUCUCCUUCAGUUGUUUUAGUAUUCUAUCCUUAGUGGGAUGUACCAUAGUAUAGGUUAAAUUCCUUGCAAUGUAAAAUGUUCAAUAGUGCAUAUAACUUUGACAUUAACUAUAUGUGUGCACUAAUUUAAAGGAAUUUAGUCUAUCCUUUUCGGUUUCAAUAAUGAUGAUUCAUUUGCCAUCCACAUAUAAGGAUCAUCAUUUGUGAAACCCUCCCUUGUGUUUCUAAUGCUCUCUUUUCUAAGUGUUUCAAUAAGGUCCUUCCAAGUGCUUUCAAGAUGGAUUCAAAAUCUAUGGAUAAGAGUCUUGGUUCUUUCAAUCAUUGAGUUUCAAUGAAUCUCAUAUCAAGUAUGAUCGAAUCAAGAAAAGAUGAAAGAAGUUCAUGAUCACUUGGUUGGAUGAAAUCGUAAAAAGAAAAGAGAUCACAGUGAUUCAAGAAGGGAGUUAUAUUUUUUGUCAACCAAAUAAUGAAGAUGCAGUGACAUAUUUAUAUGAUAUCCUUCAUUAUGAGGUUUGAGGUUCAUAUUAGCAUGCUUUACCCUUCAAGAUUUCAAUUGAUAUACUUUUAGUUCUUAAAUCUUCAAUUGGUUUAAUUUUCGUCCUCUAUAUAAAGCAUGUUAUGUUAAGCCAAGAUAUAGUACAAACAUCUCCUUUAACCUCACAUUGUUAAUGUGCAUAAGUGUACUUUGUGUACUCUUGCAUGCACAAAUUGAGGGAGAGUUUAGCCUAUAUCUUGUGAGACUAAUGAUUUCUUUCAAGUUCAUGUUGUGUAGUCUCACACCUUGGAGAACAUCAAAUGAGGUUGAAUGGUUCCAUAGAAAUGAAAAUGAGUUUCUCUUGAACCUAUCAAGAAAAUGAGUUUCUCUUGAUCGUUUGAAGAGGAUGAGUUUCUCUUUGAAAUGUCAAGCCUAUCAAAAGCUAAAAUAGAAAUUCAUGAUUAUAAUGAAGACCAUAUGGCAUGGAACAAAGGUGUGUCACUCCAUGAACUAUUGUAUUAUAUGUGUAUCUAGGCUCUUACAAGUUAGUGUAUGCAUGUAAAUGCAAUAUCUUAAGUCACAUCAUAAGGUUGCACUUGAAUCUUGGCUUAAAAUAUUGCAUAUCAUGCCUAUUAGUAUACCUUUUUUAUUAUGAGUAAUUCCUUAAAUUGGUGCAAUUUCAUAUUUUCAUACUUUAUUUGUACCAAGGUUCAAAUUGUAGAACUUAAUCCCCUGGCCUCACAAGUCCAAGUGCAUAAGCUAAACAAGUAUUCAUCACUUGUAUGCAUACAUUUAGGGGGAGAAUGGUCUAUAAUUUGAAUCUUUGAGACUAACUUCAUUUUCAAGUCUAUUAUGUGUGUAGUCUCAAAUUAGAAAGGGAUCUUCAAGCAAAGACAAUCGCUUCCACUGCAAAAUUUGAUGGGCAUCAAAGAUUCUUUGCUCCAAUAAAUGUAUCUUUUAUACAUUUCAUAAGAGAAUGAGUUUCUCUUUUAUAUGCUACUCCAACAUCAUCUAAAACUGGUAAACAUGUAUCACAUCCUUUUGGAUUGCAAAUGUCUGAAGUAGCAUAGCUUAUAAAUUCUCCUGUCUAGAACUUAAUUGAUUAAAUAGUGCACAUGUUUCUUAUGUUGCAUGAUUAUGUUCAAUUGAUACUCCUUUUAUGCCAAUGGUACUUUAAGUUGCAAAUAAGUACUCUCAACAGAUAUCAAUUGAAUUCAUAUAUGUGUGUGCACUAAAACUUGAGGAGAACUUAGUGUAAUAUGCUAUUAGUGAUCUAUUUAUCUAUCAAAUUGUAUCAAUUGGUGUUUUUCAAUUGAUAUUUUUCAUACAUGAUCACUAGUUGCAUAAUCCAUACUUGUGCAAUUUUCAUGUUGCCUCUUGUUGUGAUAAGAAAAUGCUAGGUGACAUCUAGACUCCAGGUAUCAAGAUUUAUCUUUCAGUUAGUAUGACAAUCUUCAUUUGAUAUCUUGGACCUAUGUCACAAAUUAUGCCAACAAGAGCUUGCAAAUGAAUUCUAAAUCCAACACAAGUCUGGAAACCCCUUGAAAAGGUAAAACGCAAAGGUACAUCACUUAUGACACUUAUCCAUUACCUUUGUGCCAUCUAAGGAUCCCUUUCAUGAUAGUGUGUUCACAUCUCGCUUAAUCAUAAUUUCUAUCCUUUAUAUUCUUUGUAUCCUUUUUGGAGAUUUAUGUCAAAGGGGGAGAAAUUGUGCAUUAAAGCUUACCUUUAGUCUUAUGUAACUAAGUGUUAGAAGACUUUUAAAAAGGGGAGAAAUAAUUAACAAAAAGGGGAAGUCAUAAGAAAAACAUAAGAUGAAGAGAGUUGAUAAGUGCAUUCCAUGUCAUGAGCAUCACGUUUAUUUUAUGACACACUGCACCCUAUGAAUAGUAUGAUAUAAGUUGUCUAUACUUUGACCUAAAUAUGUGCUUUUGGCAUUUGAGUACAUAAGUGUCAUUUUCUGAAAUGCACAUAUUUAGGGGGAGGAAACUAUAUCAUAGGAUUUAAAAUCUUAUUUAUCAAAUCUUAUGUAAGCUUUAAAUGUGUUGUCAUCAAUCACCAAAAAGGGGGAGAUUGAAAGUGCAUUCAUCCCUUUUGUGAGUUUUGGUGAUUUGGAUAACAACACAUUUAAAGGUCUAACGAGUUUGCUAAGUGUUGAACAGGAAAUUCAGUAUGAUGAACAUACUUGAAUAGUGUAUAAUGAUCAGUGAACAAAGGUUCAACACGAGGUUAAAUAACCAAUGAGACAAUGCAAAUGGAUAUAAUAUGAUCUCUAUAUUGGUUUGAAUAUAUGGACAAGACCUAAGAAAUCACUACAUACAUAUGAUCAGAAUAGAGGACAAAGUGAUUUAGAGGAUUGGUCAAGCCAAAGAGAAUAAGAUAUGAGAAAUCGUGAAUUGGCUUGACCAUAUUACUAUCAGUCCAUAUAUGCUUCUAUGAGAAUCAAACUAGAGCUUGAUUAAUCUUAACAGUUAUAUCUAGAAGACAUUCAAGCAAGGUUUACAAUAUUGAAGAAAUGAUUCUCUCAAUGGAUGCUCAAUAUGAUGUGACUCAAGAAUGGCUUGAUAGGGUGAAGAUAGCAAGGAAAGGGCUUCGAGGAACUAGGCGAAGGUGAAGGCCAAGCGACGGCUUGUAGACCGAGGUACCAUGGCUAAGGUGAAGAAGAGAGUACUUGCACUAAGUCGAUGAACUAAUCAGCUAUGAAGAGUUAUAACAUGUUGAUGCAUCAGUAAGGUGACUUGAAGCCAUGAUUUGAACUCAUAUAAGGUGAUAUGGUACAAGUCACAGGGUUUGGUUUGAGUUUGCUUCAAAAGGUGAGACAAAGAUGUUUGUGAUCCUUAUGAAGCAAUGCCAUGGAGAAAUCACACAUGAGACACCAAUGACUCAAGGAGUUUACUUCAUUUUAUUUUAUUUAACUUGAGUACAGGAAUCAUCGUACUAUAAAGGGGGAUCCAAAAAGAAGGUUGGUGUUUGCCAAAGCUCAAACCUCUCUAUUCAAAAGCUAUUUUUGAAAAGCAAAAAUCUCUUUAACGUUCUAUGGUUGACCGUGGUUAGGGUUGAGAAACCUAGAGUGUUCUUGCUGAAAAGCAGCUGAACUUCUUCAACUGCAGCUGAGCUUUCCAGCUGAACUUGACGAGCUUCUUCAGCUGCAGCUGAGCUUUUCAGCUGAGCUCAACUUCAGCUGAGUUGAGCUUUCUCAACUUCAGCUGAACUCAACUUCAGCUGUGAACCUCUUUGACCAUACACCAGCUGAACUUGCCUCCGGGCAGUUGAGCUGGGGUUUUCUCUCCUAAACUCACUGGUCAAGACCGGUUGAACUAGUCCUGAGGGGCAGUUCAGCUGGUCUCUGACCCCUCUGACCUCUGAUCUGCAGUCUGCCAGUCAGACUGGCAAACAGGUCGCCAGGAGCUGUCAGGGGCGGUUCAACCGCCCCCCCUAGGCGGUUCAACCGGUGUUGGUCAACUUUGACCAGUCUGCGGUCAGUCUGCGCGUCAGUCUGCCAGUCAGACUGGCAGACAGGCUGCCAGGCCUGGCAGGGGCGGUUCAACCGGUCUCAGGCAGAAAAAUCUGCCCAAACGGCUAGUUUUGAGCUCCACCUAUAUAUACUCACUCCUACCUCUCACCCCACAGCAGGGAGCACGAUUUGAACUCCAUUUCUAACCCAAGAAACACCUCCCUCUCUCUCACACACAUCUCUUGCCUCUCCCAUUUCAAAUCUUUGGAGAGAAAUCUUUGAGUGAGCUUGAGAGCUGCGGUUUUGUGCUUCAUCUCUAAAUCUCUCUUGCUCUUCUUCUUGAUUCGAGCUUUGGUACUACAUUGAGUUCUUUGUGGAUUCAUUACUCUUGGAGCUUCUAGCUCCUAGACGACUAGGUGUCUCUUGUGAGUCUCCAAAUCUUGUGGAAGACCACAAGAAAGUUUGUAUUACCCGCUCGUUUGAGCAAAGAUUAGUGUGUGAGCUUGACCUUUGUGGUCGGCAAAGGAAGGAUUAGGGUUGAAAGAGACCCGGCUCUUUGUGGGCGCCUCAACGAGGAAGUAGGGCACCUUGCACUACACCAAAAUAGUAAACUUCCUAGAGCCUAAACUCUAGGAAGUUAGGCCUAAACUCUAGGAAGUUAGCUAAACUCUCGGAAGUUAAGCCAUCCCGUCGGAAGUUUGGCUCUCGGAAAUUUUUUGUCGGAAGUUAGCUUAACUUCCUAGAGGCCUCUAGGAAGUUAGCUAACUUCCUACAGCCAAAAAAGCCUCUCGGAAGUUAGUAGAUUCUCGGAAGUUAGUAGCUUCACGCCGUCAGCGCCGUCAGCUGACUAACUUCCUAUGGCUGACUGUAGCCCCUAGGAAGUUAGCUGGCUAACUUCCUACGGCUUAAUAAGCCUCUAGGAAGUUAAUUUGACCAGCAUUACAAAUGUUGUUUAUUUUUAUUUUACACCACAUUCCACAACAUAACAAAUAUAUCAACAGCUAUAUAGCACAACAUAUUUUCUCAUAAAACAUCUCACACACAAUCACAUAACCAUAUUUAAAUCCAUAGUCUCAUCAAUUACAUCACAAAAGUCUCAUCCAUAGUCUCAUCAAUUACAUCAUAAAAGUCUUAUCCAUAGUCUCAUCAAUUACAUCACAAAAGUCUCAUCCAUAGUCAUAAUAGGACACAUCUCAUCAUCCAGUACUAAUAAGAGACAAUAUCUCAUACAUAGUCAUAAAAGUCUCAUUACAAAUGCAGUUUGUACCAGGAUUCACCUUCAGAGUAUCUCCCUACAAAGCAGGAUGAGCGCUAACGUCAGUGGAACCAAACUAAAAUGAAAGAGAGGAUUGGAACUAGAGUAUAAACCUUUUAAAAAUUUCAGAACAUAGUACCUUUGAAAAGAUUCAUUCUUGCAUCUGGUGGACCACAGUUAUCAGAUAAGUGAUACUUUCCUGAAAGUAUACCCAUUGCCAUUGGGUUGUAAGGCAGCAAGCUGAUUCUGCAAAUGCCAUAGUUCGACAAUGGAAGUUCAGAAGAAAAACAAUUGUAUAAAUUGAGUCAAAACAGAAUACAAUUUGGAAAAUAUCUUAACCAAGAGCAAAUACGAUAUGACAAUGCCAUUCUUCUUUAAACUAAACAGAUGUCAAUAUUUUUUCGAACAUGCAGGAGAGCUAUGUAUCGUUGUAUCAUAGUCAUAGAGAGUAAAAAAAGCCAAUAUGCAUUACCAACUCAUGCCAGGACCAUACAUGAGAAGAUUAGAGACACUGAAGACAACAGUCAGGGCUUCUGACCAUGUCAAGCAUACCUCUCAUGAUGGCAGCAUUCUGCCAAUCCAGAAUCAAAAUUUUGGCACAACAAAUUAUACAAGUUCUACAAAAACAUAGGUGAAGAAAUAUGGAGAGCGAUUACAGUACUACAGAUUAGAUCAAACUAUGCUACUUACCUGCAUUGUCAGUAGCUUUGGAAGCAACUGAGAAUCCUUACUGAACUAAAGAAAUUUCAUCAAACCAUAUGGUGUAUCAUUGGAACAGACGUGUACUGGCAGUUCGGAUCAUACUCUGUCUCCCCAAACAUUGGAACAUACCUGCAAGUAGAAAAAAACAGUGGAUCAUACUCUGUCUCCUCAUAGCCGAAGCUAAGUAUGCAACAACAAUUAUUCGAGGAAAAACUCUACUAACAUCUAUGUAUCGUCACUAAGGGUGACUAUUUAUGCAAUUUGUAUUACAAAAACUUAGAUCAUGCCUAGAGCAGAAGUAACAAGCGUUCGAAUUAAACAAUCAAUUCCUAAAGACACAACCACACUAGCGAGCAUCUGAGCACAAGAGCAAAUAUGAGGUUUUGCAGAGUGAACACAGAACAAAAAGGUCUACCAAUUGACCACCUGCCAUCGAUUGCCGCUGCGAUGUUCCGUGAAUCGAGAGAUGACGGCCUGCCGCGAAUCCACGUCAUCUGCCAUGAAGGCCCCGCGACCUGUUCUCCCAGCAUAGCGUCACCAAACAAAGCACCAAGUUGAGUUCACCGCUCCGUCACAAAAUUCACAAUACAUACAAGCAACUGAAGUACGGGCAGGAUCUGAGGGCUGUUGCUCCCUUUGGUUGCGACAACGAUGCUGUCCGGUGGGGCCCGGCGGGCCCGCAACCAGCGGCCGAGGAGCUCCUCACUACGCCCGUGCGUCUUGCUGCGUUGUGGAACCGAGUACCUGACGAGUAUCUGGAUUCGGGGCCGGGGGCGGCGGGCGGGGCCGAAGGUGGGCCGAGGUGGGGGCGGCCGCGGUGGAUGGGGCUGGUGGUGGCUGCGUCCGCGGUGGGUGGGGUCGGGGCGAGGGCGUCCGCGGCGGACGGGGUCGGGGGCGGCCGUGGCGAGGGCGGGCAGGGGCGGCCGCGACGUGGGCGGUCGGUGGCGUGGGCGGUGAGGGCGACUGGCGACUGGCGGCUGGCGGGGCCGGAGGCGGGCCUUGGCGGGGGCGGCCACGGUGGAUGGAGCCGAGGGCGGUGGCGUCCGUGGUGGACGGGGCUGGGCCAGGGGCGUCCGCAGCGUACGGGGCCGGGGGUGGCCGCGGCGGGGGCAGGGGCGGGCGGGGGCGGCCGGUGGCGUGGGCAGCGGGGGCGGCGGGCGGCGGGCGGCUCCAUGGAAGAGACAAAGGCGAGAGAGAUGGGGUUGAGAAAUGUGAGAGAAGAGAUAAGGUUGAGGAGAGGUUUAAAAUAAAAAAUAACUUCCUAGAGUAAAGCCGUAGGAAGUUACGUAACUUCCUAGAGUUUGUACAUUUACUCUAGGAAGUUAAAUAACUUCCUAGAGCCGACCGUAGGAAGUUAGCUUUUCGUUUGACUGGUCAAAAGCUGAAAUCUAACUUCCUAGAGCUGGUCGUAGGAAGUUAGCUUUUCGUUUGACUGGUCAACAGCUAAAACCUAACUUCCUAGAAGAGGCCGUAGGAAGUUAGCUGGGCAGCUAACUUCCUAGAGCCAGCCGUAGGAAGUUAGCUUUUCUUUUGGCUGGUCAAUAGCUAAAACCUAACUUCCUAGAGCAGGCCGUAGGAAGUUAGCUAACUUCCUACGGUUUUUUAACUUCCGACAGCUUUUAUAAAAGACCGUAGGAAGUUAGGUUUAUUUCCUAGAGCUACCAGUUGCCUCUCGGAAGUUAUUUAUUUCCUACGGUUUGUUACAAAAGCUGUAGGAAGUUAAAAAACCGUAGGAAGUGUAUGAUUUUGGUGUAGUGUUGGUGGUGUGACCGAACCUCGGGAUAAAUCUUGUGUCUUUUGUGUUCUUGUUCAUUGUGCUUAUUCGUGUUCUUCGUUCUCUCACCAUUGCGUGGAAGAUUUGUUCAUAUCUUUUUGGUGUGUGGAUUUUGAGAAGUGCCCUUCUCAGAUCUACUACUUUGAACCCUGUGGAUCAUUUAGAACAUCUCAUUUCCAAAGUUAACUGGGUGAAUUUCGAGAUCAAUUCAGUUUUAUAUCUCAUUCUUUAGUUAAGCUCGUUCAAACCAGUUGCACCGGUUUUGACACUGGACGGUUUUACCUAGUUUGUUUCUAGUUUUUUGUUGAAAAAGUUUUAACUUGCCUAUUCACCCCCCCUCUAGACAACUUUCAAAGUUACAUUAGUACCUUCGACUUGACAGAAGGUAAAAGUCCGAGGGUUACGUGCGAGCGAUUACAAGUCAGCGUGAACAGUAUGGUGUUACUGUUCAUCUAUUUAUAGGCACAAGACGUAGCCUGGGUAAAAUUACAUUCAUGUCCCUGACACUUACUAUUAGCUAAAAGGUAAGAUGUCGAGGACUAAGCAGUCUUUUCCCUUUUAAGUCGGUUUCAUUCUCCAUCGUCAUCUUUGCGCUAAGCCGAAGCUUUUCCAUCCACAGCUUCGGAACUGGUCCAUCCUUCUUCCAGGUCGCGCCUUUCAUACUAUGUACACCUUCAUCUCAAAGCCAAAGCCUCCUGUGACAGUAUACUAUACUGGAAGACAUGUUAGUCAUGUUUUUGAGGACCAUCGAAAGACAAAGGCCCCCAAUAGAGAUGAGAAUGUUAGAUUAAGUGCUACGAUAGAGGAAUUAAAUGUUUGCAAACCCUCUACAUCUAAUGUUGAUCAUGUUUCUAUUUGCACUAGAUGUAUAGAGAUUAAUGUAGAAGCUAUUGAUGAUCACCUUGCUAUGAUUAAACAACAAAAUGAUCACAUAGCUAAAUUAACUGCUAAAAUUGUCGAGCAUGAGCUAGAAAAUGAAAAAUUUAAAUUUGCUCGUAGUAUGCUCUAUAACGGGAGAUGCCCUAGCAUUAAGGAUGGCAUUGGUUUCCAACAGGGGAGCAAUGUCAAGCUUAAUGCCCCUAAAAAAUUAUCUAACUUUGUAAAGGGCAAGGCUCCCAAGGUUCAGGAUAGUGAAGGCUACAUUUUAUAUCCUGCUAACUAUCCUAAGCAGAAAAUUAGGAGAAUUCAUGCUAGAAAACCUCACACUGUUUCUCAUCAUGCAUUUAUGUAUAAAAAUGAGGCUUCUAGCUCUAGGCAAUCAACUCAUGUUAAAUUGCCUAAAACGAAAACUCCCACUGCAUCAAAUGAACACAACAUUUCAUUUAAGACUUUUGAUGCUUCAUAUGUUUUAACUAACAAAUUAGGCAAAGUAGUUGCCAAAUAUGUUGAGGGCAAACACAAGAGCUCCAAAACUUGUGUUUGGGUACCCAAGGUGCUUGUUUCUAAUGUGAAAGGACCCAAGACCGUUUGGGUACCUAAGAACAAGGCCUAAAAUUGUUUUGUAGGUUUAUGCAUCUGGUGGUUCAAGUUGGAUAAUCGAUAGCGGGUGCACAAACCACAUGACAGGGAGAAGAGAAUGUUCUCCUCCUAUGAGAAAAAUGAAGAUCCCCAAAGAGCUAUCACAUUCGGGGAUAGAAAUCAAGGAUUGGUCAAAGGUUUGGGUAAAAUAGCUACAUCUCCUGACCAUUCUAUUUCCAAUGUUUUUCUUGUAAAUUCUUUAGAUUACAAUUUGCUUUCUGUUUCUCAAUUAUGCAAAAUGGGCUACAACUGUCUAUUUACAGAUGUAGGUGUUACUGUCUUUAGAAGAUGUGAUGAUUCAAUAGCAUUUAAGGGAGUGUUAGAGGGUCAGCUAUAUUUAGUUGAUUUUAAUGAGAACAAAGCUGAACUUAACACUUGCUUAAUUGCUAUGACUAAUAUGGGUUGGCUCUAGCAUCGUCGACUAGCCCAUGUUGGAAUGAAGAAUCUUCAUAAGCUUCUAAAGGGAGAGCACAUUUUAGGACUAACAAAUGUUCAUUUUGAGAAAGACAGGGUUUGUAGUUCAUGCCAAGCAGGAAAGCAAGUUGGCGCUCAUCAUCCACACAAGAACAUAAUGACGACUGACAGACCGCUCGAGCUACUCCACAUGGAUUUAUUUGGCCUGAUAGCUUACAUAAGCAUCGGUGGGAGUAAGUACUGUCUAGUUAUAGUGGAUGAUUAUUCUCGCUUCACUUGGGUAUUCUUUUUGCAAGAAAAAUCACAAACCCAAGAGACCUUAAAAGAAUUCUUAAGAUGGGCUCAAAAUGAGUUUGGAUUAAGGAUAAAAAAUAUAAGAAGCGACAAUGGGACAGAGUUCAAGAAUUCACAAAUAGAAGGAUUUCAUGAGGAUGAGGGCAUCAAGCAUGAGUUCUCUUCUCCCUACACACCUCAACAAAAUGGUGUAGCGGAGAGGAAUAAUAGAACUCUACUGGACAUGGCAAGAACCAUGCUUGAUUAGUACAAGACACCGGACCGGUUUUGGGCUGAGGCGAUUAACACCGCCUGCUACUCCAUCAACCGACUCUACCUUCACCGAAUCCUCAAGAAGACAUCAUAUGAACUCCUCACUGCUAAAAAGCCAAAUGUUUCAUAUUUUAGAGUCUUUGGGAGUAAAUGCUUUAUUCUUGUUAAGAGAGGUAGAAAAUCUAAAUUUGCUCCUAAAGCUGUAGAAGGCUUUUUACUUGGUUAUGACUCAAACACAAGGGCAUAUAGAGUCUUCAACAAAUCCACUCGAUUGGUUGAGGUUUCUUGUGACAUUGUGUUUGAUGAGACUAAUGGCUCCCAAGUGGAGCAAGUUUAUCUUGAUGAACUAGAUGAUGAAGAGGCUCCAUGCGUCGCGCUAAGGAACAUGUCCAUUGGGGAUGUGUGUCCUAAGGAAUCCAAAGAGCCCACACAAGCACAAGAUCAACCGUCAUCUUCCAUGCAAGCAUCUCCACCAACUCAAGAUGAGGAUCAGGCUCAAGUUGAUGAAAAUGAAGAUCAAGAGGAUGAGCCACCUCAAGAGGAGGACAAUGAUCAAGGGGGAGAUGAAGAGAAUAAAGACAAGGAAGAUGAUCAAGAAAUUCAGGGACAAAGACCGCCACAUCCAAGAGUCCACCAAGCAAUUCAACGAGAUCACCUCGCCAACUCCAUCCUCGGUGACAUUCAUAAGGGGGUAACCACUAGAUCUCGAGUUGCUCAUUUCUGUGAACAUUACUCUUUUGUUUCCUCUAUUGAGCCAUACAUGGUAGAGGAUGCACUAAGAGAUCUAGAUUGGGUGCUGGCAAUGCAAGAGGAGCUCAAUAACUUCACGAGGAAUGAGGUAUGGCAUUUAGUUCUAGGUCCUAAUCAAAAUGUUGUAUGUACCAAGUGGGUAUUCCGCAACAAGCAAGAUGAGCAUGGUGUGGUGACAAGGAACAAAGCUCGACUUGUGGCCAAAGGUUAUUCACAAGUCGAAGGUUUGGAUUUCGAUGAAGCUUAUGCACCCGUAGCUAGGCUUGAGUCAAUUCGAAUAUUACUUGCCUAUGCUACUUACCAUGGCUUUAAGCUUUAUCAAAUGGAUGUAAAAAGUGCCUUCCUUAAUGGACCUAUCAAGGAAGAGGUCUAUGUUGAGCAACCUCCCAGCUUUGAAGAUAGUGAGUACCCUAACCAUGUGUAUAAACUCUCAAAGGUGCUUUAUGGGCUCAAGCAAGCCCCAAGAGAAUGGUAUGAAUGCCUGCGACAUUUUCUUAUCACUAAUGGCUUCAAAGUCGAAAAAGACGAUCCUACUCUCUUUACUAAAACUGUUGCAAAAGAUUUGUUCGUAUGCCAAAUUUAUGUUGAUGAUAUUAUAUUUGGGUCUACUAACAAAUCAACUUGUGAAGAGUUUAGUAGGAUCAUGAUACAAAAAUUUGAGAUGUCAAUGAUGGGGAGUUGAAGUAUUUUCUAGGAUUUCAAAUCAAACAACUCCAAGAUGGUACCUUCAUCAACCAAACAAAGUACAUUCAAGACAUACUUAAGAAGUUUGGGAUGAAGGAUAGCAAACCCAUCAAAACACCCAUGGGAACCAAUGGGCAUCUCGACCUCGACAUGGGAGGUAAAUCCGUAGAUCAAAAGGUAUACCGGUCGAUGAUAGGAUCUUUACUCUAUUUAUGUGCAUCUCGACCGGAUAUUAUGCUUUCAGUAUGCAUGUGUGCAAGGUUCCAGGCAGAUCCUAAGGAAAAUCACCUUAGGGUCGUGAAGAGAAUCAUGAGAUACUUAGUUUACACUCCUAAGUUUGGGCUUUGGUACCCCAAGGGAUCCACUUUUGAUUUAAUAGGAUAUUCCUAUGCCGACUGGGCAGGGUGUAAAAUUGAUAGGAAGAGCACAUCAGGGACUUGUCAGUUUCUGGGGAGAUCCCUGGUGUCUUGGGCUUCAAAGAAACAAAACUCAGUAGCUCUUUCUACCGCCGAAGUCGAGUACAUUGCCGCAUGUCACUGUUGCACGCAAUUACUUUGGAUGAGGCAAACCCUUAGGGACUAUGGCUACAAAUUGAGCAAAGUCCCUCUCCUAUGUGAUAAUGAGAAUGCAAUCCGCAUGGCGGAUAAUCCCAUUGAACACAGCCACACUAAGCACACAGACAUUCGGUAUCACUUUCUGAGGGAUCACCAACAAAAGGGAGAUAUCGAGAUUGCUUAUGUGAACGCUCAAAACCAAUUAGCCGAUAUCUUUACCAAGCCAUUAGAUGAGAAAACCUUUAGCAAACUUAGGAAUGAGCUAAAUAUACUUGAUUCUCGGAUUUUUGAUUGAAACAUUGCACACAUAGCUCAUUUAUAUACCUUUGAUCAUGUCUCUUUCAUUCUGGUACAAAUGCAUAUUUCUUAUUAUGUACCAAGGCUACGACUAAUAUGUUUUCAAGUGUAUUUCUAUACUAAGUCGUAGAUUGAAAGGGAAAUGGAGUCUUCGGCAAAGAACAAGGCUUCCACUCCACAACUCUGACGGUAUUAUCUACCCUUUGCCGUUGUUCCUCCACUCUCAAUUGGUAUAACCAUUCACUCAUAUUUAUAUUACCAUUUGGGAGAAAGAUGCACAAAGGACUCUCAACGUCUCCGUUUUUGGUGAUUAAUGCCAAAGGGGAGAGAAUAUUAAGCCCAAAGCAAAAGGACCGCACCACCACCAAUUUCAAAAUUUUCAAAAUAAGGUUUUAAUUGAUUUUUUUCACAUUGGUAUCUAUGUGAUGGAAAUUUCUUCAAUUGGUAUUCAGGAGGGAGUUUUUAUUCAGGAGGUCAAUUUUCAAAUUAGUAUCUAUUUCAAAAACCCUCUUGAAAGCUAAGAGGAGAAUUUUAUUCAGGAGGGAGUUUUUAUUUAGUCAAAGGAAAAGCAUUUGAAACAGGGGGAGAAAUUUCAAAUCUUGAAAAUGCUUCUUGCAAUAUUAUUCAUAUACCUUUGACUAUUUGCAAAAAGACUUUCCAAAAAGAUUUGUAAAAACAAAACAAGUGGUGCAAAUGUGGUCCAAAAUGUUAAAUAAAAGAAAAAGCAAUCCAUUCAUAUCUAGUGAGAUUUCCAAAUGGUUUAACUUCAUGUAACCUAUGCACAAUCCAAAUGCAAACUAUUUACAUUUCUGCACUUAUUAUUUGCUUUGGUUUGUGUUGGCAUCAAUCACCAAAAAGGGGGAGAUUGAAAGGGAAAUAGGGUAAACCUUUUCCCAUAAUUAAUUUUGGUGGUUGAUCGUCAACACAAACACAUGGACUAACUAGUUUGUCUAGAACUCAUGUGUUACAGGUGCAUAAGGUUCAACAUAAACCAAUAAAAGAUUCAAGUUAGGGACUAAAUUUGAAACACAACAAAGAACUUGAGUGUGCUGUGGACUGGCGCACCGGACAGUGUCCGGUGCACCAGGGUCGUACGUACAAGUUCCAACCAGCCACUCUCGGGAAUUUAACAGCGCCCCUCCGCUAUAAUUCACCAGACUGUCCGGUGUGCCACAGGACUGUCCGGUGUGCUAGCGGAGCAACGGCUAACUCGCGCAACGGUUGACUCUGAUAGAAGCUACAAUGAGCAACAGUGCCGCGCAGAAGUUAGAACAGUGAAGUCAGAGGGGCACCGGACUGUCCGGUGUGGCACCAGACUGUUCGGUGCCGCAAGAGAACAAAGCUCCAACGGUCGCCCGAGCUCCAAACCCUAACGGUUGGGUGAUGUGGCGGUGCACCGGAUAGCGCACAGUACCUGUCUGGUGGCGCACCGUUCUCUCCGGUGCGCCCAUCGCCAGCAGCCUCCCCAACGGCUACCAAAGUGGUUGGGGGCUAUAAAUACCCCCAACCACCACAACUUCAAGCAUCCAAGUUUUCUGAAGAUCACAUUCAAUACAAGAGCUCUAGCAUUCACUCCAAGACAUAAUACAAAAGAUCAAAUCCUCUCCGAGUCCCAAAUUCAUUCCAAACACUUAGUGGCUUGUGAGAGAGAAUUUUGUGUUUAUUUGAGUUCUUGUCGCUUGGAUUGCCUUUCUUCUUUUCCAAUUCUUACUCUCAAGUGCUUUGUAAGCGAGGCAAGAGACACCAAGUGUGUGGUGGUCCUUGCGGGGGUCUUAGUGACCCAUGAGAUUAAGGAAGAAGGCUCACUCGGUCUAAGUGACCGUUUGAGAGAGAGAAAGGGUUGAAAUAGACCCGGUCUUUAUGACCUCCUCAACGGGGACUAGGUUCUUUGGAACCGAACCUCGGUAAAACAAAUCAUCGUGUCAUUCGCUUUAUUUUUUUGGUUGAUUUGUUUUCCCCUCUCUCCCGGACUCAGAUUUUAUUCUAACGCUAACCCCGGCUUGUAGUGUGUUUAAAGUUGUAAAUUUCAGUUUCCGUCUAUCCACCCCCCCUCUAGGCGACUUUCAAUUGGUAUCAAAGCUGGUACUUCAUUAGAGUCUAACCACUCGAAGUGAUGUCGGGAGGAUCCGCCAAGAGGGAGAUGGAAACGGGCACAAGCCACGGGAAGGCUCCAUCAAAGGAGUCCAGUGCCAAAGGAAGGGAGGAAUAACCUCCAUGAGUCAAGUCGCAUCGGAGUGGCGACAAGAAGAAGAAGAUGAAGAAAGUGGUCUACUACGAGACCGAUUCUUCGUUGCCAUCCACCUCCGGCUCCGAUGCGGCAUCCAUCACUUCUAAGCGCCAUGAGUGCAAGAAGUUUAGUAAGAUACCCCUACGCUAUCCCCGUAUUUCUAAAUGUGCUCCUUUACUUUCUGUUCCAUUAGGCAGACCACCAGUUUUUUAUGGUGAAGAUUAUUCUAUGUGGAGUGUUAAAAUGAAAGGUCAUCUAACCUCACUCCACGAAAGCAUAUGGGAUGUUGUUUAGUAUGGAGCGCAGGUACCACAGGUGGGGGAUAAGGACUAUGACUCGGACGAAGUCACCCAAAUAAGGCACUUUAAGUCCCAAGCAACUACUAUACUCCUUGCCUCUUUAAGUCGAGAGGAGUAUAACAAAGUACAUGGGUUAGAGACCGCCAAAGAAAUUUGGGACGUCCUCAAGACCGCACAUGAAGGGGACAAUGUGACGAAGAUCACCAAAAGGGAGACGAUCGAGGGAGAGCUCGGUCGAUUCGUCCUCAACCAUGGGGAAGAGCCGCAAGCCAUGUACAACCGGCUAAAGACCAUGGUGAACCAAGUGCGCAACCUCGGGAGCACCAAAUGGGAUGACCAUGAAAUGGUCAAGGUUAUUCUAAGAUCCCUCAUUUUUCACAAUCCUACGCAAGUUCAAUUAAUACGUGGUGAUCCUAGAUAUAAGCUAAUGUCUCCCGAGGAGGUUAUAGAAAAGUUUGUGAGCUUUGAAUUGAUGAUCAAAGGCUCCAAACAAAUCAUCAACUUGGAGCAAGGCGGCACCUCCACACCCGAGGUGCAACUCGUCGCAUUCAAAGCGACGGAGGAGAAGAAAGAAGAGUCUACAUCAAGUAGGCUCCCCAUCGACUCCUCCAAGCUUGACAACGAGGAGAUGGCACUCAUCAUUAAGAGCUUUCGCCAAAUCCUCAAGCAAAGGAAGGGGAAAGACUACAAGCCCUGUUCCAAAAGGGUGUGCUACAAGUGUGGUAAGCCCGGUCAUUUUAUUGCAAAAUGUCCUAUAUCUAGUGAUAGUGAUAGGGGCGACGACAAGAGGGGGGAGAAGGAGAAGAAGAGAUAUUACCAGAAGAAGGGCGGCGAUGCCCAUGUGUGUCAGGAAUGGGACUCCGACAUGAGCUCCACCGACUCCUCCUCCGACGAGGAUGUCACCAACAUCGCCGUCAACAAAGGUCUCCUCUUCCCCAACAUCGGCCACAAGUGCCUCAUGGCAAAGGACGGCAAAAGGAAGAAGGUAAAAUCUAGAGCCUCCACUAAAUAUACAACAUCUAGUGAUGAGAGUAGCUCUAGUGAAGAUGAGGAUAAUUUGCUUACCCUUUUUGCCAACCUUAACAUGCAACAAAAGGAAAAAUUAAAUGAAUUGAUAGUAGCCAUUCAUGAGAAGGAUGAACUCUUGGACAGCCAAGAGGAAUUCCUUAUUAAGGAAAAUGAAAAGCAUGUUAAGGUGAAAAAUGCUUAUGCUCAAGAAGUAGAGAAAAAUGAAAGCUUGACUAAGGAGCUUAGCAUUUGCCAUGACACUAUUUCUAACCUUAGAACUGAGAAUGUUAGUUUAAAUGCUAAGGUUGAGAAAUUAAAUGCUUGUAAUGAUUCAAUUGCCAAUCUUAGAAAUGAGAAUGCUAGUUUAAUUGCUAAGAUUGAUAAAUUGAACGAAUCAAUUUCUAGCCUUAAGACUGAGAAUGCUAAUUUAAUUUCCAAGGCUAGAGACUUAAAUGGUUGUAAUGAUUCCAUUUCCUGUCUUAGAGAUGAAAAUGCAAUAUUACAUGCUAAGAUAGAUGAAUUAAAUGCUUGCAAACCCUCUACAUCUACAAUAGAACAUGUCGCCAUUUGUACUAGAUGUAGAGAUGUUAAUAUUGAUGCUAUUCAUGAUCACCUUGCUUUAAUUAAACAACAAAAUGAUCAUAUAGCUCAAUUAGCUAGUAAAAUCAAUGAGCAUGAGAUAGAAAAUGAAAAAUUUAAAUUUGCUAGAAGCAUGCUCUAUAAUGGGAGAUGCCCUGGCAUCAAGGAUGGCAUUGGUUUCCAACAGGGAAGCAAUGUCAAACUUAAUGCCCCUAAAAGAUUGUCUAAUUUUGUUAAGGGCAAGGCUCCCAUGGUUCAGGAUAACGAGGGCUAUAUUUUAUAUCCUGCUGGUUAUCCCGAACACAAAAUUAGGAGAAUUCAUGCUAGGAAAACUCAUUCUGUUUCUCAUCAUGCACUUAUGUAUAAGAAUGAGGCUUCUAGCUCUAGGCAAUCAACUCAUGUUAAAUUGCCUAAAAAGAAAACUCCUACCGCAUCAAAUAAACCUAAUAUUUCAUUUAAGACUUUUGAUGCUUCAUAUGUUUUGACUAACAAAUCAGGCAAAGUAGUUGCCAAAUAUGUUGGGGGCAAACACAAGGGGUCAAAGACUUGUGUUUGGGUAUCCAAGGUGCUUGUUUAUAACAUCAAAGGACCCAAUAUUGUUUGGGUACCUAAGAACAAGGCCUAAAUUGUUUUGCAGGUUUAUGCAUCCAGGGGCUCAAGUUGGAUUAUUGAUAGCGGAUGCACAAACCACAUGACAGGGGAGAAAAUGAUGUUCUCCUUCUACGAGAAAAACGAAGAUCCCCAAAGAGCUAUCACAUUUAGGGAUGGAAAUCAAGGUUUGGUCAAAGGACUUGGUAAAAUUGCUAUAUCACCUGACCACUCUAUUUUCAAUGUUUUUCUUGUAGAUUCUUUAGAUUACAAUUUGCUUUCUGUUUCUCAAUUAUGUAAAAUGGGCUACAACUGACUUUUUACGGAUAUAUGUGUUACUGUCUUUAGAAGAAGUGAUUAUUCAGUAGCAUUUAAGGGAGUAUUAGAGGGUCAGCUAUACUUAGUUGAUUUUAAUAGAGCUGAACUCGUACUUGCUUAAUUGCUAAGACUAAUAUGGGUUGGCUCUGGCAUCGCCGACUAGCCCAUGUUGGGAUGAAGAAUCUUCACAAGCUUCUAAAGGGAGAGCACAUUUUGGGACUAACCAAUGUUAAUUUUGAGAAAGACAGGGUUUGUAGCGCAUGUCAAGCAGGAAAGCAAGUUGGCGCCCAUCAUCCACACAAGAACAUCAUGACGACUGACAGGCCGCUUGAGCUACUCCACAUGGAUCUAUUUGGCCCGAUAGCUUACAUAAGCAUCGGCAGGAGUAAGUACUAUCUAGUAAUUGUGGAUGAUUAUUCUCGCUUCACUUGGGUAUUCUUUUUGCUGGAAAAAUCUCAAACCCAAGAAACUUUAAAGGGAUUCUUGAGACGAGCUCAAAAUAAGUUCGGAUUAAGGAUCAAUAAAAUAAGAAGCGACAAUGGGAUGAAGUUCAAGAACUCUCAAAUUGAAGGCUGUCUUGAGGAGGAGGGCAUCAAGCAUGAGUUCUCUUCUCCCUACACACCUCAACAAAAUGGUGUAGUGGAGAGGAAGAAUAGAACUCUACUGGACAUGGCAAGGACCAUUCUUGAUGAGUAUAAGACACCGGACCGGUUUUGGGCGGAAGCAAUCAACAUUGCUUGCUACUCCAUCAACCGGUUCUACCUUCACCGAAUCAUCAAGAAGACAUCAUAUGAACUCCUCACCAGUAAAAAGCCUAAUGUUUCAUAUUUUAGAGUCUUUGGUAGCAAAUGUUUUAUUCUUGUUAAAAGAGAUAGAAAAUCUAAAUUUGAUCCUAAGGUUGUAGAAGGCUUUUUACUUGAUUAUGACUCAAACACAAGGGCAUAUAGAGUCUUCAACAAAUCCACUGGAUUAGUUGAGGUUUCUUGUGACAUUGUGUUUGAUGAGACUAAUGGCUCCCAAGUGGAGCAACUUGAUCUUGAUGAGCUAGAUGAUGAAGAGGCUCUAUGCAUCGCGCUAAGGAACAUGUCCAUUGGGGAUGUGUGUCCUAAGGAAUCCGAAGAGCCCACUCAUGCACAAGAUCAACCGUCAUCUUCCAAUCAAGCAUCUCCACCAACUCAAGAUGAGGAUCAGGCUCAAGACAAUGAAAAAGAAGAUCAAGAGGAUGAGUCACCUUAAGAGGAGGACAAUGAUCAAGGGGGAGAUGACCAUGACAAGGACAAGGAAGAUGAGCAAGAGAUUUAGGGUCAAAGACCGCCACACCCAAGAGUCCACCAAGCGAUUCAAAGAGAUCACCUCGUGAACUCCAUUCUCGGUGAUAUUCAUAAGGGGGUAACCACUCAAUCUCGAGUCACUCAUUUUUCUGAACAUUACUCUUUUGUGUCCUCUAUUGAGCCAUACCGGGUGGAGAAUGCACUAAGAGAUUCGGAUUGGGUGCUGGCAAUGCAAGAGGAGCUCAACAACUUCACGAGGAAUGAGGUAUGGCAUUUAGUUCCACGUCCUAACCAAAUUGUUGUAGGUACCAAGUGGGUAUUCCGCAACAAGCAAGAUGAGCAUGGUGUGGUGAUAAGGAACAAAGCCCAACUUGUGGCCAGGGGAUAUUCACAAGUCAAAGGUUUGGAUUUCGGUGAAACAUAUGCACCCGUAGCUAGGCUUGAGUCAAUUCGUAUAUUACUUGCCUAUGCUACUUACCAUGGCUUUAAGCUUUAUCAAAUGGACGUGAAAAGUGCCUUCCUCAAUGGACCAAUCAAGGAAGAGGUCUAUGUUGAUCAACCUCCCGGCUUUGAAGAUAGUGAGUACCCUAACCAUGUUUAUAAACUCUCAAAGGCGCUUUAUGGGCUCAAGCAAGCCCUAAGAGCAUGGUAUGAAUGCCUGCGAGAUUUUCUUAUCACUAAUGGCUUCAAAGUCGGAAAAGCCGAUCCUACACUCUUUACUAAAACUAUUGCAAAAGAUUUGUUUGUAUGCCAAAUUUAUGUUGAUGAUAUCAUAUUUGGGUCUACUAACAAAUCUACAUGUGAAGAGUUUAGUAGGAUCAUGAUUCAAAAAUUCAAGAUGUCUAUGAUGGGGGAGUUGAAGUAUUUUCUAGAAUUUCAAGUCAACCAACUCCAAGAUGGCACCUUCAUCAGCUAAACAAAGUACAUGCAAGACAUACUUAACAAGUUUGGAAUGAAGGAUGCCAAGCCCAUCAAGACACCCAUGGGAACAAAUGGGCAUCUCGACCUCGACACGGGAGGUAAAUCCGUAGAUCAAAACGUAUACCAGUCGAUGAUAGGAUCUUUACUCUACUUAUGUGCAUCUUGACCGGAUAUUAUGCUUUCUGUAUGCAUGUGUGCAAGGUUCCAAGCCGAUCCUAAGGAUUCACCUUAGGGUCGUGAAAAGAAUCAUAAGAUAUUUAGUAUACACUCCUAAGUUUGGACUUUGGUACCCCAAGAGAUCCACUUUUGAUUUAAUAGGUUAUUCAGAUGCUGAUUGGGCAGGGUGUAAAAUUGAUAGGAAGAGCACAUCAGGGACUUGUCAGUUUUUAGGGAGAUCCCUCGUGUCUUGGGCUUCAAAGAAACAAAUCUCAGUAGCUCUUUCUACCGCCGAAGCCGAGUAUAUUGCCGCAGGUCAUUGUUGUGUGCAAUUACUUUGGAUGAGGCAAACCCUUAGGGACUAUGGCUACAAAUUGAGCAAAGUCACUCUCCUAUGUGAUAAUGAGAGUGCAAUCCACAUGGCGGAUAAUCCCGUUGAACACAGCCACACUAAGCACAUAGACAUUCGGUAUCACUUUUUGAGGGAUCACCAACAAAGGGGGGAUAUCGAGAUCGCUUAUGUUAGCACCAAAGAACAAUUAGCCGAUAUCUUCACUAAGCCAUUAGAUGAGAAAACCUUUAGCAAACUUAGGAAUGAGCUAAAUAUACUUGAUUCUCGGAAUUUUGAUUGAAACAUUGCACACAUAGCUCAUUUAUAUACCUUUGAUCAUAUCUCUUUUAUGUCUACGACUAAUGUGUUUUCAAGUGUAUUUCUAUGCUAAGUCGUAGAUUGAAAGGGAAAUGGAGUCUUCGGCGAAGACAAGGCUUCCACUCCACUCUAUCGGUAUCAUCUACCCUUCGUCGUCACUCCACAUCACUCUUCGAUUGGUAUAAUCUUCACUCAUAUUUACUUGUACCAAUGGGAGAGAAAGUAACAAAGGGCUCUCAAAGUCUCCGUUUUUGGCGAUUAAUGCCAAAGGGGGAGAAAUAUUAAGCCCAAAGCAAAAGGACCGCACCACCACCAAUUUCAAAAUUUUCAAGAAUUUUUCAAAUUGGUAUCUAAAUGUAUUUGAUCUUAUUCAAUUUGGUAUUUACAAAAAUUGGUAAAACCCUCUUGAACACUAAGAGGAGCAUUUGGUUCAGGGGGAGUUUUGUUUAGUCAAGGAAAAGCAUUUGAAACAGGGGGAGAAAUUUCAAAUCUUCAAAAUGCUUCUUGCAAUCUUAUUCAUAUACCUUUGACUAUUUGCAAAAGACUUUAAAAAAAUUCAAAAAAGAUUUGCAAAAACAAAACAAGUGGUGCAAAUGUGGUCCAAAAUAUUAAAUAGAAGAAAGCAAUCCAUUCAUAUCUAGUGAAAUUAUAAAUUGGUUUAAUUCCAAGUAACCUAUGCACUUACCCUAUGCAAACUAGUUCAAUUCUGCACUUAUAUAUUUUCUUUGGUUUGUGUUGGCAUCAAUCACCAAAAAGGGGGAGAUUGAAAGGGAAAUAGGGUUAACCUUUUCCCAAUAUUAAUUUUGGUGGUUGAAUGCCCAACACAAAUAAUGGACUAACUAGUUUUCUCUAGAGUAUAUGAUCUACAGGUGCAUAAAGGAUCAACACAAAUCAAUAAAAGAUUGAAGAUAGGGUUCGAAUACAAAGGAGCAAAGAAACCGAGUGUGCCCUGGUCUGGCGCAUCAGACUGUCCGGUGUGCCACCGGACAGUGUCUGGUGCACCAGGACCAUACAGAGUCUAAACAGCCACUCUCGGGUUUCAACCAGCGCGCUCCGCUAUAAUUCACCGGACUGUCCGAUGCACCAGCGGAGCAAUGGCUACUUCGCGCAACGGUCGCCUGCAAAAGCUGAAGAACAGAGGAACAGUACACAAACAGUGCGCGGCAGAGGCGCACCGGACAUUGAACAGUGUCUGUCCGGUGCGGCACCGGACUGUCCGGUGUCACUAGAGGACAAAGCCUCCAACGGUCAAAAGUUCUAGAACCCUAACGGUUGGGUGACGUGGCUGGCGCACUGGACAGUGUUCGGUGCGCCCAUCGACAACAGCCUACCCCAAUGGUUGUUUUGGUGGGUGAGGGCUAUAAAUACCCCUCAACCACCUGCACUCCAACCAUCCAAGCAUUCAACACUCUCCAUUCAAUACAAGAGAAAAGUGCAACACUCCACGACACAAAUCAAAGCCAUCGAUCCAAUCAAAGUCCCUAAUUCAAUUCUAGUGCAUUAGGACUUGUGAGAGGAUCAAUCGUGUUUCUUUGUUGCUCUUGUUUGCUUGGCUUGGCUUUCUUUUCUUUCUCACUUCUUACUCUCAAGUGCUUUGUAAGCGAGGCAAGAUACACCAAUUGUAUGGUGGUCCUUGCGGGGUCUAAGUGACCCGUGAGAUUAAGGAAGAAGCCUCACUCGGUCUAGGUGACCGUUUGAGAGAGGGAAAGGGUUGAAAGAGACCCGGUCUUUGUGACCACCUCAACGGGGACUAGGUUCUUUAGAACCAAACCUCGGUAAAACAAAUCACCGUGUCACCCGCUUUAUUUUCUUGGUUGAUUUGUUUUCCCCUCUCUCCCAGACUCGGAUUUUAUCCUAACGCUAACUCCGGCUUGUAGUGUGUUUAAAGUUGUAAAUUUCAGUUUCCGCCUAUCCACCCCCCCUCUAGGCGACUUUUAGAAAGUUCGAUUGAAAAAUAUAAAGCCAGACCAUUUGGUGCUUUGGAGGAUAGCCAACCCAGAUACAGUGGGCAAGCUACAGCUGAAAUGGAAGGGUCCUUUUCUGGUAGUAUCUUCGUCAAGACCUGGUUCUUACAGAUUGAAGGAUAUGGACGGCAACGACAUACCUAGAUCUUGGAAUGCGGAUGAGCUUUGGCGGUAUUAUGUGUAAUUGAUGUAAUCUUUUUUAUUUUUUCCUAUGGCACCCUUUUCCUUUUAGGAGGGGAGAAAGGUUUUUAAUGGGGCCAUAGUUUGUAAUUUUCAUUCUUAUUUGGCCCUAUGCAAUACAAGGGCCAAAAUCCCCCAAAAAUGUAACAUGUAAUAUCAGAACAUGCACCAUCGAGUGCAAAAGAAAACAGGGAAAAGCUCAAAAGUCGUCCCUAAGGGGAUGCAGAGCUGUAAUUACCCCAAGGAUGAUGAAGCUGCAAAAGUCGUUCCUAAGGGAGCACAGAGUAAGUUCCGAAGCUGCAAAAGUCGUUCCUAAGAGGGCGCAGAGUAAGUUCCGAAGCUCAAAAGUCGUUCCUAAGGGAAUGCAGAGCCAAAAUACCACCAAAAUAAAAGAAGAAGCUCCAAAUUCAGUCCUAAGGGGAUGUAGAGCUUAAAUGCCACCGAAAUAAAAGGUGAAGAAGCUCCAAAGUCGUUCCUAAGGGGAUGUAGAGCUUAAAUGACACCGAAAUAAAAGGUGAAGAAGCUCCAAAGUCGUUCCUAAGGGAAUGCAGAGCUUAAAGACUCUGAAUUCGUUCCUAAGGGGAUGCAGAGUCUGGGUGCGGCUUCGUGUGUGUAUGGAUCAUACAUUUGCAUAUUACAUUACAUCAUUCAUUGCAUUCAUACAGACAUUCAUUAGACAUUCGUAGGAUCAUCAUCAUCAUGACAUGAAGCACGAACAGAAAUAGUCCGGCUUCGGCGACAAAGUGUUUUGUUGAACACGAAGAAGCUUUGUUUCAAAUAUGAAUACAUGCAUUUUAUGCAAGGGAAUGCUUCAAUGUGUACGAAAAGAAGGGAAGGUGUUUUUCGCCUUCGGCUCAAAAGACGCGAAUUUCGUCCACAGCAAAGCAAUUCGUACAUGGACGGAAAGGUAAAAUUAUAUUACAAGGUAUGGACAAAUAUAUACAGUAUUGAGUUUAACUCUUGAUUACAAUUUUUGCAAAAAUAAUGCAAAACAUUUCCUAAGUUCUAUACAGGAAGGCACAAAAGGAAGCUUCAUCUCGGUAACCUUCGGAAUGUGCUUUGGGUUAUUAACCUUCGACACCUCCAUCCUGCAGACAAACAAUGGUAUAAGGUAAAAGUGAUUUAAAAAUCAAGGCAAGCAACAGGUAUAAGUUUCGUACUGGUUUAAGCAGACUUCGAGCUUCGUCUCCAGCCAACUCUCGUCCGCCUUUAGCCCAAAUCUGAGUGAUGAAUCUAUUUCCGAUGCUUCGGGCUUCACCGGGGAUGUUAAUAAGGUCUGAUAGUGAUAAGCUGAAGGUUGACUUGUUCAUUGUUUUUGCAUGCAUGCAUCCGGCCUUCAAGAAUGCAGCAGUUGUGCCGCGAGAAGCUAACAAAGCACAGAAGUCACCGUGCCCAGUUAUCACUUCAUCGAGCGCAUCAACUUCAUUUUCAAUGUGCUUGAAGGUAUCUAAUAUGUCUUCAGCCGAAGGGGUAAUAUCUUUAGAGCUAGCCCCGACCGAGCUGAAGACUCCUUUUAACCGUUGCACGCAGCGGCUGCCAAAUUCCAAGCAUGUGUUCCGAAUGUCCCUCAGAGAUUCUUGUAGCUUUGAGUUUUUAUCAGCUUUGGCUUCAUAUUUUGCUUGCAGUUCCUUCUUCUCUUGUUCGAAGCACUCUGAUUUUCCUUUUAAGAUUGUUUGAGUUCGGAGAAGCUCUUUGCUUAACCUAGCAUUUUCAGCUUGAAUCUCUGCAAGUGAACCUUCUGUUGCUUGAAGCAGGAAGUCCUUCUUUUCAAGAGAAGCUUUGUAAUCUUUAAUCUUGCUUUCCAAGCCCUCAAUUAUAAUUUCAUUUUUCUUAUCUUCAAGGUCUUGUUGCAUUCUUAAUGCUUUACUUAGCAGCAUACUCUAUGAAAAUAAGUUGACUUCAGAAAAUUUUAAUUCAUCACAAAGAUAACAAAAAUCUAGGCAAAAGAAUUUUACCUUAAAAUUGGAGUAAAAGAGACUGCGGACGAUAUGUUGCCGCCGGUAGCCGCUUAUAUCACACUCAAGCUUCGAAAAACCGACACUCUUUGAUAGAGUGCCGAUUAUUUUUGACCCGGCACGAUCGCGAAUACAUCCCAAGGCUUCUUCGUCAAUUCCACCAAAAAGCAUAACUCCUCGCUGGUAGCCACAGGAUAUCCCAUAUUCCAUUAGCUCCUUUUUCUCAGCCUCGGACAAUUCUUGACCCACCAGGUUCCGAAGGUCAAAAUCUUUUUCUUCUAAAGCAGCAUCAGCAAUUUUUUCCUUUGUCAGGCACUGCGGCCAUGAUCUUCUCUGCAGUUGCAGACGUCUCUUCUGCAGCCAUAUCCGAAAGAAGUUUAUCAAUUCCUAAUAGUGUACUUGCUAGAUUGGUAGCUUCGGCAGCAGCUGUAGCUUCGGUAGAGGUUUCAGCUUCGGCAGUGGCCUCGGCACUUGCGACAGGUACUAUUCUGGACGUCGAGGCCAGAUGUGGUGUCCGCUCAACAGCUUGCAUAACAUUAACAUUUCUUCACUUUUUCUGACCCUUAGUCUUCUCCUUUACGGCCAAGGGUUGAUCCUUCUUCUGUAAAAGUUUCGUCAGUUCUGGUCCCAGAGGACUUAGCAGCUUGAUGGGUAAGGAUUCAGUCAUUACCUUUAAAAUUAUUUUUAUUUCAGCAGCAGGAGGUGUUGAAGGAGUCUCUUCUGUUGCCUCAGUUACCUUCGGCUCUGGAGCUUCAGCCUUCCUCUUUUUUGAAACUGCCGCCUUCGGCUCAGGAGUGGAUUUUGUCUUCUUAGAAAUUUUCUCAUCUUCCUUAACCAUUCUGACAGCUUGCCUGCUUAGAAUGCUGACAACCUUUUUUUUCUUUUUACCCCUUCGACCCCCUUGUCAAGUUUUUCAUAAUCAGGGUAGUCAAAAUUUAAGGCGUCCAUUACCCGGUUCAAUCUUCGUUUCAGGCGGGUACCGAAGGCUAUGGUCAUCAGCUGAUCUUCGUUCUUGGUAUAAUUCCCAAGUAUCUCAUUGCACAUGGUCUCAAUCAUGUCUAGCCAUUCUUUGCAAGGCUUCUUGAAUUGUUUUUCAAACUUAAAACGGUAAGCAAGUCGAACAAGUCCAUGCUUCUUCCCCACUUCUUUCCUCUUCGGCAUUCCCCAGCCACUUGACGUUGGAUAUGUUCUGUUUGCAAAGUAUUCUUGCACCAAGUCCCUAGUACUGAUCUGCUCAGCUACCACUCUAAAUUCUACUUCAGCCAACUGACAGGGUGACCCCAGUUGCAUAUUGCAUAAGGGUCUGGUUAUUUCGAAGCUUAAAGUCAGUGGACUCAUGACCAUGGUCGUCAGCUUCUCCCUCUUUUUCUCGUUAGCCUUCAUAUAGAACCACUCACUUUUCCAGCCAGUUGGCCACUUCGUGUGGUAGCUAAGAACUGGUGCCUUUGUAUCCUUUUGAUAUGCAAAAUUGUAACAGCCAAAAUUUUCAUGAAGGCCAUCUACCCUGGCCUUCGUCUGGUAAUGCAGUUCGUGCACUCGGCAGAAAGCUUCGGCAUCUGGACUCAUCCCUUGGCUUCGGAGGGCCCAGAUAUAGACACUGAGUCUAACAAUAGUGUUGGGAGUCAGCUGAUGAAGAUAUAUCUCAAAGUUCAAUAAAACUUCUCCAAUCAUAACAUUUAGGGGGGACCGAAGCCCUGCUCUAAAGAAGCUCUUAAAAACGACAACUUCAUCCUCUUUCGGCUCCAGAAUUACCUCUUCCCCGGCAAAUCGAACAAGUUUGCUCUCAGCCUCUCCAAAAUACCCCAAUUUCAUCAUCAUAGGCAUGUCAUCUUCUGUUACAGUGGAUUUUUCAAAUUCAAGAUGACUAGGCUUUGUCGGGUUCAGAAUGUUGUAGUCUUAUUCACUCUCAUCAUCAUUCUCACCAACCACAGCUUGUUCAGCUUCGGCAUUGGAAGCACCUUCGGUAAUAGGCCCUUCUGGCACAAUUGGUGUUGUUUCAGUUACGUCGACUUCGUCUCCCUCGCGAGACACUCUAGCAGUUGAUCGUACUCUGGUCAUUUCAAUGAUUUCACCUUUUGACGAAGCUAACCUUAAACGAUGAAGCGUUUGCUCAAGAGCGCAAUGCAGAAAGCUUCGGUUAUGGUCAAAAAUUUUAACAGCACAACAGUGCAAUGACAAUGAAUGUUGUGGUAACUCCUCACCAACCCGUCUGUUUAUAUAGUGCUGCAGGGGGGGAGGUGAACCGUCAGGCCGCUCGCACUCGCUGAACGGUGGACCGUCCGACGCCUGGAAUAUUAUAAUCGUUUCUCUGCAACGAGCUCAGGGAAGGUGUUUUCGGACCUUCGGCAUUCCGAAGCCUUCGGGUUUUUCACGGAUCGAGCUCGUUACGAAAAACGAUCUAACAUCGCGAAGGGGCUACUGUUGGGGGCCUUCUUCUCCGCCGAAGGUCCUCUAAGCAAAAACACCUUCGGCAGAACAAUACACAAGGAGGUGUGACAUGAAGAUGUAAGCCGAAGCUACCAUUGAAGGAGCUUCGGCAUGGUGACGCGCUAAAGACGAAGGAUGUUAUCGACUUAAAGAGGAAAAGACUGUAUAGCCCUUGAUAGUUUGUAUUGUAAUUAUAAUCAGCCAUCAGGGUCAUGGAUGUAAUUUUGUCGGGGCUGUGUCCCGAGCCUAUAAAUAGAUGAACAGUACACUCGUACUAUUCACGCUGACUUGUAAUCACUCUCGCGUGACUCUCGCUUUUUCACCUUCUGUCAAGCCGAAGGUACAAAUGUAAUAUAAAUAUCGUUGAUGUUUAUUCAUGUUUAUAUAAAAUAAGAAUAAGAAUAGUCUAAUGAUUUGAAAUGAUUACUCAUAUUCCCUUUGUGCUUCGUAUGUUUCUGUUUACAUUUUUGCUUACUGAAAUGAUGAAGCUAUGUCCUUCAUGACCUUCGUCUGAAGAUCAUUAUAUCCUAAGGGAAAUAAUGCUUCGAAGGACGAAGGUCACUAAUCAUUAACAAUUGUGUUGCUUUGUUCUUGGUAUUUAGCAUCUGAGAACAAGGACCAAUAUGUAUUAAUAAAUAUUUUUAAGAACUACAAAUACCAAACAAAUUCACAGGUCAUUCUCUUCCUCAUCCCCACAUAAUGCAGCGGAAAAUCUUGCUUUUAUUCCCGUCAUAGGUUCCGCGCAAUAGCUUGCUAGUGGUCGCACUCUUGGUCGGCAUUCACGAGCGGGUAGAGACAUCGACACUAGAUUUACCUGACCUCCACUAUCAUAGAGGACCAUGUAGUGUUCCUUGCUGGAUAGAUAAAGGAGGGAGAACUCUAGCGUAGCGAACGCUUAGACUAUCUACACUCAUACUACUCUAAAUUAGUACUUUAAAACAAAUAUUUUAGGGGUAUCUGCUAGUCAUAUAGUGUAAAUGUGCAACGAAUCUUCUAGGGGAUGCAAACGAGACCUCUCUCAUCCAUAUAUUAUUGUAUAUUGUAGGACGGUAGUUAGGAGGCUUCACAAAAAAAUGGAGGAGUGAUCUAACUGAUGUAACAUCUUAAAUAUAUAAUACUACAAAAUAUGUCAUUGCAACAAAACACGUCCUGAAUUGAAUCGAGGUUCACAACCGAAUAACCUGAAUUGAAUCGAGGUUCACAACCGAACAAGACCUUACUUUGUAUUUAACUUUGUGUUGAUGAAGUACUCUUUACACCUUCUCGAUAUGGAUAGCCUUAGACUGUUCAAGCAACGUCCUCUAUAUCUACUAUUUAUAUGACUAUAUCUGUCCUUCACAACUCUAAAAAAUUAUCCUCUAUAUUUACUUCAUCUCCAACAACGUUCUCUAAUUCACGUCCUAUGUAUAUAAAUACCUAUCUUAAAUAGAUAGAUAAAAUGAGAGAGAAACCCUAUAUAUAGAGAAUUUAGAUUAGAAAUUAGAGGACAAAAAAUAUUAUCUAUAAUUUAGAAUUUAGAGUACAUGAACUAAAGGUCUAUUGGAGCGCCUUAGAUAGCCUUAGCACAAUAGUGUACCCUAAAACUCUAUCCAUUUUAAUAUACGUAUGUAGCAAAUUAGAAGUAAUAUUGUCUCUGUAUUUACAUUGUAUUUACAUGUAGCACGAGAUUAACGUAUAGGACGAGAUUUAAAAAACGCUACUGGACAAGAAAAAAAGAAGAGUUUCUCUUGCUAAUGGAUAGAGAAAAUUGUAGUAGAUAAAUGAUUCAGAAACCAAUCCAAACGACCCUACAAAACUUCCAAAACAGACAAAACUAAGGGGGGAAAGAAACAUACUGAAGAAAACUAACUAUACGACUUCCUAAAAUCAAUUUAACAAUGCCAAAAGGUUAACAUAUAGGUCUUAGAGCAUUCUUGUAUUGCAAAAGGUGAAAUAGCAAGAUGGUACCAAAUAAAUAGAUAAAAGUGCACAUGCUAACAGAUCUCAACAGUUCACACGAUAACAGCAACGAUCACAAACAAAACUUGUGAUGAUGAAAACUAGGUAUUGCUAAAGCAGGCGCAGGAUCGCAUCAUUUCUUCUUGGCAGCCGCCUUGGUCACCUUGGCGCCGGUCGGGUCCUUCUUCUCCACACUCUUGAUAACUCCAACAGCAACCGUCUGCCUCAUGUCACGGACAGCAAACCUACCAAGGGGAGGAUACGCUGAGAACGUCUCCACCACCAUGGGCUUGGUCGGUAUCAUCUUCACCAUACCAGCAUCACCGUUCUUCAGGAACUUUGGCUCCUUCUCAAGCUCCUUGCCAGACCGCCUGUCGAUCUUGGUAAUGAGCUCAGCAAACUUGACAGCAAUGUGGGAGGUGUGGCAGUCCAGCACUGGGGCAUAGCCGUUGCCAAUCUGCCCAGGGUGGUUCAUGAUGAUGACCUGGGAGGUGAAGCUGGCAGCCUCCUUGGCAGGGUCAUCCUUGGAGUUGGAGGCCACAAACCCACGCUUGAGAUCCUUGACAGCAACGUUCUUCACGUUGAAGCCAACAUUGUCACCCGGAAGAGCCUCCUGAAGCGCCUCGUGGUGCAUCUCAACAGACUUCACCUCGGUAGUCAGGCCAGUUGGACCAAAGGUGACAACCAUACCAGGCUUGAUGACACCAGUCUCCACACGACCAACCGGUACAGUUCCAAUACCACCAAUCUUGUACACAUCCUGGAGGGGCAGACGCAGGGGCUUGUCUGAAGGCCUCUUGGGCUCGGUGAUCUGGUCAAGAGCCUCAAGCAGGGUUGGGCCUUUGUACCAGUCAAGGUUGGUGGACCUCUCAAUCAUGUUGUCACCCUCAAAACCAGAAAUGGGAACAAAG